rnacentral:lncRNA from 1 species
GACGUGAGAUUGGCGUUGGAUAUUUUGGCAGACAGUUGAGCAAUCAUGGGUAAGGAGAAGGUGCACAUCAAUAUCGUGGUCAUCGGCCAUGUCGACUCUGGCAAGUCGACGACCACUGGGCACCUCAUCUACAAGUUGGGAGGUAUCGACAAGCGUGUGAUCGAGCGUUUCGAGAAGGAGGCGGCGGAGAUGAACAAGCGUUCGUUCAAGUAUGCGUGGGUGCUGGACAAGCUGAAGGCAGAGCGCGAGCGUGGUAUCACGAUUGAUAUUGCGCUGUGGAAGUUCGAGACCAUGAAGUACUACUGCACUGUGAUCGACGCGCCCGGACAUCGCGAUUUCAUCAAGAACAUGAUCACGGGAACGUCGCAGGCAGACUGCGCUGUGCUGAUCAUCGACUCGACGACGGGAGGGUUCGAGGCCGGUAUCUCGAAGGAUGGGCAGACGCGUGAGCACGCACUGCUGGCGUUCACUUUGGGAGUGAAGCAGAUGAUUUGCUGCUGCAACAAGGUGAGUUGAGAAGACACGGCACAGUGUAUAUUUGUAUGGGGUCAGUGAGACUGGAUUGGGUCUGAGCACGGUGUCUGUGAGAGCCGUGAGGUGUCACGGCACAAUGAGAUAAAGUGGUGAUUUUAGGAGUAGGGUGUAUGGGUAUUGGUGUAUUUGAGGGCUGAUGUUGGACUAUGUGUGGAUGGUAGAUGGACGCGACCACCCCGAAGUACAGCAAGGCCCGAUAUGAGGAGAUCGUGAAGGAGGUGUCGGCGUACCUGAAGAAGGUGGGGUACAACCCGGAGAAGGUUCCGUUCGUGCCGAUCUCAGGGUUCGAGGGCGACAACAUGAUCGAGAGGUCGACGAACCUGGACUGGUACAAGGGCCCGACUCUGUUGGAGGCGUUGGACAACGUGUCAGAGCCGAAGCGGCCAUCUGACAAGCCUCUGAGGCUGCCGCUUCAGGACGUGUACAAGAUUGGAGGCAUCGGAACUGUGCCAGUGGGACGGGUGGAGACAGGAAUCAUCAGGCCAGGUAUGUUGGUGUGCUUCGCACCGACGGGACUGACGACUGAGGUGAAGUCGGUGGAGAUGCAUCACGAGUCGAUGCCUGAGGCGCACCCAGGUGACAACGUCGGGUUCAACGUGAAGAACGUGGCGGUGAAGGACCUGAAGAGAGGGUACGUGGCCUCAGACUCGAAGAACGACCCUGCCAAGGAGGCAGCCAACUUCACGGCGCAGGUUAUCAUCAUGAACCACCCGGGACAGAUCGGGAACGGUUACGCACCAGUGCUGGAUUGCCACACGUCGCACAUUGCGGUGAAGUUCGCGGAGAUCUUGACGAAGGUGGACAGGCGAUCGGGUAAGGAGCUGGAGAAGGAGCCGAAGUUUUUGAAGAACGGGGACGCAGGGUUCGUGAAGAUGAUUCCGACGAAGCCGAUGACAGUGGAGACGUUCGCGGAGUACCCACCAUUGGGACGUUUCGCGGUGCGUGAUAUGAGGCAGACGGUGGCUGUGGGUGUUAUCAAGGCCGUAGAGAAGAAGGAACCCACCGGCGCCAAGGUGACGAAGGCCGCUGCGAAGAAGAAGUGAAUAGUGCGGGAAGGGGGUGAAGGCGAGGCGGAGAAGGGGGCGGAGUGGCGGUGGUGGGUGGAGAGGUGGAUGUGGAGCAUGGAGUUGCUGACUUUGAGUGGUUGGUCGAUAUAUUUGUUGCAAGCGCGACAGAGGCAGACUUGGGUACUUGACAGGAGAUGGCAGGGCAUAGUGGGCACGAGGGCAUGGGUGUAAGAGAGAGGGAAAUAAGAGAAUAUAUGAUCUCUUUUUAAAGUACAAAUGCGUGGUGUUUUUUGAUGUGGUUGAUGCUUGUGGAAUGUAGGAUGACUGGUGAUUUAACUAGUUCUGGAUGGUAUGUGGAUCAAUUUGGGUUGAUACUGUUGGGAUAAUGUGGUUUCAUCUGGAUUUGUGCAACAGUUUUCUUGGAAGUAGCGCAAUUAAGGGCUGUGAAGUAUGAGUUCUCUUUUGACAACUUUAAUUGUAUGGGUUUGUUAUAUAAUACUUCUGGAGUGUUCCGGAUUAUAAUUUUUGCAUAAUACUCGCCACGAUCUGCGGUUGGGCUGGUACUUUUGACUAGUAACAUUCUUGGUGUGCAGCACAAGAAAUACACCUCGUUUUUUGUGUUGACAGACAGUACCCGAGAAUAUCCAUGACCUUUAUAAAUAUGCUCCCUUUCCUUCUUAUCAAUUUGCUUGAACGACGUUCAGGAAUGAAAUGGAGCAGUUGAAUUACGGUAUUGUAACCAUAAAUCUAAUUUUAUUCUACUAAAUCUGUCUUUCUCACGACACUUUUCUAUGGUAACAUGAAAAUACUCCUUAACUUAUUGAUCUGUUGCCACUAUCACAGUUCUUGCCACUUUGUGCACUACAAUUGUAAGAAUGUAACCCGGCUUAAAGCCAAGUUUCUAGAUGAAUUCAUCUUAAAACAAGGUCCCCAUGAAACGAAGAAAAUGUUUCCAAAUGUGGCCAUUGUCGGAACAACCCUCUUUUGAAUGUAAUCACCCGGAACUGGUCCACGAAAAAUAACACUCUUGCAGAGAACUUCCUGGUAGAAUUGUGGAAAUAGAGUUGUGGAAAGGCGAAAUUACAACAAAAUCCGACACACUAAAUCCAAAAUGUAAAGAAUAAGUACUGCAUGAUGUAAAGAAAUUGUUCGUGUAUUUUUUGGUGUACACGUGGUUCGUAACUUGGAUUUGAGUAUUAGCAUAACCUUUAGAGCAAUUUGCAGUUAUUAUUGUGGCAUUUGUAAAAUGAAAAAAUCAUUGUUAUUCAUACAUGCACCACACAGGGUUGUCAUUUAUUUAACUUUUUGUGAGUAUUGUCAAUUUAGAUUUGAAUUGCCUUGUUAAAAACUAUAGAUACAAUUCAUGGAUACUUAUAUUCACACAAACAUAUUUUUUGCAUUUUUUGUUGCUUAAUUUAUUACAUUAGAAAAUAAAAUCUAAUUUAUAUCUCCUUUUUGAAAUUAUUGUUGAUUACUUAAAAAUUUGAUUUUUCUGUUGGCUCUUUUUCACUUUAAUAAUUUUUUUUGUGUAUAUGGUUAAGAAUUUUCAAGUAGUAUCACCAUUGAUUGUUUUAGAUUGCGGCACAACAAGCUUUCCUAGAAAAAGCUUCUAUGACCAAAGAGUCACACUAAUUAGAAUAAAAGGACAAAUGUCCCAUGAUCCUUGGACACUUGGCCAGUAUAAUAUAAAUAUAGAAAAUAUGAUCUUUGUGGUCAAUCCAAUUAUUAUGGGUGUUUUGUCACUUUUGAGUAAAAUAAAAUGACAAAUGUCAUGUGAAUCUUGACCUAUACUCUAAAUAUGGUCAAUACUCUCUUUAUGACUUAUCCCAAACAACAUGGGGAUUUUAGAUCCUAUAAUAGAAUAGAGUAUUUUAUUAAGUAGCUUCAACAAAGUUAAAUAUAUAUUUUUUUUUUUUUGUAUAUGGAAACAUUACCAUCAUUUGAAUAUAUUUUAUUUUGCAAUCCAACAACUUUAUUUUAUUAUAUUAUAUCACAUUAAUGCAUUUGUGCUAUAUUAAGAUCAUACAAAUAGAUGCAAUAUCUAUUACAUAAUAAUGUAUUGUGUUAGCAAAGGAUUUGAAGCUUUAAUUUCUUGUAUAAUUUAUUAGUAAAUACUAUUACCUUAUUUGAAAGAAAAAACUUAUAUAUUAGUCAUAGUCCAAUCUCAAAAAAAAGUAGAACUUAACAAAUUUUAUUUAGAAUUGUAUCUUUCUAAAAGUAUUUAGUCAACAAGAUAUUAAAGUAAAAAAAUAAUAUUAUGAUUUUAUCAAGUGUAAUAUUUAUAACUUCUUUAAUGUGAUUUCUUAUAUCUAUUUUUGUUAUAUAUUAUAAGUUUAUUUUUAUGAAUCUCUUAAACCACGAGUGACAUUAUCCAUUAUUCAUUUAUUUUUAUUUUAUAAUAUUUUAUUUUGUAUAACAAAUUAUAUUAUAAUAGAGCAUAUUAUAGCCUUUUAUACACUAUAAUUCUUUAUGAUAGAAGAAAUUAUUGAUUUUGCAUGUAUAUAAAAUUUAUAAUUUAUAAUUUUAUUAAAUAUAUUAUUUUGAUUUGUUUUUUUUCUUUUUUUCUUAAGUAUAUAAUUAGAUUUGAAUGAUGAGUUAAGAAAACACAUUGUUUAACAAUGAUGGAUUUAGUUUGAAUGCAUAUUUAUAUGAAGUAGGCUAUAUACAAAUUUAUUGCAAAUAUGGCUUUUGUAGACAAUUUGACUUUUUUUUAAAAUUUCAUAGGUAGAAACUACCAUGUGUAAUAUCAUCAUAUUAAAUAAAUAGACCUAGGUUUGCUUGAUUUUGAUGUUCGAAACCUAGGUCUACCCACCAAUUUUCAGUAGACAGUACCUAACUAUCCAGGUUGGGAAUUUCAGAUUGCUAAAAACUCAUGCGCGUUUAACCUACUUGCAAUCCCUGAACCACCACCACCAACAUUCUGUUGCACCAUCGACGCCUCUGUUAGAGUAUUCCGACAUCACCAUUCACUCGUCAUCGAAGUCAAAGAAUUCGCCCAAGUCCUCAUCAUCCUCAUACACUCUCACGGCAGAUGCGACUGACGGGCCUUCGCACAGCGCCUGCUGCACGUUCAGUGCUUUCGGCACCACCAUUUGAGCACCACUUCCACCCGAUUCAAAAUACCUGCACAGCAGCGCCUGCGAGUGAAACCAUGUUCGUUAGUAUCACUUGCACCGGACUCCCAUCCAGUUACCACACAACACUUCUGUGACCUGUCCAACACCUUCUUCGGGCAGCCUGCUGUACCAGCAUCACACAGCAGCCUCCUACACUCCAGCUUCUCCCAACCUACGUACCCUAUCCUUCCAACACUCUGUUACGUCCUUCAUAACUUCACACAAUCCAUCUACAAUAGCGUUCUAACUUUUCCACUGCAUACGUCCUCCCUGCUUUGCGCGUGAUCGCCCUUUCAUCUCAACGCUUUCUAAUUUUGCUCCACUACAUCUCCAGGACAGGCUUUCCCACGCCUAGCUACAAGAACAAGCACACUCUGCAUCGCCAACCACGCGUUACCCCCCAACAAACCACUACCCAUACCACUCCACAACCAUCGCCCACUCUCCCAGCUGCCCACUUAUGUUGCGUCCUAUCCAACACUUCCUAUUGUCAUUUCGAAUUGCCCCACCCAACCACCAUUCAUCACCCGUCACCCAUCACAACUCAUGUUCAACGACUAUCAACGCUCCUCACCGUGGCGGCGUACGCGUCCAGUUGCUCCUUCCGAGACCGUCUGUUGCUGCCCCUGCGUCACAUUCAACCAACUCCCAUCACCCACAUGUUCCCUCCCUACCCAACCUCCCCCACCUCCAAUUCCUGCCCUGCACCACGCCCACCAACCAUGCAUUCCCCAAGCACCGCAUCCACACCGUGCAUCACCACAACUCCAACAGGGAUCUCGAUGUUUACAUGUCAAUCAUGUAGUCCAGCGCAUCCUGCGAAGUCCCAUACUCGUCUUGCAAAUAUACUCGCCACCCUCUGCAAUACGCCACCACACCUGCCUCAGAUCCCUACUGCUCCAUGCAAUGUGCACUACUUGACCAACGACGACACUGUCCGAUCGCCGUGUACUUCCCCUUGUCGAUCACCCCACUCGUAUCCCUACUGCUGAAACCCCUGCCCGCUACACAUCAUCCCUUUCCCCCACUCUGUCACCCCCAUUGUGUGCACCGCUGCACCUUGCAACUACUCAACCACAACUCACUCCUUCACAAGAUCUCAUCAUGUGACAUUGGCGGUGGGACUUUACCGCCGACCAACGAUAUUCGCCAGCCUCCCGGCAAAGCUGCGGCACUUGUUGGCUUGGUCCGAGUCCUUGCCAUCCCACGCUUUGGGCAGCCCAACCACAAACUCGUCUGCUCUCUGCGCUCCACCCACCCAGCCACACAACACCACCAUCAACGUCUUCGCCGAACACAUCCUGCACCGCUGCUACCAAAACCACUCACACCUCUCAUGACCUAAUCACGCCAUCCCUCCAAAACCCUGAACCCUUUCUUCACUGAAAUUGCACCUGCCGAAGGGAAUCAGGUUCACGUCAGAGCCGGUUCGUGCGUGCGCCCCACCGUAAUGUACCAUUGCGCGAACGUGACUCUCACUAAACGUAAAAGAAAAUUGCAACUCGCUUUGUCAACUGCUCAUUCUUCCGGCAUAUGUCAAUCCACCAAUCAGCCCGUGUUAUCAACCAACGGUCGACAUAAUUCUUACCUCACGUAUGCCGACUUGCAAUAUGGUUUCGAGUAACUUGUCUCCCCUCUGCCGCACCACCUACAACCACAAGGUACGUGAGACACCUCCUUCCAUCCCUUCGGAAUCCACCCACCGCUUGGCUUCACCAACACAAAGGGUGGGCAGGAACACGCUCACGGACACACGAGACGCCCCACGUAUCUCCCACGCCCGCUUCGUGCACUACGAAGGUUGCAAUAGCACAAAAGCUUACGGUCAAAGGCCGGGGCGCAUAACCACCCAGACUGAUCGCCAAUCCAGUCUUUGCAUCCCCGAGAUCCACACCCACUGUGUGUCCGCGCACCCUCUCUCCACCUCUCGCCCUCUGCGCAUUGCACUCCAGACUGCCAAUCUUCGCUUUCAGCUCCAACCUCAGCCGGGGAUCCUCCGCCACGCGCUCUGGACUGCCAUCCCCGUCUCCUCGCCCAGGGCUUGCUUUCCCGAGCUUCUCAACCCCAGCAUUCGAGUCAUUUCGAGCACACACAACGCCGACAGCCCUCAACCGCAGCUUCCUCAGCGGAAACGCUGGCGCGGGAACAGAGCGCAGCUGCCGAAUGGGAGUUCUAGGAAACAACACAGCACAAUUCAGGGUGCUCACAUGGCGCCCUCCGAGACUCAUCCUGCCCAACUAGCCACUCACUGCACAUGCGACGCAACAGUCCCCAAACACAACUCGAAAGAAAACAUGAAGGGUGCAAACUGAACCCACUACCACAGUACUGCUUUCGCCUCCUACCGGGCCAGGGUGGUGUCUGAGCGAGUGACGCCUCGUAUUGGCGACCACGGCAAAUGCAGGCGCGAGAGCACGCAUCCCUCGUCGUCCUCUGAGUGUGUGGGGGUACAGGCCUUGUCACGCAGAGCUCGCCGUGGUCCUGGAUGCGCUUACCGGCCGUGGGCGUCGCCGGUCCUAGUGCGUCCUCCGUAUCGGCAAUCCUUUCUCGAUCGGGCAGCCUGGAAGGCGGGCAGACGCUCCCACGGUAAUACACUUACUCAGUGGGGAUGGGUGUAGAGGGAAAAUUCUGGCAGCUCACGAUUCUUGUCAGAGCCAAUGGUUGGAGCACAGCUGUCUUCGACCUAUUGCCGAGCAAAGAGUUAGGACCCCACCAGAGGUGCCGAUGAAGACGAGGGAGCAUGAUGACGAGGUGAAGGAUACGUAGAGCUCGUGGAUGAAACGCAUUCAUUCAAAGCGUAACAUACACACGUAGAGGAAAAUAUAUGCACCUCAAUACCUACCUGGGACAGUGUCCUCGACAACCUUUUAUAUUAGAAUGAGAAGAGCGUUUAGCCCACAAAUUGCGGCGCAGAAUGAACCUCAUUGGGCAUCAUAUGAUUUGUGUCAAGCCCGUUUCUUAUCCCUACAGGUGUAGAGGGAUCCCCCUUGUCGCAAGAUUGAAUCACGACGGCGUUGUUUCUCGAGGCGCGUUGUGAGUAUUGAACAAUGCGACCGACAUGAUUUAUGUUGGUGAGGUCAAAAUGAAGAUUGCAGUGAAUCAAAUCAUACCUUGGAACUAGAAACGCUAUUAUCGUUGUUUCAGGUCGAAGAGGGUCCAUGUGAAAUCUUUUCUUUUCUUCAUCUUGGGUGUUAAUGCAAUACGGCCCUGUGUACUUCGCCCAAAAUUUAUCCUUUUUCUUACAUAGCUUUUUCUUUUGAUAUAAGACUACAUCUCCAACAGCGAAGUCUCGUGUAUAUGUUACUUUUUUGUCAUGACCCUCUUUCUGCGGCCGUUGUGCUUUGCCAAUGUUGGUGUGCGCUUGUGUUCGUAACUAGUCCCGUUGUUGUAGUAACUCAUCAAGCCACGUGUGUAAGUCGGUGGGUUGUGUGAUGGCUAGUGCUGGAGCCAGCAGCACUAUUGGCAAGCGUGGUUUGCGCCGAUACAACAUUUCGAACAGCAAGAAUCUAGUACUAGAAUGAACGGUGGUCCGGUAGGCGAACACAAUCGCCGAUAGCAUUGUGUGCCAAUACUGGUCAUACUCCCCAUUUUUCUCAAUAAGCAAACAUAAUGUCAUCUUAAAUCUUUUGGUCAGGCUAUUACACUGCGGGUGGUAGGGCGAUCUAGUGGUAUGUUUGGUGUGAAGGUGAAUGGCUAGCACUUUGAGUAAGGCGAUACAAAACUCGCUUCUGUUGUCAUUUAGAAUUUUGAUGGGGCUAUUGUGUUUCACCAUAAUGGAAUUAAAGAAGAAUUGUGCAAUUUGCUCACAUUCUUUGGACUUCAAAGCAUGCACCUCGACCCACUUCGUGAGGUAGCAGGUUGCAACAAUCACGUACUUAUUGCGCCAUGACGUCCAUGCCGACCUUUGCUAACGGCUCAAAAACUGGGAUCGAGGUUAAUAAUCAGAGCUGCAUGUUUUUAUCAUGCGUACAUUUUACCUGGCAUGUCGGGCAUUUGCGAAUGUAGUUUGUUACAUCCUCAACCAUGCCAAUCUAGUAGUAAGCAUCUUGCAACCUUUUCAACGUUCUUCGUACGGCAAAGUGUCCGGAUGUGCGAGCCGCGUGGAAUAGUUCUAAUACCUAAGGAAGUUCAAAGGCCCCGGGAACUCUCAAAAUACGAAUACCCUCUAGAGCGGACUUUUUGUGAAAGAGAGUACCAUCUCGCAUGAGGUAUUAGGAGAGAUGGUACCUCACUCUCUUGGCCAGCGUUCUAUCCAGGCCGAUGGCGAUCGAGCCAGUCCGGCAGGCUUCAGAGUGCAUCUAACAAUGCUUCUUUUAUCACGUUUAUUUUUGAGCAGAGUGUUUUGUUGAGGGCGGGGUUGGGAGUGCCUGUCUUUGUGGUCUCCUCUCUUAAAGACCUAAGCAACUUGUCACAACAGUUGGAGCUCGUGAUGGAUCCAUCGUUAGUUUCAAUCAUCCUGACAAUGCAAUUCACCCUACUUGACGUUCAUAAAGACUGUUUUAUGUAUGCUGCGAAUGUCAUCGCAACACCAAUCAAAGAAAACACAAAACAUAUUAUUGACAUAUAUAGCUACGAACGUAGUUAGUGCACACAUGUUCUGAUACAAUUUUGAGGUGUGCUGUGACACCCUGCCAUUCUCCCGGGAGGCUGAUGCGUUGUAAUUUAGUAGUAUAGAGCCAUGAACCAUUGGGCAUUUGGAGUAGCGAAGCUGUUGGAGUGUGUUCAGGUCGCUGAGCGUAGGAUAUAGUUUAGGCACGGUGUUUUUAGUGCAAGUUUGUGCGUCUACGUUUGCAUGGAGGAGUCCCGGUUUGUGUAUGAUUGUGCAAUCGUAGAAUUGCAAAAGUCGCAAGGCAAGGAGGAGUGCAUGGUCGAUUUUGAUGAUAAAUUCAAACCUAUGAAGAUAUGGGCGAAAAUAUUUUACCUCAAAGACCAAUGUGAGGCCUUCUUUAUCAAUGAUCCCAUAAUUCUUUUUUGCCUUUGAUAAUUGUUUGGAGAAUGAUCCCAUAAUUCUUUUCUGCCUUUGAUAAUUGUUUGGAGGCUUAGGCUACCACCAGUUUUGUCAAAUGGGUGCAAUUGUAGUUAUAAUGUCAUGAGUUAUAUGCGGUUCAGAUUAAUGGGACCAUUACUAAAGAUAUCUAGAUUUCUAUAGAUGAUAUAGAUUCCUAUUGGAAUAUAAUGUCAUUUUAAAUCUUGUGGUUAGACCAUUGCAUAGGAAUCUAUAUAAUCUAUAAGAAUUAAUGUUAAGAAGGCAAGAUGUUUGAAUUAUCUAAUUGAGCAUGACAUUAUAUUCAAAAUAUUUGUACUUUGUCCAAAAUGUUUUCUUCCAUUAAUCUCCUUCUUUAAUCUGCACCAAAUUGUACACUAUAUAUAAAUCUAUUCUAGUGUAGAUCCUAGCUUGACUGAAUUGCUUUAAAAGCUUUGAUAUCAGUGGUAAUAGAUAAAGAUUCUUCAGGAUUAUUUUAUUGAGGUCAUAAUAAUCAAUACACAUUUGCAAAGAUCCAUCUUUUUUCUUCACAAAAACUAUUGGUCCAUUUGCUGGAGAUUCACAAUACCAAAUAAAGUUCUUUGCAAGAUUUUGAUCAAUAUAAUCCUUCAAUGCCAAAAGUUUAUUUUGUGAUAGGUUGUAGAUUGAGCUAAACGGUGGUUGAGCCUCUUUGAAGAUCAAUGGUACUAGGAUAGCUACUAGCGAGCUUACUUCUUCAUAAGUUGGAGUUGCAUAAAUAACAAAUGGCAUUUUUUUCUUAGUAGUCUUCAUAAAAGCCCUUGCUUAAAGGAAUAAAUAAAUUUGAGGUAUUGGAAUGUCCAACUACAUGGUCUCUAUUAAAGUUGGAUCUCUUUAUUUUCCUAAAAAAUUGCAAUCUUAAUCCUAUUUGUACAUUGUUUCUUUGGACAGUUCUCAAAUUUAUGACCUUCUUCAUUACAAUACAAGUAUAGACCUUAUUCAAAUUGACACUUCUUCUCUUCUAUUAUAAGAGGUUUAAACUAUAUUGCAUCAAUUUACAUAUCUUCAACUUUGGAAUCUAAAAGUAUUGUAUUUAUUGAAAUAAUAGAGUACAAAUUUUUAGUAUGUUGCUUUAUCAAAGUCGAAAAGUAUUGAUUUUGAUAUUAUUAAAAUAAUCAAUAAUUAUUUUUUACAGCUUGGUUAAUAGUCUCAUUGAGUGUUUGAGGAUCACAUAAUGAUAGUAAUAGGUCUUUGACAUCAUCAUUUAAUCUCCAAUAGAAUUGGUUCAUAAAAGCUUUUUCAUCCCAAUUGAUGUGACAAACCAAUUACUUAAAAUCAAAUACAUAAACUUAUACAAAGCAUGACCUUUGAUGUAAUGAGCAAAUUUUUAUUGAUAUCCAUCAAGCCUUAUCAUAUUUUCUAAAUGCCUCUACAAAUACUUCUAAAAAAGUCUUUAAAAUUAUUCAAGAUUAGAGUUCUUUUUUCAAAUAAAAGAUCAAACCAAAAUAAGGCUUAUCUUGAGAUCAAGGUUCCAACUAAAUCAACUCACUAUUCUUUUGUUGGAUAGCACUCAAGUUGUAGAAAAGUUACUAAUCAAAUUUUAUUAAUAAAUCUUUAAAACUUAGAAUGUGUAUCAUCAAAAAAAUUUGAAAGACUAAUUUGAGGCUCUUUAUGUUGUUGAAUAAGUGAGUUUUUUUGUCGAAAUACAAGUGCCACCACUUCCUUGGAUGUAAAAGCUUGAAAAAGUGGUUGUAUUACAGGUUAAACUAUUCUAGAUCUUAUAUCACUAUAAAAUCUUACAAAACAUCUUUUUAUUUUAGUAGUUCUAUGAGAUAAAGUAUUGAACAUGUUCAUAAUACUAUCUAAUUAGGAUUUAGAAGAUUUAACCAUAUUAAUAUCUUGACUUCUAGCUAUUUUAAAAGAAAAAAAUUAAACAAUACUAAUUUAAUUUAAAGAAGAAAUCUUGCAACCUCUAAAACAUUGAAAUGACUUCAAGAAGAGAAAUAAUCCAAUCUUUAUUAAAAAAGAUCAAGCUUUAGUAUUGAUAAGAAAGUUAGUCUUGACAAAAUGUCAUGGAUAUACUAUACAAAAGAUCAAAUAAGAAAUUGAAUAAAAAAAAUUUCAAUAAAAAAGCUAGUAAGAACUUGAUGAAAUCAAAUAAGUACAAUAUCAACACCAAGAGAGAUGAGCUAGAGCUCCAAGAGAUGUGUUGUUGAGAUUGAAGAUCCCCUCACCCUUAACUCCAAUAUAUAUUAGGUAUUAAAAAGCUUUUUUAGAAAUUUUAAUGUUGCUUAAGAACAAAGCAACCUUAGAAGGGUUCUCGAAAAGUUUUCAUUUUACUUGAAGACAAAAACAAUCCUAGAAAGCUUCUUAGAUAGCUUCCUUAAUCAUCUUAGAAAUUUUUAGAAUCUAUUGGAAUUUUUUGAAAACCUUCUAAAUCUUUUUAAAUAUUUAAAGGAACUUUUUAAAAUCUUCUAUUAAAGUAUUUUUAAAAUAUUUAAAAAUUUGAUAGAUUAUUUUAAAAAUAUUCCUAAAAUCUUUUGAUUGUUUAUAACAAAAGUUUUAUUAUUGAUAAUGCCAAAAGAAAAUUUAUUGCUUAAGUCAUUGCAUGUAAUAAUUGAUUCUUUAAAAGAUACAAAGAACAAAGAUUUUAUUGAAGAGGUAUAAAUGAAAUUUUGGUGAUAACUUUUAAAUUUGUAGAAGCUUAUUCAUCAAAGUUGGAAUCCAUGCAAAUUGAUAAGAUAUGUUUCAAAGCUCUUAUUGAGCAAGAAAAGACUUGACAUUGUCAAAAAUGAUUGUGCUUAUAUUGCAAAGAACCUAAAUACACUACUCAACAUUGUCUAAAGAAGCAACAAAAUCACAAAAUGAGGAGCAUAGUUACCAGAGAAGAUGAUGUGUUAAAAAAAAAGUCUUUUUUUUUUUUUUUUUUUUUUUUUUUUUUUUUUAAGUACAAUAAGAAUUAUUCAUCUAAAAUCUUGCUUAACACCUAAUAAAUAUCUUAUUUUUUUUUUUCAAAUCUCUCACCUUGUUUUACAAUAGAAAUUUGUUUAAGAUCAAAAAAUCACAAAGUCUUUGCUUUAUUAGAUUCAAGAGCCUCAACAUAUUUUAUAGGCAAAGCCUUUAUUAAAAAAUAAGAAAUAUCUUUACUUAAAAAAAAAAAAAAAUCCGUGCAUGUAGAAGUCAUAGAUAGUCAUUUGUUAUCUUUUGGAAAUAUUAUCGAUAAGAUAAUUUCUUUAGAUGUAGCAAUUAAAGAUCAUAAUAGCUUAAUAAUAUUUAAUGAGAUUAGAUCUCCUUUUAAUCCAAUUAUUUUAGGAUUAUUAUGGCUAAAAAAAAUAUAAGCCUCAAAUAGACGAUUUCUUAUAACUUUAAUUUUUUUUGAAAUUUAGCCGAAGAUUUUCCUAGUCAAGUAAAAAUUCUUAAGUCCAAUACAUCCAAAUCCUUAUUGAUAUGUACAAGAGCUUUUAUGCAUACUAUAAAAGAAGAGUUAGCUUUGUUGUAGAUUCUGCACCUAUUUUCGAUAGAAAUAAGAUUUCAAGUAGUAUUUUAAGUAAAUAUUAAGAUUAUUAAGGUAUUUUUAAAAAAUAAAUAUAAACAUUCUUUUAGAGUAUUAUCCUUAUGACUGUUCCAUUGAUUUUAAAGAAAGAACUCAACUACCAUUUGGACCAAUCUAUAGCUUAUCACAAAAGAAGUUGGUUGCACUCAAAGAACACAUUGACAAGAAUUUAGCUAAAAAUUUUAUAUACCAUUUUAAAUCUCAAGGAAGGACUCUUGUUUUAUUUGUGAAGAAAAAAGACAAAUCUCUAUAGAUGUCUCUUGACUAUUAAAGUUUUAAUAAUAUCACCAUUAAAAAUACAUAUCAUCUAUCUUUGAUUUCAAGACUUUUUAAUUAAUUAAAUUAAAUAAAUAUCUAUAUAAAAAUAGAUCUAUGAGAAGCAUAUAACAUGAUACAUAUUAAAAAAAGAUAUGAAUGAAAAAUUACGUUUCAAAUUAGGUAAUGUCAUACCCUUUAGAUUCAUAAAUAUACUAAUUAAUUUUUAACAUUUAAUAAAUGAUGUCUUUCAUGAGUUUCUUGAUGACUUUGUUGUUUGUUAUCUAGAUGUUAUUUUAAUCUAUUCUAAAAAUAUAAAAAACAUGAAUUUCAUGUUUGACAUGUCUUACAAAAAUUAAAAAAUAUAUACUUAUAUGCCAAGAUAGAAUAGUGUAUAUUUCAUAUUACUCAAAUUGACUUCAUAGGAUAUAUCAUGUUAAACAAUAGCCUUAUGAUGGAUCCUAAAGAAGUCUAGACUAUCAUAAAUUGAAAGAUCUCAAAAAUAGUCAAAGAUGAGUAAUUUUAAAAAAAUUUACUAUUUAUUAUUAAACUUUUAUCAAUUUUUUUUUUUCAAAUUACAGCUUCUUAUAUAUAUUUAACUUGUAAAGAUAAACUUGAGUAGAGUAAAGAAGCCAUAAUAUCUUUUGAAGCUUUAAAGACAAUAUUUAUUUUUGUACAAAUCUUAUAUUAUGUGAACUUUUUUAAAGCAUUUUUUAUAGAAAGAAAUGCAUCAAACUUUGCUACAAGUGCAAUGUUGUCACAAAUAGGAGUGAAUGAUAAGUUCCAUCUAAUAGUUUCUUAUUCUAAUAAAUUUUCAAUAAUCAAGAUUAACUACAAGAUUGACAAAAAAGAACUUCAUGCAAUUAUAGAUUCAUUUUAAGAAUGGCAUCAGUAUCUAAAAGAAACUUUCAAUAUAUAUAUAUAUAUAUAUAUAUAUAUAUAUAUAUAUCUAUAUUUAUUAUAAGAACAUCAAGUAUUUCAUGUCAACACAUGUUUUGAAUUCUGACUAAGCCCAUUGGAGCAUAUUUUUAUGAAGGUUUGAUUUCAAUAUGACUUAUUAACUCAAAAAAUAAUAAGAUUUGUCAAAGACAUUUUUUAGACAUUCUUAUGUUACAUCAAAGGAAAAAAAUGUAAUUUUUGAUCAAUGAAGAUUUUUUCUUUUUAAAGUUGGAGCAUUUUUAUCUUUAAGCAAUGAAAUCAAUAUUGAUUAUUGAUUCAAUUUUUUUUAAGCAAAUUCAAUCAAAUAUAUUCUGUGAUUCUUUUAUUUAUGAUAUUAAAAAUAAUUCUUUUAAUUAUUAUAUUACUUUCAACUUUAAGUUCAAAAAUAAUCUGUUUUAUUUUUAAAAAUAAUUAUAUAUUCCAAAAGACAAAGCAAAAUUAUGUAUUAUUCAAGCUCAUCAUCAGUUUCUAAUAUCCAAAUAUUUUGAAUACAAUAAGACUUUGAAGCUAAUAUCAAAAGAUUUUUUAUGGCAUCAAUGUAAAAUGUUGUAAAACACUUUGUACAAUUAUGUGACGUUUAUUUAAGAUCAAAAACUCUUUGGCAUUGAUCUUAUGGAAUUCUUUAGCUAUUAUCUAUUCCAAAACAACUAUAGUCUUUUAUUUUUAUGGAUUUUAUUAUAGAUUUUUUAGUCUCAUGUUCUUGUGAUAGUAGAUUAUUUUGCUAAGAUAGCAUAGUUUGUACUAUAUAUAAAAUCUAUCAUAGAUGAAGAAAUAACUAAUUUUUUUUUUUGAUAAUAUCUAUCACCAUUAUGGAUUGUCAAAUGAUAUUAUAUCAAAAAUGAAGAUUCAAUCUAUAUCAAGAUUUUUAAAAGUUCUUCUUAAGAUUUUAAAGAUAGAAAUAAAAUUACAUUUGGCUUUUCAUCCUCUAAUCAAUGGACAAAUAGAAGGAAUAAUCAAAGUUUUGGAAUAAUUUUUUUACCAUUGGUAGAUUUUUUUUAUAAUAACAUAGUACAUUCUCCUAUAAAACAAACACCUUUUUUAUAUUAAUUAUGAUUAUUAUUGUGCUUUCAAUUUUGCAAUCAUCCCUUUGAUUUCAUAAAAGUCUAUAAUUAUGUAAAAAAAAUUAAAAAGAAUAAUUAUUUGAGCUAUAUAUAACAAUAAAGGUACAAUUAAAAAAAAGCUCAAGAAUAAUAAAAGUCUAAAGCAUAUGCCUAUUACAAGGAACAACUUCAAUUCCACAUUGGCAACAAGGUAUGGUCACUUUAUUAUAAUAUGAAGAGUAGCCGCUUUUGUGAUAAGAUGGAUUAUUAUAGGCUUGGACCAUUUCAUAUUUGUAAAUAAAUCAAUUUAGUUGCUUAUUAAUUACACUUAUUGGAGUCUAUAAAGAUCCAUUCCAUAUUCUAUAUUUUUUUUAAACCAUAUAAGAAAGUGAAUAUCUCAAAAAAAAAAGAUAAAUACUAUUUUUUUUAUAUAAUUGGAUAAUAAUCAAGAUUUUAAAGUAGAAGAAGUCUUCAACUCAAGGUAGCAUUGAAAUAGAUUGAAAUAUCUUGUUUAUUGGCAUUGAUAUGAUAUUAAUGAAUGCACAUAGAAGCCAACAAAGAAUCUUGCAAAUACAAUAAAGAAGAUUGAUACUUUUCAUUAACAAUAUCUAUCAAAAUCAAGAUAAAGAAUAAAAAAUCUUUUUUUUAAAGAAAUAAGAUCUAAAAAAGAUAAUAUUUUAUUUCAUAUUAUUGUUUAUAAUUUUUGUAUAUUUAUAAUACUAUAAAGAUAAAAAAAUCAACAACCAACAAAUUCAACUCAAGAGCUAUCAUUUGAUGACUUAUUGGAUGAAAUAUUAUAAUUAUUACAGCCUUCGAGACAACAUAAUAGAGAUGGAGAUCCUAAAGAAUGACAUGUUCUUUUUUAAAUAGAUAAUGAAAUAUGAUACAUUUGGUAUCACAACCUUGGAAGAGAUUUCUAAUGUUUGGUGAUUUUAUUACAAUUAGGAAUGAUUUUUAAUCGUAUUUCAAAUGUUUUAUUUGAAGAGAGUUAUAAAAGUCUCAAGAAUGAUCAAAUAAUAAAAUGGUUUUUCUACCUUAAUAAAGGAGACUAUCAACUGCCUUCAAAAUAAACAAAGAUCAAAGUAUGUGGAAAUUAUAAUUUGCCAUAUCUUAGACUUCUUUAAUAUAUAGUGACUAUUCCUUAUAGAACUCAAUCUUAGAAAGGGAGAUAAUAACAUAGACAUGUAUAUUUAUCUAGAUUAGAAGUAUUAAGUAAAAAAUAAAUGUAGAUAGAUUUGAUAUUAUUUUAUAGCAAAGCUUUUUAGGAGCUUUAUAGAUGUGUACUUGACUUUGUAUGUGUUUAUAAUUGAUUAUAGGUUAGAAACUUAGCCAACAAAUUAGUCAUGUAUUGCACAUGUAGAUAGCUUAUAAUACAAGCUAAUAAUGUGGCGUACAUAUAAGAAACUUAUAAUACAAAUUAAGACAUGUGUCUUAUAUAUUAGACAUGUGUUAGAGGUCCUAUAAAACAUCACCUUGUAGCUCUUAGUUAGAUAGUAUAUAUAGAGACAAGAGUGAUACCUUCUUUACUUUUAUCAAUGCCUUUUUAGUUCUUAAUCUUCUUUCAAGACUUUUUUGUCUUCUUGUCUUUGACAAUAGCCAUUCUAGUUGAAUAUUAUACCAUCUUUGAAUGAUUUUUUAAAUUUGUUUGAAUAGCAUAAGAAUUUAUUGAUCUUUUAGUUCUUUAAAAUUCAUGUCCUUGAUAGGAGGUGAUAACAUAAUGUGCUACAAGUAAGUAAAAGAUAGUGCUUUGAUUAAAAGGUUGAUUUUAAUUGUUGUGUUGAUAGAAUAUUGGAAUUUUGAUGAAGGUGCUAGUAUUGGAUGGAUAUAUUAUGUCUAGUGUAAAACAUGAGGUGGCUAAGAAUAAUGUUGUUGAUGAUUCAACGUCUUUUUUGUAUGUAGAACUCUUUGAUAAGUCUUUUCAUAUAGCUCUUACUUGAUUCAAAUAUAGAGUGGAGCUUUGUUGGAUGCUAAUGUUGUAUCCUUGGCAAGAAAUUGAUGGAAAAUGCUCCAUGUCAUGUACUACUAAUAAUUGCUCAUUGUAAUUGAUCAAUUUAGUUAGGGAACUUUGUCGUGGCAUAUAAUAAAUAUCCUACUUAUUAUGACUUAUGUCCAAUUAUUGAAUUUUGUAUACUAACUGCUUGUCCAAACCUUGUAAUCUUUUAGGAGAUUUUCAAAUACAUUAGCUUGGAAUUUUCCUAAUAUCCAUCAAAGAAAUUCAUGUUAACAAAAAAAAAUUCCAUUUAGUCAUCUGUUUGAGUUUUUGUAAAUUCUAUUCUAUGUAUUACUUAGCGUCUUAAACAAAAUACUAGUCACUCAAAAUUCUUAUUAGAGCCAAUCAUUUGAGCAUAAUUGUAUUUGACCUAUUACAAAGGAAAGAGUUGGGACUCUACUAGAGGUGGCUAUAAAGACAAGAAACCAUGAUGACAAGGUGAAGGAUAUACAGAGCUUCAUUCAUUUAAAGCAUAACAUAUACAUGUAGAAGUAAAUAUGUACAUCCCAAUACUUGCCUAGGACAAUGUCUUUGACAAAUCUUUUAUAUUAAAAUAAGACAAGUGUUAAGCCUAUUAAGUACGACUCAACAUAAAUCUCAUUGGACAUCAUACAAUUUGUGUCAAGCUUAUUUCUUAUUCCUACAAUAGGAACCAUUGUGCCCAAUUGUAGCAUAUAAAACUACUCUAGUUUGAAGGACUUUGUCAAAUUGUCUAGUUAAAAUUAAUUUGGAUAAUUAUUUGAAUUUGAAUUUUAUUUUUGAAGGUCAAAAUAAAUAUUUUGGAUUAUAGUACCAUUGCACUUAAAAUAAAAUAAUAGAAAAGUAGUCUACAAUUUGGAUGAAGAUAUCCACAAUCAAUGAAUGAUAUUAAAAAUGAUCAACACAAAGUUUGCAGGUCACUAGAUGCCAAUUAGCAUUUUCUUGUACCCUACUCUUUCUCAAAAUAGAACGAAGAUGGAUUCGGUCGCCUAUAUCCGGAAUCGUUUUAACAGAAUCUAACAUCGUGUGGAGCAUCCAGAAUUAAGUCUAAAUGGUCGGUAAAAUGAUCGGUAUUAUUUGUUUAUUAAUGUCGGCUGAAAACGCGUCGCAGCAAACCGUGAAAGAAGUAGCGAAGGGUGUGGUCAUUUGGAUAUCCAUCCAGAUCCGAAGGUUUUGCUAUGCGCUACGAAUUAGUCACAACUGCGUUGAAGACUACUUCAAAAUCGUGUGGUGUCUGUAUUUCGCUGCAAAAUACAGGAAAUCCUGCAAGAAAGCGGCUACAGAAUGAGCGCGUUGAGCACUCCUGGAUUGAAUGGUCGUGUAAAAGCGAAUCUGAGACUUGCAUCUUAUCAAGAUAACUGUAGAGAGAGCAUAGUCCAUUGUCACGCACUUGGAGGGGUCUCCAAAUAUAUAAACCUUUCGUAGGAGGCUUAAUAUUCAAGAUUUGAUAUCGAUGAAAACUACAGGAAUUGGGGAAGGAAUUGAGAACUGAGGGAUUCGAAAUCCACUUGUGCUGAUGGUCAUUCAAACGAUUGAGUCGUGGAUUGUGAUCUUGUUCGAUGUCUAUUAAAAGAGUUGGAGAAGAGAUUGAUGACAGUUCGUGAGGCAGAUCUUUUGCUUCAUGGUCCAGCCGAUUCAAUUCCACUCCUCAAGUUGCUCGACAUUUUGUCGCUCAAUCAGGACCAGUUCUUAAAGUCUGGUGUCGAUUGCCGCCAGUUUGCUUUUGUCAUAACACCUCAGUCCUUUCUUCAUCGUGAUUGACAGCUUCAUUCUUUCCGGAAUAUGUCUUCUGGAUUACUUUGAUCAUCACUCUCAGCGGUUUUCAGUUCCUCAAUUGUUUCAUUUUACAAACCACUACGUCUGUGGCUAGCUAGGUACAGAAAAUGGCUUCUCUAAACGAAAGCCAAUCACUUCCUCGAUCAUGGAGAUGUUGCGUCGCACUUUUGCUAUCUUUGUCGUUUUUGAUGGUAGGCUCAACUCAAGCCAGCAGGAAAUUACAAACAGCUCAACCACAAAGGAGACUCCAGGCGCACAGGGACAAUACCGACACGGCUAUGCACGCUCCUUCAGCUCAAUCUUACCUGGUUUCAGACGGUAGCUGGGUAGAUUGUGUCCCCAUCGAAGGACAGAUUGCAGCCCACCACCCUGCUCUCAAAGACCACAUCAUCAAGAUGAGGCCAUCGGUACCUCCCAAUGCUCGCUCUUCAUUAGGCGCGAGAUCGCAUCCACAAUUGUUUGCUCGGGAGCAUGGCGGGUGCCCGGACGGCUAUAUUCCCGUUCAACGAAUGGACCCCAACAGCCCGCGUUUGCGAAAAGAGCAUCCCCCUCAAGCCCCUGGACCUGCUCCAGUUGACGUAGCAGUUCAUGAAUAUGCUGUAACAACCAUGCCAGUUUCUAGCGGAGCUUACAGUGGAUCUGCGGCUGUCCUCAGUGUAAAUGGCCCCACCGUUGCAAAUACCAGGGAGUUCAGCCUGUCUCAGCUAUGGAUCAUCGACGGCUCCUUCAAAGACACAAGCCUGUGCACAAUUGAAGUUGGCUGGCAAACGUAUCCCGGCAGACACACUGGUGACGCGGACUUUGCUCCUCACCUUUUCGUGUACUGGACUGCAGACCAUUACAAUAUUUCUGGGUGCUAUGACCUGGAAUGCCCCGGCUUUGUCCAGGUCGAAAAUUCGUGGGUGAUCGGAGGCGCCAUGCCGAGCUACACAACGCUUGAACAAUUAAAUAAUGGGGAGAUUGCCGAGGUUGACAUUCAAGUGCUCUACGACUCCACUGAUCUUGUCUGGUGGUUAUUUCUCAACGGCGUGGCGAUUGGGUACUGGCCAGCGGCGCUAUACCCCAGCACUUAUUUGCACGGGACUGCAAAUUUUUUAGAGUGGGGAGGCGAGGUCGCCAUCGAAAAGAACAACACUGCUCACUCGAGGACUGUGAUGGGCAGUGGUGCAGUUCCCACCGCGGGCUUCCCUUUAUCAGCUUACCAGAGAAACAUCACGUACGCGGAUGUGGUGUCUGGAGUUACAAACAUGGAUGCAAAUGUUAAGUAUCUGACGGAAGGUCAAAUCCGGACGGAUCCCAGCUGCUAUGAUAUAGCAGUUCAAUUGAAUAACUACGCGAAUUGGGGUACAUAUUUCUUCUUCGGAGGGCCUGGAGGAAACAACGUUUUUUGUAAGGGCACGCCAUAGUUCUGCUGAAAGCAUGAAUUGGAUAAAAAACACCAGCGGUUGAUUGCGGUGGAUUCAACAAUGUGUUUAUAGAUAGUGGCAAUCUGUAUUACGUUAGAACCUAAGUAUAGGAAGGAUUGGAACAAUCUGUGGUUGAAUGCGCAUGGCAAACCACAGAUUCAUACUCAUUAGAGCAAAAUCAACACCUCAAUGUAUUCCUGCGAAGAUGAAGCCAGUAGAUGACCCCCCCCCCACACACACACACACACACGAGUAGCUGUGCUACAAAAUGUUUCCUCGCAAUUUUAUGUUUAUUGGAGACCUCUAAGUCGACAUGUCAACUUUCUUCAUUCUCUAGCCCUCCUGUAAUGUUUUGAAGAAAAGCAACUAGACCAGCCGCGGUCCUGCCAGUGUUGGAACCCCGUCUAGCCUCCCUUUGGUCUCGUUCAAGGCGGGCGCGAGGCUCUUAUAACCCGCAACGACAGCGAGAUUUCCAACGCGCGGAAUUCAAUAACUGUUUUGCAUCUAGAAUCCUAGAGUUGCACGACAUAACUUCUUGUCUCGAAAUAUGGUCUUGUCUAAACUGAAUCACUUCUCGAUCUGUUCUUUUGGUCACGUUUACCUGAUUGUUGUUUUGAAAUAGGUGAAUGAAGUAUCCAUGAGUGUUCGAUUUCUGUGUAAAUUCAAAUAGAUACUUCAACUGCGCCUUCUCAGUGUGUGUUUCUGUAUUAAAAAGUAAUUCUUUUUCUAAAUGGUUGGGCCCUGAGCCAUCACGAUAAUGUCUGUGAUGUUGGAAUUGCGAGUAUUAAGUGGUCUUGCUCCAUUGUGGUCCUGCCUAGUUGGUUGAAAGUGAUAUGAUCAAUUGCCAACAUCAAAUUUUCUUUCUCUAAAUAAAUCGUUCUCUGUUGUAUAACUUUGAUAAUCACAUAAUCUUGAAAUCAACACCCAUGUCACACAUUUUAGCACAAGAGUUGUGGAAGGAGUGUAAGGUCUGUCAAUUGACAUAGUAAUAAAUGCAAUGAAUACUUUGGAAGAGAACACCAACACACACUACAAUCGUUGCAAUUCAAUCAAAAGCCUCUCACCAUUUAAUUUAAUAGAGAAGUUUUGAGAGGCAAGUACUUAAACUUGUAGAUAUCUAAGAUAGACUCUUUAUUUCAAUGAUACCCAAAAAUCUUGUAAUAGAAUCAUAUCUAUUUUAUUUUUUUUAUUUUUUUUUAUUUUUUUUCUUAUAAUGAAAGCACUGAAAACAAAAGGAACACAGUAGCAACAUCUAGUCUCUUUUUUGAAAAUACAUUAUUUUUUUACCUAAACUUUUCUUUGAGAAGGCAAUAAGAAUUUUAUUAAUUUCAAAAUGACUUGAAUAGUACUUAAGAACUUCUAAAAGAAAUUAGUACUCAACUCGUUUUAACAAAACUCAGUCCCUUACAAGUUUUUCCACAAAAGAAGUACAAAUGACUCCACUUCACAACUAUGAUUUUAAUACAAGUAGAAAAAUUUUAUCUCCAAGUAGUCAUUUAAUCAAUUAAAGAAGAGAGAAAACACACAUCUUUUAAAAAAAUAUGAAAUCAAAAAGAAUAAGUUAGCAUCUUAAAAGACAAAAUAAGAUAAUUUUUAUUAAAUUAAAGUUUGAUGAAUUUUGUUUUAUAAAAUAUCUAUAAACACAUCACAUAAUAUGACAAAUAUAUUACUUUUGAACUUAUUUUAAUUACUAAAAAAUAUUUUUUGGAUAUAUAUUCUUUUUUGUAAAUAUAAAAUUAAACUUUUUAUUAUAUAAUACUAAUGAUUUAAUAAUCCUUCUAGGAUAUCUCAAUUUCAAAACUAUAUUAAGUAUAUAUAACCAUUAUAUAAUACCAUUUCAUUAGAAGAUUAUAAACAAAGUAUAAUAAAUGCAAUCAAUUUGUUUUUUAUAAUUUGUAGUAGAUAGUGGACGACUACAUACUUGAAUUUGUACCAAGUUGCAACCAUGUAGAAGAUAGCUAAAAAUAGAAAUAUAUGCAUAAUAUUGAGUCUUGCUAUCAAAGAUUUGAUUUUCUUUGUUGAUUCUUUGAUUGAUAAUAGGACCUUUGGAUUAUUUUAAAGAACACGUCUAUUGACAAAAUGGAAAUUCCAAAUAUCUACAUGCAAAAUCAAAUACAAGAUAUAAAUAUGCUAAAAAAUGAAUGAUACUUUGCAUAUAUUAAUUAUAUUAGAUAGGUAAUAGAAGGUAAUUAGAACAUAAAAAAAGAUAAAAAUAAAAUUAUUUAAAUGCAACAAAGCUAAAUUUAUAAUAUAAUCAAUAAAUUGAAAAUGAAUAGAUGGGCAACUUGAUUUACUAAAUAAUUUAUUAUCUUUUCUUUUAGUCAAUUUUACAAUAGAUAAUAAAAACCAAAAAAUAAAUAAUGAUAAGAAUGGAUAUAUUUUAUACCACAUUACAAACACUUUAUCAAUUUCAUAUUAUAAAAUAUUGCAUAGUAAAAGACUAGUAGAAAAGAACCAAAUAAAAAAAGAGACGACCAAAUUAGAGAGAAAGAGAGAUUUUUAAGCUAGCAAUGGAAAGAAGUGGCUUCCAACCAUCCAUCCAAGAGCACCGUUAUAAUUUUAGUUUAUAAUUGAUCUAUUCUACAUGGUUAAAAUAGGGCAUCUUAAAAACCAAAAAUUACAAUAAGUAUAAUUUUUAACUUAUUUUAAUUAUCAAAUAUAAUUUUAAAAUUUUAAAAAAAUCCUUCUUCUUUACAUCUAAUAUUUUAAAAAAUAAAGCCUUAAUUCUAGCUAUCAAUCCAAAAAAUCAUUGCUAAUUCUUUAUUUUUCUUAAACUGAUGUUUCUUGACUUAUUAGAAUGAUUAUAUAUAUGGCUUUAGUACUACAAAUAUUUGAAGUAAUCUAAUGAGUAAACAAUAAAAGCUAUUCUUCCAAAGUCAAGUAAUCCAAACUACUUAGGCAAUAGAUUGUUCUUCAAUUGAAUUCUUGACAAAAAAAUUAUUUUGAUUCCAAAUUUAAUAAUUCAUCAUCAAUUAUAAAGUUGUUUUUAAGAAGAUUCUACUUGAGAAUAUUUACCUUAAAAACCAAAAUGUCAAAAUAUUAAUAAAAGAGAUAUGUGGCCUUCCAACAAUGAAUUUUAAUCCAUACUCUUGCUCAAUUGAGUGUUAACAUUAGACCUAUAGCAUGGCCAUUGACAUCAAAAGUUUCAUCUUUCAUAAUCUAUUUGCAUCAAUUAAUUCUAGAAGCAUGUAAUAUAUUGUGAAAUCAAAUAGACCACCAUAAAAUCUAUUAAAUAUUCUUUAUUGUAAAUCCUUGUUUUCAUAUUAUUGUGAUAUUUUAGCCUUAUUUAAUAAAGAAAUCUUGAAAAUCUCCUAAGCCAAUAUAACUCCCUUAUAUAUGUCAUUAAAUUCUUUAAGCUUACAUUUAGAUAUAAAAAAUCUUUUUUUAGUACCUAAAUGAUUAUAUUCAAGACUAAAAAAUAAUAAAAAUAUGAUAAUAUUAAAAAAAAAAAGUUAGCAUAUUUAACUAAUAAACCUAUUUAAGUACUUACAAUUAUUUUUAGUAUAUAUUUUAUGAUAGAAUGCAUGGCAUUGAUAAAUAAAUAAAUAAAGCAUCUAUUUUAAAUACUAAAAAACUUAUGAAGUUGAAGAAAUUAAAAAUAGAAUAAUUUAUUUUUGCUCUUAUAAUUGUCAAGCUUUGUAACUUAUGCUACAUUUAUAACAUGAUUGUACUCAUGUCCAACCCACAUAAUCUUUUAUGUACUUGGUCUUUUAUGUACUUGGUGCUUAUAAUUGAAGAGAACAAUGUAAAUGAUUAAGAUUAGAGUAGAGAGUAUAUGGCAAUAUAGAAGUUUGAUACAAUACAAGUUUAAAGAAAUAUAAUAAAGAUGACAUGGAUUAAUAUAUUGACAAAAAUAUAAAAAAUGGCAACCAAAGAGUUAAAGUGGAAAAACUCUACUAUAGUCAAAUUCAAACAAGUUUUUUAAUAAAAAAACUAAAAAUUAGAAGAGAAGUUAAAAAAUAAAAACCUUAAGAUAUAGAGACAAUUAAGAAAUAAAAGAAUUCUCAAAUAAAAAUGUGAUAUUUAAAAAUAAAAUAAAUAUAAAAAUAAAUUUCUAAAAAAUCUUUGUAUUAAAAAAUUAUGAGUAAAAAUUAUAUAAUUAUAAUUUCAAAAAUUAAAUCAAGUUUUAUUUAAAUAUAUAUUAUACUUUCUAUAAUUUUAUGAAUCAAACUAAUGUAGGUAAAUAUAGUUAUUUUAAAAAUAAUAUUAACUUAAAAAACUUGAAUAUAAGUAAAUUUUCUUAUAUUCAUAAUAAAAUUAAAAUAAAAAAUUCAUGAUAUGCUUAGAGAAAAAAAUACAAACUAUCAUAAUGUCAUAAUAUCUUGUAUAAAACUAAAUUUAGUUAAAAUAGUAUAUUAAAUAUUUAAAAAAUCAAAAUCUCCUAUUCAUAUUAUAAUAUAUAUUUGUGUAAUUUAUUUAGCUUACUUUGUGAAUUAUGUUUUUUGUAAAUUGUGGAUCAUGUAUAAAAUUAUUUUUGGAUUUUUGUCAUUGCCACUUAAAUAGUAUACUAUGAAUAGUAUGUAAAUAAAAAAAGAAGAAGAUUUUAUUUAAUAAUUCAAGGAUCACAUAAGAAAAAAAAAAAGGUAUUAGACAUUGUAAAUUAUAAGUAAAGUAUUACUAAAUAGAACUUAUUUUAAAAUAUUUGAAAAUUCUUAUUUUAAAUCCAAUUUUCAUGGCACCAAUACUUAAUAUUUUCUAUCAAAAAAUUUGCUAUUGAUAAUUCAUGCACAUAAAAUAAACUUUUAUUAUUAUUUAAAUAAAACCUAAAAUUUAGUGUUUUAUAUAAAUAUAAAUGAUUUUAUAUUAUGUACUAUAUAUAUAUAUAUAUAUAUAUAUAUAUAUAUACAUACUAGCAAAAAUUCAUGUUGUUGGAUACAGAAAUCUGUAUUCUCUUGUUUCUAUAUUCCCAUAUGUCCCUCAUUCUUAUGUUUCUUUAUUCUCAUGUUUGGCUAAUGAAAAGGCUUCUUUGUCUCUUUGUGUUACAUCCAAGCUAUUUUAUUAUAUAUAUACAUUUUAAAUAAUAUUUUUUAAAUUUAAAUAUUUAAUUACUUAUAAAAAAUAAAAUAUAUUUUAUAUAAUAGUAUUUAUAACUUUUAGCAUACAAUAUGAUUCUAUAUUAGAAAGAAUCAAAUAAGCAAAAAAAUACAAAGUAAAGAAAUAAAAGAAUUAAAGUUAAGAACAAUAUAUUAUUGCUUGAUUUAAAAAUAGAUUGAUUGUAAUCACUAUUGUAUUUAUCUUGAAGUAUUACAUACAAAAAACUAAGGUAAAAUAUUUUUUUUCUCAAUAAUUUGAUUUAAGUUGUUAUGUUAAUAUUACUUUCUUUAAUUGAUUUAUAAAUAUAUAUUUUUUAAAAUAAUAAAUAAAAAAUAGCAUCUAACAAGAGAAAUAAAAAAAAAUUAUAGCACAAAAUAUAAAAGAAUAAAGAAAAGUAUAGUAAGAAAAUAUAAACAUCUACGAUCAAUAUUGCAUUUAUAGAAAUGACUCUUGUAUGAUUUUAUUUGUGAAACAUGCAAUGACAUCUACAUAUUAAGAUUGCUCAAGGAAACAAGUGGUCGCUUUCAUUCAUUAUAUAGAUGGAUCUUUGUUUUCAUCAAAAAAAUUCACCUUUCCUAGAGUUCAUAGGUCAUUUUAUAAUUCAUCAAUCUUUAUUUUCAUCAAAAAACUUAACAUUGUUUAGAGUCCAUUAGGUAUUUUACUAUUGAUCACAUGGCAUUUUACAUUAAAGUAGUAGGAAGUGCAUGCAUCAAGGAAUUUUGUAUAUAUCUACAUAAAUGGACUCUCUUUUGGUUUCAAUGAAGGUGAUAUUCUCACAACCUUUUGAUGGAUUGAGUAUGAGAGAGGAAAAAAAAAAAAAAAAAACAAAGAGAAUACUACUACUGACAGGCUGCGGCAUUGGGAGAAAGACAAUACUAUAGAAUAUCAGAUCUCCUACAUACAUUUAAGAUGCAAUAUCAAGAUUGCAUAGAAAAAUUGAGUUGGAUUAAAAAUCUCUAAAAACAUGGCCAUUUAUCUUAAAUUCUUUUACUUGCUCAAUAUAAAAGAUACCAAAGACUUCUAUAUUUCAAAUUUCUAUGUUAACAACUAAUUUGUAAGUUUUGAAUCUAUGAGGUAUUUUAAGAUUGAUCACAUGAGGUUCAUAAGGUAUUUUAAAUUGGAGUAGUAGAAAGGAUAUGCAUCUUGGUGAGUUGGUGCUCUUUCAGGUGUUUAGCCUUAAUUCAAAGGGCCAAGUCUUUCUUUAAUGUUAGAUCCUAAAUCUCUCUUCUCCAUCUCUCUCUCUUAUACUUUGGAUAUUUGAGGUCUUAGAGUCCUUCAAAUUUUUAUUCAAUGUUGAUGAUCAUGUUUCUAUACACAAUUUAAUUUUGUUGCAAUUAUAUCAGUUGGAGCAUUAUUUGUUGGGAUUUUGGUUGAAGGCGUAGUUGGUGUAAAAUUUAGAAAUUAAGGUAUUGAUAUUAUUAGUCUUGUUGUGAAAUGUUACCAUUGGAUAUGUCACGGCCAUAAUCAUGUAAGCUAAUAAUUACAUAUAGAAAUAGGUAGAAGUAAGUAAAAGUAGAUAAAAGUAAGUUAAUUCUAUAAUAUUUAAUAUAAAAGCUUCUAGAAACUUCCUAGACGCUGCUUUGACUUCAUAGGUGUCUUUAAUUGACUUUUUGGAUUAGAAACGUGGUCAACAAGUUGGCCAUGUGCCACACAUGUUGUUAGCUUGAAGAUCAAGCUAACUAUGUGGCCCACACGUAGAAAAACUUGCCUUGUAAGUCAAGGCAUGUGUCCUACAAAGUCAACACAUAUUGGAGGUCCUAUAGAACGUCGCCACGUAGCCCCUAGUUAGAUAGUAUAUAUAGAGACAAGAGUGAAGGCUUCUUCACUCUUGUCAACUCCUUUCUUGCUUCUAGUCUAGGUUCAAGAGUCUUUAGUUUCUUGUCUUGUGGCAAUAGCCAUUCCAGUUUCCUUUUAAUAUACCUACUUGUUUAUAUUUUGACUUAUUAUAUCGAGAUAGCCUUUUGGUGUAUAUUUUCUCUCAUCGAGUCUUUGUCCUUGACAGAUUGACAAGAAUACACUUACAAUAUCAGAGCUUUGUUUUUUCUUGAGUAAGAGUGGAUUACUCCUUUCUCUUGACAAGACAUAAGCGUAUUAGAAGUUUGCGGAUUACCCACUUCUAAACUGAUAUUGUUCUUAGUAUCUUCUUUAUUAUCAAGUCUUUCUUUUCUUUUGUCUUGAGUAAUAUCAAACAAAUUUUUCUUCUUAGUGUCAUUAUGGCAGAGCUUGUUGAAUUGAAGAGUGCAAUGGCACAAAUGCAAGAGCAAAUGAGGGAGUUAAUGCUUGCGAUGCAUCAACUCAAUUCACCAACACAAGAAAGAACAAGAAUAGCAGAAAGUGGAGAUAUAGAGAUGAUCGGAGCUGCUUCAACAUCUACAACAAAUCACGUUCCUUCUCCAAUUGUACAACACCCUAUAAGUACUAGAGAACCAAGAAUUGCCUUACCUGAGAAAUUUGAUGGUACGAGAUCAAAGUUUCGAGGGUUCAUCAAUCAAGUAUAAUUGGCAAUUGAACUUCAACCGCAAAGCUAUCCAACUCCAGGAUCACAAGUCAGGUAUAUUGGCACUCUACUUUCUGGUUCUGCAUUAUCGUGGUUUUCGUCUUUUCUUGAACAACGAAAUCCAAUAUUGGACAAUUUGGAAGCUUUUUUGGCGGAGUUUCGAUCUAUGUAUGGUGAACACGAUGCAACUCGUAUUGCAACAAAUAAGAUCCAAAUUUUGCGACAAAGAAAUCGCUCAGUAACAGUAUAUGCUUCACAAUUUCGACAACUUGCAAUUGACAUCAAGUGGGAUGAUGCUGCACUCAUCAGUCAUAUUCUUUAUGGAUUGCAAUACGAAGUAAAGAAAUUGAUGCUCAACUUACCUGAUCCUCAAACUUUGAGUCAAGCAAUCGAUUUUGCGGUAAAAUGUGAUAAUCGACUUUUCGAAUUUUGAUCCGAGAAUCAUUCACAGGAACCUCAACGUUAUUACUCAAUGGCAACAUCAACAUCUUUGCCAAACGUACAUUCAGAAGUAGAAGACAUGCAAAUUGACGCGGUACGUUUUAAACCCCUAACUGAGUGUCAAGGAUAAGAACUCGAUGAAAGCUAAAGAGUAAGUGAGACUUUUCUCAAAAAAGAAAUAGGACAAAAUAGAAAUAUGUAUAUUAAGAAAGAAACUGGAAUGGCUAUUGCCAAAAUACAAGAAAACUAGAGACCCUUGAAACUAGACUAGAAGCAAGAAAGGAGUUGACAAGAGUGAAGAAGCCUUCACUCUUGUCUCUAUAUAUACUAUCUAACUAGGGGCUACGUGGCGACGUUCUAUAGGACCUCCAAUAUGUGUUGACUUUGUAGGACACAUGCCUUGACUUACAAGGCAAGUUUUCCUACGUGUGGGCCACAUAGUUAGCUUGAUCUUCAAGCUAACAACAUGUGUGGCACAUGGCCAACUUGUUGACCACGUUUCUAAUCCAAAAAGUCAAUUAAAGACACCUAUGAAGUCAAAGCAGCGUCUAGGAAGUUUCUAGGAAGCUUCUAUAUUAAAUAUUAUACAAUUAACUUACUUUUAUCUACUUUUACUUACUUCUACCUAUUUCUAUAUGUAAUUAUUAGCUUAUAUGAUUAUGGCCGUGACAUUACCCCCCAUUCUAGAGACGAGUUCCACGAGGAGCGGUCAUCAUAUAUUGAAGAAAUCUAUGAUGCGACGAAUUGUAUUCGCCACAUACUCUGAUCUCUGUUCUCUUCGAAGAUGAUUGAUAGGGCCUCUCAACCAUCGGUAGUGUCCCAUACCAGGGCGGGAAGACCACCCAGUUAUUUGAUCAUUAUUGAGGCCUUCAUAACUUCCUUCGAAUAGAAUAUUCGGAACACCAUCAGGAGUUGUUCCUACCUCUAGCAAAAUCACCAAACAUCGAGAGUCCCUUCCCAAAUCGUGAUACCAAACGCGUUGUAUCUCACCAUCUGUUCGAGGAAGAACAUGUCGUUCUUGAAGAUCUUCAUCUCGAUUGCGUCGUCUUGAAGGUUGUGACAAUCGUAAUGUCUCGUCCGGCAGGUCAGCAAACGAAGGUUCUUGAGUUGAAUCCGCUGGUUGUUGGCUCUCCAUCUAAUUAGCGUCACAAAUGUAAAGAAGUUACAAACAAGGAUAGGAAAUUGAAUGUUAUCUUGCCUCAAUCUUGUCUCUUUUAUAAGAGAGGUUUUCAUCUUGGUUUUGAUGGAUGUCGUUAAUGAAAAACUUUGACUUUAGCUGAUGCAUUUCCUAGAUUCCUGGAUGGCUCCCAUGUGCGCUCACUAAUAUCAUAUCCGCGCCAAUGAACAAGAUAUUCCAGCUUAUUUCGGCGCCGCCUUGAGUCUAAUAUCUCUUCCACCUCAAAUUCUUCAUUAUUAUCUACUUCUAUAGGAGGCGGUGGCAUUUGUCUUCUUCCUUGUAUAUCCACUGUCUUAUAUGGUUCAAGAAGAGACAUGUGGAAUACAGGAUGGAUCUUCAUUGACUCCGGUAGAUGUAACCGAUAUGCAACUGGGUUGAUCUGUUCAGAAACAGAAAAGGGGCCAAGCCUACGAUAGUCCAAUUUGUCAUAAGGUCGAGUGGUCUUGAUAUUGCGACGAAGUAGCCAUACCUUAUCACCCACGUUGAGUUGUGGUUGCUCUUUACGAUAUACAUCUGCAUUUAUCUUUUGUCGUUCUUGAGCUUUCUUCAACUGCGCCUUCAUUAUUGCAUGUAACUCUGACAACCGAUUUGCCAUGUCUUCUGCUGCAGGAUUAUCAACUUUUGAAAAAUCAAAAGUAUCAAGUCGUGGAUGAUAGCCAUAAUUGGCAAAGAAAGGUGUUUGUUGCGUGGAAGAACGUACUGUAUUAUUAUAAGCAAACUCUGCCAAUGGCAGAAGGAUUGUCCAAUCAUCUUGUUGGUAGUCGAUGGUACACCUUAAAUACUGUUCCAAGACUUGGUUUACGCGCUCUGUUUGUCCAUCAGUUUGAGGAUGGAAAGCCGAAGAUAGCUUUAUGUCUACUUUUAAAAUCUUGAAAAGGGUCCUCCAGAAUCUUGAUACAAAUUGAGUUCCCCUAUCUGAUAUGAUAUCUUUAGGUAAUCCAUGAUAGCGAUAGAUAUUAUCAAUGAAAAGCUUAGCUGUUUCUUCACCUGUGAUAGAUUUUGUACAUGGCAUAAAAUGUGCCAUCUUGGUGAAACGAUCUACUAUCACAAAUAUAGAAUCAUAAGAUCUUGAGUUUGGAAGAUCUGUGAUGAAAUCCAUAGAAACAGAAGACCAUGGUUGUUCUGGUAUAGGUAAUGGCUGAAGAAGUCCGUAAGGUCGAUGUCGAGGAAUUUUUGAUCUUGAACAAAUAUCACAUGAUUGUACAAAGUCUUUGACUAACUUCCACAUUUGUGGCCACCAAAAAUCUCUUGAUAUGAGUUCCAGAGUCUUAUUAUAUCCAAAGUGACCUGCUGCUGGAAAGUCAUGACGUGCUUGAAGAACACGCAAACGUGCUUUUCCUUCUCGAACAUAUAGGCGUCCUUCAAAAUAUAAUAGAUUAUUCUUGAACUCGAACUUAGAAGAAUCAUGAGACUUGGAAGAAUUAUUCUCGAUAUCAUAAACAAGAGGGUCUGAGGACAUACUGGACUGGAUUUGCUUGAGAAAAGUUGAAUCAACAGUCAGUGUUGAUUUCAUUGCUCGGAGAUGAAAUUGCUCCGGUUUCAAGAGGACCGUUCUUUGUUGCUCAAAAGCUGCAUCUCCUUCUUUUGGUGCAAAAUAAGAACGUCUAGACAGGGCAUCGGACAAACCUUGUUGUUUUCCUGGCCGAUAAGUGAUAAUGAACUCAAAUCUUGACAAAGACAUACUCCAACGAGCUUGACGACGAUUCAACACGCGUGCUGACAUGAAAUACUCGAGGUUCUUGUGAUCUGUAUACACAGUGACUGGACUAGAAGCACCUUCUAGAUAAUGAUGCCAUUCUUGAAAGGAAUCCACGAUUGCAAGAAGUUCUUUAUCGUGGAUCUCAUAAUUGAUCUCGGCUGCUGAGAAUUUUCUUGAAUGAAAAGCUAUCGGAUGAAGUUUGUCAUAUGUUCCCAUUUGUGAUAAAACUGCACCCAAGGCAAAAUCCGAUGCGUCUGUUUCCAUAAAAAAUGCCUUGGAAAAGUCAACACGAUAUAAGACUGGUGCAGAGACAAACGAUGUCUUCAAGGCUUCAAAUGCUGCUUCCGCUUCUUGAUUCCAUUGGAAUUUAUCUUUACUAGUCAAGCGUGUAAGUGGAGCUGCAACUCGUGAGAAGUCUUUGAUGAAGAUCCGAUAGUAAUUGGCAAAUCCCAAGAAACAUUGGACAUCUCUUACAGUCUUUGGAAUCUUCCAAUCCAUGAUUGUUUGGACUUUCUUAGAAUCCAUCAUAAGACCAUCAUUUGAAAUGAUGUAUCCUAAAAAGUCAACUUGAGUAGUGUGAAAUACACACUUUUCCAUCUUGGCGUACAAUCCUGCAUCUCUAAGUUUUUGUAAUACUUGACGAACAUGUAUUUCAUGUUCUUCAACAUUCUUAGAAUAAAUCAGGAUAUUGUCUAGGUAGCAGACGACAAAAUUGUCUAAGAAUUCACGAAAUACAUCAUUCAUGAGAUAUUGAAAAGCAGCUGGUGCAUUCGUGAGUCCAAAAGGCAUGACAUUGUAUUCAAAGUGUCCGUACCUGGUUCGAAACGCAGUCUUCCAUUCAUCUCCUUCUUUGAUCCGUACUAGAUUAUAUGCUCCUCUUAGAUCUAUUUUUGUAUAGAUCUUAGCUUGAUUUAACUGGUCAAGGAGUCCUGAUAUCAAAGGUAAUGGAUACCUGUUCUUAAUUGUGAUCUUGUUGAGUCCUCGAUAGUCAACACACAUUCGUAAAGAUCCAUCUUUUUUCUUUACGAAUAAAAUUGGAGCUCCUGCUGGAGAUUUUGAAUGGCGUAUGAAAUUCUUCGCUAAAUUCUCGUCAAUAUAUGUCUUGAGUUCAGCCAACUCAUCUUGCGAUAAACUGUAAAUUGGUCCAAAUGGUGGCUGAGUUCCUUCCUUGAGAUCGAUUGAACAAUCGUAUGGGCGAUGCUCAGGAAGAAUAUCUGCAUUCUUUUUCUCAAAAACGUCUUGAUAAUCUUGAUAUUGACUUGGAAUGCCACUUGAAGUCUUUACGCUUUCAGAAAUAGGUGCAGCAUAAAUAGCAAAAGUUGAUCCUUCUUUUGCUGCGUGUAUAAAUGCUUUUGCACCUAUAAGUGCGGGUUUUACUAUACUAGACUCAUGGUUUUUUACUUGAUUAAUAGAACUGUUACUAAUGCUCCGAGGAAAAUCAAGUUUACGAGAAAUCCAAUCUAUUCGAGGAUUAUACUUUUCUAACCAUGAUAAGCCUAAAAUUAUUGGAUUAGAGGGAGAUCUAAUUAUAUUAAAAAUUAUGCAACUACUAUGACCAUUUAUUACUACAUCUACAGGAAGUGUUUCGUGAGUUACAUCUCCAGAAGACAACGGACGACCAUCUAUGACUUCUACGUGUACAGGUUUAGUUUUUUGUAUUAAUGAUAUUCUAUGACAUCUAGCAAAUUCUUCAUCUAAAAAACAAGCUGAGGCUCCUGAAUUUAUCAAGGCAGAGGCUUUGUAAUUAUUAGGUCCUAAACGCACAUCUAUUAUAAAACAAGGAGAUGGUUCUGAGGAGAGGAUAGGACCUUCAUUAGAAGUUGUACAAGAUUCCAGCCGCACGGUCCCUAUUGUAGCUGGACGUACUCGUUUUCCGACAUACUGUCUUCUUUGACAGCCGUACUCCUUAUUUUGUAGUUACGUCGCUUCUUUGGACAAUGUUGAGCAGUGUGCUUAGGUUCUCCACAAUAUAAGCACAAUCCUUCUUGUCGACGACGAGACUUUUCUUGCUCAGUAAGAGGUUUGAAACGUACCGCAUCAAUUUGCAUAUCCUCUACUUCUGAAGGUAUGUGUUGAGGAGACGUCGGUGUUGCCAUUGAAUUGUAGUAACGUUGAGGCCCACUUGUGCGACUCUCGGAUCGAAAUUCAAAAAGUCGAUUGUCGCACUUCACAGCAAAGUCAAUUGCUUGACUCAAUGUUUGAGGAUCAGGUAAAUUAAGCAUCAAUUUCUUUACCUCAUAUUGUAAUCCGUAGAGAAAUUGACUCACAAGUGCGGCAUCAUCCCACUUGAUAUCAGUUGCAAGUUGUCGAAAUUGCGAAGCAUAUAAUAUUACUGAUCGAUUGCCUUGUUGCAAAAUACGGAUCUUCUUGAUUGCAACACGAAUUGCAUCAUGUUCUCCAAACAUGGAUCGAAACUCCGCCAAAAAAGCCUCCAGAUUAUCCAAUAUUGGAUCUCGUCGUUCAAGAAAAGAUGAAAACCAUGACAAUGCUGAACCUGAAAGAAGUGUACCAAUGAAUCUAACUUGUGACCCUGGAGUUGGAUAGCUCUGGGGUUGAAGUUCAAUCACUAGUUGGACCUGAUUGAUGAAUCCUCGAAACUUGGAUCUGGUACCAUCAAACUUCUCGGGCAAGGCAACUCUCGGUUCUCUAACACUCGAAGGGUGUUCCAUUCUGGGAGAAGGGACAUGGUUUGGUGCAGAUGUUGAAGCAGCCCCAAUCAUCUCUAUAUCUUCACUUCCUACCAUUCUUGUUGCUCCUUGUGGUGGUAAAUUGAGUUGAUGCAUCGCAAGCAUUAACUCCCUCAAUUGUUCUUGCAUCUGUGCCAUUGUACUCUUCAUUUCAACAAGCUCUGCCAUAGUAGCACUUAGAAAAGAGAAGAUGUCUAAUAACGCUCAAAACAAAUAGAAGAGAGGAAUUGAUAACAAAGAAAAAUACUAAGAACAAUAUCAGUUUAAAAGAGGGUAAUCCGCAACUUCUAAUGCGCUUAUGUCUUAUCAAGAAAAAGGGGUAAUCCACUCUUAAUCAAGAAAAGACAAAGCUCUGAUAUUGUAAGUGUACUCUUGUCAAUCUGUCAAGGACAAGAACUCGAUGAAAGCUAAAGAGUAAGUGAGACUUUUCUCAAAAAAGAAAUAGGACAAAAUAGAAAUAUAUAUAUUAAGAAAGAAACUGGAAUGGCUAUUGCCAAAAUACAAGAAAACUAGAGACCCUUGAAACUAGACUAGAAGCAAGAAAGGAGUUGACAAGAGUGAAGAAGCCUUCACUCUUGUCUCUAUAUAUACUAUCUAACUAGGGGCUACGUGGCGACGUUCUAUAGGACCUCCAAUAUGUGUUGACUUUGUAGGACACAUGCCUUGACUUACAAGGCAAGUUUUCCUACGUGUGGGCUACAUAGUUAGCUUGAUCUUCAAGCUAACAACAUGUGUGGCACAUGGCCAACUUGUUGACCACGUUUCUAAUCCAAAAAGUCAAUUAAAGACACCUAUGAAGUCAAAGCAGCGUCUAGGAAGUUUCUAGGAAGCUUCUAUAUUAAAUAUUAUACAAUUAACUUACUUUUAUCUACUUUUACUUACUUCUACCUAUUUCUAUAUGUAAUUAUUAGCUUAUAUGAUUAUGGCCGUGACACUGAGCAAGAAAAGAUUCGUCGUCGUCAAGAAGGAUUAUGUUUAUAUUGCGGAAAACCUAAGCACACUGCUCAACAUUAUCCAAAGAAACGACGCAACUAUAAAAUGAGGGGUACGACGGUCAAAGAAGACAACAUGUCGGAAAACGGAUUCGUCUAGCUACAAUAGGGACCGUGCAGUUGGAACCUUGUACAAUUCCUAAUGAAGGUCCUAUCCUCUCCUCAGAACCCUCUCCUUGUUUUAUAAUAGACUUAUAUUUAGGACCUAAGAAUUACAAAGCCUCUGCUUUAUUAGAUUCGGGAGCCUCAGCAUGUUUUUUAGAUGAACAAUUUGUUAAAAGUCGUAAAAUACCCUUUGUACAGAAACCUAAACUAGUACAUGUAGAAGUCAUAGAUGGUCGUCCCUUGUCUUCUGGAGAUGUCACUCAUGAAACUCAUCCUAUAAAAGUAACAAUAGACGGUCAUGAUAGCUACAUAGCUUUUAACAUAAUUAAAUCCCCCUCCAAUCCAGUUAUUUUAGGUUUAUCCUGGCUAGAAAAAUAUAACCCUCGAAUAGAUUGGAAUUCGCAUAAACUUGACUUUUUCCAAAGCAUUAUUAAUAGUUCUACCAACCAAGUAAAAAAUUAUAAGUCUAGUAUAGUAAAACCCGUACUGAUAGGUGCAAAAGCAUUUAUACACGCAGCACAAGAAGGAUCAACUUUUGCUAUUUAUGCUGCACCUAUUUCUGAAAACGUAAAGACUUCAAUUGGCAUUCCAAGUCAAUAUCAAGAUUAUCAAGACGUUUUUGAGAAAAAGAAUGCAGAUAUUCUUCCUGAGCAUCGCCCAUAUGAUUGUUCAAUCGACCUCAAGGAAGGAACUCAGCCACCAUUUGGACCAAUUUACAGUUUAUCACAAGAUGAGAUGGCUGAACUCAAGACAUAUAUUGACGAGAAUUUAGCGAAGAAUUUCAUACGCCAUUCAAAAUCUCCAGCAGGAGCUCCAAUUCUAUUCGUAAAGAAAAAAGAUGGAUCUUUACGAAUGUGUGUUGAUUAUCAAGGACUCAACAAGAUCACAAUCAAGAACAGGUAUCCAUUACCUUUGAUAUCAGGACUCCUUGACCAGUUGAAUCAAGCUAAGAUCUAUACAAAAAUAGAUCUAAGAAGAGCAUAUAAUCUAGUACGGAUCAAAGGAGGAGAUGAAUGGAAGACUGCAUUUCGAACCAGGUACGGACACUUUGAAUACAAUGUCAUGCCUUUUGGACUCACGAAUGCACCAGCUGCUUUUCAACAUCUCAUGAAUGAUGUAUAUCGUGAAUUCUUAGACAAUUUUUUCGUCUGCUAUCUAGACGAUAUCCUGAUCUAUUCUAAGAACGUCGAAGAACAUGAAAUACAUGUUCGUCAAGUAUUACAAAAACUUAGAGAUGCAGGAUUGUACGCCAAGAUGGAAAAGUGUAUAUUUCACACUACUCAAGUUGACUUUUUAGGAUACAUCAUUUCAAAUGAUGGUCUCAUGAUGGAUUCUAAGAAAGUCCAAAAAAUCAUGGAUUGGAAGAUUCCAAGGACAGUAAGAGAUGUCCAAUGUUUCUUGGGAUUUGCCAAUUACUAUCGGAUCUUCAUCAAAGAUUUCUCACGAGUUGCAGCUCCACUUACACGCUUGACUAGUAAAGAUAAAUUCCAAUGGAAUCAAGAAGCGGAAGCAGCAUUUGAAGCCUUGAAGACAUCGUUUGUCUCUGCACCAGUCUUAUAUCGUGUUGAUUUUUCCAAGGCAUUUUUUAUGGAAACAGAUGCAUCAGAUUUUGCCUUGGGUGCAGUUUUAUCACAAAUAGGAACAUAUGACAAACUUCAUCCGAUAGCUUUUCAUUCAAGAAAAUUCUCAGCAGCCGAGAUCAAUUAUGAGAUCCACGAUAAAGAACUUCUUGCAAUCGUGGAUUCCUUUCAAGAAUGGCAUCAUUAUCUAGAAGGUGCUUCUAGUCCAGUCACUGUGUAUACAGAUCACAAGAACCUCGAGUAUUUCAUGUCAGCACGUGUGUUGAAUCGUCGUCAAGCUCAUUGGAGUAUGUCUUUGUCAAGAUUUGAGUUCAUUAUCACUUAUCGGCCAGGAAAACAACAAGGUUUGUCCGAUGCCCUGUCUAGACGUUCUUAUUUUGCACCAAAAGAAGGAGAUGCAGCUUUUGAGCAACAAAGAACGGUCCUCUUGAAACCGGAGCAAUUUCAUCUCCGAGCAAUAAAAUCAACAUUGACUGUUGAUUCAACUUUUCUCAAGCAAAUCCAGUCCAAUAUGUCCUCAGACCCUCUUGUUUAUGAUAUCGAGAAUAAUUCUUCCAAGUCUCAUGAUCCUUCUAAGUUCGAGUUCAAGAAUAAUCUAUUAUAUUUUGAAGGACGCCUAUAUGUUCCAGAAGGAGAAGCACGUUUGCGUGUUCUUCAAGCAUGUCAUGACUUUCCAGCAGUAGGGCACUUUGGAUAUAAUAAGACUUUGGAAUUCAUAUCAAGAGAUUUUUGGUGGCCACAAAUGUGAAAGUCAGUCAAAGUCUUUGUACAAUCAUGUGAUAUUUGUUCAAGAUCAAAAAUUCCUCGUCAUCGACCUUACGGACUUCUUCAGCCAUUACCUAUACCAGAACAACCAUGGUCUUCUGUUUCUAUGGAUUUCAUCACAGAUCUUCCAAGCUCAAGAUCUUAUGAUUCUAUAUUUGUGAUAGUAGAUCGUUUCACCAAGAUGGCACAUUUUGUGCCAUGUACAAAAUCUAUCACAGGUGAAGAAACAGCUAAGCUUUUCAUUGAUAAUAUCUAUCGCUAUCAUGGAUUACCUAAAGAUAUCAUAUCAGAUAGGGGAACUCAAUUUGUAUCAAGAUUCUGGAGGACCCUUUUCAAGAUUUUAAAAGUAGACAUAAAGCUAUCUUCGGCUUUCCAUCCUCAAACUGAUGGACAAACAGAGCGCGUAAACCAAGUCUUGGAGCAAUAUUUAAGGUGUACUAUCAACUACCAACAAGAUGAUUGGACAAUCCUUCUGCCAUUGGCAGAGUUUGCUUAUAAUAAUACGGUACAUUCUUCCACGCAACAAACACCUUUCUUUGCCAAUUAUGGCUAUCAUCCAUGACUUGAUACUUUUGAUUUUUCAAAAGUUGAUAAUCCUGCAGCAGAAGAUAUGGCAAAUCGGUUGUCAGAGUUACAUGCAAUAAUGAAGACGCAAUUGAAGGAAGCUCAAGAACGACAAAAGAUAAACGCAGAUCUAUAUCGUAAGGAGCAACCACAAAUCAACAUGGGUGAUAAGGUAUGGCUACUUCGUCGCAAUAUCAAGACUACUCGACCUUGUGACAAGUUGGACUAUCGUAGGCUUGGCCCCUUUUCUGUUUCUGAACAGAUCAACCCAAUUGCAUAUCGGUUACAUCUAUCGGAGUCAAUGAAGAUCCAUCCUGUAUUCCAUGUGUCUCUUCUUGAACCAUAUAAGACAGUGGAUAUACAAGGAAGAAGACAAAUGCCACCGCCUCCUAUAGAAGUAGAUAAUAAUGAAGAAUUUGAGGUGGAAGAGAUAUUAGACUCAAGGCGGCGCCGAAAUAAGCUGGAAUAUCUUGUUCAUUGGCACGGAUAUGAUAUUAGUGAACGCACAUGGGAGCCAUCCAGGAAUCUAGGAAAUGCAUCAGCUAAAGUCAAAUUUUUUCAUCAACGACAUCCAUCAAAACCAAGAUGAAAAUCUCUCUUAUAAAAGAGACAAGAUUGAGGCAAGAUAACAUUCAAUUUCCUAUCCUUGUUUGUAACUUCUUUGCAUUUGUGACGCUAAUUAGAUGGAGAGCCAACAACCAGCGGAUUCAACUCAAGAACCUUCGUUUGCUGACCUGCCGGAUGAGACAUUUCGAUUAUCACAACCUUCAAGACGACGCAAUCGAGAUGAAGAUCUUCAAGAACGACAUGUUCUUCCUCGAACAGAUGGUGAGAUACAACGCGUUUGGUAUCACGUUUUGGGAAGGGACUCUCGAUGUUUGGUGAUUUUGCUAGAGGUAGGAACAACUCCUGAUGGUGUUCCGAAUAUUCUAUUCGAAGGAAGUUAUGAAGGCCUCAACAAUGAUCAAAUAACUGGGUGGUCUUCCCGCCCUGGUAUGGGACACUACCGAUGGUUGAGAGGCCCUAUCAAUCAUCUUCGAAGAGAACAGAGAUCAGAGUAUGUGGCGAAUACAAUUCGUCGCAUCAUAGAUUUCUUCAAUAUAUGAUGACCGCUCCUCGUGGAACUCGUCUCUAGAAUGGGGGGUAAUGUCACGGCCAUAAUCAUAUAAGCUAAUAAUUACAUAUAGAAAUAGGUAGAAGUAAGUAAAAGUAGAUAAAAGUAAGUUAAUUGUAUAAUAUUUAAUAUAGAAGCUUCCUAGAAACUUCCUAGACGCUGCUUUGACUUCAUAGGUGUCUUUAAUUGACUUUUUGGAUUAGAAACGUGGUCAACAAGUUGGCCAUGUGCCACACAUGUUGUUAGCUUGAAGAUCAAGCUAACUAUGUGGCCCACACGUAGAAAAACUUGCCUUGUAAGUCAAGGCAUGUGUCCUACAAAGUCAACACAUAUUGGAGGUCCUAUAGAACGUCGCCACGUAGCCCCUAGUUAGAUAGUAUAUAUAAAGACAAGAGUGAAGGCUUCUUCACUCUUGUCAACUCCUUUCUUGCUUCUAGUCUAGGUUCAAGAGUCUUUAGUUUCUUGUCUUGUGGCAAUAGCCAUUCCAGUUUCCUUUUAAUAUACCUACUUGUUUAUAUUUUGACUUAUUAUAUCGAGAUAGCCUUUUGGUGUAUAUUUUCCGUCAUCGAGUCUUUGUCCUUGACAGGAUAUUACAUUUUGGAGAGAAAGAAUUUUAAAAUUGUAAAUUAUCAAUUCAUGAAUGAAAUCUCAGAGUUAAGGCAAGCAUACGAUGAUAAUCGAGAGUUGUGGCAUAGUAUGACUAUUACAAAAGAGAUUAACUGAACAUGAUCAAUAGAAUAUGUUAUGCUAGAGUUUAACUAAACGUGGAAAAAUUUAGCAAUGCAUUAUUUGUUGCAUGCAUGCAAUCCAAUUGAAGGUGAAGUUUGGUCCUUGAUGGAGAAGAAGACAUGACUGUAUUUUUUUUUGUGUUUUCUUGAAGUUGCAUUGUGUACUUAUAACAUCUACCAAAAGUUUUUAUUAUUUAUACUAUGGAUAUGUGUGUAUUGUGUUUGAGCUUCUGUCAAAGAAUUUGUGAGUGAAAGUACAAAAGGAAGGUAAGUUAUAAUUUAUAUUAAAAGAAAAAAUUGACAAAAUUCAAAGAUUUCAAAAACCAUGCUUUCCAUUCUUUUUAAAUUAUGUUACUAAGCUUUGCAUUGCAAAGUUAGAAUAUUUUUAGAUAUUUCAGAAUUUUCAAAAAUUUAUAUGUAUUUCAUUGCAUUACAUUUUAGAACUUUUAUUGUGCUUUACAUUAUAGAGUAUUAUACAAAAAAUUACAUAAGAAAAUUUUAUGUAAUUUUUGAAAUAUGUAAUCAUCAUUAUGUAAAACAACACUCAAAAUAGCAGUAUGUGCCUUGUUGUCAAGCAAUGAUUGUUCCAAAUAGAAAGGAUUAGCUUUUUUAAUUGAAACUUCUUGAGUGGAGUAUGAUUACAAGGAAAUUAAUUUUUAAAAGAAAAUUGAACAAGAUCUACUAAGACAAAGGAAUUUGUGUUGAAAGACCAUAUUUAAUUUAAUUUUGGUAGUGUUGGCUUCUAGAAAAUAAUUACAAUUCUAUCUGAAGAUGUCAAUAUUUUCUUUUUAAAAUUAGUUACAGCUUUGUUCUAAAGGAUAUAUGAUAGAUGAAGAAUGUGGUCACUAGUGAAAAAAUGGAUAGUGUUGUGUUUGAGCUCACAGAGAACCAACUCCAAUAUAUUUCAUGCAAUAUCAUUUUAUAAACAAAAUUCUUGAACAACAUAAUUUUAUUGGAAUUUUCCAAGUAUUAUCAAUUGCAACAAGAACUAUAUUGUAUUGUUAAUUGGGUUCAUCUAGUCUCUUAUAUAAAACUACUCAAAGAGAUAAACCAAUGGGAUAAACCACAAGAGACAAAAACCAUCUCUAAUUGAUUGCAUAUCUCAUUGUUUUUCAUCACAAGUGAAGCAAUAAUUCAACUUUUGAUGAAUUAUAGAUCAAAAUUUGCAUGUAGCUGAUGUAGAUUGCCAAGAAUAGCACUAUGAUAUCACUAGGAGCAGAGGUUAGAAGCUCCCACUUGUAAUUUAGUAAAUAUUUUCCAGUACAUAUUUUUUUGUGCCCAAUGGCACAUGUUUUCACUAGUUAUAAAUAAUAGACAAACAAAUGUGACUUCAAUUAUGAAAAUCUCCACACAAAAGCCAAAAUACCAGACAUCAAAGAAGAACAGAAACGAUGUCAGAGUAACGAACUGUGCGUGGACCUCGAAAAAGCAAAAAGCCCAAGUCGGGCAAAAGCCGAGGCAUAAUUGGCAGGACGGGCAGCAGGGCCAUGCUGGAGCAAGAUGAGAGUGAUAACGACGAGGAUGGGGAUGGAUGUCCACAUCGGCUAGGUCUUCCCACACAUCGCCCCCAACCCCCCCCCUCUCAACCACGCGCGCAACCACGCCCCUUGAGGAGUUCUGCCAGCACUGUGGCCGUUGGAUCGAGGAUCUGACGGCUGACCCAUGAGACGAAGCCCUUGAAGGCGCUGCGGCGAGAAUUGCCCAUUCCCUUUCGAUUUCAGAGCUCUCAGUGAGAGCUUCCUCUGCUGCCAUCACUGUUGGAGUUGCGCCAACUUGUUUUACGACUCUCAGGUACGUUCUGGCUUGGUGUGGUUCGAGCUUUCGUGUAUGAGUGUUUGUCUGUGUGUGAGAGAAAGGUCUGAGGGUGUUGUUUUGACAUUGAUGGACGAUGGGGGGAUUGGUGCUGUGUCUGAGAGUUGUACGUGAAUGCCGUGGCUUUUGAUGCGAGUGAAUGGUGGGGUGAGUAUCAGUUAGGCUGAAAUUCUUUCGUGAGAGGGUGGGAGUUUUUAUCGCUGUUUGAGUGAGGGAGAGAGAUCAGGUGGAGAGGAUUUCAGAGCGUGGAGUAAGGUUCUGUUUAGGGUUUGGAACGUGGUUGUGAGCAGAUGAUCCAUUGCACAUCAUCUGCUUCAUUCUCUGUUUAGUGAUGAAUUGGAAUUUGGUGCGGGGUAUUUUGGCAGACAGUUGAGCAAUCAUGGGUAAGGAGAAGGUGCACAUCAAUAUCGUGGUCAUCGGCCAUGUCGACUCUGGCAAGUCGACGACCACUGGGCACCUCAUCUACAAGUUGGGAGGUAUCGACAAGCGUGUGAUCGAGCGUUUCGAGAAGGAGGCGGCGGAGAUGAACAAGCGUUCGUUCAAGUAUGCGUGGGUGCUGGACAAGCUGAAGGCAGAGCGCGAGCGUGGUAUCACGAUUGAUAUUGCGCUGUGGAAGUUCGAGACCAUGAAGUACUACUGCACUGUGAUCGACGCGCCCGGACAUCGCGAUUUCAUCAAGAACAUGAUCACGGGAACGUCGCAGGCAGACUGCGCUGUGCUGAUCAUCGACUCGACGACGGGAGGGUUCGAGGCCGGUAUCUCGAAGGAUGGGCAGACGCGUGAGCACGCACUGCUGGCGUUCACUUUGGGAGUGAAGCAGAUGAUUUGCUGCUGCAACAAGGUGAGUUGAGAAGACACGGCACAGUGUAUAUUUGUAUGGGGUCAGUGAGACUGGAUUGGGUCUGAGCACGGUGUCUGUGAGAGCCGUGAGGUGUCACGGCACAAUGAGAUAAAGUGGUGAUUUUAGGAGUAGGGUGUAUGGGUAUUGGUGUAUUUGAGGGCUGAUGUUGGACUAUGUGUGGAUGGUAGAUGGACGCGACCACCCCGAAGUACAGCAAGGCCCGAUAUGAGGAGAUCGUGAAGGAGGUGUCGGCGUACCUGAAGAAGGUGGGGUACAACCCGGAGAAGGUUCCGUUCGUGCCGAUCUCAGGGUUCGAGGGCGACAACAUGAUCGAGAGGUCGACGAACCUGGACUGGUACAAGGGCCCGACUCUGUUGGAGGCGUUGGACAACGUGUCAGAGCCGAAGCGGCCAUCUGACAAGCCUCUGAGGCUGCCGCUUCAGGACGUGUACAAGAUUGGAGGCAUCGGAACUGUGCCAGUGGGACGGGUGGAGACAGGAAUCAUCAGGCCAGGUAUGUUGGUGUGCUUCGCACCGACGGGACUGACGACUGAGGUGAAGUCGGUGGAGAUGCAUCACGAGUCGAUGCCUGAGGCGCACCCAGGUGACAACGUCGGGUUCAACGUGAAGAACGUGGCGGUGAAGGACCUGAAGAGAGGGUACGUGGCCUCAGACUCGAAGAACGACCCUGCCAAGGAGGCAGCCAACUUCACGGCGCAGGUUAUCAUCAUGAACCACCCGGGACAGAUCGGGAACGGUUACGCACCAGUGCUGGAUUGCCACACGUCGCACAUUGCGGUGAAGUUCGCGGAGAUCUUGACGAAGGUGGACAGGCGAUCGGGUAAGGAGCUGGAGAAGGAGCCGAAGUUUUUGAAGAACGGGGACGCAGGGUUCGUGAAGAUGAUUCCGACGAAGCCGAUGACAGUGGAGACGUUCGCGGAGUACCCACCAUUGGGACGUUUCGCGGUGCGUGAUAUGAGGCAGACGGUGGCUGUGGGUGUUAUCAAGGCCGUAGAGAAGAAGGAACCCACCGGCGCCAAGGUGACGAAGGCCGCUGCGAAGAAGAAGUGAAUAGUGCGGGAAGGGGGUGAAGGCGAGGCGGAGAAGGGGGCGGAGUGGCGGUGGUGGGUGGAGAGGUGGAUGUGGAGCAUAGAGUUGCUGACUUUGAGUGGUUGGUCGAUAUAUUUGUUGCAAGCGCGACAGAGGCAGACUUGGGUACUUGACAGGAGAUGGCAGGGCAUAGUGGGUACGAGGGCAUGGGUGUAAGAGAGAGGGAAAUAAAAGAGUAUACUAUUUCUAAGUAAAAAUGCGUGGCGUUUUUUUGAUGUGGUUGGUGCUUGUGGAAUGCUGGAUGUGUGGGUAUUCAAAGAGAUGGUGUGAUUCCUUCUGGAUUGGGUACGUUGGCGUGAGUUUGGCUUUCAUGCGUGUGAUUGUGUCAUGCCCUAAAUUAUAGAGAAGCUUACUGAAACACUAAUUUUGUUGUCGGUGGUUUGUAUGGCCUGGCCGGUUUUGUCGUUUUGUUGUGUAGGGUUUUUUUUUGUGCCACUUUCUGGCUUAUGCAGUGUUUGGGUGUUCAAUUUCCGCCGAGGAUAAACAGCGGUCAAUCGAACAUUGUGGGAUGUCUAGAGAAAUGAUUAUGUGAUGGUCGUUGUGAAGCUAUGUCGCAUGAAAUAAGGUUGAGGUUUCGUGCUUAUUUGUGAGUAUUAAUCACACGUCUAUUUGAAUGAUGUGUACCUUGAUUCUGGAGUGAACUAUUUGUAGGCCUUCUUAUGACCAAUUUGUGAAAAGCUUAGGAACGUAGGGGACAGGAUGAAUCAUUCAACACUGAUACGCUGUGCAGCUUUGAAACAAUGCCAUUUCACAGUCAAAUUGCCUACCACUCUUAUGUCGAUGUGAAGGUCUUCAAUGAGCAUGUAUUGAUCACUUUUGUGACACAAUUUGACCUGGUUGAUUUGAAUGUUCCGAACAAUUCAACCAGUAAGCUUCUCUAUUAUUUCGGGCACGACACCAUAUAUGUCGCCGAGAGCUAUCUGUUCCAACCCCAUAUUCUAACUCUCUUUCUCCAGCACGCUUUGCUCAAUUCUGUGAGUGUAACCCAAAGAACUUUUUCUAUCUUGUCUUCUGCCUAUUUUAGCUAUCUAAAUCUUUUGUCAUUAUACUGUUUUAAAAUGGUCUACAAAUAAGAUCAAACAAUUAGAGGCUAAAAUACUUUUAUAUCUUAAAAGUUGAUGAAAAUGUCACCAAAUAUUGUUUGUUGUGAACUUGUUGUAUAUUUGUUUUACAAAGAUGGUGUAGAAAAAUUGUCCUCUAGUUCCAAGGUAUUUGGUGAGUAGGGAUUUUCCAAAAUUUGUAGAUGAUUGUUAUGGAAUAUUUGUAGUGCAAAGAAAAUAAACAUUGUGAAUUCCUUGACCUAGUUUUUUUCUCCAUGUAUUUUUUGUAGUGCCUUUGUAACAAACUAGCCAAAUCAAAAUUGAUUCAUGUUUUGGUCAUGUUUUAUUUUAAAUUUUGGUCCACUUUAUCUCUAAGGUUGGUUGAAACAUUUCACAAUAUUUUGUGAUUUGAAUUUGAACAAUAAUAAGAUGUUGCCUUAAAAGUUGUUUUUACUUUUUGGCAUUGUAUACAUCCAAAGAACAAUUGUCUCUAAAUGUGAAGUUAUUGAAAUCAAACUUUAGUAUUUGUACUUGAUCGAAGAAUAUUGAAGUUAAAUUGCAGCCUAGUUUUAUUCCUUGCUAGGCCUCCACUCUUCAAAGAUACAUUAAUAUUGCCUCCCAAUUAUCUAUGUCUAUUUAGGUAUGAAGUUCAUUUAUAAUAGUUACUCUUAUGUCUUUUUAUAAGAUAUAAUUGAAUUUAUUAAAUAUAAAUAAACAAAUAAAAUAUAUAUAUAUAUAUAUAUAUAUAUAUAUAUAUAUUGCAUCUUAUUAGAGCAUAAGAAGAAAGUUGUUCCUUUCUUGCCAAUCCUUUUUUUCUUUGAAAAUUUGGAAUAAGGAAUAAGACCAUGUUAAGUUAUCAUUGCUAUAAUCAAAUAUAACCUAUGUCUUAAUAAUUAUCUUAUUAAGCCAUCAAUAAUCUAUAUAUAUUUGCUACAACUUGUCUUUUUUCUAUACAAAAAAGAUUAAAGAUCUAAUAAAAAAAUUUGAAUGGUGUAUUACAUUCUUGGUCAAAUUUUCAUUAGUAUAUUCCUUGAGUGAAGUCAUUUCAUUUUGCAAUGAGCUAUAGAUUGAUCCAAUAUAGUGAUUGAGUCAUUUCUUGAAGAUCAAUUGAGCAGUCACAAGGACAAUGCUUUGUUAGAAUAUCUGCAUUUUUCUUUUCAAACAUGUCUAAAUAUUCUUAAUAUUAUUUUGGAAGUUUCUUGAUAUCUUUCUACCAUAAAAAAUUGGUGCCACAUAAAUAACAAAUGUUAAUCCUUCUUUUGUAGCUUACAUUAUUAUUUUUGUUUCUACAAAUAAUAACUUAGUUGUUCUAGUCUUAUAACAAAUUAUUUAGUUAGAGACAUCUUUAGAUAUAUUAUAAUAAAAAUAAAAAUUACAAGAGAUCUAAUCUAUUUAAAGGUUAUACUUUCUUAAUCAUAAUAGAUCUAAAAUAACUAUAAUAAUAGAAGAUCUAAUAAUAUUAAAUAUUACUAAGCUAUUAUCAUCUUUUGUUAUUAUGUCUAUAGAAAUGGUUUUAUGAAAAAACAUCUCCAAAAGACAAUAGUCAACCAUUUAUAACUUCUACAUAUAUUAGUUUAUUUUAUUUUUUCUUAUUAGUAUUCUAAAUUUUUUAAUCAAUAUUUUAUUUUUUAAAAAAAAAAUUAGACUUCUAAAUCUAAUAAGGUAGAAUAUUUUAUUUUAUUUUUAGAUCAUAAAUAAAUAUUUGCUAUAAUACAAGAAGAAGAUUUUGAAGAAAGAAUAGAAUUUUAUAAGAUGUUUUAGACAAAUCUAACAUGACAAUCCAUAUUGUAGUUAGGAAGACUUAUUUUCAAACAUAUUGUCUUUCAUAACAACCAUGCUCUUCAUUUUAAAGUUAUAACACUUCUUAGAACAAUGUUGAACAAUGUAUUUGUGUUUUCCACAAUAUAAACAUAAUUGUUUUUGAGAACAUCAAUAUUUUUUUUAUUUAGUAAGAAAAUUAAAGAAUAUUUUAUGAAUUUACAUAUCUUCUAUUUCAAAAUGCAUAGAUUAAGAAGGUAUUGGAAUAACAAUGAAAUUUUAAAGAUAUUGUGACAUAUUUGUAUAAUUUCUAGAUCAAAGUCCAAAAAAUUAAUUAUUAUAUUUUAUAGAAAAUUUAAUUAAUUGACUCAAUGUUUAAAGAUCAUAUAAGUUUAGCAUCAAUUUUUUUACUUUAUAUUUCAAUUUAUAGAAAAAUUAGUUAAUAAUUGUAUCAUCAUCCCACUUAAUAUUAAUUUUUAGUUGUUAAAAUUAAUAUAUAUAUAUAUAUAUAUAUAUAUAUAUAUAUAUAUAUAUUGAAUGAUUUUCUUGAUAUAAGAUAUGAAUUUUAUUGCUAUGAAUAAUAAAAAUUAUAACAUGACAAAAAAUAAAAGUAAUUUUUAAAUAAAUAUAACUUAUAAUCUUAUGAAUGGAUAGCUUUGGAAUCGAAGCUUAAUUGCUAGUUACACUUGAUUGAUAAAUCUUUGAAAUUUUGUUCUUGUACCACCAAACUUCUAAAGUAAGCAAAUUUUUAUUUUUUUAACAAUAAUAAUAAUGCUUGUAGGAUGCUUUAUCAUAAGAUUUUUUUAUAGUAUAGACCUAGAUGUUUGUGUAGCUCGAAUAGCUCUUUAUCUUUAUUUUCAACCAAUCUUAAUAUUGCUUGUGGCAAUGAAGUAAGUUGAUGCAUAAAAAAUGUUAACUCUUUAAUUUAUUCUUGCAUUUGUAUCAUUACAUCUUUUAUCGUUGUAAAAUAUAUUAUUAUUAUAUAAUAGGAAAAAAUGACAUCUAUUACUUAUGAUAAGAAGUUAAAAAGGAUUAUGAAUAAAAUAGAAAUAUUCUAAAAAUAAAAUAGAAAUAGAAGUAGAUAAUCUACAACCUCUAAUAUACUUAUAUCUAAUGAAGAAAAAUAGAUAAUCUAUUUUAAAUUAAGAAAAAUAAAACUCUAAUCUUAUAAGUGUAUUCUUAUCAAUAUAUUAAGGAUAAGAACUUAAAGAAUGUAAAUAAAUAAGUGAUAUAUAUAUAUAUAUAUAUAUAUAUAUAUAUAUAUAUAUAUAUUUUAUAUUUUCAAGAAGAAAUUAGAAUGGCCAUUAUCAAAAAUAAAAAAAACUAAAGACUCUUGAAACUAGACUAGAAGCAAUGACAGAGUUGAUAAGACUGAAGAAGAUCUCACUUUUAACUCUGUAUAUAAUAUCUACUAAAGAAUUACUUAAUAACACCUUAUAAGCUACCUGACAUAUUUUUAAUUUACAAGGCAUGUGUUAUAGAUAUAUAAAGAAUAUUCUAAAAUCUUAAAAAAUAUUCUAUAUUAUAAAAUAUUUUUCUAAAAUAUUAUAAAAACUUGUUAGAAGUAUAUAGUGUACAAAUUAGAAACUAAACUAUAUUAAAUGGCAUCUUAAAAAAAAAAAAAAAUCUAAAAUAGCUUAAAAAUUAAGCUAUGUAAUUUAACUUGGACGGCAAGUCAUUUUAAGAAGCUCCUUGAGAGGCUUCUUGAAACUUGGCCAAUAUGUCAUCUACUAGCUUACAUAAAAGACAUGAGAGGCUUGGACUUCAAGCCUUAAGUCUCACAAGUAGUAUAAAUAGAGACAUGAUCGAGGCCUUCCUUAGUCUUAUCAAUUCAUCUUUUGAAUUUGUUCUUCUAAUGGCCUUUAGGCUCUUUUUUAUAUUAAUCAUUGGUUGUUGUCUUUUUAGUUAUUUUUUAUUUUUAUUUAUUUAUAUAUAUAUAUAUAUAUAUAUAUAUAUAUAUAUAUAUAUAUAUAUAUAUAUAUAUAUAUCUCUUAGACUUUAGUGCUUGAAACUAAUUCUUUUUUUUAUUGAAGUUUUAGAUGUGUCUCUAACAAUUUGAUUAGACUAUUGUUUUUGUUUCUAGAAUUAUUUUGUGUUGAAAACUAAGUAGAUUAUCCCACUUCUUAAGUGUUAUUUUGUAUUAAGAAUUCAAUGAAUUAUUCUAUUUCUUUGGUAUUAUUUUGUAUUAAUAAGUGAGUGGACUAUCUUGCUUCUUAGGUAUGGUUUUGUAUUGAGAAGUGAGUGGACUAUUCCACUUCUUAUGUAUUAUUUUGUAAUAAAAAGUAAGUGGAUUACUCUACUUUUUAAAUAUUUUUUUAUUAAGAAUAUUAUUACAAAUGAAAAAAAUUAAAUAUGCAUAAAAGAAGUGAUAAUAUAUUUGUUACAAUUGUACAAUUUAAUGAUCUUUUUAAUACUCUUUGAGCUAAAAUACCACAUACAAGUACCUCUAAUUAUAGGAGUCUUGUUUUAAUACCUAUAAAAGAAGUUAAUAACAAAAUUUAAAGUUUGUGCUAAAUUUUUUUAUAAUUAUAAGAAGUAAGUAUAAGUAGGUAAGCAUCACAAUUCGAUCCUAGAAUUGUUUCUAUAAAAAGUUUAAAGGAAUGAAAGACAAGUAAGUUAGAGAAAUUUAAUGGUAUUAUAUCAAAUUUUCAAGAAUUUUUGUUACAAGAGCCAAUUUGAUUCUUCAUCAUCUAUUCCUAUUAUUUGGGGCUUCUAAUUCAUCUUUCAUUUAUUUUUUGAAAUCUUUUCUUUUUAGUAUUUGGUACCUCAUCUCUAACCAUUUUUAAUCAAGUAUUAUAUAUUUAUUUUUAAUAUUUAAUGUGCUUUGUUUGAUAUUUAAGUUUUUUCUGAAUAGAUGUCAAGAAUAUGAACUAAAAGAUGAUGCAUAAAUCAAUGAAAUUUUUAUAAAAAAAAGUAAAAAAAUAGAAAUAAAAAAGUACGUAUAUUAAAAAAAAACUAGAAUAGCUUAUUGCCAAAAGACAAGAAAAUUUAAGACUCUUGAAACUAGACUAGAAGCAAGAAAAGAAUUGACAAGAGUGAAGAGGGCUUCACUCUUGUCUCUAUAUAUACUAUCUAAUUAGGGGCUAUGUAGCGAUGUUCUAUAAGACCUUUAAUAUGUGUUGACUUUGUAGGACACAUGCCUUGACUUAUAAGACAAAUUUUUCUAUAUGUUUGCCACAUAGUUAGCUUGUUCUUCAAGCUACCAAUAUGUAUGGCACAUGAUUGACUUGUUGACCAAGUUUCUAACCUAGAAUUCAAUAAUGGACACUUAUAAAGUCAAAGCAAUGUCUAUGAAGCUUCUAAGAUGCUAUUUUAGAAGAUAUUAUAGAAUUAACUUACUUUUAUAUACUUCUAUCUAUUUCUACUUAUUCAUAUAGAUAAUUAUUGGCUUACAUGUGUAUGUAUGUGACAUUAUCUUCCUUUCUAGGGAUGAAUUCUACAAGGAAUGGUCAUCAUAUGUUGAAAAAAUCUAUGAUUUGACAAAUUAUAUUUGCCACAUACUUAGAUCUUUGUUUUCUUUAAAGAUGGUUGAUAGGGCCUCUCAACUAUUGAUAGUGUCACAUAUCAAGGUGGAAAGACCACCAUGUUAUUUAGUCAUUAUUGAGGCCUUUAUAACUUUGUUCAAAUAAAACAAUUGGAACACCGUCAAGAGUUGUUUCUACCUCUAAUAAAAUUACCAAACAUCAAAAGUCUCUUCCAAGGUUGUGAUACCAAAUACAUUGUAUCUCGCCACCUAUUCGAGGAAAAAUAUGUCAUUCUUGAAGAUCUUCAUCUCAAUUGUAUCAUCUUGAAGUUUGUGACAAUCAUAAUGUCUCAUCCUGUAGGUUAGAAAAUGAAUGCUCUUUAGCCAAAUCCAUUAGUUGUUGGUUUUUCAUCUCUUUAGCAUCACAAAUACAAAGAAGUCACAAACAAGGAUUGAAAGUAGAAUAUUAUCUUGCAUAGAUCUUGUUUUCUUUAUAUAAAAGAUCUUCAUGUUAAAUUUGAUGGAUGUCAUCGAUGAAAAGCCUCCACCUUCUUUACUGCAUUUGCAAGAUUCUUUGCUAACUUCCAUGUGUAUUCACUAAUAUUGUAUUUGUAGCAUUGAAUAAGAUAUUUUAACUUAUUUUGGUGCCACUUUAAGUCUAAGACUUCUUCCACUUCAAAUUCUUCAUUAUUAUCUACUCUUAUAAGAAGAAGUAACACUUGUCUUCUUCUUCAUAUGUCCAUUAUCUUGUAUGAUUCAAAAGGAAACAUGUAGAAUACUAGAUGAAUUUUUAUUAAUUUCAAUAGGUAUAAAUGAUAUGCAAUUGGAUUGAUUUGUACAGAAAUAGGAAAUGGUCUAAGCUUACGAUAGUCCAACUUGUCACAAUGAUGAGUAGUCUUGAUAUUAUGAUAAAAUAAUCAUACCUUGUUACCCAUGUCAAAUGAUGGUUGUUUCUUUCGAUAGACAUGUCUAUUGAGCUUUUGUUGUUCUUGAACUUCUUUUAACUACUCCUUUAUUAUUGUAUGUAGCUCUGACAAAUAAUUUGCUAAAUCUUUCGUUAUAGGAUUAUCAGCUUUUAAAAAGUCAAAAGUGUCAAAUCAUGGAUAAUAACCAUAAUUGAAAAAAAAAAAUGUUUGUUUUGUAGAAAAAUAUAUUGUGUUAUUAUAAAAAAACUUUGCCAAUGGCAAAAGAGUUGUCCAAUCAUCUUAUUGGUAGUUGAUACUAUAUCUUAAAUACUGCUCAAAAACUUGAUUAAUAUGCUUUAUUUGUCCAUUAGUUUGAAGAUGGAAUACCAAAGAUAGUUUUAUAUCUAAUUUUAGAAACUUAAAAAGAAUGUAUCAAAAUCUUAAUACAAAUUGAGUUCUCCUAUUUAAUAUAAUAUCCUUGGAUAAUCCAUGAUAGUAAUAGAUGUUAUUAAGAAAAAAUUUAGUUGUUUCUUCACUUGUGAUAAAUUUUGUACACGGUACAAAAUGUGCCAUCUUGGUAAAACGAUCUACUAUCACAAAUAUAGAGUCAUAAGAACCUAAGAUUGGAAGAUCGAUGAUGAAAUCCAUUGAAACAGAAGUCUAUGGUUGUUUUGGAAUGGAUAAUGGUUAAAGAAGUCUGUAAGGUUGAUGACAAGGAGUUUUUUAUCUUGAACAAAUGUUGCAUGAUUGAACAAAGUCUUUUAUACCCUUUCACAUUUGUGGCCACCAAAAAUCUCUAGAUAUAAGCUCCAAAGUCUUGUUGUAUCCAAAAUGUCAUGCUGCUAAAAAGUUGUGACGUGCUUGAAGAAUACGUAAUCGUGCUUCUUCUUUUGGAACAUAUAAUUGACCUUCAAAAUAGAAUAAGUUGUUUUUGAACUCAAACUUAGAAUUAUUUUGGAACUUAAAAGAAAGAUUCUUGAUAUUGUGAAUAAGAGGAUCAGAAGAUAUACUUGAUUGGAUUUAUUUUGUAAAGAUUGAAUCAACAAUUAAUGUUGAUUUCAUUACUCAAAGAUGAAAAUACUCUGGCUUUAAGAAAAUCAUUCUUUGUUGAUUAAAAGAUGCAUCUCUUUCUUUUGGUGAAAGAUAAGAACGCUUAAAAAGGAAGUCUGACAAAUCUUGUUAUUUUUCAAGUCGAUAUGUGAUCUUGAAAUCAAAUCUUAAUAAAGACAUGCUCCAACGGGCUUGGCGACAAUUCAAAAUACAUGCUGACAUGAAAUACUCGAGAUUCUUAUAAUUUGUAUACAUGGUGACUAGAUUGGAAGCGCCUUCUAGAUGAUGACACAAUUCUUCAAAUGAAUCCACAAUUAGAAGAAGCUUUUUUUCAUGGAUUUCAUAGUUAAUCUCGGUUGCUAAAAAAUUUCUGGAAUGAAAAGCUACUAGGUGAAGUUUAUCAUCUAUUCUCAUUUGUGAUAAUACGGCAUCCAAAGCAAAGUCUAAUACGUCUGUUUCUAUAAAAAAUGCCUUAAAAAAGUUGACACAAUACAAGGUUGGUGCAAAAAUAAAGGUUGACUUCAAAGCUUCAAAAGAUGCUUCAACUUCUUUGCUCCAUUUGAAUUUGUCUUGGCAAGUCAAAUGUGCAAGUGGAAGUGUAACUUAAGAUAAGUCUUUGAUGAAGAUCCAAUAAUAAUUGGCAUAGCCCAAAAAAUAUUAGAUAUCUCUUAUCGUUUUUAGAAUCUUUCAAUCUAUAAUAAUUUGAACUUUUAAAGAUCCAUCAUAAGUCCAUCAUUUGAAAUGAUAUAUCUUAAGAAGUCGACUUGAGUAGUGUGAAAUAUACACUUUUCUAUCUUGGUAUAGAGUCUUGCAUGUCUUAAUUUUUGUAACACAUGAUGAACAUAAAGUUUAUAUUCAUCUAUGUUCUUAGAAUAGAUCAAGAUGUCUUCUAGAUAAGAGACAAAAAAAUCGUCCAAAAAUUCUCAAAAAAUAUCAUUCAUUAGAUGUUGAAAAGCUAUCGAUGCAUUUGUAAGUCUAAAAGGCAUGACAUCGUAUUCAAAAUGUCCAUAUUUACUUCAAAAUAUAAUCUUCCAUUCAUCUCCUUCUUUAAUACAUACUAAAUUGUAUACUCUCCAUAGAUCUAUUUUUGUAUAGAUCUUAGCUUGAUUCAAUUGAUUGAGAAGUCUAGAUAUCAAAGAUAGAAGGUAUCUAUUCUUGAUGGUGAUCUUAUUGAGUCCUCGAUAAUCAACACAUAUCCACAAUGAUUCAUCUUUUUUCUUCACAAAUAAGAUUGGAGCUCUUACUGGCAAUUUGGAAGGAAAUAUGAAAUUCUUGGCUAGAUUUUCUUCAAUAUAUUCCUUGAGUUCACCUAAUUCAUUUUGUGAUAAACUAUAGAUUGGUCCAAAUGGCAGUCGUGCUCCUUCUUAAAGAUCAAUUGAGUAGUCAUAGGAAUGAUGUUUUUGAAGAGUAUCUAAUUUCUUCUUCUCGAAUAUAUCUUGAAAUUCUGGAUAUUGGCUUGGAAUGCCACUUGAAGUCUUUGCAUCAUUAGAAAUAGGUGUGGUAUAAAUGACAUAAGGUGAACUUUCUUUUACAGCAUGCAAGAAGGCUCUCGUACCUACAAAUAUAAGUUUUAUUGUGCUAGACUUAUGACUUUUUACUAGAUUAAUUUCACUCUUAAUUAUACUUUUAGAAGAGUCAAGAAUAUAAGAAAUCCAAUCUAUGCAAAGAUUAUACUUUUUUAACCAUAAUAAACCUAAAAUGACUAGAUUAGGAAGAAAUUUAAUUAUAUUAAAGCUUACGCAACUACUAUGAUUAUUUAUUGCUACAUUUGUAGGAAGUAUUUCAUGACUAACAUCUCCAAAAGACAAUGGAUAAUCAUCUAUGACUUUUACAUGAACACGUUUAGUUUUUUGUAUUAACAGUAUUUUGUGACUUUUAACAAAUUCUACGUCUAAAAAGUAAGUUGAGACUCGUAAAUCUAUUAAGGUGGAGGCUUUAUAAUUAUUAGAUCGUGAAUGCAUAUCUAUUAUAAAACAAGGAGAAGGUUCUAAUGAGAGGAUAGGACCUUUAUUAGAAAUUGUAAAAGAUUUUAGUCACCCAGUUCCUACUAUAACUGGAUAAUUUUGUUUUUUCAUACAUUCUCUUCUUAUAUAGUUGUGCUCUUCAUUUUGUGGUUUCAUUGCUUCUUUGGACAAUGUCGAGUAGUGAGUUUAGGUUCUUCAAAAUAUAAGGACAAUCCUUCUUGAUGGCGACAAGUCUUUUCUUGCUCGGUAAGAAGUUUAAAACGUACCACAUCAAUUUGUAUAUCCUCUACUUUUGAAUGUAUGUAUUGAAGACAUAUUGGCAUUGUCAUCAAAUUGUAGUAACGUUGAGGCCCACUUGUACAACUCUCAGAUUGAAAUUCAAAAAGCCAAUUGUUGCACUUCACAACAAAGUCAAUUGCUUGACUCAAUGUUUGAGGAUCAAGUAAGUUGAGCAUCAAUUUCUUUACUUCAUAUUGUAAUCUAUAGAGAAAUUGGCUAAUAAGUGCAACAUCAUCCUACUUGAUAUCAGUUGUAAGUUAUGGAAAUUGUGAAGCAUAUAAUAUUACAAAUCAAUUACCUUAUCGCAAUAUACGGAUCUUAUUGGUUGCAACAUAUAUUACAUUAUGUUCUCUAUAUAUGGACCAAAAUUUUACUAAAAAUAUCUUCAAAUUAUACAAUAUUGAAGCUUGUCAUUCAACAAAAGAUGAAAACUAUAAUAGUGUUGAAUUUGAAAGAAGUAUAUCAAUGAACCAAACUUGUGAUCCUAGAGAUGGAUAGCUUUGAGGUUGAAGUUCAAUUACAAGUUGUACUUGAUUGAUAAAUCUUCAAAAUUUAGAUCUUGUACCAUUAAACUUAUCGAGUAGGGCAACUCUUGGUUCUUUAACACUUGAAAGAUAUUCCACUAUAGGUAGAGGGAUAUGAUUUGGUGCAGAUAUUGAGGUAGCUCUAAUCAUCUAUACAUCGUCACUUCCUACCAUUCUUAUUGAUCCUUAUGGUGGUAAGCUAAAUUGAUGCAUUGUAAGCAUCAACUCCUUUAAUUUUUCUUGCAUUUGUGCCAUAGCUUUUAUGAUUUCAACAAGCUCUACCAUAAUAACACUCAGAAAAAUAUCUAAUACUACUCAAGACAAGUAAAAAAAAGGACUUGAGGACAAAGAAAAUGUUAAGAACAAUAUAAGUUUAGAAGAGGAUAAUCCGCAAAUUUUAAUAUGCUUAUGUCUUAUCAUGAGAAAGAGGUAAUCCACUCUUAAUCAAGACAAGACAAAGCUUUGAUAUUGUAAAAGUACUCUUGUCAAUCUGUCAAGGAUAUGAACUAGAAGAUGAUGAAUAAACCAAUGAAAUUUGUAUCAAAGAAAAAGUGACCAAAUAGAAAUAAAAAAAUACGUAUAUUAAAAAAAAACUUGAAUGGCUUAUUGCCAAAAGACAAGAAAACCUAAGACUCUUGAAACUAUACUAGAAGCAAGAAAAGAGUUGACAAGAGUGAAGAGGGCUUCACUCUUAUCUCUAUAUAUACUAUUUAAUUAAGAACUAUGUGGUGAUGUUCUAUAGGACCUCCAAUAUGUGUUGACUUUGUAGGACACAUGCCUUGACUUAUAAGACAAGUUUUUCUAUAUGUUUGCCACAUAAUUAGCUUGUUCUUCAAGCUACCAACAUGUAUGGUUUUAUGAUUAACUUGUUGAUCAAGUUUUUAACCUAAAAGGUAAUAAUGGACACAUAUAAAGUCAAAGCAGUGUCUAAUAAGCUUUUAGGAAGUUUUUUUUAGAAGAUAUUAUAGAAUUAACUUAUUUUUACCUACUUCUAUCUAUUUCUAUUUAUUUAUAUAGGUAAUUAUUUGCCUACAUGUGUAUAUAUGUAACAAUAGAUUAUUAAGAUAUUAGAGCUAAUUUUUAAAGUUAAGUUAGAAUUUUUAUGAGAAUGUGACUUCCUCCUAUAAUAAUUAUAGCUUUAGAAGAGAAAUAUAAAGGUUUUUUAAUACUUACUAUAUUUUUUUUAUUUUAUUAUUGUAUAUUCAAUAAAUUUAAGAAAAAUACAAUGAUGAACCAAAAAACACAAUCAAGUCAUGCAAAUCAAUCUGAUAGGGUCAAUAUAUGGUCUAGGGCUAAAAAAAGAGAUAUGAUUGUUGGUUCUUUCAGCAUAGCAUCAAUACCAAAAUAGUCAAAGAAUUGCUCAAUUCCUUGAGCAAUAUCACUUGAAAGGCACCUACAAUUACAGAAUUUAGGCAUAUCAAAGAAAGCAUAUGCUCUAAUAAGAUAGACUUUACAUCUAUUUUAUUAUACUAAUAUUAAUAUAAUAUUAGAUACAAAAUAAUUAAGAUAGAAGAGUGCUUAUAUAAUGAUCAAUAAUAAUUCUAGAAAUGUCAUGCUUUUUAUAUUGAAGAGAUAUAAAAAACCAUAUUGAUAUUGGAUAAAAUUCAAAAAAAAGAUUGAAGCUUUUAAUGGACCAUAUAAAACCAUGCUCAUUGAAAAAUGUUUUAGCCUAAAAAAACUAGAGAAUAUAAGUAUAGAUAUAUUUUUAAAUGAUGUAAAAGAAGUUGUUGACUUACUAUUAGGAGUUAAUAUUGACUUGUCCAAAGAUGUGGUAGUCUAUUAUGAUGUAAAGAAUUUCCAUCACCAAUAUAAAAUUUUCAAAAGGAUGAUACUAAAUGCAAAUUAAUUUCUUAUGUAUAAAGCACUAGAAUCUAAGCUUAUUAUUAUUGAGAUAUCUUUAAGACUAGAUUCAAGAUUAGAAAGAAUAAAUGAGACUCAUUUAUUCUUUCUAAUCUUAUCUUUUUUAAAUAAUUAGAUAUUUCUAAGAUUAUUAUAUCUUAGAAUCACCAAGAUUUUAGAGUCAAUUUUAGAAAGGCUCUCAAAUUCAAUACUUUGAUAUAUAUAUAUAUAUAUAUAUAUAUAUACAUAUAUAUUAAUAAUAUAAAUAGUAGUAAUAUCAAUGUAGACCAAUUUAAUAAUAAAGAUUGCCUACUUACUAGCUUCAAAAAAUUUACAUCAACUAAUAAAGCUCAAAUUAUCAAUUAAGAUGCAAAGCUCAAAAAUCAAAGAAAUUAAGAUCCAAAGUAUACAACUUUUGUAAAAAAUCUAGUUACUUUAAAAGAGACAAAUGAUUGUGAUGGAUGAUAAGACCUAUCAAUUAUUUCAAAGGGAAUGAAGAUUAGAGUUUGUAGCAAAUACAAUUUAUUGUAUCUUAGAUUUUUUCAACAUAUGAUCAAUGGUCUUUGUAGAACUCGUCCCUAAAAAGUGGAAUAAUUUCAUAGACAAAUAUAUUUAUUAUAAUAAUUAUCUAAAUAAUAUGAGUUGAUAGAAGUAAGUAAAAAUAAAUAAAUUUAAUAUAUGGCAUACAUAUGGCAUACAUAUAAAAAGCUUGUCUUGCUUAUUAGACACAUGUAAGAGAUUCUAUUAAACUUCGCAAUGUAGCUCCUAGUUACGUAGUUUAUAUAGAUGCAAGAGUGAUGUCCUAUUUAUUCUUAUCAAUUUCUUUUUUAGUUUCAAUAGUCUCUAGUUUUCUUGUCUUUUGACAAUAUUUAUUCCAAUUUCAUCUUGAAUAUAUAUAUAAAGAAGUAAGAUAUUUUUCAAAGAAAUAUUACAAUAUAUAUAUAUAUAUAUAUAUCGUAAUAUUCCUUUGAAAAAUAUCUUACUUCUUUACUUAAAUUUUUCAAGCUCUUAUCUUUGAUAUUUAUACAUACUAUGAUAAAAUAUAUAAUAAAUUCCUAAAUAAUAUAUUUGAUAAUAAAAUAUAGCAUAUUAGAUUUUUUAUUUUUAUAUACUAAUAUUUAAAUUAUAUUUAUAUUUAUUGAAUGGAAAAAUUUUAUUAAAGAAGAUUUUAGCUAUAAUAAAAUAGUAUCUUUAAUAUGAAGAUAAUUUAUUUUAAGCCUAUUUCAAAUUAUAUUUAUUACUUUUUUGAAAAAAAUAGAGUUGUAACUAUUAUAAUAUUAAGGAAUUUAUAUUGUUGAUAUCAAAUCUAAACUCUAGAAAUAAUGAAUUUAGUAAAUUUAUUGUAACACCAAUAUUGGAUUUAAAUUCUUUUAAAUAAAUUACAUGAUUAUAAGCAUUUUAAUUGACAAUUAAUUUGGCUUCUUGUUUUAAGAAUUAUAGAUCUUUAUUCUUGCCUUUUAAAGAAGCCAACUUAAGUUUGAAGUUGAAUAUUUUUCCUUCUAAGAAGAAAAAAUAUGGUACCAAAAGGCAACAUUGUCUAAUUUGUUCCUCAUUGAAAAAAAUAGAAAUUUUUUUUUAAUCUUCUUGACAUGUAUUUUUAAUAUUAAAAAGAAUAAUUUUAUUGUUUGAAUAAAUUUUAGACCAAAGCUAAAAACAUCUAUUCCUUAAAUAAUAAAAUUUCUAUUAAUAUUAUUUUAUAUUUUUAUAAAAUAUAAUUUAAACAUAAUGAGAUUUUAUUCAAGCAUAGAUCUAGUAUGUAGUCUUAUAUAUGAAUAGAAUAUUUUUUAAGAUAUAUUAUAAAAAAAUAGUAUUCGAUUUGGAUAUAUUGAAUAUAACAAUAUAGAUUGGAUUCAUAAUUGUAGUAUUUUUGUAAAAGUUUUAUAAUUUGAAUUAAAUAGAAUAAUACAUUAGUAAUUAAUUAGAAGGUUUCUAUCACCUUUCUUGAAGAUAAGGGUAAUAAGUCCUUAUAAAAUUGCUAUAAAAAAUGCUUAUCUAUUCAAUGAAUCUUCAAUUAGUUGUAGAUAGACAUAUUUGAUGGUGCCUAAAAGAUUUCAAAAAAUUCAGUUCCUACACCAUUUAAUUUAAGAGCUUUGUUAUAAGUUAAUGGCUUAAUUGAAUUUAUGUAGUUUUUUCAAUGUAAGGACUUGCUCAAGAAAAGUUCUAACUUUUUCUUAUAGUUUUAAUAUGUAGAGGUUCUUGAUGGAGUCUUUAGUUGGCAUAAGAUCUCAUUCAUUUUUAAAUUUUUUAUGGAAUUGAGAAUUUUUUUAACUCAAUCUUGAUAUUUUUUUAAAGAAUUUUUUAUAUUUAUUAAAUUAUAUUUUUGAGAAUAAAUUUUUUAAUACAAGAAUUUUUCUCUUUAAGUGUUUUUUUUUCUUUAUUAAUAAUAAUCUUUAUAAUUAAUCCAACUAAUUCAACAUAUGAUUCUUUGACUAUUUUCUUCAUUUAAAAAAAAAUAUGCUAUGUUAUCUUAAUGUUCUUUUAACAUACUUUAGAUAGUGACAUUGUUUGAAUGUGUAUGUAGCUUAAUAUAAAUUUCUUCAAAAAAAAUCUUCUCUACUUGCUCUUACUUCUUAUAGUCAUUGAUCCUCACCAUAUAAUAAUUUCUAUAGUAUUUUACUUCAUAUUAUUUCGGUCUAUCAAAUAUAUUAUUUUGAAAGUAUCUUAAGGUUAUUUUUUUAUGUUUUAGUUUCCACCUAAUAUCUAUUUACUAUUAUUUAGUAAGAAGAGAUAAAAAUAUUUUUACGGCAUACUUCUAUCUUAGUAGUAAUUUGGAGUAUGUGUAUAUAUAUAUAUAUAUAUAUGUAUAUUUGCUAUACCAAUCUUUUUCUAUUUAAAAAUAAUUGACAAUAAGUAAUAAGAUCCUUGUAUCAAAGACAAAAUCAAUAUAUAAUAUUAAAUACUUUAAAUGAUGAUAGAUUAUGUUACAUAAACUUUCUUUUUCAAUUCUAUCUUUGAUUUAAAUAUUUUAGAAUUGCUUUUAGUAUGUGGCACUUUCUUCCUUUUACAACUUGCAACCAAAUUCUCUUGUAUUGAAAUUGCUUAGUUUGUGCUCUUAAAAAAUAUUGUUACACAUCAAUUUUUUGUAUCUAAUAAUUUCUAAUUUAUAAUAAAUUUGAAGAAAAAAUAAGAUUUAUUAUAUUAUAUGAUAAAAUAUUGAAUCAGUUUUAUGAUUCUUUACAAAAAAAAGAAAAAAAGAAAAAAAGAAAAAAUUUCAACAUCUAAAUAAUAUUUUAGUAUUGAUUCGUGUCUAAAGGAAUUCAUCUUGGAUUUACCUAUUCUUCAUAAAAUAUUCUUUUUAUGCUUUGCUACUAUAUAAAUAAUUGAUAUUUCAUAAUCUUUUUAGGAAUAGAUUUUUCUUUAUAAUUUAUAAUUUAUUUCUAUUUUAUCUUGUAUGUAAUUGAUAUUUUAUAGUACCAUAAGUCCAUAAUAUAUGCUUCCUAUUUUUGUUUUCAUAAAUAAUAGACUUCUAUUUUUUUUGUUAAAAUAAAAUAAAAAAUCAUCUCAAUUGCAUUUUAAUAAAGUGGCAAGUAUUGGAAUAAAUAUCUUUAGUGUCAUUUAUAUUAUCUCUAGAAGAAAUCUACUUUAUUUGCCUUGAUUUGGAUUGAAAUCAAGUGAAACUUCUAAAUAUGUAUUGAUGGUAUUUAAUUUAAAGCAUUUAUCUUUGAAUACCUUGUUGUAGAUUUCUAUUAAAAUUUCUAUUAUAUGUUCUAAAUUUAAUCUAAAUAAAGAGGUAUCCUUUUUAAUGCUAUCAUAUCAAUUAUCAUUUAUUGUUUGCCAUAUCUUUCUAGCAAUUAGUGGUUCUCUGUAUACACCUUUGAAUUUAACAUAUAUAUAUAUAUAUAUAUAUAUUUUCAUAGGCUUAGUAUGGUAUUUCUUCAUUAUAUUAGAUAUUACUAUCUGAACUCUAUCAUAGUGUGUAUUAGAUUGUUAGCUAAUAGAUUUUUUUAUUGAUAUUGCUUGAGAGCUUAUUAUUGAUGUUGCUUAUAAAAAUUCUACAUAUGGCAUUGCCCGCUAUAGUGUUUUUUUUUUUUAAUUUUUAGUUCAAGAAAACCUUAGAAUAAUUUUAGUGAUUAUUAUUAUAAAAUUUAUUGCUAUUAUUAACUUAUUUUUAAAAGAAAAAAAGAUUACUAAAACUACAACCUUUGUAUUAAUUAUUAUAUAGUCUUGCUUCUAGCUAGACCUUUAUAAAUAAAACUUGUUAUUGUUUAAGAAUAGAUAUUGAUUCAAUCAUCUUAAUUAUAAAAAAUUUAAAAUUUAAUAUCAUCUAUUUUUUAUUAUAAUUAUUUUUUUCCAUGUAUCUCUUAUUAUAUUACUUUUAUCAUUGUUAUCUUUUAUGAUCACUACAAAUGUUGAUCUUUAGAAAUAUAAUUAAUCUAAGACUAAAAUUUUAUUUAUUAUUAAGAAUUUGAACUUUUGUUGUGUAAAAGGACAUAUGAAAAAAAAUUAAGAUUGGUAAUUGAAAUUUUGUGUCUUUAGAAGAUGGGCCUAAAUAUGUAAGUCAAAAUGGGUUGGCUUUGGACUAUUUGGUAGAGACUAUUAAGAUUUUCCUUGAUCUUUUUCCUUGAUUCAGUAUAUAUUUUUGAUCCAAUUGCAAAUCUUCUAGAGAAUCAUGUUAGUUGCGUAUAGUGUUAUCUCAAGAUUAUAUUAUAAUAAAUUUAUAUAAUUCAAAAUUUGAAAAUAUUUUAUUAAUUGUUGUUGGAACUUGAAGAGAAAUUCUUGAUAUUUUUUAAAGUGAUUUUAAGUUUUUUUUUUUUUUUUUUUUUUUUUUUUUUUUAAUUUAUUUUCAAAGUGUAGAAAUUUUUAUUUUUAUUUUAUAUAAUAAUUUAAUAUUUAUUUCUAAGAAAUAAGUAACUUUAGUCUAUAUAUAUAUAUAUAUAUAUAUAUAUGUGUGUGUGUAUGUAUAUAAGAUUAAUGAAUAUAAAAGAAGGCUCCUGUAAAACAAUUUAAUAGAUUAUUAAUUAAUUUGAAGCUAAUUUUUAUUUUUUAUUAUAUUUUUUUAUUUUUAGUAAUUCUUAAGUAUAAUUAUGUUAAGAAGGAUGUAAAAUAAAAAUUAAAAGUAAGUUAGAAGUUAUUUAGGAAUAAAUUAUAUUCAAAUAUAUUUUAUUGUAUUUUUAAAUUUUAUAAGUAUUAAAAUAUUUUAUAAAAUAAACCAUAUGAAUAGUCAAUUCUUACUAAAAGAUGUAUUUUAAAUACAAUAAUUAAGUCAUUUUGGCCAAAAAAGUACUUCUAAGGCUUAUUUGAUGGCUAUUAGCCUUGAUCCUUUGAUCAAUGAAGGAAGUAGAUUUUUAGAUAUAUAAUUUUUUAUCUUUUUAAUAAUAUAAAAAAUAUUUAAAUUUUAAAUGGUCAUAAGUAAGUUUGAGCCUCACUAAGGCUCACAAGUAGUAUAUAUGAGUGUCCUAGAUAGGCGACAAUGCCUUAGUCUUAGUCUCCUACCUACAUCCAAGGUGCUACAUUCCAUAUGGAACUUGUGCACCUCCCUUCCUACAAGUACUAUAGUAGCUAUUGGUCCUCUUAUUUUUUUUUUACUAGUAAUUGUUUUUUUUCUUUCUUUCUUUCUUUUAUUUUUUUUUAUUUUUAUUUAUUUUUUGUUUUCACAAUGGUCUUCAAAAAUAUCCAAUCAGCCUAUAAAUCUCUUAAGGCUUCCAAAUCUUGUUCCAUUUCUUUGUAAUAACCUCUCAAGGUUGAUAAAAUAAUUUUUAUCAAAGUCUUAAAAAUUUCUCAAUUUUUUAAUUUUUUUUUAAAAAAAUUAUAAUUUUAUUUUAAUUUAUUUUCUAAUACUAAUAUUAAUUUAAAAUAUUUUUUUUUUACCUUGAUAAUUUAUUUUAAUAUUAAAAUUAAUUUAAAUCAUUCAACAAUGUUAUUUCUUAUAUAAAUAAUUAAAAAGAUAUGAAGUUCUUUUUCAUGCUUUUUUUACCUACUAAAUAAAAUUUAUUAUUGCUUCAAUAAUUAAUAAAUAUGAUUAAAAGAUCAAUAUAAAUAUUGGUCUCAAUUACUAAAUACUAAUUCCUGCAAUUAAAAGAAAUACUAUUUGAAUUAAGAUAUUUAUCUCUAAGACUUACUAAGAUUCCAAUUGCAUAAUUUUUUUUCUAAUAAGACUCUUAUAACUUAUAAACACUUUUAAAUUAUAAUAAAUACUUAAUAAAUAAAAAAUAUUCUAUAAUAUUUAUAUUUUUUUAAUUAAAUAACUUAAAACUAUACUUUUAAUAAUUAUGCCAAUUAAGAUCUAUUUGUAAGACUUACACUUUGGAAUAGCUUUUAUAUUAUUAUGGUCUUCCAUUCAUGUCUUUGCCUUUCUAUACUCUUUUGGUAUUUGAGCAUCUAAUAUUAACAUGUUAUUUUUAAAAAAUUUAGUAAUCACGUGAAACAUUAUGUUAUUAUUAAUAUGAUACUAAUGAUUUAUUCUAUCUAGGAUUAAUGAACUUGUUAUGCUAAAUACUUUAACAACCUCAAUUUGGAAUAUUUUUAGAAUCCUAAUGCUUCAAACAUUACUUUAACAUCUGUUUUUCAAUUUAAGUUUCUAAAUAUUUGCAUAUAGACAACAAAAAUGAAUGAUUGAGUAUUACAAACUAUUAAUUAGCAUUUUAAAGAGUCAAUAAAGACUAAUAUGUUGAAAGUACAAUUUGUAGUAGCUAUGGAUGUUUCAACUCUAUUUCCAAGCUUCAUUCACACAAAAAAAAGAAAAAAGAAAAAGAAAAAUAAAAUAAUAACAUAAAAUAACUAAUAAAAUGAAUAUUAUUAUUUUUUUUAGCUAUUAUAGCAUUGCUAAUUAUUAAGAUACAUAUAAUUAUUUUUGACUAAUUCUAUUAAAUAAUAUUAUAUUUAAAAAUAUUAUAUUAAAUAGUAAGAAAAAAAUUACAUCUAAUUUUGUUGUAGAUAAAAAAUGUAUAUGAGUUUUUAAAUCACAUCAAAAUACUUAGAUUUUCUUAUAACAUUUAAGCUAGAUAAGUCCAUAAUUUUUAUGAUUCUUGAUAAGUGAUUUUUUGGCCUUGUGCAUACAUUAUGAUAGUAUUGAUAGUUUUUUUCAAUUGAUUUAACAAAUGAGAUAAUUUCGAAUACUAUAAUAUAAGAUAUUUCAACAAUGGACAUAAUUGAGUAUUUGAGUAAGCAUAUCUUCAAAUAUUAUGAUAAUCUGCAAUAAUAUUUCAUGUCAUAUAAUUUUAAAUUUUUAUAUAUAAAAAAAUAAUUACUAUUUUAUAUUUUUUAAAGAUUAUUUUUUAUUAAUAUAAAUAAAAUAAGUAAAAAAUAUAUAAUUAAAAUAAUAAAAAAUGAAUCAAAUAGAUAUUAAUUUUGAAUAGAAGUUGUUUGUAUAUGAAUAUAUUUCACUUUGUAUGGAUAUAUACCUCGUUGCUUAAAUUUAGAUAUAAUAAUAAUAGAAAUGAUUAUAUUGGCCAUUUUCCACCUCAAAACAUGCAAUAUAUAAAGUUUUAGGAAAUAUUUAGAAAGAAAUAGUAAUGGAAAAGAAUAAUAAAUAUAUUUGUAACAAAUAAAAAAUAAAAAUCAAAAAGCAUUGCAAUGUAUAAAAUGUGUGAAUAAUUUUGUGAAUAAUUGUGUGAAACAUGAUUUCUUUGGCGUAUCCAAAAAAAAAUAUAAUAUUAUUCAAGCAUUAAAUUAAAAAUAAAAUGGCAAGUUUAAAAUUUAAAAUUUGAUUUCAACAGUGGAUUCAUAAACCUAGAAUAUUAUAUUUGAAUUAUAAGAAAAACAUUUACUACUAAAUAAAUAUGGAGGUUGUCAGUAACAACAAGGUUGUAAAGAAACAAACUUAGAUAAAACUAACCAAAAAGGUUGUGGAGUGGAAUAUUUUCAAGAUAGUGGAACAAUUUAAAAAUUCAUUUCAAAAAUAUGUAGGAUUAAAAUAAAUAGUAUGACAUUAAAUAUAUAUGAUUAAAAUUAAAGUUAAAAAAAUGAUAAGGAAAUAUAUAUAUAUAUAUAUAUAUAUAUAUAUAUUGAAAUCAACAAUAAUAGUGUUUCAACAUUAAAUCAAGUGCCAAAAACCCGAUUAUUUUAUUGAAAUAUCCAGAAAUUCCUUUUAAAAGAAAAGAAAUACUGUGACUUCUUUUUUAAACUACUGAAUAAUAUUACUAUAUCUAUUCAGAUUUAACUAAAAUAAACAUCAAAAUUUUAAACAAUACUAAAAAUUUUAUGUUCUUAUAUUGAAUCAAUAGCUCACUUGAAGUAAGAAUUAUAAAAUUUACAGAAAUAUUAUAAAGAAAACUCUCAAUAUAGCUAAUAUUUCUUUUUAAAAGAAAAAAAUUACGAAAUUUUCUUUUUAAAUAACCAGAAUAUUAGAAUCACAGCACCAAUUAGCUUUGAAGCUAUUCUAAAAUUAUACAGUACUAUUAUAUUCAUACUAUAAAUCCUAAUUCCUUUUUAAAUACACUAAUUCAUAAGGAAUAUGUAUAUGUGCAUCUAUAUAUAUAGAAAGAGAGAUAUGAAGUUAUAAGAAAAUAAGAAUAUAGUUAGUUUUAUGUCUCUUUCAAAGAGAAAAUAAGAAUAUAAUUAGUUUUAUGUCUCUUUCAAAGAGAAAAUAAAUUUCUUAGUAUUAAAUAUUUCUUAUAAAAAAAUGUAACAUAAAUUAAAAUUAUUCUAAAAAUUAAUUUUUGUCUUGUGUGUAUAUAUAUAUAUAUAUAUAUAUAUAUACAUAUAUAUAUAUUUAUGAGUAAAAUAUUUUUUGAUAAUUUUUAAAUAAUAUAUAUAAUAAUAAAAUUAUUUUUAAAUAUUAGAAGUAUCUUUAUAUAAAUUAAAAAAUACAAUCAUAUAAAACUAGCAUUACUACAUUGGCAAGGAUACAAAACAAUAUUCACUUAAGACAACUAAAACACAAAUUAGUAACUAUGUUUCAGUAAAUAUUUUAUUAUAAAACUAUUACUGCAAUUGCUUUUAAAGAAUUUUAAAAAUAAUCUUUAACAAGUCACAAUUAUAUUAUAAUUUAUUUAUUUAAUAAUUAAAAAAAACUAACUUAUUUUACAAGUAAUUGAGAUUGGGCACUUUCAUUAAUACCAUUUUUAUGUUAGUGUAGACUAAAAGUAUAUUUCAUGACAUCUAAAAAUAUAAUGUGUUACUAUCAAAUUAAAUUUAUACUUAUAUUACUAAAUUUUAAAAAAUUAAAAUCAUAAAAAUAGAUUAAACUUAUAGGUAUCUUUUGAUGUGCAAUGUUGCUAUUGAAACUUGAUUUAAUUAUUUUGUUAAUAUAGAAAGAUACAAUAGAAGCAACUAACAACCAAGACACUUAUUCUGCAAGUUGUGUGAUUUUUGUAGAGGUUCUACAUGACUUUUUAUUAAACUAGUAUAUAUAGGGGUUAGUCUAAAGCCAUAUUUUGUCAUAUCAAUGCAUUUAUUGUAUUCUAGUUUGUAAUCAAGAUUCUUUGGUUUUUGUAUUUAGUAAGCUUUCCCAAAAUAUAUCUUUAAAAAAUAUCAUAUUUUUAGUUGUUUAUGUAUUAAAUAUUCUUUAAUAAUUAUUUAUUUUUUAUAUAUAUUUGGUACAUAACCAUAUCUUUAUUUUUUCUUUUUAUUACAAGAAUAUAGAGAAAAAAUCAUAAAAUUUAUGUUUACAAUUUUUUAGAAUUUCAAUAUAUUAUAACUAAAAACAAUAAAUGGUUAAAAAAAUACUAGCUAUUUGUAUAUUUAAAUUUUUUAAAUAUUGACCCAGAUUCUAAUUUUUCUAUGUCUAUUAGAUUUUAGAAUCAAUCAAAUAAUAUAAGUAAUUAAUUUUAAAAAAUUUAUGUAAUUGUGUAUAAAAGAAUAAUUCUUAAAGAGAUCAAUUUUUUCAAUGCUUGUAUAUUUUUUAUUCAAUAAUGUUAUUUAGAUUUUAUAAUUUAAGUUGAUUAUUAAGUUUGAUAAUUAAACUUUAAGGUAUUAAUAUAAAAUAAUAUAUAAUUUUUUUUUAGAUAAUUUAUAUUCUUAGUAUAAGUUUAUUUAAGUAAAAUAAUAUUCUAAGUACUUACUAACACAUAAAUUAAUUUGGAGUGAAGAAAAAACCAAAAUUAGUAAUUAUUGUAAGAAUAAUAAUAGUAUUUAUUUACAUAUUCUUAUUAAUGACAUAUGAAAAUAUUAUUAAAUAAAUUGCAACUGUUACUUAUAUUCUAUUUUUUUUGAGUUGAGAUUUCAUCACUGAAAAAGACUAGUUGGUUAGUUGAUUGGAUUGACUAUGUUUGAAAUAAAAUUAAUUUGUAAAUAUAGAGAUAAUAUUUAAGUAGAUUAAAUGUUAUAUUCUAAAGUUGAAUUUUAGUUCAAAUUCUAAUAUCUAAAACUUAGAAUCCAAGUUUUAAAAGAAACAAAUUAUAAGAAUAGUAAGAAUAAAGUAAUAAUUGUAAAGAGAUAGGUGCUCAAAAAAUGACACUUAGAUGGCUUAGAUUUAUACUAAACCAGAAUGUAGAGUUGUACAAGAAUAUAAAAUUAACUUUUAUAGGAUUAAAAAAAAAUAUUCUAAAUGAGUAGAAGCAAUUGUAAUGUAGGCCUUAGGCUUUCAACAAAAGCAAAAAAAUAAAAAAUUGCAGAUUGUAGUAAUACUAGUCAAGAAGAUGGUUCUUACAUAAUUCAUAUAUUCUACUUAAAAAAUGAUGUACAAAGAAACUAUCCUUGGAAUUGGAUUGAUAAUAUAUUGUAUUAUUUUCAAUAUAGAAUAAACCAAGUGAAAAAUUGAAAGAAAAGAAACAACUUCUCUAGAACAAUAAUAUGUUUUCUAGUUUGGGUAGGAUUGUACAUUUAAAUUAGAUUAGCCUAAUGACAAAUCACAGCCAAGAAAAGAUGCAGGAUACAAACAUUAUCAUCCCAUUGGAUUAAAGUGUAACAUAGUAAUGAAACAAAUAGAUUGCAGCAGUAAAUGUUAACUUAUUUUGAUUGUAAUAACUAACUUGUAGUAGUAAAAAAAAGGUGAAACACAGCCAGCAAUCUAUUAUUUUAUUUUAAUAUAACAUUCUGAACUCUUAUAUUAAUUAACAUUUUUUUUGUAAAGUACAAUAUCUUCAAUAUGUAUAUAUAUAUAUAUAUAUAUUUAUUUAUUUAUUUUUAUUACAAUUGCUUUAAAAUUGGCAUGGUUUAUCAUAAAAAAUUUAUAAACAAUAAUUCCAUAUUAGAAAUAGUACCCAAUCUUUAAAAAUACAUCAGGAGAUGCAAAUGUACAAUAAUAUUUCUCAAACUGAUUUAAGAUAUUUAGUAUUGUGGACAACAUAUAGAAUUGAGUUUUAAAUCAUUUCUUUGUACAUAAGUGGAAGGUUAAAAAAGGGUUGAAUAGUAUUAAAAUAAAAUAAUAAUGAAAGUAAUUACAAAAUUGCAUUUGAUCAAUAGGGAUUUUUGAAAAAUUAAUUAAGAAAAUACUAAACAAGUAAAAUGAAAUUGAGGUGUGUGUCAAUUUGAAAAUAAUACUUCGUGAUGAUAUAUGUUGCUGGAUAUUAAAUAAGAAUACACACGCAGUUUUUACUUUAAUGGUUUGACUUUCAUGAGCUUCUGAAGUUUUUUUUAUUUUUUUAUUAUUAUUUUUUUUUAACUGAUUGUGGAUGACUGUGCAUAACGUAUGGUCUAAAGACAAUAUGAAUCAACAAAAAUGAAACAGUAUUUUAUAAAUUUGGUACAAAUAGUUGAAAAUGUGUUUUAAGAUUGACAUGGAUUAAAAAUUGUUUAUCAUUUUUUUAAAAACAAAAAAAAGUUGAUUUAGAAUUAAAAUUAAAAGAGGCUCAAGUACCAAUGUUAGAAAAAGUCAAGGUAUAAAUAAUACUUUGUAUGAAUAUUAUAAAUAUAAUUUUUUGUAAUGAUUGUUGAAAAAACCAAAAUAAAAAUUCAGUAAAAAACUCUUUUAAAAUGUAACAUUAUAACAAUAAGAAGUAAAGGCCCUUGAAUGACUACUAAAUUAAUAUUUUAUAGAUUUUUGACUAAUUUGAGGGAUUUAGACUAUAGUGUUCUUUGAGGUUGUAAUACAACAAAAAUGUGAAAGGAUUUGUAUAUGACAUGUGCAAGCUUUCAUUAGUUUAUAGUUUUAAGUUCUCCUCAUUUUUCCUAAAUUGGUUUUGAAUUAUUUAAUUGAAUUUUGUAUCAAUAAUAAGAAAUACGAUAAAAAAAAUUCUCGUUAUUAAUAAGCCAUAUAAAGUACUAAACAAUGUUGUUUUUCUAUUCAUAUGAUUUGUUCCUCCACAUUCUAUUAUAGGGGGGCAUUCAAUAAGGAGAAACGGGCCAAAGAAAUUUUCUCCAAAUAACACACACCGCCCACUCUCCUUCCAAAAGAUUGGCCUUUUGUUGUGUUUUUGUUUUGUUUUGUUUUUUUUUUUUUUUUGAAUCUUUUCAAAAUUGUGGAAAAAAAAGUGACCAAUGAUUGAAAAUGGUCCAAAAUAAUUAGUUUAAUAAAUUUCCAAAAGUGGUUUAAAUGAUAAUCAAUUCUAAAUAAUUUCAAAAAAAUAAUAACUUCCUCCUUCUCUACUAGGAAGAGCUUUUUGUAUUAUCCAAUUAUUGUCCAAAUAUCAUGCUAACCUUAUUGAAAAACCCUCCUAAUGCCUAAAAAGGAGUGCUUGAAUAAUAAUUCUCCAAAGUGGAAAGAAUGGCUGUUGAAGAUGGAUCCUUUUUACCAUAUAACACACCCGAAAAAAGGAAUAAAAAUAAAAUAAAAUCAAAACAAUGCACCACGGUCAUGGGAGCCCACACAAUCCCAAACAAUGGACGGCCAAGGGACCACCGGGCGCCCCAACCGAGGUACCGACAGCCCGAAUUCCUAUAAUAGAGCCACGCAUCACCGUGGAGCCCGCCGUUGACCCAGAAAGAGGGAUGGAUGUGAGAUAAUGUCAUCCAACGAAAUGGAUUAUUCAUCCAAUGAUGCACGCAGCACACAAUUCCGCGCACUCACUUAUUGCCGAGCACCGCAACCGGGUCCGCCUGAGCUCGCAGAUCGCUGAAGCUUCCGCUUCAAAUCAUCGGGGCGCUUCGGCACAUCGCCCCAUGAUCUCAACAGGAAAAAAAUUAAUCAGCCUGUGGGUAUCUCGUGUUGCGCUGCUGUUGCUGCUGGUGCUCCGAUUCCUUCCCCCAGCUUGCUUUGUUCAUACUUUUUCUUCUCGCAUUGGAAACCUGACAGCCUGUUUUGUCUGUUGCAUUGGCAGAGGAGACUCUGACCUCGCCCCUCACGCUGAUCGUGUGGUGGUGUCCUGCCAUAAUUUGGGUGUGUUUGAAUCAUCACUCUGUUGGGUUCAGUGAGUGAUUGCUGAGGUCGCUCGGGGUCGCAUUUGAGGUUCUUUACUUGCUGCAUAGGAGGAAUUGGGAGCCCCGGUUCUGGAUCUUCCGGUGAUUUGUAGUUUACGCGCACAGUGGGCGUGUGCGUGUGCGUGUGCUCGUGUUUUUUCAUGAAUGUGGUGAGGGACUUGCCGUUUAUGGUAUUGUGUUUAACCUUUGGCAGCGGUAGAGGGAGCUGGUAAAAAUCAGCGACUUUCUUCGACGUUUGGUUAGUUUGAUGACCGAGUUUUAGAUGGCCAGCAGAGGUCUCCAGUUAUCUCUUUGGACUAAGUGAUGUACUUUGCCAACACCCAAUUUUUUUUCUUUUUUUUGAAGGAUAUCGAAACUAGUUUUACACGGUCUUCUCUAGCUCUGAAUACUUGGAAUUAGAGAUCCGCUAAUCGAUUCAAUCUUGAAGCCUUAGAUCCGAAUUUUAGGUUUAUCUAGGGUUAAAUUCAAGAUGUCGAGGCGACAUCGAUAAUCCUCUAUCGCCGUCCAGCACUGGAUAAAAUCAGCAAUCUCUCGGUUCGUCUCCCCCACACUUUCACUAUGACUACAUUCGAUUUCAUGAAGCAGCGGUUUGCAGAUGCCUCGGAGCACCAUGCGGUGAAGAAAGUCGGCUCAGCGUUGUUCUACAUGCUCCUGGCAGUGUUAGCCCUUAUUAUGACGGUCAUGAUCUGCGGGUACAUCAUCUACACUAUUAGCUUCAUCGUGCCCCCCUACUUCCAUUUCAUGUACGUCCAUGGCCCUUACUCUUUCUUGGUGCUGCUGGGCUUGUGGACCGCCGCAGUCGUGAGGUUUUUGUCUCUGUCUCCUGAGGAUCCCUUGUCUUUCAAAUGGGAGAUAUCCAUGUACGCUCUCUCCACAUUCGUCAUGUUUACAGGAGUGGGUGCCUUUGUGGUUUUGCCCUUCGUUCACCACACAAAUUGAGACCUGCACAACAAUUCAUGAAUUACUGGUCAGAUCUCGAUUGACUAAUCGUACUUUAUGCAAUUGAUUGCACCCAAUUUGCGGCCAUUGGAUUCAAAUAUGAAUUCAGCUGCGGUAUAUAACGAAGAGGAUGUACACCUCCAAUCUAUAGACGAUGAAGACGAAAUUGAGUUGGAAAUGAGCACGAUUGUUCCUUCCGACUUCGUGUGCAGAACACUUGCCACACUAGUUCUAGUCCCAUUUUGAACUGCAUUAGAAUACUGGCAAUAGCUAUGUCCGAGAAUAGUUACUUUCAGCUCAGCUUGCCAUGGCUUGUUGAAGGAGCUUCAAGUAGUGUAGCAUUGAUAACAAAGUAACAGCUUCUGAGGUCAUUUCGAUUGUAGUUGAUAUCCAGCUUGUAAUUAUUUGGGAUGAUUUGGCAAGAAGCAUGUGCUGGAAUUUACAUGACCUCGACAGCACAUGCUUAGGCUGAGACUAGAAGCUGUUGACAUACUAUCUGAUCAGAGCAGAGCAGAGCGGCUUAUCUUACGCCUGUUUUUUCAUCCAAUUCUACUUUCCACCGCCCAUGACCAGCAAGAAAGUCUAUGAAAUUUAGGCCACUCUUCAAGUUUUCAUCGGCCACUACUUUCUACUUAAGUUGAGGGCAACUUCUCGCUCAAAGACAGAUGCAAUGCCUCACCUGCUCCUCCGAAUCUUUGAUCUCAACUUACGUGGCGAGGUUUACGAAGUAUUGCUACUUUUCUGCUUUUUGCAUCAUUUCCAGAGUCACCUACAGCCUUCAGCAGGCAUAUCUUGUGGGUCCUUCGAUGUCGAUCUUACCUCUUGGACAUGUCUCCUCAACUUGGUGUCUCUAGAGGUUUGUCUAUGGCCCCACUGGCCUCACGAAUUCAAGCACCGUCACUUCUUUACCUCCUUAAUUGUUGUCCUGAAUCGCUCUAAGUCUCUGUCGUGAUUGCCAUGAAUCCUUGUAUACCCCAUGAAGUAUAUUCAAUCAAUCUCAUUCUGACUUAAUCAAAAAAACAAAUGGAAGCCCAAUAAGCACUUGGAUACGUGUGCAACCUCUCCCAACAAAAUUUUGAAUCAGCCCUCAUCCCAAAAGCAAGCCUUGCAGUAUUCCAAAAUGCGCCCCCUCUUAUCAUUGGUUCAACAAAGACAAAUCACCUGCAUGUGAUAUUGCAACGCUGAAUCGUCCUCUUGUUACCCUACUCGAAUUUAUUUUAACAAGAUCCACUCACUUUUCUCACUUUCCUCACUUUCCUCACCUUCGGUGUCUUCCAUGUGAUGCCAAUUUACGCUUCCUGAAGAGGAAAAAAGUGCCUUCACACUGCAAAGUUGACUGAAAUAGUUGGUCAGCUACUUUUGCAUCUUAGCUUAAGAAAAGCGAGAGAAAACAUGCACAACGUACCUGCGUGUGUUCAAAGAUAACAAAUAUGGGCCGUGCUCAUUUCCCGGUUCGGAAAACCAGGUUCAGGGGCUGCAAUUCCUACCGUUCCAGAACUGCUUCAGAAGCCACACAUGUAAGUCCAUUCUUAGCUACGUACUGUUGAGAAGCCACUGUGCCUGAUGGUGGAGGCUUGUAGCUUCAUGUACACUCAAAAUGAUCGUCAGUUCAUUUAGUUUGGAUUUUAGCCAAAAAAGAGAAGGCACGGAAGCCUAAACACAUCACAUUAUUGUUCACUCCUGUUCAUCAGCUUGCAGAUGAACAACAGUGAUGCAUUCGCAAUGUUUAACUUAACUUAUUGCGAGUUCAUGUGACACUUCUAGUGUUGCCGAACCAGUUCUACACAGUUAAUAUUUCUCCAGCUACAUAAUUCUCUACAUCUGAUUAUGCCUCACAACAGUCACAAUUGUUCUCAGGAUUCUUCACAUUAAUUGGACUUGACAUCUCUCUAUCAGUAUAUCUGAGCAGAAUGUCGCCGAACACAAACCUGCCAGGAUCUUCUACAUGCAUCAACACUUGCAGGUUUUUGGUUCAUUAAUGUAUUGUUGUCCUGUCGCAAUGUCUGAAUAUCCCAGGAAUAAGCCUGUGAAGCCCUCUGUUUAAGAUUCUUCGCUCUCAAUGAACUAAAAUCAGCUUUGUUUGUGAAUCAAAAGGUUCAAUCGUUUGUAAAUAUCUCAUGCGGUAUCUAACUGUUAAAUAACUUAGCUUUUUAUGUUAAAUUUGAUCUAUGUGAUGAUUGGUGGGUAGUUUUUUAAUCUCAAUUUUGUUGAAUACCUAAGUUCGAUAGAUUGUGAUGUGCGAAUGAUCUUUUAUCUUUUUCUUUUUCUUGGAUGAUUUUGGUAUAAUUAUUUAAAGUCUAUCCAGAUGAAUUUAAAGUUAUUGUUGAAACUUACGAUUUUUUUAUAAACAUAUUUUUUAGUUUGUAAUUCUUUUGCCAAAAGAAAGUGGGUGCAUUAGUUCCAAUUUAGUUAUAUUCUUUAUUUUAUAGUUUUCUUUCUUUAUUUUAUAUACUUCACAUGUUUUAUAUUGCAUUAUCAUAUUGAGUAAUGAAUAAUAUUUUCUUCUUUCAUUAAAUCCAUCAAUAAAACCUCAAAGCUCAAUAAUUUUACACAGUUCGCAAUUGCAAAUUUAAAGUACAUGUACAAAUCAAUAUAUUUCUUUUUGAAUACUUUCACAAUCAAAACUAUUAUUUGAAUUUAAAAUCUCCAUUUUUUUUUUUUAGUACACCAUAAAAAACACUAGAUCAUUGAACAUCUUGUACAUCAAUGUUUUUUGUAUUAUCCAUGGAUGCUCAUUAGAAAAAUACAACUAUUGACCAUCAUGAACUUAUUAGUCUUUUUCUUUUAUAAUAUUUUUCUUCAGGAGUAUAAAUUGUUGAUGUCAAUGUAUUUUUUAUUCAUAAACUCUUGAAAAUUUAGACCAUUACUCCCCCCCCCCCCAAAAAAAAAAGAAAAAGGGCAUAAUAAUCUUGAAUUACAGUUUUGUAAUUGUUGUAAUGGACAUUGCUGCCAAAGUUUAUUUUUAUUUGAAUCCACCAUAUGUAAUCCCAAAAUCUUGUGUACCACGAACAUAUGUAUUGAAAAGUUUUCAAACAUUACAAUCUUUAUGGUGGACAUCAAACUGAAAGUCGUCAACAUUAUUGGUUACAAAUGCAACAAUAGACCUUGUAAAACGACCAACAACGGGAAAACUUCCCAGGAGUUCCGUGUGAGUAAAAUGAGCUUCCUUGAACAAGGCACACUGUUAAAACCUGAACUGAAUUUCGUUGCAACGAGCAGAAUGGGAAAAAAAUAAAAUAAAAUAAAAAUCAUGUGGCCAAUACCUCUUGAGGAAUGAAGCCAGUUGUCAAGUUUUCAACAACCAGUGCUCCUGAAAGAAACGUGGGAGCAUCGGAGAGAGAAGACAAGUUCAUAAUACAACAGUCAGUCACAAUGCCAGUACAUGGAUGAUUGAAGGUUCUUCAGUGUGAUGGAUUGCGGUGGUUAUGCUUUAGAUCUGUUUCUGCAGACUUGCUGCAGAUGGAAUAUCUUGAAUCGUAUCAGUUCAUGUGCAUAGGCUGGUGAUGGUCCAGAUUCAUUCAAGCUUUGCAUCACGAUUCCACCAGAUGGUUUCGCCGUAAACGGUUACAUUCAGUCAAUUCUUUCACAUGCUUGCACAAGUCGUAUGUGAACGUGGGUUAGCACAGCAGUUCACAACUUUGCCAAGUUAGCAAUGUUGAUGAUGCCAGAGAUGAUGGACAGAUUGAUGAAAAGCGUCGUCGUGCCGUAGACUUUGAUUGUCACUAGGAUUGGAGGAUAUGGUUACGGAGUAGAAGCCAUGCAGGUGUUCGAACAAUGUAGGCUGGAAGAGUAAGAUGACAAUUUUGGGCGUUUGCGAGUGUCCUGGCAUGCUGGUUUCGUCGAUUAAGGAUUGCAUGAUUUCUAGUUGAUAUUUUCAUAGAUGAGGUCUUAAGUUGACUAUAAUACGCUUUCGGUCAGGUGGACCGAUUGGAAGAAGCAGUGAACCUUUCCAGGGCGUGCCACUCAGCUGAUGCACCAACCUCGAAAGUUGUUUUGUCAAGGUGCAGUGGAAUAAUGCAGAUAAUUUAAUAACGGCUCGGUAACGUUUACAAACUCCCGAAGGCCCCACCAAACACAACUUUCAAUCACCUCAGAGUUCAAAUCUAAGGUGAUUGAGAGAGAAACGUCCAGCGAUUCACGUCAUUUCAGUCACUUUAAAGAAGGCAUGUUUUCUCAUGGUUUGUGUACUGGAAAUAAUAAAAAGCUGGCCAUACGAGUUCGCAAGGGAUUUUCAGUAGAUGAGGGUCAAGCAGCACAAAGCAACAUCACUCUGACUGCUCUUUACUGGAAACAGUACUAACAUAGAAAAGGUUUCUAGUCACAUAAAUAAAAAGACAUUUUUAUGUUGUUCAGUGUCAUUUAUAACUUAUGCUGCAGCUGACAGGGUAGUUGAAUCAUCUCUCUACCCUUGAAAUGUUCUCCCCGGUGGCGGAACUUCCAAAUUCUUUUAGAAUUUUGUUGCCAACACUAUCCUCUCAAAGAGCUCUAUGGCGCCUAUGUAGGCACCAGUUGGUUGAAACAAGUUCAAAUGUGUUCAGAUGGGUGUGGUUAGGCAACCUGUGAGCAUGUAGUUCAGUGUCAGUUUUCGAUUUUGAGAAAAGAAAAAUUGAAACCCCACCGCACAUUGUAAGAACCGCCCCUGUGAAACUCUGCGCUUUCUCAUUCCUGGUCUGUAAAAUCACCUUGAAUGAAGCAAUCACAAACCACAGAAAAUGCGCCAUUCUUAGUCAUGGUUUCCCGACAAAUUAAGGAGGCAAAAAACCUAUGCUCCACUAUUUCACGGACUCAACUACCACUCGUGUUCACUUGCGCACAUGAUCCGCGCUGUAGUCGUUUGCAGAUACGAUAACCUCGUAGGUAACAACCUACACAGCAAGAGUGCGACAUAUGAUGAAUGUUAGACCGAUAGUACCUCAUAGCAGACGCAGGUUUCAGUCUACGAAGGACCAAUCCUCAUGCUACAGUAACGUUUAAUACAUUGAUAAUUACGUUGUAAUCCAGCAUCAAGCACGUUGGACUCACAAAGCGUGGAGAGGAGUGUUCAGAAUUCAUGAAAUGUGGAAGCGGGAACGGACACUUCCUCCUCCCAAUUCAAGCCUUCACCAGCUUUGACCGACUCCGCUUGGGGUGCAAUGAGCACGACUGGAGUUUCCAACGGCGGCGGCUUCAUAUGGCGGAGGAGCGACCAGUUGAUGCCACUAAAGAAUGGAUGGUUCUUCACAUCGUUGGCGCCGUUGCGGGAGCCAAGCCGUUUGUUUGGGUUACGUUGCAGAAGGUCCCGCAUUAACUGUCGCACAAGUAUGCUUACCGGAAUGCUUGUCGGGAAGAUGAGGUCUCUUUGGAGCACAUUGGUGAAUGUCUUUUGUCGAUUUUUCCCUCGGAAUGGUGUUCGACCAUACAGCAUUUCGUAGAUUAGGAUCCCUGCCAGUGCAAAAGUCUCGACAAGAUGUGAGAUUGGAGUGGUUAGGGAACUGCAAGAGAGAAAGUGAAUGACCGUGGAAGAAAUGCUUACCGAGCGCCCACCAAUCCACGGCGCUGCUGUGACCAAGUCCAGUGAUAAUUUCCUGUACAGCAAUUCCGAGAGGCGAUAUUACACACUUUCCAUAGAAGCGAUGUGCAAAAGACGCAACUAACAUAGAGAACUAAUGCAGAGACUUACAGGCGCAAUGUAUUCUUCAGUACCCACAAAGGAGUUCGAACAAGUCGCGGGUUCUAUGAAGAAUAUCGGAGGAGGGAAAUGUUUUGGCUUUCUGCGGCGGCCUGGAGGCAGAGCUUGUUCGACGAGCUGCACGAUUGCCAACAAUUCGUUACGCUCGCAGAAGGCACAAUAACAAUACAGCUUUGAGAAAGACGAAGAAUGGAGGCAAAUUGGUUUCGAGUAUCUAGUCUUCACAUAAACAAAUUGGCGGAACGCACCCUAGGCUUCGCCGAUGUCAAGAAUGACAAGUCAAAGUCCGUUAGCUGUAUAUGCCCGUCCGCUUGGAGCAAGACGUUUUCUGGCUUCAGGCCCCGGUACACGACGCCUGUGUUCCACGCGAGCCACAAGUCAAACACAAAUGUACACAAAUUGCCGGUCCCUCGUGACUAAAUCAUGCUCAAUCCUAAUUUUUAGUGAAGAAUUCUGCAUCUGAAUGUGAUGACAGUCCUUACCAACGCAAUGCAGAUACUCAAGAGCGAUGACGACUUCGGCCGCGAAGAAACGGACCACGUCUUCGGUGAACACUUUUCGCGGUUGCUGCUCGAGGAGCAAGAAGAGUUCACUACCAGGGCAGAAGUCGGUGAUCAAGCAAAUGUGCGUCUUCGUCUGCACAAUGUCGCAACCUCCGCACUCAAGCGUGAGAUGUGUUUAACCUUAAGAUCAAUUGUUUCAACCCCAGUAUGAGGAAAUUUACUCAAAAACUGAUACAUCGAAACAGAGGUAGAGAACAAGGGAUCUGGAAGGUUGUGUAUAGAGUAGGCAGAAACGGAUGAUCCACCAAAUCCAGAAUGUCCCGCUCUGCGCGUGCUCGGUGCACCUUGUUCCGCAGCAUCAUCAAACUUUUGUCCAUCGCUUUCAUGGCGAACACCAACCCCGUCUCACGAAGCUCCACCAAAUGCACACUGCACAGCAGAGCAAUCCGUUAUCAAAACCAUACUAACGACCAACAUCCAAACCCAAAUAGCAUGGAAAAGUAUUGCACAAUGGAGAAGAUAACUGCACACCCAAAGUACCUUCCCGUGUCACCGGACCCCAGAGGCUUGAUUGGGCGAAAGUCUUUCAAUCCUAGACUUCGCCCAUCAUUCGUUAUUUUUCGAAUUACAUCCCAAGCUGGUGAGUCUUUCCUGUGCGGCUUCGGGUGCACAAGCAGUGAAUGCGUGAACCACAAAUCAGCGGGAUUCUUGCGCACGCAACCCAACAAACUCGUGAGUAAUCUGCUUAUUGAAAGCAAGGAGGUAAUGAAGAUCCAAGGAUCUGAUGCGUGAAUGAACCAGAAGUAGUACCAUAUUAGCAUCGGGAAGCUCCCGCAGGGCGCCAUCGAUGUUACCAGCCGUCUCUUGCACUUCUUUAGUCCCCUCUUUCUCAGUUUUCUUGGGCAACCCACGUCUCUCCGGUUCAAGAUACUCGCUGCCAUCGAGCUGAACUCCAAUAAAGUAUUGCAACUCUCCCUGCAACUAACCGGAAGUACAUGAGAAAUUCAUCUCUUGCUAUUCAUCAAGGUACUGCUGCAAUUACUUAGGGUUGCAGAUAGAAUGCGAAUAACUCACAUUAUGAUCUCGCAUACUCUGCAAGUGGAACAGAUUCCAAAACGGCUUCCCUGCAGCACCACGACUUCGACAGUUAGUCAAGAUUCCAUCGUCUGAUUCAACUUUCACAAUUUACCACAAGCCGGAAUAGCCUGUAGAAUCUUUGUGUUAUCAGAAACAGAACUCCUGCAUGAAGCGUCCAACACUUACCACUCUUGGUGUAAUUGAGAAGCUGCACUGUGAUGUCGCGACGGGCGGCAAUGGCAUCGCGGAUUUGAUCAACGACAGCGCGGUCUGUGUCUGGUCCUUGUAAGAACCGGCAAUUUCUGCCGAGAAUCUCCUCUCGACUGUACUCUGUCAACUCCAGAAACUCGUCGGAUGCAAAUAUCUGCCAUUUGUGUGGCAUGAAACAAGCUUAAUUGCAGGGUCUGAUUGCUGGAGGACAGAUGGUGCAAAAACUUUCGAGAGAAUAAACGUGGCUGUACUUACAAUUGGAUUGUCUGGAAGGCGAGGAUCAGUAAUCACGAAAUUUUUCGGAAUACGUUCUAAAGUAGUUGCCAGAUCAAUACCACGUCGAGUCUUCUUACUCCUCUCAACAUCAACUUCAAAACUCUCCGGCCGGUCUUCGUCGUCCAGCAUUCUCAGCUCAGGAUCCAAUUCGGGGUCCGGUAAUGCAGGCUCCGAUUUCCCCAACCUGCACAGAGUCGCAUCUCUAAUCAGAAAACCACUGUUACCACCAAUUUUAAUAAUGUAACAUGGGCCAUACAGCAGACGUACCCAAGGAGGGACAAAAACCCAGACGAUCGCCGAUUUCGCCGUAGAGAGUGCGCGAGCUGAUCAUUCUCGGGGGUAUUCGAAAAAUGAGAAUCACUUCGCAUCAUGACGUUUGUGCUGGUCGACCGUCGUCGUGAGGAAUCAAUCUGACGACCUUGGAAUGUGGGCUUUGUAUUCGUCACAGAAUGGGCCAUGUCAUUCUCUGUCAGCAUCGAUGGCGUUGGUUUCAGGCUAGAAGUUGGUCUUUUUGUGGUCAAUGUUAACGCUCCCGAGUUCUUCAACGCCAUAACUAGGUCGCCAACAGCUUCCGCUGCCUUGUCUUGCAGUCUUACGUCGUAACGGAUCAGUGAUUCGGGCAGGCCGUUAGGACGCAACGCCUUCUCCUUCAAGCCAUCCGUGUGCUUACUCACCUCAACCUGCAUUCUGGUCUCCAAUUAUCAAAUCCUCAUCAACGUUAAAUUAAUCGGCAGUGUGAGCUCGAAUCGAGUCUGUGGAGACUGAAUGGAUUCUCUACGCUGCAGAACAACUAACCCGAUAUAUUUCAGAACUUUGCCGGCAUCGUCCUUGAUCGGGGUCAUGGUAAGCAGGUUCCAAAACGCGGAACGAUCCUUCUUGUAGUUGAGCAAGCGGCCGCAGAAGUUCUUGCCCUGCUGGAGUGCCUCUCUGAUACUCGCAAUGUCCGCCUUGUCAGUUUCAGGGCCCUGCAAGAAACGGCUGCUCCAAAGCGUACACAAUUAGCUAAGUGUGCAUCAAUAAUAGGCCGAGCACAGAAGGAAUUACAGCACUUCAAGAAACUGCGAACUUACCAGCUACGGCCGAUGAUCUCCUUCGGCGUAUACCCCGUCAUGGUAAAGAAGCCUGCACUUGCAUACAAGAUGGGAAAGUCGGGUUGUACAGCAUCACACACCACGAAGGUCUGCUGGAAAGUGGACAGAGCAUCCCUGACUUCGCGUGAGACCCUUGGCACGUUAGAUGCAUGACUUACGUCGCUGCCUGCAUCUGACCUUCCUGCGUCUGACGCCUCCGAAGUUCUCAUCGAUGCUGGGAGUUUUCCGAUGCAGAUCAAUCUGUGGGGAUAGCGCAGCUUCAGAUUCUUGCUCUCCUUCUGCUACCGAAUUGCCUCCGAACAAAGUUCCUGCCGCUCGAAGAUAGCAGGUACUCGUGGGCGCGCCUCCGAAUACCUCCAAGGAUUUUCGCUCUGAACGUGGGGCAGCAUUGUACCUGCCGCGUCCCCACGAACGCCCUGAGGCGGCAGCCGCCAUCCCAACCUUGGCGCUUGAGGAUGAUGGAUCCUGGUCCUCCAUCGUGCUCUUCUAACAGCAGCCUUAUCCCAACACCUGCACAACCAUUGCCAAGUCAGCAAUUAUCACCAAGACAUGCCACCUUCACAGAUUCUGCCCUGCAUAAUUUGCAACAUAUGAACUAAUCUCCUUAGUGGUCGAAAUGGCUUGUCAUACAUAUCGAUGACUUCACAUGAAAAUCUAGCAAAUGGAUACUACGCUCGUCUUACGCCCUCGGGAAAUGAAUACUAACAAAUUAACCAAUGAGAAAAACAAUGUCGCUGCGGCGAUUACUCCAAGAGUGAAAUACCUGAUAAAACAUUUUGUAACUCACUCCUACCUGAAGCUCGCAGCGGAAGGGAUGCAGAACACAAUCUGAAAUAUGGGAGUCGACACCCCCGGAUUCAACACGCAUCGCCGUUUGGAGAAAUUCUGGUCAUGCACUUUAUAAUCCCAACGGUCACAUAAAUCCAAGUAGAGCGUCCAAAAAAUGGUUCAACGUCGUUGACUAUACUGCGAACACACUGCACCCACUCUCUCACCAUGGAUUCUUGAAAAGCCAACAACACGACUAGCUCCUCACAAUGUCCCAGCUCCCCGAUGCACCCCGGCGGCAGAAGACACCAAAGUGGCCACCUGCCCAGCUCGCCUUCCCACGCGCACAGCAGGAAGGCAACAGAAGGUGGUGAAAAUGCUAUAUUUUAGAGGAAACGGCCAUGCACCACGUGAAGCCGACAGGACACCAUGCGCCUCCACUUGAGAAAAUCGCCAACGCCUUCACAACGCAAAUUUCGAUGCGAUUUGCGCACUGUUGACAUUGAACCUGACUGGUGGCCUCCUCUCUGUCUUUGUCAGAGAAUAUAAGCUAGCCUGCGCGGUAGGCUCUUCAUCGCUGCCCAGUUGGAUUCACGUUUUGCAGCUAAGCAGCCAUGAUGACUGCAAUUUUACCAAACACUUGGAUCAUCUCUUGAAUGCGCUUGCAGCAACCGCCAUGUGGAGAUCUCUCGUUUGCUCAUUCAAGGAUUGAGCCCGUUGCUCAGUUGCACGUAGAUGGCUUUCUGGUGAUUGCCUAUUGGCUUUCUUAGGUCCAUAGACUAGCAACAGCAGCAGGAUUUUCUUACAGGGUGGGAGAGGGGUUUGUGGUGGCGGCGGCAGCGGCGGCUGAUAUGUUGGAUCGAACACCUUCGCUAUGUUUCCUCCCCUUCGACAUAUCGCCCAUCAUCCAACAAGCAUAUCGUAAUUCAUCGUUAGUAAACAAAAGAAUACCAAUGUGUAAUUUAUAAUUUUCAGUUAUUAUUAUUGUUCAUAAGUCAUGCAUAAUUGCAUCACCUAAUCACUUCACUCUGUCAUUUAACAAGCUAGAGUUUACUUGUUGAUAAAAUUUGAGGUGAAAUACUCUACUUGCCAGUGUAUUUGCAAAGUAAAUUCAUGAUGUAUUGUAGAACGUUUAAUUGUGUGGAUAAUAGCUGCAUUUGCCGCAGCAACUCUUUGUUGUGCUAUGAAUCAUCAAUUUUUAUUAAGGUUUCCUCAUCUUUAUUUUUUCCAUGUACACACUCCUUCAAAAAUCCAUGAUUUCUGACCACAUUCUGGAUGGAUUCGUUCAAAUCUCUACCUGGCUAAAACACAAUUUUCACCUGUUUUUGUUGUGUUUUGAAUUUAAUUUGGAAACUUUCCUAGGCAAAGCUGGCUCUGGAUUGUGGAUUGUGGAGCGUGCAGUGCGAGGUCUCGUGGGAUGAAGCGGACAUCAUGUGGAAAAUAGUUCACAUGCAGAUGCAAGAGGCGAACAGGCUCGGUGUGGACGUCACUACGGAGGCAGAGACGCUUCGAGUAACUCCAAAACCCAAAACCAAACCCGCAGGCAGGCUCCACACGGGCGUCAGCCGGCAGCUUCUGACGCUUUGCGAAGGUAGUCAUAGCUCUCGGUCUACCUACAGGGGCUGAGCUCACUCAUUGCAGUUUCUGUGGGACCCUCCGAUGCCAGAAUUUCUUACCUCGAAGCAGCUGCAGUAACCAAAGCGCUUGCCCAUAGACCUUCGAUUUGCUCCUGCCAACUGAAUCUUGCUGAUCGCAGCUGCCGGAUCUCAUGCAAGGUAUAGCAUGAAACGCCGUUUGCAAAAAAAUACCCCCCACGCAGAUUCAUCUCGUACUAUGCAUUUGAAAUGGAAACAGUGGCAAGUCGGUUUAGCAGCUUGGAAGGAUGAUGCUCUCGCUCAACCCAGUCAAUCAAAACUCAAUAUCUAUGAACGCAUGGCAUGCUCACCCUUGCUUCGUAUCGCUCUUCCCUGUCAGCCCAUGAUGUGGGUACGAGAAGAUCCUCCACGAGGCACGUCAAAGCCACGCACUGUGGCUGGACUGCGAAGCUCUGCGAUCUCGCACGGGCUGGCUGGAUCCAUGCACCCAGCUCCUUUAACACCAGACUGUCAGGGUGGGUGCGGUGCGGCGAGGGUAGUCCAGGGUGAAUGUCAGGCCUGGGGGACGAGGGUGGCGAUGGAGCAUGGAUUCUGCACUUCCUCUGCUCUGCUGCAUUUCUCUGCUGUGUUUUUAGGAUUGUGGAUUCUCUCGCAGGAAUUUUGUGAUGGAGCAGGAAGAUCAUGCCCUCGUGGUUUCACGGGACGUAAGCUCUUGCAACUCUGCCGCUUGUCGGGGAUUGCAUCGGACCAACUCCAUUCACUUUAAGAGAUGGUUUCCCACUUUACGAAUGAAACAUAACAAACAAACUGUAAAGAAGUUGAAGCAAAUAGAAAGAAAAUAAAUAAAUAAAUAAAAGUUAAAUAUUAACAACAACAAAAAGAGAGCAGUAGUAGGAGAGGUGGAAUAGAAAGUGGGGAUAUUUAAGUUGUCCUUAGUGGGUAACUUUGAGUUAACAUUUUCAUUGAUUGAUACAAUGAUUCACUGUAAAAUGCAUACAUGUUGAAUAAGAACUAGCAGUAAGAAUUUAAUAUGUUAAAGAAAAUAUCAUCAUGUCAGCUCAGACGGCUCUGGGGGACAAGUCAGCUCGGCAUCUUUGCUGCCAGCAAGGACAACGGACCACUUGGCUGCCAUGUCAGCAAAUUUGACUCCCACUUGUACCUGGGGAUUACCAAACUUGCCCUUGGAAAGGGAUUGUGGAGCAACUUCCAAACCCAAUGCCACAAAUGGGCACUUUAAGAGUGUUGAUAUUUGUGGUACAUUCAUCUCUUUUGAUCAAGAAAGUAAAAGGUACACAUCAUGCAUAUUUGUACAAUUGUAGACAAAAUCGCCCCAGUUCUUAUACUUUUACUUAAUGUAAUGAACACUAAUUCUAUUUUUAAUUUUAGGGGGUGGAACAAUAGUUUAUUUAUUUAUUUUGGUAAAUUAUAGAUGUGUAAAAGCAUGUAGUCUUCACCACUUGGAUAAACUUGUUACUUGUAGAGUGGAUGUGAGAGAAGAUGAUUAAAACCUAUCUACAUGGUAAAACUUUCAACAAAUAACUUUAAACUUUGCAAAAUAAACUAAAAGCUGGAUAUUUAUGGAAAUCUAAUUAAAAUAAAAAAUAAAAAAAUAAAAAUCUUAAUGUUUAUAUUUUAAGAUGUAUUUUUUAUUAUUAUUGAAUUAAUUUUAAUAUGUAAAGUAAUAUUAUUUUGUUUCAAAUAAAGUCUUUUCCAAAUAACAUGUGAUGAUUUGAAGAUUGCUUCAUAUCAUAUUUAUCACAUCAUAAUGAAUCAGAAUUUAACAUUAAAUAUAAUAAUUACAUUUAAUGGUAUUCUACGACUCUUAACAAAUGAAAUCAUAAAUGAAAAUAAAGAAAAAUGUAAGAAAAGAAAAGAAAAAAUAAAUCAAAAAAUCAAAAAAUCAAGCAAUGAGGGAUUAAGCAGUCUAACAAUUUUGUAUAUGCAAUGACUUAGUUGCAUAUUUUGCAUAUUUUAUCUUUUGUUUUAUUAUUUUCACAGAAAAAUUAUUACAUAUUUUUAAUUUUUUAAUUAUACAUAAUAUUGUAAUUUUUAGAAUGUAUGUUAAAUUGAAUUUUAUUAUUGUAAUAAAAUUUUAUAUUAUACAGUGUUUCCCAUUUUAAUUAAUAUCAUCCACUGCAAGAAAAAGUAUUAAUUACUAGAGGUUAAUAAUCUUUAAAGAUGGCUUGGUGAAGGUAGGAUAGAAAUCAUGCUUGCUAAGGCCUUACAAUCUAGGUUGUGUACUUUUAGCAUGGCAACCAUGUGGCCCUGCCAAUUCUUUGGUCUUGCCUUGCCUAAUCAAGUAUAGCCAUGUAGCCCUACUAGCCGCAUGGUCUUUGUUAAUUGAUGAAAAUUAAUUAAUUAUUAGAAAUUAGAACGUAUUAAUUAUACACCAUUAAACAGUCAAUUUUCAAAAUUUUAAUUAAUUAUUAGUGGUUAUUAGUUUUUGGGAGAUUAGUUACUGGAAAAAAUAUUGUAGUUAUUACUCUCUUGACUACAAAAUAUAACAUACAUCAAUAAAACUAUACUAUAUUAUUUAAAAUAUUUUUUCUAAAUCUCAUGCAUUCAAUUUAAAUACUACAUAAAAUAAUAACAACAAUGAAAUCACUUUGAUAAAAACUAAAACAAUAUAUUGUGCACUAAGACUACUUUUGUAGAUUUUGUAAUACAAUAUUUGUUUGAAUUAAAAUCAAAAAUCAAAAAUCAAUAAGAUUUAAAACUAGAUGUAUGUGUGUGUAUAUAUAUAAUUGAUAUUAAUAUUAAAAUUAUAUUUUAUCUAUAUACAAAAUUACAAUCUUAAGCACCCUCUAAAUAUUUUGACAUAUUUGUACCACUUUUUAAAGGUCUUUAUAAGUCUUAAAAAAUCUUCUAAGUUAUGUUGUAAUUGUCUAAAAGUUUCUUAGAACAUUUUGUAAUCUUUUUAAGGAUACUUUAAACUUUAUAUUUAUCUUAGCUUUUUAUAGUUUGUCAGAAGUUUCCAAAAAACUUAUUUAGAUAUUAACAAACAUAGCUUACUAUUUUGGAGUAGCGAGUCGGCUGCAAAUAGGCAGCAGGUGGAACAAGACUCUUUUUAAAAAACAUUGGUUUUAUUUUGGAACUUAAACAACUUCAGCAAGAAAUGGUUUAUUUUGGAGAGAACAUUCCCUCAAUAUUGAGAGAUAUGGGGGUUGAUCCCAAGUGGCAGCAUAGAGGGCAUAGGUUUUCACUGUUCAAAGUUGAGAUGUUUGUUUCGCACUAUGUCUUUUCUUUGUAGAAUUCUUUAGAUUGGACUUUGUUGUUCUCCUCUCCCUUGGCCUAUGGGUGAAUAUUGGAUCUUUAAGUUCUCUUCUAUUGAGGUGCUCCCAAAAUGGACAGGCAUGCAUGCACGUAGGAAUUUUGUUUUUUGUUUUUUGUUUUUUUUUUUUGUUCUUUUUAAAAAGGGCAUCCAACUUCCAAUUGAAAGACGGUUUUUAAUGUAUAUGUAUGUGCAUUUACAGAUAAAACCAUCGGAUUUUACAAUAUGAUGACAUAAACUUGAAACUAAAUAAUUCUACGAACAUGAAAAAGAGAUCCUGAGGGAUAUUACAUGGAGAGUUUGUUUCGUAGUCAAACUACAACGUUUGACGAAGAAUUCACAAGCUUGAACGUUUCAGUAUGGCAGUGAUUUCAAACUGGUAAUCUCCGGAAGUGAGUGAGGACAGAAAAGACAGAUAAUGGAUACAAAACAUCAGAGUAACCUGUAGCAAUCGGAUUCAAAAAAGACUAGCAUGAUUUGUCAACAUUUGACGCUGACGAAAACCACACCUUUUAUUAAAACCACCCUAUUGCAGGCAUCCCUAGUUCGUACUACUAAGUUGGAUAUUUUAGUGACAACCUCACUAGCCUGAUUACCAGAGACGACAAAGGACACUAAAGAAAAUUGUGCAACUACGGUGAGGCAUUAUGGGCCAACAAAACUAUGUGUUAUGAAUCAUUGUGGAAUUUGUUAAUAGUUAAGGGUUACAUAUUUUACAAUCACUAUGUCAAUACAUAGGACCACAGCAAAACCAGCGGGCACUAAGAAACACACAUAACAGCAAGAAACCCAGUGGUGAUACCCACAUGGACCUCAAGUACGCCUCUAUUACAAUGUCGAUGAUAUCUCGUCUAUAUCUUGUAAAUGAGAUGUUAGCGACGAAAAUUUAGGUCUUUUGAGACUUGACCUUGCCACCUGCACUAAGAAAAAUUGUAUUAGGACAGAGAUGAUAUUAAAGGCGCGCGCCAUAAGCUAGAAUACCCGUGGAUUGAGUACAUCCUUGAGGAAUAAAAGUACGUGACACCAAAUGACACUAGUAGUGCUUCCCGUCAACUGCCCUCAUUCCAGUGUAACAAUAGAAUCAGUUAUAAAUAAAAGAUCAUGAUGAAGAGGAAGCAAGAGGAAACUAUCUCACAAUGUGAAACUCAUAUAGUUCUGAAAAGAUGAGAGAACCAACGGGAGGAAGCACACCUGUGAAGUAAGAAUGCGGCCACUGGACUCAAACCCGAAUCGUAACUUUUGUCCCUUUGAGAUCUAAGUCUAGCAGUCCCAGAACGAAUGUGCGAAGAUGGGACAUGUCCAUCUUUUUCACCGCCAUUAUCUGAGAGUAACCGGCGUGCUAGGCUCUGCAGACCUUUCACAGGAGCUUCGUCUUUUCUGAAAAACAGGAUUAAACCAAUCAGAGCACUAAGUGAUUCCAAAGUAUCGACUAGAAGUAUACCAGAAGCUUACAUAAUUCACAUUAAAAUUAUCCCAUGAGUUCCUAUAUCAUAACUACAGAAAAAAUUCAGUAAGUUAUAAAACAGUCAGAGAUUAAAAGUUUUCGAUCCAAAACUAAUAUGUUCCUAAUAACAUCACUACAACACAGUAUACGGAUGCAUGUAAAUAACUAUGUCUUCUCAUAUGAAAAAGCAACUGAUCCAUUGACGUGAUGUUGUGAUUUGACGUAACGUUAACGUUUGUCAGCUGGCAUCCCUCCGCGGAAGUUACUGCAUGCCUGAUGGGCAUAAAAGUUUCUGAUUAAUCCAGUACCUGAUUAGUUGUCUUAGAAGUUUGCUAACAAGAACUUCACAAGCACCUGGCGCCAGCCGCUCCAGAUCCAUCAAAGCGUCCGCUGCAUCAGCUGCAGCUCUUAAAGCAGGCCCUUCCGACUGCUCAGCUGCAGUCUGCAUGAAACGCUGCAAUCAAUUAAAGGUAGGUUUGAUGGACUGUAAAGGCACUGCCCGGCAAGGAAAGCCAUUAAUUGCCACUAGGUUUUAAGAGAUUACUCGCCAUUUGUUGCUUUAUCAUGCUUGACGCUACCUGGACUUUAAUUGGACAAGUUUAUGUAGUACAUGUUCAAAACUGUUCCAGCCUAACUAAAAUGUCGAUGAUCCAAAAUGAAAUGAUUCACUUAAUAUGAUUAGAGUUGACGUAAACUGUUUCCUCCGAAUUAUCCUUUCAAAACUAGGGUGGGUUUCAAUCUCAACUAUACCCACAGACACUCAUUACAGCGAUCUCUCUGUAUCUGACACAUAAUUUAAUUAGAUUUGACGUUCAUAAAGAAAAGAAGAAAAAGCUGUUUGCAAAGUGAGACUUAGUAGCACUUUCCUAUCCUUUCUAUUAAGCUCCAUCGUCUACUAUCAGUAUGGGGUGAAAUGACAAAAUAGUUACCUCUUUAAGAGCAGGUAUUAGAAGAAGGGUCAAGGCAGCCGAUGCACCAGCUGCAGCGGCUCGGGCAACGUCCUCCUCACUGGCCCGUCUACUCUGCCUAGAAGCUGCCUUUGGGGUCUCUCGAGGAUCACUGUAGCCAAAAAAUCAGAAAGGUUGGACAAGUACAUCUAAACCUAAUGAAUAGAAGUCCAACCAUGAAAAUAGAAGUAGAAGAUCCUUGUGACAUGAGAAACUAAAAUCCACCCAUUUGGAUAACUACCCAUGCAAGGUGCAAAAGAAAAAGACAUGAAGGCAAGAGCAGUCCAAACUUCAUGGGUGCACAUAAUCAUUAACCAACCUUAAAUGCUCGUGAGCAUCUUUCCGUAAUUUCACUGGUGUAGGACCUUUUGGACCUCCUUUCCUCAUUCCAGCUUGAAGGGCAGCUUUGGCCUGAAGGAAAAAAAAAGUUACAGUAACCCACAUAACUCUAAAUUUCUACUUUAGGCACAUAGAGGCAUACACUCAAGGUUGUAAAAUUCGUGAACAUAAAGAGAAUACGUCAAAUGCUAAAUCAAAGAUGUGGACCACCCCUCAGAUGAAGAUAAUAACAUCGAGAUUGUAAGACUCCUUCAUGUUAAUAUAGAAUUGCUCGGAACCAAAGAAGAUUAAUCAAAAACCUCGGCAAGAUUUGUUGCACUAUCUUCUCGAGCUUCUAGAUUAAUUUUUGGAGUUCCUGGGAUUGAGCCUCCCUCGUCUGGUGUACUGCUUCGCACUAUAGUCCCACUUGAAAAACCUUCCGAAGCUUCUUCAUUUCUUGAUCCUCCAGUGGUGUUAACCUGCGGGUGAAGACAUAAGUUCCUGAUCCCAGACUGAGAAAGGACAACACAAACAAGCUCGGGACGCGUGCCUACGCGUACAAGGAAGUCACGUUAUGGAAUGGCAAAAAGUACGAAGGGUAUAAGAGUGUCAGGUCAAGGAGUACACUCACAAGUAAUCGAGAAAGAAGAAUUUACCGUAGUAGCUGACAGUGACCCUAGAAAUGGUCGUGCUUGAGAUCUUCCCUCCAUACUGCUAUCACCACUUGCAUGGGGCCCCUGCAAAAAAAUAAGUUACUUUGGGUUAGUGAAUCAGCUCCUGGUUUCACCUAAAUUCGUUAAAAGCAGCACGGCCAUACCACUUUCAGUUGCGUUUCCCAAGACGUUAGCUAUUUAGAUCGUAUCCCUCACAUGCAAGACCGAGUAGUGGACCUCAUAAUACAGUGAUGAAAGUUGACACUCCAAGCUGUGAGCCAAAUUAUUUACGAUCUAAACUCAAAAAUUAGCGGCGAAACGAAGUCAGCAAAAUAAAGUAAUUCAAUUUUUUACAAAUCCCAACGAAAGGCAUUUGGACGCUCCCCGAAUUAAAACUUACAGGAUCUCUCGAAAAGUACGGUUCUGCAUCUAAUCUUUUUUGCGUGCCGAAACUAUUUCUACGAAGCGCAUUUAUAUCCACACUGGCAUCCCUCAGUCCUGCAUCAAUUUGAUAAUCAAGUUCUGCCUUGCUCAAAAGAGUGGGCAAUACGUCGCUUCCUUGAUGUAAGGAAUUAUCAGUCCCUCGAGGCCUGUCUUGAUCUAUUUGCCCAAACGUCUUUGAGCUGCUUCGGAGAGUACCAGUAGUAUGUAUACUGCCAGUCCCAAAGUCCCAACUUGCAUCCCUACGUCGAGAGCUGAUACAUAAUAUUACGAGGCAUCACAGAAUGAGGACGUAUUCAAAGGAAACAGGUUCACAAGUCCACAAGUCAUAAAUUUACGCACAGCAGGUUUUUAUCAACACCACUUGGAAAUUGAGCACAUUAAAAAAUUAAAUACUUAACAAACUAACCUCAAGGGAGGAUAGACACCAUUGUCGCUCCUCAUCCUCACUCCCUUACUGUCAGACUCAUUCUUAAAGGCUUCGGAUGGUCUGGGUGUAUCCUUGGCCUUGCUAACAUGUGAUUUUGGUCGUUCUCUGGAUAGACAAUUGCAUUUCUCAAAAUGGAUGAGGGAGAUGGAUUGAUUUACAAGAAAGAAGAAUGCGACAUGAUAUCAAAAAGCGAGCACGUGAUGACAGAGACAACAAACUGCUAUGCAUUAUCCCUAACCUUAUCCUGUCAACAAGUCUGGAGCUCUUUCGGGCAUUCUUGACGAAUCGGUGUCUGAGAAGCUCCUUCGCACUUGGCCUCUGUGGAAUGCACUUGGGUAUUAAGUCCACGAUAUCUAAUAAAAGAAAAUCGACUUCGACAAGAGGAUAACUCACAACCUUGCAACUUAAGAUCGCAUUCGUGAAACGUCAUAAACUGCUGUCGACAUCAAUAUUAUCGUAGGAAAUACAACUUGCUUUGGGACAAGAUGAUUCCUUCCUCAUUCUUUAUUUCAAUGAUAUGCGACUUAACCGUAUAUACUGCCAAGUCAAAUAAUAAAAUAACUUCUCAACACUGUGCACAACUCUGCAUUUUAUUGUCUACAUCAUCAUCUUCCCCCCCAAAAGCAAAAUAUUUGGAAUCUGAUGUCCUCCAGUUUUCCAUACCUCAGAAGGGUUUUUCUUAAGGCAGAAAGAUACGAACUCCUUGAAGGGUCGAGAAUAAUGAUCAUCCAGCUGCAACAAGUAAAAUUACAUUUUUAUGUUAAUCACCAAUAGACUACAUAAAUUUAGAGUAGACGAGUAAGUGGACAAUGGAGUGCAAAUCCUUAAACCAAAUUUGGUAGUACUGGCAGCUAAUAGACUCUAAAGUCUAAGCAGACUGGAUGAAUCAUCAAACAUAAUUUAUCGAAAAUAUGAGAUUAAUUCCCAUCCCUCCACAGCAUUUUAUCCUGUAAUUAGCAGCGCCACAAGACUCUCACCUGCGGCGGGUUGUUCUUAGGAAUAAGAAAAAGAACACGCAUAGGAUGCAGAUCUGCGUAAGGUGGCUCCCCUUUUGCCAUCUCAAUAGCGGUGAUCCCCAAUGACCAUAUAUCUGCCUGCAAUGAAAAUCACCUGCUCUCAGCUAUUGAAUGAAUGAGAAUGAUCUUUCCAUCACAAGCAUAACCCCCUUCAACACGAAUGAGCAAAAAGUAGCAUCAACUAGGGCACUCCACAGAGCUCUGAGCCAACAAAAAAAUGGCGUACACCAUUUAAUAAGAAAUAUACAUUAGCUACGAUUUCCGAGUAGUUUCCGAUUACCUUCUCAUUGUAGCCAUCUCCAGAGUUCUGUAUGACCUCUGGCGCCAUCCAGAAUGGAGUUCCAACAAAUGUCUGCAGCGACAUGUCAGACUUCCAAUUAAAUCGGUUCAUUCUUAGACAAAAUCACCAAUUUUAAGACCACGUAACAAACCGCUCACAUGGUUCAUCCGCAUACAGACUCGGUUCCAAUAUGCUGGAUAAGGCUACUCUUUCAAAAAAAGCCACAUACAGUUGAGAAGUCAACUGACCUUGCGUUUGGACAUUGUACGAGUCAGCUGAGCAGAAACUCCAAAAUCUGCAACCUGCACCACUUCCCAUCAGAGCCGAUAUUUAUUUCAUCACGUAUCACAAAAACACGAAUUAUAAAACCAACAGACUAGCUGUAUUUUUUAGGAUACCAAUAUACACUGCAAAGAUAUACCACAGUACAUUGUAACCGUUAGCCACAGAGCGAUUAAACAUUCGUAACAAAUCUACACUGUAAGCUUCAAUAAGAAAAAUAGUCAGCUAAGACAUUUUGAUCUGAUCUUAUAGUUGUAGUAUCAUUCUGAAAUUUACAGUCUAAGUGGCGAGGUAAACUUACCUUAACAUCUCCAUUUGCAGUGAGCAGUAUAUUAGCCGCUGCAACAAACAAUACCAUGGAUACAUUAUCGAUAACUAUAAAUGGAGAUUUGUAAGCCUUGAAACUACCAGCAGGCGAAGAUGCAACAUACUCCAACGAAUGCUCAAAACCUCAUGCUCCUGAUAAGCUAUGACCUAAAACGUCAUCCAAAAAUAAAAUGCUAAAUGAAUUAAGUCUAGCAUAAAAUCUGCCAUUACUUGCAUGAUGAACUACGUACACUGGCUCAGAACAAAAAGUAGGUAAAACUUGACGCAAAAGACACCCCUGCACCUUUAAUAUCACGAUGUAUUUUUCCUUCUGAAUGUAGGUAGUCCAGUGACAGCAACAGCUCUCGUAAGAUGGACGCUAUAGAAACUUCAUCAAGUGGUGGUCCAGUCUCAAGCUGCGUCAACACAAAAAUCAAAGUCUUUGUGAAACUUACGUGAAGCAACCUACAUCACAGCUACUCCACACAACUAGUCCAGUCAAUUUGAUGCCCCAAAACUUAAUUAAAAAUUCGUUUCAGUGAGUUGUUGUCAGAGGUAAAUUAUCAACUGAUUCAAUAACGCAAAAGCACAAAAACAGUUUCAUACCCCAACUGGAAAACAAAGUCAAAGUGUGCUGUUAGAUUUACCAAGUCUGAUACAGAGCCACCAGCCAUGUACUCCAUGACAAUCCAUAAUUUUGUCGUGUGUAAGUACGACCCAUAAUACUCUGUGAUAUGAGGUGAUCGACACUGACCUAGUACAGAAAUCUCCUGAGAAACAAAGAUAAAGAACCAAUCAGCUGUCUCCGUAAAGUCCUUGUAACCAUAGAGCACUUAAGAUCUAAUGAGGAACAAACAUCUUGAAGACAUCUAUCCAUCAGGGCAGUACCAAAUUUAGACUGGAGCUAGAAUAAGAAAUUUAAUAUUAAAAUUAUUUACAUUAAUAAAGAAAAACCAAACAAACCUACCUUCUGAAUGUCCUCAACUUCAUCCUCUCUGAUAACAAGGAAAAUUGCGCACCACAUCGAGAAAGUCAGCCUCAGUGAUCUUACAUACACCUUUCCUGCAACUCUUCAGGGUUUUACAGACAUCUAGUAACCCGUGUAAACUUUCACAGAAGUACCUCGUAAAUUUACGAACUGACUCCGGUUACGUCUCAAGGAGGCAAAGACAAUCAAAGUUAACUUUGGAUGAAAUGUGUCACUUACGCUUCCUCCAGGUCGAUGACUUUGAUUGCCACCUCUUUGUUCAACUCCUUAUCAAAUCUGCUCAAGUACAAUUCAAGCAGCAUGAACAACUAUCAGAACGUAGUCUAGAGUGAUCGAAAACUCAAAAUUCCAUAUUUUCUAUGAAUUUAAUCAACCUAAGCUUCAUAUUGUCUUCACUACCCACUUGCAGCCCUCCAGAAGCUCGCCUGGCAUGGAAAUGGAAUAAUACACAGCAUGGCGUGAUCGAUAAUGUGACGCGAAAGACAGCUUAGUUUGUGGUCGGUAGUGCAACUAGAGAAGACUCAAGGAUCUUUACGUGUCAAUUAUUGGUCCGAUUGAGUGAAGGAGUAACUAUAACCAAGGGCAUCAGAGUUUUUGAUGAAAAGCUAUAUCCCAUUUCUAAACAAAGAUCGAAAAAAGAGAAUUUGAAAGAAAAGAAGGACAUCUUGGCUUUCAAAGCUGGACAGAGAAUAUACGCUACAUCAGAUCCAAUGGUCGAACUCAAUUGCAAAAAUAAGACAAAAAAUUUGUUAGAAAAUUGGAGCCGAGCCAUGUCAGUCUCUCCGCGCCAGUUUUGGGAAAUGCUGAUCAACAAAUAAACUCAAUGCAAAACUGUAACCUCCAGUAAGUCUACAGUCGUGAGAGUGCAUAAAAUGUAAGGCAAAACUAAAUUAAGUUAAAAGAUCAGUAGUUGAGUUGAUCGAACCAUCUGCAACUUACCCUCUGAAAACAUCGCCAAAAGAUCCUUUGCCGAUUAGUUCCAAAUUCUCAAACCGAGCUUCCAUGGCACCAUCGAUAAGUCCAUGGACCUCCUCGUCUACAUAUACGUAAUACUCCAUUGCUUGAAUUACUCAACCCUACUGUCCAAAUCCUCGAUCCCUUGCAAGUUUCCUUCAAUUCCACAUUCUCAUCCUUCCCUCCACUUUAAACUAUCACAUUACUCGAAAGAUUCAUCGAGACUGCACCAGGAACAUCGUGACCUCCAAGCAUUGUGAACUCGUGAUGCCACAUACAGAGGCCUCGUUCCUCUUGAUUAAAAUUCUCCCGCAAUCCCAUCUAGGAGUGAUGUGAUACCCCCCCCCCUUCCCCCUCAACUUCACCGCAACCACAAUGCAUCCACAAUCCUCUCGAUCUCCAAACCUGCCAUCUCCCCUGCUUCGAUUCACCUUAAAACCCUGCAACAAACCCUAGAGUAGAACACGAGCAAGCUUGCUCCAUUGCUAAUGAGCUGCCACAAUCGUGAACUGAAAAACGGAUCACGUACUCAACCAUUAUCCACUAUUAACAAACUACAAGAAGGACCACGGCGAGCUGGCUAAGCCACUUGGUAUGCUGCAACAGCAGCACCAAAUCAUAACGCGAACCAUUCACGUCGAAUCAGUGCAGAAUCAUGACGCGAGCUCUAUCGCCAUCGCUCGAGUUCCUGUCUCAGUGCUCAAAAGGCCAGCCUGUAUACAAUGACUAUGCCGUCCGAGAUUAGAUGGAUGAGAAACGCCUCAUGAUUUCAACAGAACGACAUUUUUCAUUCAUUAGAUGUAAAGCAAACGAUUUAUGGUUGGUUACGGGUGGAUGUCUCUGUUCGUUCAUCGACUGCUUGGUUUGGAGAGCUUUUCAUUUCGUGGAUUAGGGUUUCGAUGCUUUUUGUUGAAAUGCUGCAUGUAAAUUGCUCAGAUCGGCAAUGCUGUCAUGGAUGUAAGCUGACUGUUCUUUCAUCUUUCGAGUAAAUCCUACGGUGGAUGAGUAGUCGCAUUCAAGGUAAUGUUUGUGAUUUGGUGAAGUGAAAUUCGACUUGGUUCAACCUGAAGCUUGUCUCUGGAGAUUUGGAGCAGCAAUGUGUGUACAGUAGUUGGUCGGGAUAGAUUUAGCCCUUACCAAAUAGCGGAAUGUAAUGUGUGGAUUUAUAGUGCGAGGCACACCAGCUUCGUAGCAUCAAUUGCACGAGUAAAACAGCUGUUUCUUGUGUCUUUUUUGAAUUCGUAACCAUGUGCUGCUAUUGUCUACAAAAACUCGGGGAUGGUGAUAUUAUUGGUUUGAAACAAUUAAAGAAAUUUACCAAGUCAUCCGACAGAGCAUUGUCUAAGGUCGAUAGGAUCAUAUCCUGACGCCUGUGAGCACUUUCAAGUUUAUAGAGAUAUUUAGCUUGGUGGCUUCUUUGAAUGCGGAGGUAGUUAGGAGACAACAUGAAGGCAGGUGUGUUCAUGUUGAAGUUGAAGCAGAGUCAGAGGCAGUUUUCAAAAUACAGAAGAAGCGACUAGUAUUGAAGAUUGAGCUGCUGAUAGCAGCAAGUUACAUAUUCCUUCACGGGCCUGCUGGUGACUUUUUCAGUGUUGUAUUCGGACUAUUUACUUACAUUUAUAUUUUCUGAUUGCAAGAAUGUGAAAAAGAGAAAGGUUUAAUGUGCUACCUUAUGCUCGAAAGCUACGGGAGGAGGGAAGUCUGGGAGGCCUAACAUCGAGGUGCAGAACCUAAUAAAUUUUACCAUUUAACCUCUUCUAUGAGGUGGUCAUUGAUAUCGGCUAGCUAAUUUUCUUUUGUGACAAUGCUGAAAUUCAGUUGCAGCUGGGCCAAACUACUUAGUCUGUUGAUCAACAUAGCAUUUUCUCAGGUUCUUUUCAAUACUGAAUCCUCAUUUCUCUCCCGAAGAAUAACACAGGUUUUUGUAUUAUGAAGCCAUGAUGCUUACCUCUGUAGCUUUCUAAACACACCUAAUCGUACUGCGAGAUGAUUUUGGUCAUCGAAUGAACCUCGGAGAUCCCAGCUUGCUGUGCAUGGUUGUUUCAAAGAGAACCAUGACAACCCACACAACUGUACAUCACCUCAAAGCAGCUCAAAACAUUCUUUUGUAUUUUAGGGGAAGAAGACUUCCUUGCCUCUCAUCCUUGGAGUGUCAUGAUUUUCAUGUUUUAUGCUCCAUCAGCAUGUCCCUCAAUACAUUUUCGGAGGAGUCUGAGAACCAAACACACAAAAUCAUUUUUACUGCGGCUACAGAUUUAGCAUUCUCAAUCACAAUGCCUUAGUUAUUUAGGAUGACCACUAAGAUCAGAGAGUUGGGAAAGGGAAGUUGGCUGACCCUGAGGGCGAGUGAGCAGGCGAGGAACAUCAUGACUGGGCCGAAAACUCCAACGGGUUCAUUAAUUGUCGGUCGCAAAGCUGUAGUGCCCUGCUCCCCUCCACUCCCCGCACGAAAUUCUUCACUGACAUGAAUCCGGCAUUGAGACGCCAUUUCCUCCCACCCCAUUCUCACAUGAAACUUUGCGUUUGUAAGUACCCAAUGAAAUAGGAUUCUAGAACUCUUGAUGGUACUCAGUUUAUUCCUGGCACUUCUGAGAUCGAAGUUGUGACUGCUCGACGGAACAUUGGACUUAACUGUGGUGAAGAAACUAGUGCAACUACGGCAGUUUCUAAGAAUGAGAGGUCUUCCAGACAAUUUGUGCUGAUCUACUUUUCGGGACAGUUGUCAAAGUCUUCAUCAUUUCUAAUUAUUUCAGCAAAUACUAUCUGGUUAAUAAGAGUAUGGUGUGACACAGCUCCUCGAAGCAAACGUAUUAAUUUCAAUUCUACAUGUGUGCUGUUUAUUGGGAGAAAAUAAGAGUGUACCUUCCUCAAAUUUGCGUUUCUGGUAGCACCAAACGAGUUUUCUUCUUUUGGUGGUGAGCUCACAGCUACUUCACUUUCCGAAGUGUCAGGGCUUUUAGAUAAUCGUGCAUUUUUGAACUGCAAAAGCGUAUUUACAUUACAUAUAUAGUAUACCAUGUUCAUAAACCUCGUAAGUUUAGAACCAAUUAAAAUCAUAUCUUGAUGGUUGAAAUCAAUUGAAAAACUUGGCAACUCAGAUGGUGGGCUCCUCGAUCCGGCAGGAUACUGCUCAUGGAGUACAUUGACCACAUAGUAUGUUGCUUAUUAUAUCAAGAGGUGCAGAUAUGUAUGAGCAUGUAUAUAUUAGGCACAUGCAGAAUGGGAAACCAUGUCACAAACACCAAUUAGUUCAUAAGAUUAUGGGGGCACUUUUUUGCCACGGAUGCUGUUUACAUAGUUACCGAGUAACUCAGACAACAAGAACCGACAAGAACUGAAAAAAAUAUGGCAACUCAGUCUCGUAGACGCCUCAUUACAGUUCUAUGUAAGCUGAUAAUGCUGCUGUGCGAUGUAAGAUUCGUCUGAAUAUGAGAUCUUCUGACUCUAGCAGUUGCAACGUUAUUGUGAAUUGAGAUUGCAUGUCGUUUGAUGCAGAUUCUGUGCCUAGCAGAUUUUUCAAGCUGCAGUUAUAAGGUUGCUGUAAUGCAGGCAGCCAUCAUGUGUUUCUUUUCACCCAGUUCCCACCGGUUGAACAAAUCUGCUUGGUUUCGCCCCAAUAUACCAUUUCAGACUGUUAAAGUUCGGAUUCCAAGUCGUGUCUCUUGGAUGGACUAUGUAAGACUUUGCGUCCAAUACCUUUGGUCAAAGCCCAACGAGAGAGCCGGAAGCGUUUUAAAUUAGCGUAAUGCUGCUACGUAAUGCAAUAUGUUAUAUGAGCAUGGCCUGAGGUACCUUUUCCGACUUAGGGGAGGCCCCGUAGCUAGUAUGUACAGAUACACCAUCUUCUCCAGAGGUCCCAUUCGAAGUAUACAUUGAUUGCUUGGAAUUGGUCAUAUUCAUUUCAACCGUCCCGAUGGAGCCUCGUGAGCAUGUCUCUCCUGCUUUAUUUUCUCUUGCAGGUGAUGUACCUGAGCUCUUGGACGAAGGACCAGCUACAGAUGCAGUUGAGGAAACGCCGCUACCAAGACGACCCUCAUCAACAGGUAUCUGUUUAGACACAAUAAAGAAAGAAACCCUACAUUACUCAGUUUUGAGAGGCAGUUUCAUAGAUUAUUUUUAUAUAUGAUCACCUUGCAUGUGUCGAAGGCCUAUUUCAAGUCAUACCUCUCGGUUAUUUGGCAAUUCGCAUCCUCCUUUAACAACGGAGUUCCUUGACGAGCCCCUUGACGAGUGGGAUUGAGGACGUGUAGGCUGGAUGUUGUGACAUGGCUUCAAGGAGCGUCGGUUGGAGGAAUUCUCUGUAUGACAGACAAGAUCUUCUAAACCUGCGUAAUGAUGACUUAAUGUCCUGAAUUUAUCCUGCCAAUCCUCCACUUCAGCCCGCAAAUUGUGGUUGCUACGCCGCAAUGAAGCCUGUUGCAGGUAUGGGAAGGAUAAUUUAUUAUCUCUUAUUCGAAAUAGAAAAUAUGGAAUAAUUCCUCAGUCAAGAUAUUGCCACUAUUGAGCUAACGUAAAUCCCAAUGCGACAUAGCGCUGCGACGGAUGAAACAUUUAAGCAGGGUUGCAGAUUGUCGAAGUUGAUACCAAACUAUCUCUUGACAGUUCAUCAUGUAAUAGAAAUCCCAUGACCGCAGAAAAUGGGUUUUAGUAAGAUCACGUAUUUUCAGCUCUUGGACGUGGCCAUAUAGGAGCCGAUUUUCUUAAAUUAAAAGUAGACUUUCUUAUCAUGUAAUUGUACCAAUUCCACCAGAAGCUGAGCCUUCUCCCCUCCAAGAGAGGCUCGAACCUGCGCAUAGUUGAACCUUACGUGAGGAUUUUAGCAGCGUUUCUUUCAACUGACUCUGCUUCUGAAGUUUAGCUAUGUAACAAAGAUUUUUCUCUGUCUCCAAAGCAAGAAGUACGAUGCAAGUUAAAAGUCUCACGGAGCUUGAGAAAAAUUGACACAGAAAUGGAUACCAAACCUUGCGCAGUUCAUGAUCAUAGUGUGCAAUGGUCGAUGACAUUUCUUGACCCUGCAGGUUCUUCACCUGUGAAACGUAGGCAGCAAACGAAACCCUUAGUUCAUGGACAGAAUUAAUUGUGACGUUGAUUCAGGUGUUACGGCCAUUGUUAGGUCUAAGAGAUCAGGUCUAGCACGAACACAAGUAAACUUCAACACAAAAAAAGGGUUUUCAAAAUGUGAACUAUUGGACAACCUGUUGCUCUAAGAUCUCAUUUUGGAGAAUCAAUUCCUUGUGAUCGGUUCGCAGAUCAUCGUAAUUCUUCUGUAAGGAAUGAGCAGUUAUUCGUCUCUUCUCCAGGGCCUUCUUCAGCUCCGAGUUGUGUGUGCGGUACUCACAAGCUGUAGACUGCAAAGAUAUUCUCCAGGGUCAGUCAUCAUAGCAGUGACAAACUGCCUCCCAUCCAACUAUCACACUCGUAAUCCUGUGGGACAAGCUGGAAAAUGUAUUUAUAAUAAUUCUAUACUCAAAAAUAUGAUAUUAAAUAACCUUCAACGUCAGUGGAACAGAAGAAUCUAAAUGUUGACCUUGAGCGUUUCGUACUUCUUCUGCAAAGCUGAAUGCUCAGCCUUAUGGGUUGCUUGCAGCUCCUCAAGCCUGGCAUUCAUGUCCUCCCAUCGCCUUUCCUGCAACAAAUUACCAAAUUGGGCCCUUGUGCGUCUGGUUCUCCAAUAAACUUUGCAAUAUAUGACUUAUAAUCCACAGGUUACACACAUCCGCUAGUGCAUAUGAUCUGAUCAGGCAUGCCGAAGUUUUGUUUCAAUGCUAAGAAUUGAGGAGUUUCGGUUGUGUAGGGCGUGUGUACUGUUUUAGCAACAAGCAAUUAUUAGGGAAUGUACCAGCUUCCCAUUCUGAUCCAGUAAAUCCUGGUUCUGCAAUGCCCUUGCCUGCUUGUAUAUCAACAAUCAGAUCGUUAGCAAGUAUCUAAAUAAACAUGCAACUUGGGAUGUUCCUCCAUCGACAAAGUUGCAUAACAUGAAAUUAAUACCUAAAAUGAAACUAGUUAUUUGACUGAGUACCACCAGGAAAUUAUGCAUAUUUGGUGUUUAUGGUCGUAAUUGGUUUUCUUUAAGCUUGAAAUAAAAAUCAAGUGAUAAAAAAAUAAUUCACUACUUUCGCAACUACCUGCCGGCUUUUUUUUCUUAAGGAUUAUUUUAAUGAUGCAUGUUUGGAAAAUGUUUUCAUAUUUAGAUUUAACAAAUACAUGUUGUCCCGUAUGAUAACAUUAUGAAUUAAAAGUCAAAUAACUAGUUAAUUUUGAUAUAUAAUUAAAAAAUGGGACUCAAUAAAUGUAAUUUUUGGAUACAUUUUCUUCAAACAUACUUUUGCAACAUUUGUAUUUGGAAUGUUGUAUUAGAUUGUUCAAAUCACAGAAAUAUAAUUUUUUAAAGUAUAUCUGAAGACGACUUAUUUUCAGAAUCGAUGUAUUCAAAAAGUUACCCUAAUUCCAAUUAAAAUAGAAAUAAUCACAUUACAAUAAAAUGCUCCUAAGAUUAUUUUGCAGUCAUCAGUACGUAUUUGGCAAAAGAAUUCAGCUCAAAAGUAUAAGAUCAGUUCUUUGUUUUCUAUCUAUGAAAAGUAGAAGUGUAGACCAGGGUUGGUAUUUUGUUCAGUUUGCCAUCCCUCAACUCUAUGUCCAAUACGUACCUCGUGAAGUAUGCGGGCUUCAGUGGCCUCCACAUUUAUCCUCUCAAUCUCUUGCUGUUGCGCCUUCGUGAGGGCGUGUGUCUCACGUCGCACCUGAAAAUACAUUCGAGAGUAAUUACAUCAAUCAAAUUGUCAAAUUGGAAUUUCGGACACAUCAUGUGUGGUGCAUCAUGCUUAGAAGGACGUAGCACGGUCCUUAAACCUACACUGAAUUUCUUACCUUGUCAAGCUCCAUGGUUGCUUCACGGGCUGCUGCAACAGCUUCAGCAGCGGCAGCUGCGUGCUUUCGAACCUCAUGAGUCGCAGCUGUGGCCACCUUACCCCUUAGUUGAUCAAGGUCGAGACCUUGCUUAACAACUGAAGCUGUACUUUCACAACCAAACCACGACAUAGUGAACGUUACAAUUCCAUCCAGCGACCAUAUGCUUACCACAUGCCCAUGCCAUUCAGAGAGGCUUUCGCAGAACGACAGCAUUACUUGCACCCGAAAAACUCAAGAUGCAAAGAACAGUACAGGGAGUACUCAACACAAAGCCAGCAAAUGCUCAAGUUCCUGAACACGCGAAAGGAGGCCGGAUGCAGCAGCUUCUACACUGCCCACAUAAACUCGCAAUGAAUCGGUCUCCCUUUGCCCUUCCUCUCUUGCCCUGAAAUAAUCAAUGACAAGACACAUCACCUUCUAACAACAUGCCGAGAAUAAUUUGAAUCUUGUUGCUGCAGCAAACUACAAAUCAAGGAAGCCUGUGGUACUUCUUUUGAGUCUUUUACAGUCUCAAAAUUGUGAUCCCAGAAUCUAAGCUCCAAGCAUUCAAAAUAUUCAAUCGAAUUGCGAGAGCCAAAACCCCUAAAAAGUUUCAAAAUAACGAAUGUUGUGUUUAGUGCUCACUCGAAAUCUGCUAAUCGUGCUAGCAAUUGGUCAAGGUAGAAAGAUGGAUGAAACAAUUCAAGAAUUGACAUAAAGACCUUUCUGAGGCGCGCAACGCUACUUGAAAUUCUGAAAAUCUUUGAUGGAGGUUGACAGAGGCUGGAUGAUCGUACUGCGGGGACACGCAACCAAUCCCUCAGUUAUUGUCCAACUCCAGUAGUAUUCAAGUCACCCAAAAACAUGUUCUUACUGACAAACUGGAAGAUUAGAACAUUCAGUGGAUUGCAAUUAGGUUUGGAUAGACGUACAUUGUCUACACUGGACAUGGAGGAGCCUUCACCAGAGCUGGGCCAAAAUGGGUGACUGCCAGAGGGUGGCAACACGGAAGGGGGAGACUCCUGUGGGCGACCAUUCUGUUUCUUCUUAUUUGUGUGCACCUCGUAAUGCGGCAAAAAUUCGCAAUCAUUGUCAAGUGAUUUCCCUAUUUCUUCAUAGACGCAUUCAGUCUUUGCGUUUUUGCUCUUUCCUGUCAUUUUUAGAGUCUGAUCUACUACGACGCUGUGUACGUCUGUAACACCAGGACCUGAACAAUUCUGCAUCGAAGAAAAACUCGCUUCUCGGGAGGACCACUGCUCUAUGGCAGACUUGAUGCUGAGAAGCACCCAACAGUAGGGUGGGCAAAACUGCAAGCAUAGAAGUUGCACCUUUCAUCUCCCAUAUCAUCUUCACUUGUGAUGCCCUCAAACAAACUUGCUUCCUCGAUACGAUCUGAAUAACUCACCUUAAUGUAAUUGGUAUCCGAAGACUGUGAUUGAAUGCAUUAUCUUUAAAAAAUAGUUUGUCUCUUGAGGGAUGGAAUUAGACCCUCUCAAGUUACAAGCAAACCCUGAAGGAGAAUUUGUACCCACAAGCAUAUGAAACUAAGAAUCACUGAUUUUUAUUCUAUUCAGAAAAAAUAAGACGACACCAAAUCUGACGAUAUCACUUACAAUGAGAGGUUCGGGAAUCCAAUCGAUGACAGAAUGCUACUAUUUCUUUGCACAAUAUGUUACCCCCGGCAUCCUUUCUGCCUGUUGCAAGCUUUGCAUCAAUGCAGGAAUUACGGUCGCAAACGCCCUCAAGUAAUUAUCAGAGGAACUCCACGUCACUUCAUCACAAACAUGAAGUUUAACUUUGUCGAGUUAUCUACAGUAGCAAGCCUGCACUCAGCAGCAGCAGCAUCACAAUCAGAUCGCAGCAAGCUAUUACAGUCACCAGCUCUGGGACAAACGAGAAGGUCAUGACUUACUUGAAAAACCUAAUCUUCUGACCAGAAUAAUCUGUCAGAAGCCCGAAACUGUGCUGGAAGCCAAGUCCGUAAAUUUUUUAGGAAAACACCCACUUCAGAAGAUGGUCUGUGCAGCAGCUACGCAACCCAAGUGGGAGGAUGCAGAUGCAGAGGUCUUGUGAAGCUGGAAGGUGAGGGCGGAGGAGGGCAUUGACACCGAUGAUUCAAAGAAGCGAUGAUGGGGUUGGAUUCGAGGCUUCUUCGACUCCUGCAGCUGCCUGACACGCUUAACUACCUGCAUUGCGUAGUCCCCGUUCGGGCGGUUACAUCGAAACGCAGCCCAAACCAAAGCGAUGAGACGGAUUCAUGAAAUGGCAGACACUCUCCUCCUCCUCCUCCUCGUCGUCGAACAUGGAUGCAUCCGUCGAUCGAGAUUCUUCUUCGGCUGCAUUCCCCCGCCCCCUUGCGCCUCCAGCCCAUUGCUGCUCUCGACAUCCAACGGCGGAGACCCCGAGGAGGCGCAGUUGAAUUUCGGGAACGCUGCACUUGUGCCUUGAAUGUUGAGGACUCAAAGGGAAGACCCCAAUGCAUUCAAACCCAUUUGAUACGAAACAUUUAUAUGAUAAAAUUUAACAGUAAUUUUACAACCAGAAAACUAGGAAAAUAAAAAGAAAAUGCACUCGUGAGAAGGAAGCAUGAGUCUCAACUUCUGUGGUUUUAAAGGAUCAACAAAAAAAUUGUUUAUACAUCGAUGGGAAUCCCUUCAAAGAAUUUUGAGUGUAUUUUUCUUUUUCCUAAGCUUAUUUUUGGACGUUUUGCAACACCUCGAUUGAAUUUGUUUAGGCAAUGUGGCUAUUGAACAAACUUGUAAAUGAGCCCCAUAUUUGCCUCCCAAAGGCUGGAACAAAGUUGUUGGACACAUUCGGAUUCUGUAUUGAAAAGGGUAAUUCUUCUAUUAGACCUGUCUUGUACCCAAAACUUCCUUUACUUUCUCCAAUCAACGUUCCUGCAGUAGAACUCCCAAUUUCCCACCAUUUAAACUCCACGUUCCCACAAGUAGAACACAAAACAAACAAGUCAAACACCUGCGAAUUCAUUCCAAAUAAGCAAUUCGAUGAGCAUGAGGAGUGGAUUUCCUUGCCUUGGGCUUCAAAACAUUCUUUCGACUACUUCAUUUUGGAUGGAUUUAGAAAUAAAAUACUCAGAGAGCAAGAUGGUAUAUAUUAAAGGUUUAUUAUAGGUUGGUCCAAAUUUUUAUUAAAUUGCAUCCAAAAAUAAUAAGGUACUUUAGAGCAAAUGACAACAUUUGCAAUCUCUGUAAGCAUGGUAAAACAAUUAAUAAUAACAUCUACUUUCUAUUGUCUCUUAACCUUAAGGUCCCACGGCCCCACCAUGUGAGUUUUUUCUAUCUUAUCUAUAUAAAUUUUGUUGCAUCACUAGGAUGUAUAAGUUUUAAUUUUGUUUUUGUUUUUGUUUUUUUUAUUAUUAAUUUUGAUUUUAACAUUAAAAAUAUUAAUCAUACCUAAUCAAGAGCAUGAAUCUAAAUAUGACUAUGAAAACAAGCCAGUCUGACAAUUAUUAAAGAGGUACUCCAUUAUUUGCAUCAUAUAUGUGUUGGAAUAAUCAAAAUGUUUGUUUAAGAACAUGAACGUGUUUGUUCAUGGUAUUUUGAGUAUUUAUAAUAAAAAUUAAAGUCUUUAUAAUAAAAAUAAAAUAAUAAUGUGCUAUUCAUCUUAUACUUAUAUAUAUAUAUAUAUAUAUAUAACAUAAAAUUUGCAUACUGAGUCAAUCAAAGGAUUAAAAUAGUGAUAAUGUGAUGCAUUUAGCGGUGAGCUUAACAAGCUAACGAUCCAAACCCAAUGCACAAGCAUUCAUUUUGAUUCAUCAUGAAAUACUACAGUUCAAGUAUUUACUUUGUAACCGACAUCUUAAAAAAUUCCCAGAAUAUUCUACGUGCUACAAAAACUUUUGCAAUUUUGGACGGCAAUUAAAAUACCAUGUCAUGUUUGCAAUAUAUUUCAAUUUGUUCUUUAAAAUUCUUGAACAACAUAUAAAGUCCCAUGUUAUCUAUGAAUAGAAAUCCAUGUGAAAAGAACGUCAUAUGCAAAAUAAAAAUAUAGAACAUAAGAAGCACCAUGGCUGCUAAAAACUUAAGAUGUAUCUUAUGUUUCAACUUUAAUUUAUAUAUAUAUAUAUAUAUAUAUAUGUAUUCAUUAGUGAAAAUGCCAUAUUUUCAAAGUAUUUUACUAUAGAAAUACUCUGUCAAAGCACAAUUCUAAAUAAGUGAUCAUUCUCACAACUAUAUAAUUGUCCAACAAUGUGCUUCUAGUUUUUCCUGUAAUUUCAAAAACUAUGAUAAGAAUUGCUUCCAGCCACAACCACCUACUUCAGCUAAGUCAACACUACUGCAUUCCAAAGAUUUUCCACAAAAAGAGGAACAAAAACCUAGAAAAGAAAAAGAGAAAGAAAAAGAGAAACAAGAAAAGAAAAAGCUACGAAAGAAAGAGGAAAGAAAACAAUCCGAAAAGGAAGCUAAUUGAUAAAGAUAAAGAAGAGAAGAGAAGGAAAGAAAUACAAGAAAAAGAAAGAAAUACAAGAAAAAGAAAGAAAUGAAAAGAAGCAGAACAAGUAAAAACAAGUAAAAACAAGUAAAAGUAAACGUAAAAGGUAAAACCAAGAAUAAGGAAAGAGAAGAAAGCGAAAGGGGGAAAGAUAAGGAAGAAGUGCACCAUGACAGCCUCAGGCUGUAGAACCCAAGAAAAAGCGACGCCGUCAUGGCGCCGUCUACAGCACCGCGAUUAGGUCACCGUUCCCACCGUCCUGGGAGAGUGGGUGGUGGUUCGGAGAUCCAGACCAGACCACCGCAAGCCGCCGCUUGCCCUACAAACCACGCCUUCAACCAUGCGGCCACGUCAGACGUAGCUCCUUGCCGCACCAUCCACACCGUCCGAUCUCCCAUCCGACGGACCCACCGCAUUCCGAACAUGCAAAGUUUGCGCUUUCUCCUGGCCUUCAAGAAUGCUCUCCCACCCCUCCCACUUCCCUACUCUCUCCCAGGCAGGACGGCAGGAGAGAUUGGUCGUUGUUGCGCACUUCACUGUUACAGAUAGAAACCUCCGCUUCUUCAGGUAUUGUCCCUUCCCCUGCCCUCUUGCUCGUUCUAUGGAGUUAUUGCACUGGCUACAUGCAAUGAGUUUGCGGCUAUGCUCGAAUACAUGGUCACUUCUACUAUUUGGAAACACGAUACACGGUUCAUAUCCUGUGUUGCUACUUUCAGCAGUGCAGGAGCUGCUGACCUUCGGUGUUUCAUCUCCGGAGGGUGUAUGUCACGUCCUCAGGAUGGUGUAUUAGCUAAUAUCUGAGAGGCCGACUUGAAUGGCUCUAUUCAUGUAAUUUUUUUGUGGAUAGAGUCUGUGACAUGUUGUUUCCACUUGUGUUUUGUAGCUCUUCACGAUCCGCUGUGGCCUAUCUAAGUUUGGUACCAUUUAUGUGAAGCAGAUAGUUCAAGAUGGGUAAGGAGAAGGUCCACAUCAACAUCGUGGUCAUCGGCCAUGUCGACUCCGGCAAGUCGACGACCACUGGGCACCUUAUCUACAAGUUGGGAGGUAUCGACAAGCGUGUGAUCGAGCGUUUUGAGAAGGAGGCGGCGGAGAUGAACAAGCGUUCGUUCAAGUACGCGUGGGUGCUGGACAAGCUGAAGGCAGAGCGCGAGCGUGGUAUCACGAUCGAUAUCGCGUUGUGGAAGUUCGAGACCGUGAAGUACUACUGCACUGUGAUCGACGCGCCCGGACAUCGCGAUUUCAUCAAGAACAUGAUCACGGGAACGUCGCAGGCGGACUGUGCUGUGUUGAUCAUCGACUCGACGACGGGAGGGUUCGAGGCCGGUAUCUCGAAGGAUGGACAGACGCGUGAGCACGCACUGCUGGCGUUCACUUUGGGAGUGAAGCAGAUGAUUUGCUGCUGCAACAAGGUGGGUUCGGGGGCAUUUUGGUUGAGGUUGGGGGGUAGGGACAUGGUAUGGGAGCGGGGCGCGGUGGUGGCAUUGGGUUGCGUUAUGGACAUGGCGUGGGUAAUGUCGGGGGCAGACGAGUGGGGUAAGGGGUAGGGUUUUUUGCGUGCAUUUUUGGGGAGCAGUGAGGUGGGCUGAUGUUGGUGAUGUGGAGGGUGGCAGAUGGACGCGACGACCCCGAAGUACAGCAAGGCCCGAUUUGAGGAGAUCAGCAAGGAGGUGUCGGCGUACCUGAAGAAGGUGGGGUACAACCCGGACAAGAUUCCGUUCGUGCCGAUCUCAGGGUUCGAGGGUGACAACAUGAUCGAGAGGUCGACGAACCUGGACUGGUACAAGGGUCCGACUCUGUUGGAGGCGUUGGACAACGUGUCGGAGCCGAAGAGGCCAUCUGACAAGCCUCUGAGGCUGCCGCUUCAGGACGUGUACAAGAUUGGGGGCAUUGGAACUGUGCCAGUGGGACGGGUGGAGACGGGAAUCAUCAGGCCGGGCAUGUUGGUGUGCUUCGCACCGACGGGACUGACGACUGAGGUGAAGUCUGUGGAGAUGCACCACGAGUCGAUGCCCGAGGCACACCCGGGUGACAACGUUGGGUUCAACGUGAAGAAUGUGGCGGUGAAGGACCUGAAGAGAGGGUACGUGGCCUCAGACUCGAAGAAUGACCCUGCAAAGGAGGCAGCAAACUUUACGGCGCAGGUUAUCAUCAUGAACCACCCGGGACAGAUCGGGAACGGUUACGCACCAGUGCUGGAUUGCCACACGUCGCACAUUGCGGUGAAGUUUGCGGAGAUCUUGACGAAGGUGGACAGGCGAUCGGGUAAGGAGCUGGAGAAGGAGCCGAAGUUUUUGAAGAACGGGGACGCAGGGUUCGUGAAGAUGAUUCCGACGAAGCCGAUGACGGUGGAGACGUUCGCGGAGUACCCACCAUUGGGACGGUUUGCGGUGCGUGAUAUGAGGCAGACGGUGGCUGUGGGUGUUAUCAAGGCCGUAGAGAAGAAGGAACCCACCGGCGCCAAGGUGACCAAGGCCGCUGCCAAGAAGAAGUAGUUUUAUUGGUAUUGCGGAGUUGGCAGUUUUGGUAUUGGUUCGGGGAUAUUUUUCUGAAUCUAGGGAUAUUGAGGUGCUGUGCUUGCUCGAAAUACUUGGUGCGGUCUUUACUUAGUCCAAGUUGGGUUCCGCUCAUUUUAUCUCGAUGCUGAGAUGUAUGUAAUGCGCUUACUCUUGAUUUUAUUUUUACUGAUUUGGGCCAGCGUCCAAAGUUGAUUCAAUGAAUUUCCAGAUGUCUGCUAUCUUUCAAGUCCGAUUUAUUGUAUGUGCCGAUUCGAGCCGCUCUUCUGUGCUACUUGCGCAGUAAUUGGCCAUGAAGGUCUUCUUGAAAUCAUGUAUGCCCAUCGUUUCAAGCCUCAACUACUCUCUAUUUACCCAAACAGGACAACAGAUGAUUUCUUAUUUGUGGUCAUGUGGCUUCAAUUGUCCAGGAUUCGGACAGUCUAUAUCUCUUCAGCAACCCGCACAUUCACUUUCUCAGUCAAUGCCAUUUCUCUAACUCUAUACCUCAACACGUACGACGCUGGUUGUCAACAAUACUAUUCCUGCUGCCAGUGGCUGACAUGCACCAUGUUUGGGGAAUUCACUGAAACUGGUUAGCACCCCUGAGUUGUGAUUAUACAUCUUGGAGUACGACGCUCCUGAUCUGAUUUUUUACCAGAUGAUGUAUUACAGCGUACCUCACUGUAAGGGUAAAUAAAUUACAGUGAGUUCACGAUUCUUAACUUGGCUUGUCUGCUGCUCUUCUCCACGUGCAACGUUGAAUUAGUACGGCGCCACCUAUAAUGCUCUGCUGAUGGAAAAGGAUCAAAAACUGUGAUGUAUGCUACUUUCUUCGACAUCUACUGCUGCGGCCCGUGUGAUAUAAACAUGCGAAUAGACUGUUGUCGGUGCAGUAGAGAAACUAGUGCGUUUCUAGCAGGAUGAAAAUCUUUGGUACACUGGGAGUCAAUUUUUAUUAGACAGAAUCUAUUACCCACUUAUACGCAUCAGAAGUUGCUGUGUUAAAGAUAUGCUCGCUCAAGUUCUUCAUGUUGUCUGCAUUAAUAGUUGCUUUAAUAAAGAUAUGGUAUCCCUAGUAUUGCUCAAAAGUUACCCACAUAUUGUUUAUUGAUUCUUUUCUUUUCUUUUCUUAAAGAAAGGGAGAUUCCAACCUCUUUCUAUUUGAUUAGGCCUGUAUUGAUAUCCUUCUUUUUGACAUUAUGUAGUUUUUUGAGUUUCUUUAUAGUGGGGAUUCCACAGUGGCUUGUCAUGGAGAUCUUGCAACAAAAUAUCAUAAAAGAGGGUUUAAAAGAUUCUUUGAAAGAACAGUUGAAAAUUAAUUUCUUUCAAAGAAUCUUUUAAUUAAGAGUUAUAUUUUUGAAAUAUUAUAAACAUAUCAUGCAUAUAUAUAUAUAUAUAUAUAUAUUUUAAAAUAUUUGAUAUUCAUUUCUCUACACUAAAUUUUAUGUUAAAGAAGUACAUAGUUAUAAAAUUAAGUGAUUUGUGCUGAUUUAUGUAAGUGUAAGUAAAAUGCAACUAGUCUAAUUUAAUCUUUAUUGACAAAAAGAAAAGAAAAAAAGAAAUAAAUGUUUGAGUUCUCAAUCAUACUGCAAAGAGUGAAAGCAUCAAAAAUAAGAAAGUAGGUGAUUUCAAAAAUCCAAAAUAAAUAUGUCAAAAAGCUUAGGGAGGUCAAUGUAAUCCUAAAUUCCAAAUCCUAAAUUCUUAAAUCUUAAAUAUCUAAAAUUUCAUUCUUAUUUAGAGCGAUUUGAAUAUAUGUAUAUAUAUUUAUACACACACACACACACACAUAUAUAUAUAUAUAUAUAUAUCGAGAGAGAGAGAGAGAGAGAGAGAUAGAUUUAGUAAUCCUAAAAUGAACACAAUGGUAUAUUCAAAACUUGCAAAAGACAUAAAAUUUAAAAUCUUAAAGCCUAAGUCAAAGUGACUAUAUCUUCUAAAGUAAGAACUUUUAGUGCAAGUUAUUUAAACCCUCAGAAUUCUACAUGCCAAAAAUAAGAAGGUAAGUCAAGUCGAAAUUUCGAAAUAAAUUUUAAAAAAAACUAGGCACACAUAUAUAAGCCUAAAUUCCUAACCAAAACCUAAAAUCAAACUAUCUAUAUCUUACAAAUGAAAAAUCUUUUUGGACAUUUUGACUUUACUAUAAGAAUUAUAAGCAAAAAUAAAUAGAGAAAUAUGUCAUAUCAAAACUAGAAUAAAAUAAAAAAUAAAAAAUAAAAUAAAAAUAUCUAAGUAUAUCUUUAUAAUUCUAUAUUUUUCAAAUCCUAAAUUCUAAAUUUAAACCUCAAAAUUCUUAAAAUGCUAAAUUUCUAAAAUUUUGUAAGUCUUAAAUUGUAAAAUUUUAAAUUUCUAAAAUUUCUAAAAUUCAUAAUGAAUCACAUUAUAAAAAAAAUAUAUUAUACUACUAAAAUAUUAUCAAAUAGAGAUUUUUUUUUCAAUAGAGUAUUUCUAUUUAUUCAAAAAUAUUUAUACUUUUGAGUAUUGGUAUGUAUUAUUUAUUUUCAUUAAAUACGGCUAAAUCAUAGAUUUAUUUAUAGUAUUUAUCUUUGUAUUAAUUGAUUCUUUACCAAGUUGCUUAUAUUAUUUGCUCAAAUUUCUAAAUUUUUAAUUUUUAACCAAAAAUAUCUUAAUUAUCUCACAUAGAAUCUAAAUAACAUAGUAUUUAUAAAAUUAUGUUUUGUUGUCAAACAUGAAAAUUAAUCAUUCAUCCAAAUAUAAUAAAAAUCAUUUGUUUCUUAUAUGUACAUAGAAAAAUUAGGAAAUUGUUUAUUAAGAAGAUCUUUAUUGAAAAUUAGUCUAAUUACAGUUAAAAAUAUAUGUUUAAUUUCUAUUUAUGUUCAAUAAUCAUGAAAAGAUUAGUAUUAAAUCAUAACUUUGCAUAAUAUUCAAAAGAAAUGAAAAACAAAUUCAACCAAUGGAAUUGAGUUCUAACAUUAUUGAAAUUAUUAACAAUAAAGAAUUUAUGCAUAUAUCUAUUUUAAAUACUCUAAAUUUUUAUUCAAAUAUAGAAAACUUAACCAACAAGUAAAAAAAAUUAUUCUUAUCUAUUUGGCCUUACAUUAAUUAAUAAAUAUAUUCUUAUUUGAUCUUAUAUUAUUAUAAUAGAAAGAUUGACAUUAGCCUUGUUAAAAUUUUCUUAAUAAAAAUAGAUGAGAAUUCUUUUGAAUUUAAUAAAAUUCUUUUUUUAACUUGGUUUUUUAAUUUUAAACUAAUAAUUUUAUUUGAAUAAUUUUUUACAAAAACUUAGUAUAUUUAAAUUAUAUAUUGCCAAUUAGAAUUAAGACCUUAUUAUUUUUUUAAAAUUCUAAGCUUGUAAUUUUUUUGGAUUAAAUCAAACUUGUAUUUUAAAUCAAAUACUAAAUUCAUAUAAUAUAUAAAUAUUUAUCCAAAUUUUUUUAACUUUGUCUUUUUGACAACAACAUUAAAUGACAUAUUAAAUUUAUUUAUUUAUCAAUAUAAAUUUCUAUAUGUUGGUAAUAAAUUCAAACAUUAGAAGAUUGAAUUGCUAUUAAAUAAUCACUUUUAGUAUUGAUUACUAAUUGAUAUAUUUAAUUUAUAUAUAUUUUAGUUGUUUCUAAAGUAUGUACUUACAAAAAGUGAUGCUACAAUAUUUUUGUGAUUCUUCUUUUGUUGCUGAUUAGACAUAUUUUAAAAAAAACAAGAAUAAAUAUAAAAAUCAAUUUAAGCAUAAUACCUCUAAAAUACAUUCUUGCUUUUAAAAUCAAUGAUUGUUGCUCUUUUAUCUUUUCAUCUUUUAGAAAGUACAAUUAACUUUAAUACUUCUUUGUUAAUUUUUAUAAUAUCACUAUUUUUUUCUUGCCUAUGAUUUGUAAUAAUAUAUGAAUCUUUAUUUUUUUUAAAAUUAUUUAAUUAAAAUAAAUAAAAUAUUUAAUUACAAAUUUAAAAAAUUUCAUCUUUGUACAUAAAAUAUUAAUGUAUAUAUUUGUUGACAAAAAAUUAUGUAAACUUGAGAUAGAUUGUAUUAUCCAAUUAUGCGUUCUAGCAGUCCAACAAAACAAGUUGAGUUAAUCAUUGCACAAUGGUCCUACAAGAGAACACCAAACAAUUGACACCACAUCAACAAACUUCUUGCUGCACGUUAUUGAUUGUUUAUGCUUCAUAAAGACAUCACAAGUAUGUCUCUUUGUGCCAUUUGUAUCAAAUAGCCAAAUUUAGAUUUGUACAAAUAGACCAAGCAUUGUUAUGGCCCAUAUCCUUACUUUCACUAUUUAUGUGUUAGGAACUAGACUUCAUCAAAUUCAUCAAAUCACUUAUGCAAGUGCAAAAUAAAUAUAUACUCAUAGUGAUAAAUUAUAUCACUAAAUGGUGCAAAGCACGUCACAAACAUGCAUAUUUACUCUAAUAUUUAUCUAUAUGAUUAAGUAGAAGUAAAUAAAAAUAGAUUUAUUUCAUAAUAUUUUUUAGAAUAGUUUUUUAAAAGCUUCAUAGAUGGUGCUUUGACUUUACAUAUGUUUAUAGUUGAUUGAUAUGUUAGAAACUUCGUCAACAAGUUAACCACAUAUUGGUAGCUUGUAAAAUAAGCUAAUUAUGUGGCAUACAUAUAGAAAACUUGCCUUGUAAGUUAAGAUAUGUAUCUUAUAAAGUCAACAUGUUUUGGAGGUCCUAUAGAACAUUGCCUUGUAGCUCCUAGUUAAGAAUAUAUAUGGAGGCAAGAGUGAAGCCUUUUUCAUUCUUAUCAACGCCUUUUUAGUCGUUAGUCUUAUUUCAAGUCUUCUUAGUCUUCUUUUCUUUGGCAAUAGCCAUUGUAGUUUAAUACUAUGUCAUCUUUGAGUGCUUUUCUAGUCUUUUUGAGUAACACAAGAGUAUUGGCAUUUUAAUUCUUUGAGGUUCAUAUCCUUGACAAUUUGACAAGAGUCCCAAUUCAUUUUUUUUUAUCUUAUUUUAGAAGUAAAUGGAUUAUUUUACUUCUAUUAUUAUAUUUUAAAGGUUGUAGAUUAUCUACUUUUAAAUAAAAUAUUUAAUUUUUUGAUACUAUUUUUUUCUUUAAAGAGAGUGAAUUAUCUCUUUUUGUAGAAAUUUUCAUUUGAUAUUAAAGAUUCGAAAUUAUCUUCUUCUAAUUUAACUUUUUGAAUUUAUUUGAAUUAUUUAUAGAAAGAAAGAUUAUAAAUUUUAUUUUCAAUAGAAAUAAAAAUAGAUUUGUAACUAUUGUAGAUCUUCACAAAUUAAAGAUUUACAACUCCUUUAUAAUUUGAAUUCAUUCCUAGAAGUAUUUAUGGCCAUAUUUGAAAAAAGUGAUUAAAAAAGAGUAGCAGAGAUCAAACUUUUAUCUUUACAAUAAAAAUCAUGGUCAGCCACCAUAUAUAUUGCUAAAUUCCAAAAUCUUGCUUGUGAUGUGGAGUAGAAUGACAAAACCCUUAUCAAUGAAUUUUGAUAUUUAUUGAAGGAAAAUAUCAAAGAUUUGUUAUUGAUAAUGUCAAAAGAAUUUUUUUUGGAACAAUUUAUUGCUGAAGCCAUUACAUGCAACAAUCAAUUAUUUAAAAGAUGUCAAGAACAAAGAUUCAACUAAAGAAGAACAAAUCAAGUAAUGAUGGUAGCUCCUAAGUUUUCAAAAUCUUAUUCAUUAAAGCUAAAACCAAUGCAAAUUGAUAUGGUAUAUUUUAAAUCUCUAAGUGAACAAAAAAAGAUUCAUUGUCAUAAAAAAGAUUUGUACCUAUAUUGUAGAGAAUCCAAGUACAUUGCUUAAUAUUAUCUAAAGAAGCAACACAAUCAAAAAAUGAAGAGUAUAGUUAUUAAAGAAGAUGAUAUAUCAAAAAAUGAGUCUCUUCAACUACAAUAGGAUCCAUGCAACUAAAAUCUUAUACAAUUUCUAGUAAAGAUCUUAUUCUCUCCUUAGAUCCUUCACCUUAUUUUACAAUAGAAUUUUUUUUAGGACCAAAAAAUCACAAAGACUUAGCCUUGUUAGAUUCAAGAGCCUCAAUCUAUUUUAUAAAAAAACUUUGUCAAAAAACAAGAUAUAUUUUUAAUUAAGAAAAUCAAAUUUGUGCAUAUAGAAAUAAUAAAUGGUCGUUUGUUAUCUUUUAGAGAUAAUUCAUAUGAAACUAUUCUUAUAGAAGUAGCAGCUAGUAGACAUAAUAGUCUAGUAAUAUUUGAUGUGAUUAGAUCUCUUUUUAAUCUAAUUAUUUUAGGAUUAUCUUGAUUAAAAAGAUAUAAUCUUUAGAUAGAUUAGAUUUCUUGUAAUCUUGAUUUUUUUCAUAGUUUAGGCCAAGAUUCUAUUAGGCAAUUAAAUAUCCAUAAGAUCAAUACAUGCAAAUUAUUAUUAGUAGGUACAAGAACUUUCAUACAUGCUACAAAAGAAGGGUCAAUUUUUGUUAUAUAUGACAUAUCUAUUGUUAAUAGAGAAAAGAUUUUAAGUAGUAUUCUAAGCCAAUAUCAAAAUUAUUAAGAUAUCUUUAAAAAAAAGAAUGCAAAUAUUCUUUCAAAGCAUUAUCUUUAUGAUUGUUCCAUUGAUCUUCAAGAAAGAACUCAACCACCAUUUGGACCAAUCUAUAGCCUAUCACAAAUAAGUUGAGUGCACUUAAGGAAUACAUUGAUGAAAAUUUGGCUAAGAACUUCAUACAAAAUUCUAAAUCUUUAAUUGAGGCUUCUAUCUUAUUUGUGAAAAAAAAAGACGGAUCUCCGCAAAUGCUUGUAAAUUAUUGGGGACUUAAAAAGAUCACCAUCAAGAGUAGGUACCCUCUAUCUUUGAUUGCAGAACUUCUUGAUCAACUAAAUCAAGGAAAGAUGUAUAUAAAAAUAGAUCUACUAAGAAUGUAUAAUUUGAUAUGCAUUAAAGAAGGAGACAAAUAAAAAUCUAUGUUUUGAUCAAUAUAUGGACAUUUCAAAUUUAAUGUCAUGCCUUUUGGAUUCAUGAAUGCACCAAUUGCUUUUUAGCAUUUAUUAAAUGAUAUUUUUUACAAGUUUCUUGGUAAAUUUGUCAUUUAUUAUUUAUACAAUAUUUUGAUCUAAAAAUAUAAAGGAGCAUAAACUUUAUAUUCAUUAUCUAUUACAAAAACUAAGAGAUGCAAGAUUAUAUGCAAAGAUGAAAAAGUGUAUAUUUUUUCCUACUCAAGUUGAUUUCUUACAAUACAUUAUUUCAAACAAUAGUCUUAUGAUGGAUCUUGAAAAUGUCUAAAGUAACAUUGAUUAAAAGAUUCUAAAAAUAGUCAGAGACAUAUAAUAUUUUUUCAAAUUUACUAAUUAUUAUUAGAACUUCAUCAAGAUUUUUUUUCAAGUUGCAGCUCCUUUUACAUGCUUAACAUGUAAACACAAACUAGAGUGGAAUAAAGAAGUUGAAGCAUCUUUUUAAGCCUUUAAGACAACAUUUAUUUUUGUACCAAUUUUAUACCAUGUCGACUUUUCAAAUACAUUCUUUAUGAAAACAGACACAUUAGACUUUGCUAUGGGUGCCAUUUUUUUACAAAUGGAAGCAAGUAAUAAGCUCUACUUAGUAAUUUUUUAUUCUAGGAAAUUUUUAGGACCCAAAAUUAACUAUGAAAUCUAUAACAAAGAACUUUUUUCAAUUAUGGAUUCAUUUCAAGAAUGGCAUCAUUAUCUAGAAGGCACUUUUAGUCCAAUCACCAUAUAUAUGGAUCGCACAAAUCUUGAGUACUUCAUGUUAGCACAUGUUUUAAAUCAUUGUUAAGUCAAUUAAAGCAUAUCUUUAUCAAGUUUUGAUUUUUAGAUUACUUAUUUAACUGAAAAAUAAUAAGGUUUAUUAGACACUCUUUUUAGAUAUUUUUAUUUUAUACCAAAAGAAGGAGAUGUAGCUUUUGAUAAACAAAAAAUGAUCCUCUUGAAGCCAAAGUAUUUUCAUCUUUGAGUAAUAAAAUCAACACUGACUAUUGAUUCAACUCUUAUCCAAAAAAUUCAAUUAAAUAUGUCCUUUGAUCUUCUUGUUGUCAUGGACAUACAAAUGAAGAAGGUUCAAAAAGAUUCUAAGAAGAUUUUUAAAGAUCCUAGAAGGUUCCAAUAUAUUCUAGGAAGAUUCUAAAAGGUUCCAGUAGAUUCUAAGAAAGUUUUAGAAGAUUAUACGAGAUCCUAGAAGAUUCUAGGAGGCUUUAGAUUAUUUAGAAAGUUACUGAAGAAAGAUCUUAGGCUUGCUUUAUUCGCAAGCCUCAUAGAAACUUCUCAAGAAGCUUCUUAAGACCUAAUAUAUAUAGGAGUCAAAGGUGAAGGGAUCUUCAAUCUCAACAACUCACUUCUUGUAGUUUAGCUAGGACCUUCUUGCAUUGUAUUCAAUUAUUGUUCUAAUGACAAGCUAAAUCUAUUUUUUGGUCUUGAAUCCUUAUCUUAUAUACAGUUCCUAAUAGUUUGUCGAGACUCCCAUAAAACAAUAUUAGAAGCUUGGUUUUUCUUCAUAGAAAGUGGAUUACCCCUCUUCUUGGAAGUACUAUAUCAUUUAUGAGGUUGCAGAUUAUCCUCUCCUACACUAAUAUUGUUCUUUUCUUAAUAUUCUUUUGAUUUUUUUUCUACCAUAGAUCAAUUUUAAUUUUUUAUGGCAAAAGGUGGAAAAGUCAAUAUGACAGAUUCCAAAGAGAUCAAGUUAGAUUUUAUUAUUAAUGCUCUUGAAGCAUUGAAGAUCAAAACAAAGACUUUAUUGAAGAAAAAUGAAGAAUUAUAUAUAAUCAUACAUAAUAGUCAAGGAGCUAGAGUGCCUCAACCACUACAUCAAAUGAUAAUAGAGGUUCUAAAUUCUCAAAAAACUAUAUCUGCUUCAACAAACAUGGGAGGUGCAUCCAUUCAAGGCAAUGAUCUGACAACAAUAACAACAAAAGAACUACGGAUUAGCCUUUCAAAAAAGUUUGAUGAUACCCGCUCAAAAUUUUUUCGCUUUGUAAACCAAGUGUAAUUAAUCACUUUGUUUCAACCUCAAUGAUAUUCUACUAAAGCAUCUUGUAUUGGUUUGGUUGGAACCUUACCCUCAAGUCAAGCUUUAUCUUGAUUCGCUCUAUUAUUUGAAAAUAAUUUUCAUAUAUUGCACAAUUUUGAAACAUUUUUGGUAACAUUUAUAGAAGCAUUUGGUAAACAUGAUAAGAUUCAUUCUUUAACAACUAAAAUUUGAAGCCUUUGACAAAAAACGUGUUUUAUAUCAAUGUAUGCUUGAGAUUUUUAAUAAUUAGUAUAUGAUAUAAAUUGGAGAGAAGAUGUAUUGAUGAGCCAAUUUCAUUGGAAAUUAAGAGAUGAUGUUAAGGACUUAUUGUUAUCUAUGCUAGAUCUUCAAAUACUCAAUGAAGCCAUUAGUUAAGUUGUGAAGUAUGAUAACCAUUUAUUUCAACAAUGAUAAGAUAAAUCUUCUUUAAUUAUGCCACAUAUAUACACCAAUUAUUCUGCUGUUUCUUUACCAUCCGAUUCUAAUGAGUAUUUGGAAACAAAAGAUAUGUAAAUUGAUGUAAUUUUCUUUGAACCUCUUUCUAAGGAAGAAAAAAAGUGUCAAAGGGAACUUGGCCCAUGCUUAUAUUAUAAAAAUCCUCGCCACUAGAUUGAUAAUUAUUCAAAGAAAUGCUAGCAUAUAUUUCAAAUAAAGAGUGCGGCCACUUCAUCAAAAGCUUUGUAAGAAAAUGAAGACAUCUAGCCACAGUAGGGACCGUUUGGUUGGAUUCUUCACUAUCACAAAUCAAAAAAGAUCUUGUAUUCUUUGCUAGUCCUUUCCAUUGUUUUACUUUAUGUGUAUAGUUAGGAGUCACAAAACUACAGUGUCAUGUAUUACUUGACUCAGGAGCCUUUGCAUGUUUUAUUGACAAAGAAUUUUUUAGAUCACAUCAAAUCUGUAUAGUCAAAAAAUCCAAGCUAUAUAUAUAGAAGUAAUAGAUGGUCGACCUUUUUUCCUUUAGAGAUGUCACUUAUGAGACAAUUCCAUUAGAAAUAACCUUCAACAACUAUAGCAAUGAAGUAGUAUUCAAUGUCAUUAGAUUACCAUCAAGUUUAGUCAUUUUAGGAUUCUCAUGGCUUGAAAAAUACAAUCUAUGGAUAGAUUGAAUAUCAUGAAAGUUAAAAUUUCUUUUAAUAGAUUAUAGAAUUUUUAGAUCUAUAAAAAAGUUUUUAAUAUCUGAUAAGCCAAAAUUAAAAAAAUAUUUAUUUAUUAGAAUUAGAGUAUUUUGUAAAGGCAGCCAAAUAAGGUACUACGUUUGUUGUCUAUACAAAUCUACAAUCAAAACUUAAAGUUGCUACAACAACAAUUCUAGAGGCAUAUAAAGAUUUUGUAGAUGUAUUUCAAAAAAAAAAAUACAGAUAUCUUGCCAAAACAUCAUCUUUACAAUUAUACAAUGGACCUUUAAGAAGAUAUUCAACCAUUGUUCGGAUCCAUCUAUAAUUUAUUUCAAAAAUAGCUUACAACUUUAAAAGAAUACAUUGAUGAAAAUUUGGCUAAGAAUUUUAUUUGACAUUCCGAGUCAUUAGCUAGUGCUUUGAUAUUAUUUGUGAAGAAGAAAGAUAGGUCUUUACGGAUGUGUGUCAAUUAUCGCGGUCUUAAUAAAAUCAUAGUAAAAAAUUGAUAUCUAUUGCUAUUGCUAUCCAGAUUUUUUUAUCAACUUAGCUAAUCAAAGAUCUUUACAAAGAUUGAUCUACGAGGUGCUUAUAAAUUUGUACACAUUAAGGAGAGAGAUGAAUGGAAGACAAUAUUUUGCACCACGUAUAGACAUUUUGAAUACAAUGUCAUGCCUUUUGGAUUUAUCAAUGUACCAACUAUAUUCCAACACUUAAUGAAUGAUAUAUUUUGCAAGCAUCUCAACAAGUUUGUUGUGAUCUAUUUGGAUGAUAUUCUAAUCUUUUCCUAGAAUUUGGAAGUCCACAAAAAACAUAUCUAUCCUAUAUUGAAAAAGUUACAAAGUCUUAAACUAUAUGCAAAACUGGAGAAGUAUAUAUUUCAUGCACCUCAAGUCGAAUUUAUUGGAUAUAUUAUUUCCAAAAAAUGCCUUUUUAUGGAUCUAAAGAAGCUACAAGUAAUCAUCGAUUGGGCAAAACCAAAAACUGUUAGUGAUGUCCAAUACUUUUUUGGAUUUACAAACUUCUACAAGGUUUUUGUUAGGAAUUAUUCCAAGAUUGCUACUCUAUUUAUGUGGUUGACAUACAAGUACAAGUUGGACUAGGGCCCUAAAGUAGAGAAAGCUUUUCAAAGCUUAAAGGAUGCUUUCAUAAUAGCUCCAAUUUUGAUACAUUAAGAUUUCAACAAGUAAUACUUUAUAGAAAUUGAUACCUCAAACUUUGCAUUGGAAGCAAUCUUCUCGCAAUAUGGAGAAGAUGACAAACUUCAUCUAAUUGUAUUUCAUUCUAAAAAUUUUUUAAUGAAAAAAUCUACUAUAAAAUUCACAAGAAAGAGUUGUUUGCUAUUAUAGAUUCUUUUCAAGAAUGGUGCCACUUUCUUCAAGGCACCUUUCAUCAGAUGAUUGUAUAUAUAGAUCAUAAGAAUCUUGAAUACUUCAUAUCAACUUGAGUCUUGAAUUGUUGCAAAGCGCGUUAGAAUAUAUGUUCUUUGAAGAAUAUUUGUUCAUUCUUGAAGGACUAAUUUGCUUAUGUAUUUUUCAAAUAUGCCAUGAUUUUCUUACAAUCGAACAUUUCAGAUUCAAUAAGACCUUAGAACUUUUGUCUAGAGACUUUUGGUGCCUUAAAAUAUGGAAGGAUGUUAAGGAAUUUGUACUAUCAUGUGAUACUUAUUCAAGGUGAAAGAACCCUUGACAUCAGCCAUAUAGACUUUUUCAACCCCUUUCUAUUCGAAAACAACCAUGGUCAUCUAUCUCUAUGGAUUUCAUUACAGAUCUUUGACCAUCAAGUUCAUUUGACACUAUCAUUGUAGUUAUUGAUUGAUUGAUCAAUAUGGCACAUUUUAUAUCUUACAAGAAGUCAAUUACUGCUAAGAAGAUGGCAAGAUUUUUUAUUGAUAAUAUCUAUCAUUACCACGGAUUGCCAAAUAAUAUCUAGAAGGCAUAUUAUAAGAUUCCUAAGUUUGAUAUCAACCUUUCUUUUGUCUUCUAUCUCAAAACUGAUGGCUAAACGGAGCCGGCCAAUUAAAUUCUUGACCAAUAUUUGAGAUGCACUAUCAACUAUAAACUAGACCAUUGGACUUUCUAUUUGUUGUUGGCAGACUUUUCAUAUAACAACACAAUCCAUGCAUCUAUGCAAGAAAUGCCAUUCUAUUCAAAUUAUGGUCAUCAUCUAGAAUUGGAUAUGAUAGAAUUACAAAGUCGAUAAAUCAAAUAACAGAGGAGUUUGCUACGAAAAUGGCCAAACUUCAAGCAAUCAUGAAGACUCAUCUAAAAAGGGCUCAAAAAUGUUAUAAGCUAUUAAUAGAUGAAUUAAAAAAAGAACAUCCUCUAUUCCAAAUUGGUGACAAAGUGUGGCUACUUUGGCAUAUAUAAAAACCAACAUGCUAUGUAAUAAGUUGGACUACUAAAAAUUGGAACCAUUUGUGAUUCAAAAAUAAAUAAACAAUGUAAGUUAUUGCUUGGAGUUACCUUCAUCUAGCCUUUCAUGUUUCAGUUUUGAAAAGGUAUAAAGAAUUAAACAUACCAAGUCAAAGAUAACCACCACCUCCUAUAGUUGAAAUCAAUGAUCAUGUUGAAUUUGAGGUAGAAGAGAUAUUAGAUUUAAGGAUAAGACAUAAAAGGCUUGAAUAUCUGGUUCAUUAGCGUGGAUAUGAUAUCAAUAAUUACAUGUGGAAAUUAGCUGACAAUCUUGUAAAUGCACAAAUGAAGGUUCAAAAGUUCUAUCAAUGACAUCUAUUUAGACAAAAAGUGGCAAAAUGAGGAACAAUAGCUUGAUAAGAUGGCUUCACCAUGAAGAUUCUUAGUUCUUGGUUUCAUAAAGAAGGGAAGGAAGCAACCUUUGAAGAGGCAGUUUUUUCAAAUGUUUAGAACAAUAUAUGUCAAUAGUUUGAGUUCCCAAUCACAACUUGUAUAUAUUCUUUUGAUCUUGUUUAUUUUAUGUGAUAUGAAUAGUCAAGACAUAGAUACCUUGUCGGUCAUAUGAUUUCAACUAAGUAGCUUGUGAAGAUGAUUCUAUGAUGAAGAACUACCUGAACCACAAAGAUGUUGAAGGAUAUCCAGUAAUAGAUCAUCGAUAAUUAUAUUUGAGGUAGAACCUAGCCAUGAAGGAUACCGAGAAGGACUGUUUGUAAGAUAAUUUCAUAACAAAUAUAUCAUAGUUCAUGCUUGGUCACAAGUAGAAGACUUGGGGUACUAUUGAUGGAUAUAAGGGCCUAUGAAAUAUUUGCCUUACAAAAAAAAACUAGAAUAUAUAGUGGAUACUAUGCAACAGAUCUUCAACUUUUUGUAUAUAUAUUGACUUGUAGUAAUAUUACUUCUCUGAGACCUCUAAGCCACAGGAGGAGGUGAUGUUAUGGACAUACAACUGAAGAAGGUUUAAAAAGGUUUGAAGAGAUUUUGAAAAGAUUCUUGUAGAUCCUAGAAGGUUCUAGAAGGUUCUAAUAGGUUUUAAUAAGAUUCCAAAAGAUUGUAGUAGAUUUUAAGAAAGUUCUAGAAGGUGAAAAGAGAUCCUGGAAGGUUCUAAGAGGCUUUAGAUGAUUUAGGAAGUUGCCAAAGAAAGAUCUUAGGCUUACUUUUUUUUUCAAGCCUCUUGAAAAAUUCUCAAGAAGCUUCCUAGGAUCUAGUACAUAUAGGAAUCAAGGCCGAGGCGAUCCUCAGUCUCAACAAUUCACUUCUUGUGGUUUAGUUAGGACCUUCUUGCCUCGUGUUUAGUUAUUGUUCUUAUGUCAAGCUAACUCCAUUUCUUGGCCUUGAAUCCUUAUCUUCUAUACAAUUUCUAAUACUUUUUUAUAAUAUAAAGAAUAAUUUUUUUAAAUCUUAUGAUACUUUUAAAUUCAAGUUUAAGAAUAAUCUAUCUUAUUUUGAAGGAUGAUUAUAUAUUUCAAAUAAUGAAGCACAAUUAUGUGUUCUUUAAGCUUUUCAUGACUUUCUAACAACAAAAAUUUUGGACACAAUAAGACUUUGGAGCUAAUAUUAAUAGAUUUUUGGUGGCUUCAAAUAUAGAAGGUAGUUAAAGAUUUUUUUUAUAAUCAUGUGAUAUUUUUUUAAGAUCAAAAAUUCCUUAUCAUCGAUCUUAUGGACUAUUUUAGCCACUACCUAUAUUGGAACAACCAUGGUCUUUCAUUUCUAUGGAUUUUAUUACAAAUCUUCUAGUCUAAAGUUUGUAUGAUUUUAUAUUUGUAAUAUUAGAUAAUUUUAUCAAGAUGGCACAUUUUGUAUUAUGUACAAAAUGUACUAUAGGUAAAGAAAUGGCUAAGCUUUUUUUUAAGAACAUCUAUGACUAUCAUGGAUUAUGUAAAGAUAUUAUCAGAUAGGAAGACUCAAUUUGUAUUAAGAUUUUAAAAAAUAUUUUUUAAGAUUUUAAUGAUGGAUUUAAAGCUCUUUUUUGUUUUUCAUUCUCAAAUUGAUGGACAAACAGAACAAAUGAAUGAAGUUCUAGAAUAGUAUUUAAAAGGUACCAUUAAUUAUCAUCAUAAUGAUUCGACAACUCUUUUUCCAUUGAUAGAGUUUGAAUACAAUAUUUUGGUAUAUUCUUCUAUCCAACAAAUAUUUUUUUGAAAAAAUUAUGGUUAUUAUCUAUGACUUAAUAUUUUUACUUUUUUAAAGUUGAUAAUUUUGUAGCAAAAGAUUUGACAAAUUGUUUAUCAAAUCUAUAUGCAAAAAUGAAAGAGUAGUUCAAGGAAGUUCUAUAACAACAAAAGAUUAAUACAAAUGCUUAUUGCAAGGAACAACCACAAUUCAACAUAGAUGAUAAGAUAUAGCUAUUUUGUUAUAAUAUUAAGAUUACUUGUCCUUGUAAUAAGUUGGACUAUUCUUGGCUUGAAUCUUUUUCCUAUUUAUGAAUGCACAUGAAAGCCAAUAAAGAAUCUUACAAAUGUAAUAAAAUAGGUUGAAGCUUUUCAUUGACAACAUCCAUAAAAAUUUAAAUAAAAAAUAAUAAUUUUUUAUUAUAAAAAGAAAUAAGAUCCAAGGAAGAUAGCAUUCUAUCUUCUAUUCUUAUUUAUAACUUUUACAUAUUUGUGAUGCUAAAGACAUAGAGAAUCAACAACCAACAGAUUUAAUUCAAGAACUAUUACUUGUUGAUUUAUCAAAUAAGACAUUGCAAUUGUCACAACCUUUAAGAUGACAUAUUCAAGAUGAAGAUCUUUAAGAAUGACAUGUCUUUCCACAAAUAGAUGGCAAGAUACAACUUGUUGAUAUCACAACCUUAGAAGAGAUUUUUAAUGUUUGGUGAUUUUAUUGGAAUUAGAAACAAUUCUUAAUAGUGUUUCAAAUAUUUUAUUUGAAAGGAGUUAAUAUGUAUAGGACAUUGCCACGUAGUUUCUAAUUAAGAGUAUAUAUGGAGACAAGAGUAAAGCUUUCUUUAUUCUUGUCAAUGCCUUUUUAGUCCUUAAUAUUUUUUCAAGACUUCCUAGUCUUCUUAUCUUUAAUAAUAGUUGUGAGUGUCAAUUUCACUUCUCAAUCCAAAUUAUAAGAUGGCCUCAAUUAAAAGUUGCUUGUAAUUGGUGGUGUAAAGUGAAGUAUGUAAUUGGAAAAAAACCAAAGAAGAACAACCACUAUACAAGUAGAAGAAAUGAAAUCAAGUAAUUAGAACAUGUAAAACUAAAUUAGAGUCUGUUCACUAUCUUUUCAUCUAGUAAAAAAUAAAAGUGAAAAGUAAAAAGUAUAUUUUUAUAUAGGAAAUUUUAUUAUCUUUCCAAUGACAUAAGAACCAUGUAAAUCUAAAUUAUUAUGUUAGGAAGUUUAUGAAGUUUUAAAGAUAGGAAGUAAAUAAUUAAAAAGUGAAGUAAAUAUAUUUUAUUGCAUGGAUAACUUGCUUAUUGAUCAAGAGUUCAAGCCUCACCAAGGCUCACAUGUAGUGUAUAAGGGUAUUUAGAGACUCUAUGAGGCCUUAGUCCUAUCUUCCUAUCUAUAUCCAAGGUGCUACAAUCCAUAUAGGACUUGUACACCUCCUUUCCUACAACGGCUAGACUAGUUGUUGGUCCUCCUAUUUUUUACAAGUAAAACUCAUUUUUUUAUAUUUUUGACUUUUUCAUGGUGUUUAAAAAAAUCCUAUUAGCCUGAGAACCUUGAGUGUCCAAUUCUUACUCCAUUUCUUCAUAAUGGCUCUCUAAGUGGUAAAAUACAUUUUUACCAAAGUCUUAGAAAUUACUCUAAAAAUUCCUAAAUAAUUCUAAAUAAAUUCUAAAUAAAUUCUAAAAAUUCCUAUAAUGGUUCUAUAAUACUAUUAUCAGUUUAUGGCUAUAAUUUUCUAUCUUAAUGACUUUUAUAAUAAUAAAUUAAAUUUAAAUCUACUAUAAAUUUUACUUUCUAUAUAACUAACUAAAAAGACAUGAGGUUCUCUUUCAUGCUUCUUCUAAUUACUAACUAACAUUUAUAGUUUUUUUUUUUUAUAAUUAAUACAUAUAGAUAAAAGAUCAACAUAGAUAUUGAUCUUAAUAACUAAUGCUCACUACACAAUAAUAAGUAAAAAUCCUUAACCAACUAAAAAUAUUUACCUCGAAGACUUACUAAGAUUCCAUUUCUUCUCCAUUAAUACUAUUCUCUUUCAUUUAACAUCAUCUAAGCACAUCUUUACCUAUAAUGUCUUUCAUGAAUCAUAUGAACAAACUAUUUUGAGACCUUUUGGAUAAGUAUGUAAUUAUUUUCAUCAAUUAUAUCCUAGUCUAUAAUAAAAUCCUUAAAAAAAUAAGCAAUAUAUAAGGAAAGUAUUGCAUCAACUACGAGAUAGUCACUUCUAUUGCAAAAAAUCAAAGUAUGAAGUUUGGAAGCUGGAAGUCAUCUUUUUAGGACAUCUAGGGCAUAAGAAGUCUCUAAAAUAAAUCUCAAGGACAUAGUUUUGGAUAGAUAUGGAUUAUGAUAUUUGAGCUUUUGUGUGCUCUUGCAAGUCAUGUUAACAUAAAAAGUAUGCAAUGUAAUAUUUUCUAGGCUAUUGCAACCAAUUCCACUACCUACAACAUGUUGGAAGCAAGUGACCAUAGACCUCAUUACAUGUUUGCCACAAAUGCCUCAUAUUACACUGUGGUUGCUAUCUUUGUAGAUCAAAUUUUGAAACAACUUCAUUUAAUUGUGAUAUAAUUUGAUAUUGAUGCCCUAGCACUUGCAUGAAUCUUCUUUGAUACUAUCUUUCAUCACCAUGGAUUAUCUUAUGUCAUCAUUUUAGAUUGGAAUCUGUAUUUUAUGAAGAAUUUUUAGCAGGCCUUACUCAAGCCAUUGGAUAUACGACUUACUAUAUCUACAACUUUCUAUUCUCAAACAGAUAGACAAAUAGAGCAUAAAAAUUGGAUCUUAGAAGAUAUGCUAUAAGAAUUUGUGGUGAUUCACAAUAAUGAAUGGAAUGAAUAUUUGAUGCCUUUGGAGUUUAUUUACAAUGAUAAUAUUCAAGCAAGUACUGAUUAUUCACCAUCAUUUUUUAACCUCACUUAGCAUCCAAUUAUGCUAGCAAUUCUCUAUCAUAUCAUCAACACUAGCAAUCUUAUAAGGAGAGAGUUUAUAUAAUAGCUUAUAAUUGCCUUGCAAGAAGCACUAUAUUGGUUUUUUUAUUGCUUAGAAUCGAAAGAAACAAUAUGUAGAUAACCAUCAAUGUCAUAAUGUAAUACAAUUAUAUGGUGAAGAUAUAAUCAAAAAUAAAAAUUUAAUUAAUAUUUAAUUAUCUUAGUUCAAUAAUAAUUCAAGAUAUUUAAACAUGGCUUUUAUAAAAGUCUCUUAGUUUAUUUUUUUUUUCUUAAUAGUUAGUAGGUUAAAGGUUGGUUAGUAAUUUUACCUUCUAGGCUGUAGAGACUCUUUUAUUGCCUUAGAACGACCAUAAAUUGAUAAAAUCAAGUUAAAAGACAUAAAUAAUUAGCAUGAUUGUUACUAGGAUUAAAUUGAACAUAGGAUUGGACUAAAAAAUCUCUAUGAUAGAUUAGAUUGAUACUCAAGGGUCGACCAUUUGUUAGAUAGGGUGAUAAUCAGACCUCUAUCCACUAAAACGAUGACCUAGGGCUAAAUAGGGUUUUAUUUGAAGAUCAAAGAUUAGAGUUCAAGAGAUAGCUUAUAGCUUAUUUCAAAGACAUAAGGCUUUUUUUGUAGGAUUUAUUUAGACUUAGCAAUUGUUGUUCAAAUCAAGGAUUAUAUUGACAACAUGGAAUUUAUGCAAUACAAAUAGGGCUAGCAUUCUCAGCUAGUUCAUAAAUUUGAUGUCACAUCUAUAGUUCAAAAUUUGAAAGUGCUUGAUUAAGUAGGUGUGCUAAAUGUAUGUAAAAAUUUACAAAAAUCUAACAAUGGGUUUGAAAGAUAUUUGGAUUUUGAUACAAGAAGGUAUCAAAAAUUAGAAGUUUGAGGUUGGAUAGAAUUUUUAUGAUAUUUGAAGAUCUACUAAUUGGAUCAAAGUAAAAUUUUGCAUGAUAUUAGAAGACUUAAAGAUCAAGCUAUAUACCAAUCUUGAAUUGAAGUUAAUAGUUGGAGAAGGAAAAAUUAGUGUUAGAACAUUUGUAUCAACUUUCAAGUUGGCCGCCAAGUAACAUUAGUGUGGUUUUUAGAUAUUUUUUCACAAUUUAUAAGUUGGAUUGGAAUGAAUUCUUUUUGAGCACAUAGAAGACUUAAAGUGGCAUUUGUGUGCAAAAUUUUGCUCUAAGUGGACUAUUAGAUUAGAAGCUAUUGCUAAAGCUUAUUAAUUAGAGUUAAAGUUUGUAAAGAAAAUUUGAAAUUGCCUAAUUAUGAAAGUAACAAGGCAAUUGGAGUUUAUGUAUGGUUGAAAUUAUUAAAAAUAUUCUUUUUUAAUAAUUUGUAUUAGAUUUAAGCACUUUUAAAUUAAAAUUCGAAUUGCAUUCUUCUAAUAAAGAUGAAACAUAUUAAAAUUCUUAGAUACUUAUAAAAUAUAAUUCCAUCUUCUACAAUGAGAUGUCCAAUGCAUUUUCAAACAAGAUGACAUAUAAUACAAUACCAACAACAUAAGACCUUUUGGAAGGGUGACCAAAUAUUAUUCUCUAAUGUCAAUUUUUUACUUACUACAUCAAUCCAAGUCCAUAAGUUGACACUUUAGUGGCUUAGACCUUUCUACAUUUUUAUAGUGAUUUUUGAUAUUGCAUAUCAUCUCAAGCUUUUGCCAUAUAUUUAGGUCCAUCUAGUCUUUCAUAUUUUGUAGCGCAAGGAGUUUCAUACUCAAUCAAGGCACUUUUUAAACUAAUACUAACCACCACUACCACUAAUUUUAAUUAAUGACUAAUAAGAAUAUGAAAUAGAUAACAUUUUGGAGCAUUGCUAUGUUUGUUGUGGCAAUGGACAUUUGCAACUUUAAUACAAGGUUUUUUGAAAAGGCUACUCCAUCCAUGAUAUAAUGUGAAAACUUGUAUAGAACCUCAUUCAUUGUCAAGAAACAAUCUAGAGGUACCAUCAAAAGCAAAAAGAAGAUGUUCCGCAUUACUAAAGAAGGAUUAACUAUAAUGGGGCAUGGAUAAGAUAAUUAUAUUAUUAACAUGUAGAAAUAGGUAAUUAGGGCCAUUUUUUAGAAGUUUUUAGAAGUUUUUAGAAUUGGUGGCAAGUUGAUGGUUUAUGUGGGAUCUACCAUAGAACAUCCUAAAAGAACUAAAGGCAGUUACUGAAAUGGAGUCUACGAUAAAGAAUAUUUUAGAAAGUUCCAAGAUGGUUAGAAAAAAUAUAAAUAAGAUUGAUAAAGGCCAUUUAGUGCAUUCAAUGUGAUAUAACUUUGGUUCUUUUCUCUCAGUAAAGUUUGAUUUGUAUUUUCUAUUUUUAUUUAUUCUAUUUUCUUUUGUUUUCUUUUGUCUUUUAUGUUCUAUUUUGUUUAGUUGUAUUUAGUUUUGUUUUAUUCUAUUUUAUCCUACUUUGUAAUAGAAAUUAUGUUGCUAUAGACUAAAUGGAUUUUAGAUCUUUAAAAGAAUUUAGUGGAUGAUGACUGUAGUUUUAAUAGAAUGACAUUUACUAUAUAGAUACAUGGAUUGUAUUGUUAUAUGCAAACUUUGUCAACAACAAGUAAGAAGUUUAAUUGUCUUAUUGAUAGUUGAUGGUGCACCUCAAAAAUUGCUCAAGAAUUUGGUUGACCUGCUUUGUUUGGCCAUCAGUUUGAGGGUGGAAGGCAGAGAAAAGGUUGAUAUCAAUCUUAAGAAUCUUAAAGAAAGCCUUCCAAAACCUUGAUACAAAUUAUGGCCCACAAUCCAAUUUAAUAUCAUUUGGUAACCUAAGAUAAUGACAUACAUUAUUAAUAAAGAGUCUUGCCAUCUCUUCAUUAGUAAUUGACUUCUUGCAAGGUAUAAAAUGUGCCAACUUGAUCAAUUGAUCAACAACUACAAAGAUAGUGCCAAAUGAGCUUGAUGGUAGAAGAUAUAUAAUGAAAUCCAUAGAAAUAAAUGACCAUAGUUGUCUUGAAAUAGGAAGGGAUUGAAGAAGUCCAUGUAGCCGAUGUCAAGGGUUCUUUGACCUUAAACAAGUAUCACAUGAUAGUAAAUUUUUUUUAACGUCCUUCCAUAUUUUAGGCUACCAAAAAUCUCUAGAUAGAAGUUCUAAGGUUAUAUUGAAUCUGAAAUGUCCGACUACAGGGAAGUCAUGGAGUAUUUGAAGAAUGUGCAUGCGAGUUGGCCUUCAAGAAUGAACAAACAUUCUUCAAAUAACAAGAGGUUGUCUUCAUACUUGAAUUUAAAAGACUCUUCAAGAAGGUUAUUAGUAAGACACUUGAUAUUAAGAACAAGAGGGUCCAUAUUUGAGGCUUUACUAACCUGAUUAAGAAAUGAUAAAUCCAUAGGCAUUGAUAUAUUGGUUGCUUGAAGAUAAAAUUACUCAGGCUUUAAUAACAUUGCCCGCUGUUGAUCAUAUGCUACCUCGCCUCCUUUUGGUUCAAGGUAGGAACAUCAUGAUAAUACAUCUGAUAAUCUUUCUUAGUUCCCGAGUUGAUAUGUGAUACAAAAGCCAAAUCAUAAUAAAGAUAUAUUUCAAUGUACUUGAUAAUGAUUUAAGACUCGGGCUGACAUGAAGUAUUCAAGAUUCUUAUGAUCUAUAUAUAUAGUCACUUGAUGAAAGGUCCCUUCAUAAAAGUGGCACUAUUCUUAAAAAGAAUCCACGAUAUCAAGGAAUUUUAUUAUUGUGGAUUUUGUAGUUAAUUUCUGAUAUUAAGAAUUCUUUAGAAUGGAAUGCAAUUAGAUGAAGUUUGUCACCUUCUCCAUAUUGUGACAAGAGUGCUGUCAAUACAAAGUUUGAAGUAUUGGUCUUUAUAAAAUAGAGCUUGUUGAAAUUUGAAUGUAUCAAAAUUUGAGGUGUUGUAAAAGCAUGUUUUAAGCUUUGAAAAGCUUUCUUUGCUUUAGAGCCCUAGUCCAACUUGUCCUUGCAUGUCAACCACAUAAAUGGAGCAGUGAUCUUAGAGUAAUUUCUAGCAAAAAUCUUAUAGAAGUUUAUAAAUACAAGAAAGUAUUGGACAUCACUUACAAUUUUUGGUUUUGCUCAAUCGAUGAUUGCUUGUACCUUCUUUAGAUCCAUAAAAAGGAUUUUCUUGGAAAUAAUAUAUCCAACAAAUUUGACUUGAGGUCCAUGAAAUAUACACUUCUUCAAUUUUAUAUAUAGCUCAACACUUUGUAGCUUUUUCAGUAUAAGGCGGACAUGUUUUUUGUGGUCUUCCAGAUUCUUGGAAAAGAUUACAAUAUCAUCCAAAUAGAUUACAACAAAGAUGUUGAUAUACUCGCAAAUUAUGUUAUUGAUUAAAUGUUGGAAUAUGGCUGAUGCACUGGUAAGUCCAAAAGGCAUGACAUUGUAUUCAAAAUGUCCAUACGUGGUGUAAAAUGCUGUCUUCUAUUCAUCUCUUUUUUUAAUGCAUAUGAAGUUAUAAGUGCCUCAUAGAUCAAUCUUUGUAAAUUUCUUUGCUUGGCUAAGUUGAUCAAGAAGUCUAGAUAUUAGUAGCAAUGGAUAUCAAUUUUUUACUAUAAUUUUAUUAAGAUUGUAAUAAUCGAUACACAUUCAUAAAGAUCCAUCUUUUUUCUUCAUAAAUAAUAUCAAAGCACGAGCUAGAAACUUGGAAUGUCAAGUAAAGUUUUUAAUUAGAUUUUUUUCAAUGUACUCUUUUAAAGUUGCAAGCUCAUUUUGGAAUAAAUUGUAGAUGGGUUUGAAUGAUGGUUGAGCACCUUCUUGAAGGUCAAUCGCAUAAUUGUAAAGGCGAUGCUUUGAUAGGAUAUGUACAUUUUUCUUUUCAAAUACAUGUGCAAAAUCCUUAUACACCUUUAGAAUUGUUGUUGUAGCAACCAUAGGUUCUGAUGGUGGAUUUGCAUAAACAGCAAAUGUAGUACCUUGUUUGGCCGCCCUCACAAAUAUUCUAGCUCUAAUAAAUAAAUAUUAUUUAAGUUUUGGCUUGUCGGGUGUUAGAAGCUUUUUUUUUAUAGAUUUGUGGGUUCUAUGAUCUAUUAGAAGAAAUUCUAACUUUUGGGAUACUCAAUCUAUCCGUAGAUUGUAUUUUUCAAGCCAUGAGAGUCCUAAAAUGACUAGACUUGAUGGUGACCUAAUUACGUUGAAUACUACUUAGUUGCUAUGAUUAUCAAAGAUUAUUUUUAAUCAAAUUGUUUUAUGAGUGAUAUUUUGAGAGAAUAAAGGUCAACCAUCUAUUACUUCUAUAUGCACGACUUUGGAUUUUUGACCAUAUAGAUUUUGUGUGAUCUAAAAAAUUCUUUGUCAAUAAAACAUGCAAAGGCUCUCAACUCAAGUAAUGCAUGACAUUCUAGUUUUUGACUCCUAAUCAUAUAGGUAUAGUAAAACAAUGACAAGGGCUGGCAAAGAAUAUAAGACCUUUUUUGAUUUGUGAUAGUGAAGAAUGGAGCUACAUGAUCCUUACUAUGGUUGGACGUCCUUAUUUUCCUGCAAUGCUUUUGAUAAUGCAGUUGCACUCUUCAUUCGAUAUAUAUGCUAGUGUUUUUAUGUACAAUUAUUAAUCUUAUGGCCAAAUUUUCUACAAUAUAAGCAUAAGCCAAGUUCCUUUUGAUAUUUUUUUUCUUGCUCAAAAAGAGGUUUCAAGUGAACUACAUUAAUCUACAUAUCUUCUGCUUCUACAUGCUUAUUAGAAUUAGAUGGUGAAGAAGCUAUAGAAUAAUUGGUAUAUACAUGUGGCAUAAUUAAAGAAUAUUUAUUUUAUCAUUGUUGAAAUAAACGAUUAUUCCACUUUAUAGCUUGAUUAAUGGCUUCAUUGAGUGUUAGAAGAUCUGGCAUAAAUAACAAUAAGUCCUUGGCAUCAUCUCUUAAUCUCUAAUGAAAUUGGCUUAUCGUUACAUCUUCUCUCUAAUUUAUAUCAUAUGCUAAUUGUCAAAAAUGUGAUGCAUACGUUGAUGCAGAAUACGUUCUUUGUCAAAGGCUUCAAAUUUUAGUUAUUGAAGAAUGAAUCUUAUCAUGUUCACCAAAUGCUUUUGCAAAUGUUGCUAAAAAUGCUUCAAAAUUAUGCAAUAUAGGAGAAUUCUUUUCAGAUAAUGGAGUGAGCAACGAUAAAGCUUGACUUAAUAACAAAGUUCCAACCAAACCAACAAGAGAUACUUGAGUAGAAUAUUGUUGAGGUUGAAGCAAGGUGAUUAGUCGUACUUGGUUUACAAAGCCAUGAAAUUUUGAGCGGGUGCCAUUGAACUUUUUUGGAAGACUGAUCCUUAGUUCUUUUGCUAUUAUUGUUAUCAAAUCAUUACCUUGAGUGGAUAUGUGAGCAUAAUUAAAAGCUUCAAUGGUUAGUUACAGUUUUUUUUGUAAUUUUUAACAUAUUUUUAUUAAUUUUAAUGCUAAUAUAACUAAUCAAUAGAUCCAAAUUAGUUUUUUAGUUAAUUAUUACUUUGAUCAUAUCUUUAGAUUGUUAAUUAAAUAGAUAAUUUUAAUUAGUAGAUUGAUUGACUAUUUUAAAACUUAAAAAAAAAAUAGUAAAUUUAGAAGGUCUAUGAUUUUGUUUUCUUGAAUUACUUUAAAUCUUUUUUUUAGUAAUAAAAUUAUAAUUUUAGUAGAAUUUCUCUUUUAAUUCUUAGAAAUUAUAUCUUAAAUUAAUCCACAAUCUUGAUUUUCAAUCCAAAAGCUAAUUUCUAAUUUGACUAUGGUUAAAAAGUCCCUUAAACCUAAUUGCUUUAUCUUUUUAAUUAAUUUUAAAGAUUUUUAAGCUUAAAUUUUAUUUUAUAAUUUAAUUGGAUUAAAAAUAUAAAUUCUAAUUGUUAAAUUAAUGAUAAUCUUAAAAAGGUGGAGACAAGCUAAAUGUUUGGUGGAGUUUCCUCUCAUAGUGAUUUUAAUCACUACUUGAAGUUGAAAAAAAAGAAAAAUUGGAAAAAAUCACAAAUUCAAGGCCAAUUUGCAAUUAGGUUUUGGAUUUGUCAAGAGUUCAUGCUUAAGGGAGUUUAAAUUGAAGAAUGGUGACUAUGAAGGCUUUGAUGGCAAGAACCCUUGCUGAUUUCCAAAUAUGUUAAUUAGAAUUAGAACUGUAGUUAAAAUUUAUAACUAAAUUAGUAAAUUAAUUAAUUCUUAUGCUUUAGAACUUAGAUUUGGGCUUGUGAAUAGUUGAUCUUUAGAUAAAAAUAUGUUUUAGAGACAUUUGUGGUGUUAGUUUCACCAAAAAGAUGUUAGUUUUUGAGUUCUAGGCAUUUCUAGCAUUAAAAUCGGGUUUGGGCUAAGAGUUAUUGAGGACCCUUGAUCUUAGUUAGAGAUUUUCCAAUUUUGAUGGUGGAGAUGUGUCGGCCACUUUUGGACCUCCUUCCACCUGGUUAAGAGGGCUUAGGUGACUAAGCUCCCUUUCUCUCUCCAUCUUCUUGUGGCGAAGCCAUAGCAAAAUAUUCCCCCAUCUUGUGAAUACAAAUCUUCUUCUUUAAACUUAUAUGGCCUCAGUUUUAACUCGCUCAGUCUAUUUCUUUUUAUUUUCUACCUGUAAAACUUUGUGAACAGAUUCUACUCACCUUAAGCUUUGUAACGGCAUAACGCACGCCUGAUUUGAAGUUUUGAUGAAUUUUUGGCGAGUUUUCAAGAUGGCAGGGGUCUACUACCUUGGUAGUGUAGGAGCAUUAGUUUAAAAAAUCUAUAACUCGGUGACCUGUGACUCAACUUUGAUAUGGAUUAUUGAAAUGAAUGCACUCUAAAGCUUAGUUUAUUAAAAAAAUUAAAUCACUGAUUCUUGAUCUAUAUCAAAUUUUUAAUGAAUUUUUAAAUAUGAAGUGAUCUACUACCUUGGCAGUCUUGAACAACCAGUUUUGAAAAAUUGUAUCUUAGUACUUACUUAAAUUUUUUUGGCUAGGAUUUGUUGAACAAGUAACUCUACUACGUGUGGUUUUAGGAAAAAUUAUACUUGUCAAUUUUAAACUAUUAAUUUAUUUUUAGUGAAUUUUUAAGUAGAAGAGGGUCUGCUGCCUAGGCAGUUCAAGUAGCCUUGCUUCGAAAACACACAUCUCGAAUGUUAAACCUUGGAUCACCAUGAAAUUUGGUAGAUAGGAGCAACUCUAUGUCAACCUCAACCACAAAAAGUUUCAAGUACAUAGGAGCUGUGUAUAAUUGCUAGAAAUUUUUUGAAUGACAAGGGAUCUGCUGCCCUCAACUUGACAUACUCUAAGUAAGUUUUUCUUCCCUAAUCACCGUCUAAUCACAUCCCUUAGCACCUAAAUUGCUAUAUUAUCAUUCCUUUGUCUUAUUACCAUCAAUUAAUAUUAUUUAAUAAUUUCAAAGGACUUUUAUUUCACUUGGAAAUUAAUCUUAAAUUCUUAUCUUUCCAUCCAUUUUUAUCCUUAAGGAUAAUAUAAAAAUAAAUAAAUAAAUAAAUAAAAAUUAAUCUAAUCUUUUAAUUUUUUCUUUUUUUUUUAACUUUAAUCUUUUAACUUUAAAUUUUAACCUUCAACUUUAAACUUUUACUUUUAUUACUUUUAAACUUUCACUUAAAUUUUAAUUAUUAAUUCUAACUUAAAUUUUAAUUUAUUUUUUUUAUUUUAUUUUAUUUAUUUUGAUUUUUUAAUUUUCCAACUUUCAUCUUUUAUCUUAAAAAAGGAAAAUCUUAAAAUCAUGUUAGUGCUGAACUUAAAUAUUCAAGGCUGUUUAUUACUGAAUUUCUAAUUCUAGAUGAAGUUUUGUCAUAAAAACUUCAUCUGUAGAUAACUUCCUAUAUAGAACUCCGAUUUACAUGAUUGAUACUACCUUGGAAAGCCUUAAACUAGCACUUUGGCAUGAUAUUCAUUAUUUUUAUUUUAUUUUAUUUCAAUUCAUAAUUUUCAGAAUUUAAGUUUGAUAGAAUAAGUCUUGGAAGGCACUUAACUAAAUGAACUAUAAAUGCUAAAAAUUAAAUCAUAAAAAAGUGUAACUAACUUUUUGUAUUGUUGGAUUAAUCUUGAUUAUUACCUCAUUUUGGUUUUUCUAUCUUAUAGAUGAUUUGCAUUUCCACAUUAAUUAGUAUUGGGCUCUGAUGUAAGUUAUGAUCUAAUUAAAUCAAAUUUAAGUGAGAGGAGAAAAAUCCACUUACAGAAUAUACCUCCUAUAUUUGAAGUACUCAUAGUUGUUUGAGGAUUUGGAACCUCUAUUGCGAUUUGAUGAUGUAGUUGAGGUGCUUCGGCUCCUUGACCAUUAUGUAUGGUUAUAUAUAAUUUUCUAUUCUAUUUUGAAAAAGUCUUUGUUUUGAUACUCAAUGCUUCAAGAGCAUUAAUAAUAGAAUCUAACUUGAUUUCUUUAGGGUCUGUCAUAUUCACUUUUCUACCUUUUGCCAUAGAAAACACAUGCCUUCAAAGGAAAAAAAAUAUGAUCUAUAGAAUUAAAAAAAAAAAAAAUAUUAAAAAAAUAAUAAUAUUAGUCUAAGAGAAGAUAAUCUGUAACCUCUAGAAUACUAUAGUAUUUUUAAAAAGAGGGAUAAUCCAUUCUCUACCAAAAAAGACCAAGCUUCUAAUAUUACUUUAUUGCAGUCUCGACAAACUAUUAAAAACCAUAUAAAAGACAAGGAUUUCAGAUCAAGAAAUGGAGUUAGUUUGACAUUAUAACAAGAAUUGGAUACAAAGCAAGAAGAUCUUAGCUAAACCAUAAGAAGUGAGUUGUUAAAACUGAGGAUCUCUUCAGCUUCGACUCAUAUAUAUACUAGGUCCUAGGAAGCUUCUUAAGAAGUUUCUAUGAAGCUUGGAAACAAAACAAGCCUAAGAUCCUUCUUUGGCAACUUCUUAAAUCAUCGAAAGCCUCCUAUAACCUUUUAGGAAUUCCUAUGACCUUCUAGAACUUUCUUAGAAUCUAUUGGAAAUUUUUAGAACCUUCUUAGAAUCCAUUAGAAUCUUUUAGAAUCCUCUAGAAUCUUCUAAAAUCUCCUAGAACUUUUUGGAGCCUUCUUAGAUUUUAUAAGAAUCUUUUAGAACCUUUUAGAACCUUCUAAAACCUUCUAGAAACUUCUUCAGUGAUAUUUCCAUGAGAGAGAUAGUACCCCAUUGAGAGUUGUGGAUGAUUUGGAGACCAAACAUAAGGUAUUAGGUGAGUUUCAUGAUACAAUGUAGGCUGGGCAUAGAAGAAUUUGGGCUACCUACACCAAAAUCAAGGAACGUUAUUGAUAGAAGGACUUAUACAAGGAUAUAGAGGAGUUUUUAAGCUCUUAUAAAGAGUGCCAAUUGCAAUGUAAGGUAAAGUAUAGAGAUGGUUUAUGGCUUAUCUAUCUACUUGCCAUGUAUUUUUAAUCAAUGAUUGAUUUGGUUUUCAUGCCAAUGGGACUUUGGAAUAUGAAGUAUUUAAUUUUGGCAAGAAAAAAACUCUCCAAUUAUGUAAAAAGAAGGUAUUGAGAUCAAAGUCUACAGAGGUAGUAUAUUGAUUUAUUUUGGAAGAUAUUAUAUAUCAUUAUAGGAGUAUUGUGAAAAUAAAAGUAGAUCAGAGUGAGCUUAACAUGCGAGAGACACGUGAUUUUUUCAAAAGGUAUAAAAUGCAAUUAAAAUAGAACAACUCCUACAACUCCAAAGCUAAUGGUAAGAAUAAAAGAGGAUACAAUGCAAUCAUUCAAGCUUUGGUCAAAUCAUGUAGGAAUCAAGCAAGGUUAUAGCCAAGGCUUUUGUUAUUUGCUUUAUGGGCAAAUAGGACUACUCAUAGCAUAGUCACUAGCUAUAUGCUAAUGGAGUUGAUGUUGGGACAAAAGUCUUUAAUAUUUGUAGAGAAGUCUAUUCUUUCUUGGUUGUUUUUGUCUAAAGAAGAUGGCAUUAACAAGGAAAAAUUGUUGGAACUUUAAAUUCACUAACUAGAAAGAUUGUCAAAGGAUUAUUAAGUUGCUAUGAAGAAGCUUAAGAUGACAAGGUUACAUAACAAAAAGAGGUUUGUUAAAAUUUAUUAAUUGAGUCCUAAGCCAAUUAAAGUAAGUAAUUAGAUUUUGAUUUAUAAUAGUAGUUUGAUGUACCAACAUUCUACUCUUUGUAAAUUUACACGAUAUUGGUUUAGAUCCUAUGUAGUACUUGAAGUAUAUAAUAAUGUAACUUAUUCUCUUCAAGAAUUAGAUAGAAUACCAUUGAAGAUUAGAAUUACAAGAAAGCAAAUUAAAGUCUUUAAGCAAUGAAAUAAAAUGAAUUAUAUAGAGGAUUUAGAGGCUGUUGAGCUUCAACAUUUUAAUCAAUGAUUCAAAAAAGAUACAACUCAAAAUGACUUUGAUUUUGAUAAUGGUGGUUUUGUGGUUUAAUACUUUGACACAUAUCAAAGUAUGUACAAAUUUAGAAGAGAUGAGUGUUGUGAUGUAUUUAAUUUAAACAUAUCAAAGUUAUUUUGAAAGAAAGUAGAUCUAAUUGUGAACUUUUCAAUAAGAUAUAGCAUGUUAAAAAUAGAGAUGUGAAGAGGGAGAUUUAAGCAAAUUUGUGAAAAGGAGAUUAUUAGAGAUUUUGGGAAGAAAGAUUCAACAUUGAUUUGGAUUUUUCUAUGCCACUUCUUGUAUUUUUAUUUUUUUGCAUUUAUAUUUGGAAAAAAACUAGAUCUAAUUGUGAGCUUUUCAAUAAGCUAUAGUACAUAAAAAUAGAGCUUUGAUAAAGGAAAUCUAAACAAAUUUAUAGGAAGAGGUUGUUAGAAUUUUUGGACAAUAAAUUUCAAGAUUGGAUUUAAGUUUUCUAUACCAUUUAGUAAAUUAUAGAUAUUUUAGUGAAUAGAGGUUUGAAUUUGAGAUUAGAUUUAGGAAUUGGAUGCAUCCUAGUACAAGAAAGAAAUUAAUAUAUAAAUUAUAUCUAAUCUUUGAGCUAUCUUUUAUAUUUGAUUUUGUUUGGGACAACAGUGUGCCUUCUUAUAAGCUACUUGUGAUCAAAGACCUUGUGUUUUCUUGAGGAGGCUUGCCUUCUUGAAAAUGCAUUAAUUUUUUUUUUCAUUCUUGAGCUUCUUUUAGUUAUGCCUUUAUUAUUGUAUAUAGCUUUAAAAAAUAUUUUUUUAAAUCUUUAAUUAAAGAAUUGUCAACUUUUAAAAAAUAAAAAAAUAUCAAGUCAUAGAUGAUAAUCAUAAUUGGUAAAAAAAGUAUUUAUUGAGUAGAAGAAUGUAUCAUGUUAUUGUAAAAUAAAUUUACAAAUGAUAAAAGAGUUAUCUAAUCAACUUAUUGGUAAUUGAUGAUAUACCUCAAAUUCUAUUCAAAAACUUGAUUCACUUGUUAUAUUUGGCCAUUAGCUUGAAGUUCAAAAGCCAAAGAUAGUUUUAAAUCAAUCUUUAGAAUCUCAAAAAGAAUUUUCUAAAAUCUUAAUUCUUUUAUUUAAUAUUCUUUAAUAAUCCAUAAUAAUAAUAGAUAUUGUCAAAGAAAUAUUUAGUUUUUUCUUUACUUAUAAUAGAUUUUAUACAUGAUAUAAAAUAUACUAUCUUGAUAAAUUGAUCUAUUAUUACAAAUAUAAAAUAAAAAGAAUCUAAGAUUGAAAUAUUUAUUAUAAAUUCUAUAGAAACAAAAGACCAUAGUUAUUUUGGAAUAGGUAAUGGUUGAAAAAGUCUAUAGGAUUGAUGAUAAGGAGUUUUUGAUCUUGAAUAAAUGUUACAUUUUUGUACAAAGACUUUAAUUUCUUUUUACAUUUGAGGCCACUAGAAAUCUCUAGAUAUUAGCUCUAAAGUUUUGUUGUAUCCGAGAUGUUUAAUUGUUGGAAAGUUUUGAUGAAUUUGAAGGACCAAUAAUCAUGAUUUACCUUUUAAAAUAUAUAAUUAUCUAUCAAAAUAAAAUAGAUUAUUUUUGAAUGAAAAUUUAAAAGUAUCUUGAGACUAAGAAGAACCAUUCCUAAUAUCAUGAAUAAGAAGAUCAAUGGAUAUAUUCGAUUGAACUUUCUUGACAAUAAUUAAAUCAAUAAUUAAUAUAAAUUUCAUUUCUCAAAGAUGGAAAUGCUCUAGCUAUAAGAAAAUCAUUUUUUAUUGAUUAUAAGAUGCAUUUCUUUCUUUUGGUGCAAGAUAAUAACAUUUAGAAAGAAAUUUUGAUAAACCUUCUUAUUUUUUGGAUGAUAAGUGAUCUUUAAAUCAAAUCUUGAUAAAAAUAUGCUUUAACAGGCUUAAAAAUGAUUUAGAAUACAUACCAAUAUAAAGUAUUCGAGGUUCUUAUGAUCCAUAUAUAUAGUUAUUAGAUUGAAAGUGCCUAUUGUGAAUGUAGAAAAUAUUUUUUUGGCUUGAUUUGUACCUCUCCAACCAAAUCUUUGUUCUUGGCAUCUUUUAAAGAAUUGAUUAUUAUAUGUAAUGGCUUAAGUAAUAAAUUGCUUUAAUAAGCUUACUCUUAGCAUUAUCAAUAAUAAACCUUUAACGCUAUCUUUUAAACCAUAUCAAAAUUGAUUAAUAAGGUUUAUCAUUCCAAUCUAUAUCACAAGUAAAAUUUUAGAAUUCUAUAGCAUAUAUGGUAGUUGAAUAUGAUUCUUAUUAUAAAGUUAAAAAUUUGAUCUAUGCCAUCUUUUUUCAAUUAUUUUCUCAAAUUGUGGCUAUAAAAACUUCUAAAAAUGAAUUCAAAUCAUAAAAAAGAUACAAAUAUUUUUCUAUUAAAGAUAAAAAUUAAAAAAAAUUACUUCCAAAAAAAAGUGCAUUUAUAAAUCCAACUUGAGUAAAUCUAUUAAUGUAUUUAAAAUGAUGCAACUUUAAAUAGAACUUUAUUUAUUCUAAAAAUCUUUAAAAUUUUUAUCUUAUUCCAUCAAAAUUCUUGAGCAUAUUUAUCUUUAUUUCUUUCUUACUUGGAGUAGUAAUACUUCUUAGAUUUAGUUUUAAACUUGAUCUACAUACUUCUUUCAAUUACAAAACUUCUUCAUGUAGAUUUUAAACUUUGUUAUUGAUUUCUUCGAUAAGCAUGAAAAUACUACCUUCAUACUUAAUAUUAGAGAUACAUGAAAUUUCUACCCUCAAAGUGUUAAUAAGCUUGUAAAGAUUUGAAAUGGUUGCAGAUCUAUUUUUACUUAUGCCAAGAGUUGCAUCUAUAAUUUAUUUUUUGUAAAUAAUUAAAAUUUAAAAAAAAAUCAAACUAAAAGAAGAUAAUCCAUAAUCUCUAAUAUCAAAUAGAAGUUUUGACAAAGAAAGAUAGUCUAUUCUUAUUUUAAAAUAAAAUCAAUAUUAAAAAAUUAAAAGUAAAUGUAAAGAUGAAUAAACUAGAAUGUUCAAAAAGAAAUAAUAGAAGUGAAAUAAUUUACUUACUUCAAACACAAUAUAAAGACAACAAGUUAGCACUCUCAUCAAAUUGUUAAAGAUAUGAAUCUUAAAUAAAAAAAAAUAUCAAUACAUUCAUAUGUCACUUGAAGAGACUAGAAAAUCAUUCUAAGAUAGUAAUAUAUUAAACUAGAAUGACUAUUACCAAAGACAAGAAGAGUAGAAAGUCUUGAAAUAAAACUAAAGAUUAGAUAGGUGUUGAGAAGAAUGAAGAAGGCUUCAUUCUUGCUUCUAUAUAUGUUAUCCAACUAUGAGAUAUAUGACAAUGUUUUUUUUAUAGACAUCUAAUAAGAAGAUUUUAGAAAUAUUUUUAAAAUAUUUUAUUAGAUUUUAAAAGAUUUUAUUAGAUUUUAAAAUAUUUUAAAAUAUUAUUAAAAUAUUUUAAUAAGAUGAUUUGAAAAAAUUAAAAUAUUCUAAUAAAAUAUUUUUAAAAAUAUUAAAAUAUUUUAAAAUAUUUUAGAAGGUUCUUAAAAUAUUUUAAUAAAAUUUUAUAAUUUUUUUGGAGAGUUAAAAAAAUUGUCUAAGAAGCUUUUUGGUAUUGAUUCAUCUUCAAACAAUACAAUAACUUCUUGAGAAGCUACUUAAGGUUGCUUCAUUUUCAAGCAAUAUAAAAGCUUCAUAAGAAGCUUUUUAAGGUUGCUUUAUCUUCAAGCAAAAUGAAUUUUUUUUAAAAAGCUUCCUAAGAUUGCUUCAUCUUCAAGGAACAUAAAAACUUCACAAAAAACUUUCUAAGAUUUCUUUGUUUUUAAGCAACAUGGUAAUUUUUUGAAAAGCUUCCUAAUAUCAAGUAUAUAUUAGAGUCAAGGCUCAAGAGAUACUUAGUUUAAACAACACAUCUUUUAAAGCUUUAAUUUACUUCUCUUUGUGUUGAUUUAUACUGAUUUGGUUGUUAAAGACAAGAAUUUGAUGAAAGAAAUAAACAAGUGAGACUCUCUUAUAGAAAUAUGACAAAAUAGAAAUAAAACAUAUAUAUAUUUAAGAAAGAAAUUGGAAUGGCUAUUAUCAAAAGACCAAAAAACUAGAGACUCUUGAAACUAGACUAGAAGCAAGAAAGGAAUUGACAAGAGUGAAGAAGGCUUUAUUUUUGCUUCUAUAUAUACUAUUUACUUUGGAUCUAUAUGGCAACAUUCUAUAGGAUCUCCAAAAAUGUGUUGACUUUGCAUGACAUAUAUCUUAAUUUACAAGAUAAGUUUUUUAAAUGGACACCUCAUAGUUAGCUUUUUCUACAAACUACUAACACAUGUGGCACGUGGUUAGCUUGUUGAUCAAAUUUUUAACCUAUCAUUCAACUAAAAAUACAUAUAAAGUCAAAAAAAUAUUUAAAAAGCUUUUAAAAAGCUUUUUUAGAAGAUGUUAUGAAAUUAAUCUAUUUUUACUUACUUCUACCUAUUCAUAUUACUUAGAUAACAAGUAUAAUAGAUAUAUAUCCAUAAUAUUAUCUCCCCUUUUAGAGACGAGUUCUACAAAGAGCCGUGAUCACAUAUUGAAGAAGUCUAAACUAUAAUAAAUUAUAUUUGCUAUGUACUUUGAUCUUUGUUUCUUUUGAUAAUAGUUGAUAAGUCCUUUCAGCCAUUGGUAAUGUCCUAUUCUAGGAUGCAAAGAUCACUCUAUUAUUUGAUCAUUGUUGAAACUUUUAUAAUUUUUUUCAAAAAAAACAUUUGUAACACCAUCAAGAGUCCUUUCUACCUCCAAUAAAAUCACCAAGUAUUGUGAGUCUCUUCCUAGAUCGUGAUUAAAUGCAUUGUAUCUAUCAAGGACAUAAAACUUGAAAAAAAAAAAUCUUCAAUACAUUCUUGUGUCACUGAAGGAAACUAAAAAGUCAUUCAAAGAUGAUAUAAUAUUAAACUAGAAUAGCUAUUUCUAAAAAAAAAAAUAUUAGAAAGUCUUGAAGCAAGACUAAGGAUUAGAAAGACAUUGACAAGUUCCACAAGGAGCGGUCUUUAUAUGUUGAAAAAAUCUAAGAUGUGACAAAUUAUAUUUGUUACAUACUCUGAUCUUUAUUUUAUUUGAAGAUGGUUGAUAGGUCUUCUUAGUCAUUGAUAGUAUCUUAUACCAGGAUGAGAAGACUACCUUGUGAUUUGGUUUUUUUUUAGGACUUUAAAACUUCUUUCAAAUAAAAUUUAUGAAAUACUGUUAAGAGCUGUUUCUACCUCUAAUAAAAUCACAAAACAUCAAGAGCUUCUUCAAAGGUUGUAAUACCAAGCAUGUUAUAUCUUACCAUCUAUAGGAUAGAGGACAUAUCGUUCUUGAAGAUCUUCACUUUGAUUUUGUCAUCUUAGAGGUUGUGACAAUUGUAAUAUCUCAUUUGAUAGGUCUGCAAAUAAAAGCUCUUGAAUUGAAUCUACUAGUUGUUGGUUCUCCAUCUUUUUAGCAUCACAAAUACACAAGCCAUAAAAAAAAUAGAAGAUAGAUUAUUAUCUUUUUUUUGAUCUUGUUUCUUUUAUAAAAAAUAUUUGUAAUUUCUCAUCUUGAUUUUGAUGGAUAUCACCGAUGGAAAGCUUCAACUCUUUUUGUUACAUUUGCGAGAUUUUUUACUCUCAUGUAUAUUUAUUAAUAUCAUAUCCACAUCAAUUAACAAAAUAUUCCAAUCUAUUUUAGCAUCACCUUAAAUCUGAGGCUUCUUCUACCUCAAAUUCUUGAUUAUUAUCCAUUUCUAUAGGAGGAAGUGGCAUUUGUCUUCUUCCCAAAAUAUUCACUUUUUUAUAUGACUUAAGAAGAAACAUGUGAAAUAUGAAUUAGAUCUUUAUAGACUUUGGUAGAUAUAAUCAAUAAGCAAUAAGAUUGAUUUUUUUUAUUAAUAAAAAAAGGUCCAAGCCUACGAUAGUCCAAUUUGUCUUAAAGACAAGUAGUCUUGAUAUUGUAAUGAAGUAACAAUACUUUAUCAUCCUUAUUGAAUUGUAGUUGUUUCUUGUAAUAGGAAUUAGUUUUUUAUCAUUCUUGAGCUUUCAAUAAUUGCACCUUUAUUUUUAUAUGUAGCUUUGACAAACGAUUUGCCAAAUCUUCUACCAAAGAAUUAUGAACUUUUAAAAAGUCAAAAGUACCAAGUCAUAGAUGAUAACUAUAGUUGAUAAAAAAAAGUGUUUGUUGAGUAGAAGAAUGUAUCAAAUUAUUGUAUCCAAACUCUGCCAAUGGUAAAAAAGUUGUUCAAUCAUCUUAAUGAUAGUUGAUGGUACACCUCAUGUAUUACUUCAGAACUUAAUUCACCUAUUCUAUUUGCUUAUCAAUUUGAAGAUGAAAAGUCAAAAAAAGCUUUACAUCUAUCUUUAAAUCUUGAAAAGGAUUUUUUAAAAUCUUAAUAUAAAUUGAGUUCUUCUAUCCAAUAUCCUUGAUAAUAAUAGAUAUUAUUAAGAAAAAACUUAGCCAUUUCUUUACUUAUGAUAGAUUUUGUAUAUGAUACAAAAUAUGCCAUCUUAAUAUAAUAAUCUACUACCAUGAAUAUAGAAUCAUAUGAACUUGAGACUAAAUGAUUUGUGAUAAAAUCCAUAGAAACAAAAGAUCACAAUUGUUCUAAAAUAGGUAAAGGCUGAAGAAGUCCAUGAAGUCAAUCGCAAGGAGUUUUGGAUUUUGAACAAAUAUCAUAUGAUUGUAUAAAUUCUUUGACUACCUUCCAUAUUUUAGGUGAUCAAAAAUCCCUUAUAUUAGUUAUAGAGUCUUGUAGCUAAAAUAUCUAGCUCUUGAAAAGUUAUGAUGAGUUUGAAGAAUAUGUAAUCAUGUUCCACCUUCUAGAAUGUAUAAUAGUCCCUUAAAAUAGAGUAGAUUGUUCUUAAAUUCAAACUUAGAAGUAUCAUAAAACUUAAAAGAAUUAUUCUUAAUAUCAUAGAUAAAAAGAUCAGAAGUUAUAUUUAAUUGAAUUUGCUUAAUAAACAUUGAAUCAAUAGUUAAUAUUGAUUUUGUUGCUAAAUGGUGAAAAAUAUUUUAGCUUUAAGAGAAUUGUUCUUUAUUGAUCAAAAGAUAUAUUUCUUUCUUUUGAUAUAAGAUAAGAACAUCUAAAAAUAAUGUUGUUGUAUUGUAAAUACUUAUAGUAUAUAAAAAUUAGUUAUAACAUAUUAUAUGUUGAUAAAUCUAGAUGUAUGUAAGAGUGGUUAGUAGAUUAAAUUAAAAAGAGUUGAUAUAAAAAACUUUACUUUGUUUCUUUUACUUGUUUUGGUUUUGGCAUAUAUAUAUAUAUAUUGUACCUAAAUAUUUAAUAUGAAGCCUUUAAAGAAGGUGGAAGCUUAAGAAAAAAAAUCCAAAUUAGUGGGAGACUAAUUGAAAGGGAUGAAAGCAAGGCAUGGUUGGAUGAAGGCAAGGAAUAGGAAACUUCAUCUCUAUUGGUCGAAUAUCAUGCCCAAUGGACUUUGAAGAGGCUGCCUAUGACCUUAACAAGAGUUCCGGCAACUUCAAAGGAGGCAUUUCGAAAUUAAAAGCCAAGAUUGUAAGAUUUAGAAUUUGGACUACAAUUCGUGUAUAAAAAUUAGGAGAUUUGGAGUUAGAAUGAAGAAGUUAUAGUCAUUUGAAGUUGAGGUAUUAAUUUAAGACAUAUUUUUAUUCUUUUGUAAAUAUGAGGAGUUGUACGGCAUUUUUUGAAGAUUGAAAGAUGCGACUAAAAUGGCGAUUUUAAGGCCUACAUCUUUUACAAAAGAAUUGAUGCUUUUGGAGUUUAUAUAAAGGAGAUAUAAAGAGUUAAAGGCAAUGCUUCCAAAUCAAAGGCAGUAAGAGAGCGGUUUUAUUUAAAGUAAUGGUUGGACCCAUAAAUUGAUUUUUUGAACAAAUUUUUAACUCAAAAUUUUUGGAAAAUGAAAAAUUUUAUAUUAUAAAGCUAUACAUAUAAAUUUCGUGGAAUUUGAGCUUUUAUUUUUUAAGAUAUAAAGAAAAUUGCAUGUCAGGAUAUAAAGACAAGGGUUUGAAGUGAUUUUUAGGGUUUUCAAGAUAUCUCAAGUUUUGCAACAAAUUUGUAGUUGAAAUUUGUUGUAAGAGUUGAUAAGAAUACAUCAGUACUUCAUAUAAAAUUUGAAUAAGUUUGGAUGAUCGAAUCAAAAGAAAUGAGGUAUUGAAGUUUGAGAAAAUGUUUACAUAAGGAUAUACAAGGUUUUAGAGGAUUUUAUCAUAUUUUGGGUGUUUUCGGUUACUUGAGGCUUAUGUAUUUGGUAUAAUUGCUCCAAAAAGAAAAUUUUAUAUAUAAACUUAGGGCUUUUCUUAUUUUGAAGCUUGAUUGAGCAAUUAGUAAUAGCCAAGAGCCCAAUGCUUUUUUUAAGCAAACUCUCUCUACCCUAAUAGCAUCUAAGAAACCUUAUUGUUUUUUGAAUCAAUAAAUUAUUUUAAAAUCAAAUCUUGUUAAAGUCAUGCUCCAACAAGCUUGGCAAUGAUUUAAAAUAUGUAUUCACAUAAAAUACUUGAGGUUUUUGUGAUUAGUAUACUUAGUGAUUAGACUUAAGGUGUCUUCUAAAUAAUGAUGCCUUUCAUUUAAUAGAUCUACAAUUAUAAAGAGUUCUUUGUCAUAGAUCUCAUAAUUAAUCUUUAUUAAUAAAGAGAUUCAAAAAUAGAAAGCUAUUGGAUAGAAUUUAUCAUUUAUUCCUAUACUGAUCGAAUGCAAAGUUUGAUCCAUCUAUUUCUAUAAAAAAUACCUUAGAAAAGUCAAUACAAUAUAAGAUGGGUGCAAAAAUAAAUUCUAUUUUUAAAGUAUCAAAUGAUGCUUCAACUUCUUUAUUUUGCUUAAUUUUGUCUUUAUAAGUCAAACUUGUAAGUGGAGCUAUAAUUUGAUAAAAAUUCUUAAUAAAGAUCUGAUAGAAAUUAGCAAAGUCCAAAAAGUAUUACACAUUCUUUAUUAUUUUUGAAAUCUUCCAAUCCAUGAUAGUCUAAAUCUUCUUUGGAUCCAUCAUUAGCUCUUCAUUGGAAAUAAUAUAUCAUGGAAGUCAACUUGAAUAGUAUAGAAUACAUACUUUUUUAACUUAUGAUAUAAUCUUAUAUCUCUAAGUUUUUGUAACACACAACAAAUAUGAACUUCAUGCUUUUUUGUAUUCUUAGAGUAGAUUAAGAUGUCUAAAUAACAAAUAACAAAAUUAUCAAGAAACUUGAAAAAGACAUCAUUCAUUAGAUGCUAAAAAGUAGCUAGUACAUUCAUAAGUCUAAAAGACAUGACAUUAUAUUCAAAAUACCCAUACCUAGUUUAAAAUAUAAUUUUUUAUUUAUCUCCUUCUUUAAUAUGUAUCAAAUUAUAUGUUCUUUGUAGAUCUAUUUUUAUAUAGAUCUUUACUUUAUUUAACUAAUAAAAAAUUCUUAAAAUAAAAGAUAGAAGAUACCUAUUCUUAAUAGAAAUCUUGUUGAGUCCUCAAUAGUUUAUACACAUCCGCAAGGAUUUUUUUUUUUUUCUUUGCAAGUAAGCUAGGAGCCUUGGUUAGAGAUUUAGAAUAAUAUAUGAAAUUUUUAGCCAAGUUCUCAUAAAUAUACUCCUUCAGUGCAAGUAAUUCAUUUUGUGAUAGGCUAUAGAUUGGUUCAAAUGGUGGUUGAGCUCUUUUAUGAAGAUUGAUGGAACAAUCAUAAAGACAAUGCUCUAAAAGAAUAUCUACAUUCUUCUUUUAAAAAAUAUCCUAAAAAUCUUGAUAUUAGCUAGAAAUACUACUUGACAACUUCUUGCCAUCAAAAAUGGGCGUGACAUAUAAAACAAAAGAUAAUUCUUUUUUUACAACAUACAUAAAAGCUCUUGCACAUAUCAGUAAAAAUUUGGAUAUAUUAGACUUAUAUAUUUUUAUUUUGCUAGUAAGAUUUUGGAUUAAACUAUAAGAAAAAUUAAGGUUAUGAGAAAUCCAAUCUAUUUAAGAAUUAUAUUUUUUUAAUUAAAAUAAUUCUAAAAUAACCAGAUUUGAUGAAGAUCUCAUUAUGUUAAAUAUUACUAUGCUAUAAUGAACUUUAAUUGCUACAUCUAAAAGAACAGUCUCAUGCGUGAUAUCUUGAGAAGAUAGCAAUCGACUAUCUGUGACUUCUAAAUGUACAAGUUUAAUUUUUUUGACUAAUGAUAUCUCUUAUUUUUUGACAAAAUAUUCAUCUAUAAAAAAAAAUUAAGGCUCUUCAAUCUAACAAAGCUAAGACUUUGUGAUUUUUUUAUCCUAAAUAAACUUUUAUUAUAAAAUAAGAUAAGAGAUCUAAGGAGAGAAUAGAACCUUUAUUAGGAGUUAUAUAAGAUUCUAAUCGUAUGGUCCCUAUUGUAGUUGGAAAAAUUUGUUUUCCAAUACAUCAUCUUCUUUGGCAACCAUGCUUCUCAUUUUGUGGUUGUGUUGUUUCUUUAGACAAUCUUAAGCAGUGUGUUUAGCUUCUGUAUAAUAUAAGCAUAAGUCCUCUUAAUAUCAUCAAGUCUUUUUGUACUUUUUAAACAAUUUAAAGUAUAUCAUAUCAAUUUGCAUUGGUUCUAGCCUUAAUGAAUAAGUUUUUGAAAACUUGAAUUAUUGUCACUAUUUGAUUUGUUCCUUUUUAGCCAAAUCUUUUUUCUUGAUAUCUUUCAAAUAAUUGAUUGUUACAUGCAAUGGCUUAAGCAAUAAAUUAUUUCAAAGAUUUUACUUUUGGCAUUGUUAGUAAUAAAUCUUUGAUAUUAGCUUUCAAUCCAUAUCAAAAUUGAUUGAUAAGGGCUUUGUCAUUCUAGUCCACAUUGCAUGCAAGGUUUUAAAAUUCAAUAGCAUAUAUGAUGAAUAAUGGUGUUUUUUGCCAUAAAGAUAAAAACUUGGUUUGUGCUACUCUUUUUUGAUCACUUCCUCCAAAUGUGGCCAUAAACAUUUCUAAGAAUGAAUUCAAAUCAUAAAAGAAUUGUGAAUCUUUUUCCAUUAAAGGUACAAAUUAAGAGAGAUUUUUUUUGAUUGAAGUGUACUUAUAAAUUUGACUUGAAUAAAUCCAUUUGGAUAUUAGAAAUGAUACAACCUGUAGAAUGGAUAUGAUAUUUUUUGUUUUACAAUACAUAGUAUGUAGGGUUAAGAAAAACUAGUAAACUGAUAAAUAGAUAGUUUAAAAGAUAAAAUAAAUGAUGUAUGAAAAAAAAUAGUUAUCAUUGAUUGUAUAGUGGUUGGCAUUUCAAAAAAAGCAUUAGUAUUUUGAAAAAGAAGUAGAAAGGACUAGACUAUGAUAGUCAUGAGUCAAGGUAAGCUUAGUGCUACCUCUUUGUUUCUUUGUUUUUUUUGUAGAAGAAGAAUACUAGAUAGAAUUUGAAUAAUGUGAAAUAAAAUUAUGGAAUGAAAGAAAGAUUUCAUUUAGAUGAUGUCAAAUGAGAAAUUGAAUUUAUUGUGUGCUGAAUUAUAAGUAAAGAAUUAGAAAGUUGAUAAUAGAAGAUAUUUUUGGAGUAUGGAAAUAAAUAAAAGAAUUAUAAUGCAUUGAUUUUUGAGAGUUGAGAGUGUGCCAAGAAGAAAACUAUGGAGUCUAGAAUUGUGUGAAGUAGAUUACUAGAAAUGACAAUUAAUUUUAGAUAAUUUUAGUAAUUGAAUUAUGAAAUAUUUUAUACAGUCUUUUAAGAUAGUGUAGUAUUACCUAUUAUUGUCAUAAGUUUGGAAAAGAAAAGAAGUAGUGAAUACAUAAGAUAGACUUAUCGAUUGUAAUAUUUUUUUUGAUAGAAUGCGGAAGAAAUAUAGCAUUCUUGGAUGUUUUAGUUGAUCAAGAAACAGUUAAUUGUGUGAUCCUAAUAUAAAAAUUCAUACAGAUAGUCUUUCUCUAUGUUUGAAUCCCUGUAUAUAAGUUUAUUUUGAUUAGAUUAGUUUAAAAUAAGUAAAACAACAAUCAUAUUUUAGCACUGCUAUCAAAAAAUUGAAAAUAGUAUUGAGUGUUAGGAAUUAACUACCAAACAUGUAGUUGUGAAUGUUGCAUGAAGAGGUUACAAAAUUGAUGUUGGUUGGAAAGUAAAGCCAAAUGUGUAGUUAGAUUAGACAUAAAAAGUAAUUUUGGUAUUAUAUAAUGAAUAAUUAUGAUUAUUAAGAAUAAAAAUAUUGUACUUAGAAAAUAUGUCAAUUGAAAGAAAGACAAGAGAGAACGUAAAUAAGAAAUUUAUUAUGGGACAAGUAAGAACGUAAUCUAAAAAAGAAACAUUGACAAAGUUGGAUUAAAAAAUAGUUGCAUACUUGUCGACAUAUCCAAACAUACCAAAAACCUACUAGAUCGUCAAUAUUUCAAUCAUAUAUACUAUUAAGAAAAUUAUCAAGAGCAUUCAUUGAAAAUUUUUUCAACAAUUUAACGUAUCACUUGAAUCCAUUAACUGAAAGUAAAGGAAGUACAAGUUUAUGGAUAGUCUAUUAGAUACUUUGUCAAUAGUGGGUAUAGCCAAUUCUAACAAAAUUGGCUCCCUAAAAUGGCAUAAAUUGCUUGUCAAUAAGAACCAAUUUAAUAUGUUUCAAAAUCUAUCAUUUUUACCCCUAAUUUAAUCAAAAAAAUUAUUUACAAAUAAAAAUGGUAAAUUAAGGAGGUCUUAAAGUCUAAAAAAGAUAGUUAGAAAAGAUAAUGUUUAUUUUAAUAAGGAAUUAAGUGGAACAUUGUCAUCUUCAAUAGUGACAAGAAGCCCAGUAGUUCCAAUUGCGGUUCAAAUAAAUGUUGUGGGUAAUUGCACAACUAGUAUAGUUCCAUUACCUACUUUUAGAGGCUUUAUCAGGUGCAUAUCUAAAUCAACAUUUAUCUCAGUUUGUAACUGUAUGUGUAGCCAAUAAUAGUAGAACUCAAGAUAUUUGGUUGAAAUGGUUGCCAGUAACCUUAAAAGAUACAAUAUUUGAAUAUUAUAAUCGUUAGCCUUUGAGCCAGUUUCCUAAUUAGGAGGUAUUAAAAAAUAUGUUUUUAACCCAUUUUUGACCAAUUGGAUUUGAAGAACGUCUAAGAAAAAGUUUAAUGAAUAAUAGAAUGUUAUCAGGAGAAGCAGUAUAAUUAUGUUAUGGCCGAAUAGCAGAUAUCCUUCAUAAAUGGCCAAAUAACCAAAUGCUGGAUUUUUUUGUUUUGUCUAUAUUGGUUAACGGACUAUACCCACUAAAAUUGAAGAUGUUUGUAAAGGAGGUUCAAUCAACCAUUGUUGCUUCUUCACUUGAUUGAGCUAAGGUAUGGAAAGAAUGUCAUUAUUUCCAUACCUUCUAUAUCAAAAACUAGUAUCUAUAAAAGAGCUAUCUAAUGAAAUAAUAUUGAAGGAUCUAAAUGUAGCCUAAUUGUUAACUUUGACAAAGAAGAUGGAUGAAUUGGCUAUUAAUCUAGCAAAGAGAUAAGGAGAAGAGGCAUAAAUUGACCAAUAUGUAUUCCAAUAUUUGGCUUAGUAAUUAUAAAAGUCAAGGCCAUAUUAUAACAAAAUAUUUUUCACCACUCCAAAUGAUUGUGCAAUGUACAUUUUGUGGAGGUAAGCAUGCCACCACCAAUUGUUGGAAUUUACAAAAACAACAAAAAUUUGAUAAUCAGACCAUGAUUCAAUUGACUUCGUAGGAUGUUAAACAAGUCUACACAGGAAAUAGAUUUGGCUCGAUUGAAAAUCGUUUGAAUAAAUAAAAUAGGAGUUUUUCUAAUUUUCAAAAUUUUGGGUAUAACCAAGAAUGUGGACCCAAUUCUCAAUAUAUUGAGUAAAACUAAUAAGAAUAUUUUUAAUAUCCAUUUAUUCAAAAGCCAAUUUUAGAUUCUAUAAUAUCAACUAGAUAGACUAGAUCAUUUAUCCAUCCAACUUAGAACAUGCUUAAUCAAUAUAUACCAAUAGAAAUACCCAAUAUUCUUGAUGGAAUUGGAAGAAGACCACUUUGGUAUUAUCAUUGUAGGCAGAUAGGACAUUAUACUAAUGAAUGUCUCAAUCCAAGAGCCAAUGAUAAAUAUGCUUCUGUAUGUAGAAAUUGUAAGUAGUCGAGACAUAUAUAUCAGCAGUGCAAUGCUUCGUUUAAUUUUAAUAAUUGAGACCAGCAAAUCCAGCUGCAUAAUAAGAGAGAAGAAAGUAAUUGAAGCCCAUAAGAUUUUCUUGUAAAGCAGGUGGAAUACAUUCAUGCAAUACUUACUAUACACCAGUAAAAAGAAAAAGAUCCAAUUUUAUAAUUAGAUGCACCAAUUACAAAGGACCACUUCAAUCCAAUUAUGGGAACUCCAAAUUUAAUACAUAUAUAAAAAAUAUCACCAAUUUUGGGACCUAGUCCAUGUGUACAAUUCAAUAAUAUUUCUAGGAUCGAGGUAUUAGUUCAAUCUAAACCAAUACCGUUAUCUAGGAAGUUUCAGGAGCCAUCUUAUACAUUAAAGGAUCUUUUCAUAGAUAGAUAUUUUGACAAAGUUUAUUUAGUUAUUCCACAUUCAAUUUUUGUAAAGAAAGAUAUAUGAUCUCAAGGAGUUAAGUUGAAAUCCAUGAAAAAAAAGAGGGCACUAGGAAUCACUACCAAUAUGGAACCAUAUGAUAUUUUCAAAAAUUUGGAUGCAAUUUAGGCCUCUAUUAUAUUGAAGCAACUUUUGGUGAUAGCCUCAAAAUAUUAUUCUAUAUUGAAUUCCUCAUUAAUAAGACAUAGGUCCCGUAAUAGAAAAAUUUAUAAAAUUAGUUUAAAUUCAAAUCCAAGAGUACCAAUUAUUGAUAUAUUCAUUGAUGGUAUUCUUAUUUUUGGAGUUCAAGUAGAUGGUAGCUCUAGUAUAAAUCUAAUGAACAUCGAUACAAUGGAGGAUUUGGACUUAAAAUAAUUAUUAUCUACCACAUUGAUAUUAAGAAUGGCAGAUCAGAGUCAGAUGAAACCAAUAGGUAUCCUACGUAGUAUUGCCAUUCUAUUCCUUGGGAUCAUAUAUAAGAUUGAUUAUACUAUUUUUUGACUACAUAGUUCCACAUUAUUCUAUCCAAUCUUAUUGGAUCAACCAUGGCUAUAUCAAACCAAAACUAAGAAUGAUUGAGGCCGUGGAAUGUUGAUUAUUAAGAAAGAGAAAGAAAAGAUUGUGUUACAAAUGUAUCUAUUUUAAUAUCAUAGGGAGUUUCAAAUUCUAGGUUUAGAGGUGACGUCUGAUGAUAAGGGCCAAUCUGAUGCAAAAUAUAAUGAAGUUACUAAUACAAUGCAAGUUGGUGAUAAUCCAUGUCAUUUGCAGAAGCAAGGCAUGUUAUACCAAUAUGGAAGACCCGAAAAAUAUUUAGUAUAUCUAGAAGAUACAACAAACUCUGAUCAUGCUAUUGCCAAUUGGAUGAAUAAUUUUGCAAUUAUUGAAGUUAGUACAUUGGAACCAGAAUUGGAUAGUUCCAAUUUUUUGGAUUAUAUGAGAGAUUACAAGCCAAAGAGAAAAAUCAAACUGGAUGUUGUCAAGGAAUUUGUGUACCAAUCCCUCAACUUAGACACUAAUGAAACACUGAAGGUUAUCAAAGUAUAUAAUGGAAUUAAAAAUAUCGAGUUGAAAAACUGGAAGGCUUUCUUCCUAAAUCAUAAAUCUUCUUUUGCAUGGUCAUAUGUGGAUUUGAAAGACAUACCUACUAAAGUUUGUGAACAUCAAAUUAUUUUAGAGGAGAAUACUAUAUCAGUUCGUCAAAGAUAACAUUGACUCAAUCUAAAAUAUUUUCUUAUGGUGAAAGAGGAAUUAAACAAACUUCUUGAUGUGGAUUUUAUUUAUUCAGUUCCAUAUAGUAAUUGGAUUUCAUUAAUUGUAAUGGUGCCAAAGAAGAAUGAAAAAAUUUGAAUGUGUCAAGAUUUUUGUAAAUUAAAUGUGGCUAUUAAGAAGGAUUAUUUUCCUUUAUCUUUUACGGAUAGUAUCCUAGAUGUGAUAGGAUGUGAUAGCCGAGCAUGAAUAUUAUUUCUUUUUGGAUGGAUUUUUGGGUUACAAUCAAGUUAAAAUUGCAAAAAAAGAUCAGUUAAAGAUUACUUUCACCAUAGAUUGGGGGACCUUUGCUUAUAAAGUUAUGCCAUUUGGGUUAUAUAAUGCCCAGCCAUGUUUCAGAGGAUAAUGAUACAAGCUUUUCAGGAUCAUUUAAAAUAUUUAAUGAAGAUAUUUUUAGAUAAUUUUUGCAUAUUUAAUACAAAGGUCGAUCAUUUGAAAUGUCUUGAUAAGUAUUUGGACUAUUGUGGCUAUUAUGACAUUUCAUUGAAUUUGAAGAAAUGCCAAUUUGGAAUAUUGUUUGAUAAAUUAUUGGGACAUAUUAUCUCAUUGGCUAGUAUUGCUACUGACUUGGAUAAAGUUAUUUGUAUAUUGGCUUUACCAAAGCCUGAAACAGUAUCAAGAAUUCGUGGUUUUGUUACCCAUGUCAGUUAUUAUUGAUGAUUUAUUCAUUCAUUUGCAAACAUAUAUUAGCCUUUAACUAAUCUCUUAAAGAAAUCCACAUCGGAUGGCUCUAAUCUAAUUUGGACUCAAGAAUGUACAAUUGUGUUUAAAGAAUUGAAACAAAAAUUGGUGUCUGCACUAGUAUUGGUUGCACCUUGUUAGACAAAAUUAUUUCAUAUUUAUAUUGAUGCAUCCAAUGUUGCUAUUGGAUAUGUAUUGAAUCAAAAAGAUGAAAAAGAUUUGGAUCAUUUAAUAUAUUAUACUAGUCGACAAUUGAUUGCAACUGAACAAAAUUAUACUACAACUAAACGGGAAGCUUUAAAAAUUAUUUAUUAUGUUAAAAUUUUUUUGGCAUUAUUUGCUUGGUUAUGACUUUGUGUUUUAUAUUGAUCACAAUGCUCUUAAAUAUAUAGUUAAUAAACCUCAAUUCAGUGGACGUAUUGUUUGAUGCAUGUUACUACUUUAGAAAUUUAAUUUUAUUAUCAAUAUCAGACGAAGAAAGAAAUAUGCCAAUGUGGACCACAUGUCUUAUUUAUCUAAUAUAUUGGAUAAUGAGCCUAUCAAUUAUAAGCUAUCUAAUGUGGAAUUAUUUGUUGUCAAUAUGAUUACACCCGAAUAUAUUGAAUUAAUUUGGUAUCUAACAUUUCAAACAUUUCUACCUACUUAUAAUAAAAAACUUAAGAAAUACUUGAUUUUAAAAAGUGUGCCAUAUAAGAUGAUUGGUGAUACUUUGUGUAAACAAGGGCGGAAUGAAAUUUUUUGCCACUAUAUCUUUCAAAGUGAAGUACGUAUCUUAUUGAAAGGUUGCUAUUUAAAUAGCUUUGAUGGAUAUUUUGUGGGUGAUAGUAUUGCUCAUAAAGCUUUAAUGGCUGGUCUUUGGUAGCCAACAAUGUUUUUGGAUGUACACUAAUAUGUCUGAUGUUGUGAUCCUUGUCAAUGAAUUAGUCACCCUGUUGGAACUUUUGCCAUGCCAUUGAUACCAAUUUUGACACAAACAGUGCCAAUUAUGUAACAAAAUAGACACAGGCGAUAGUACCAAAAAUUGAUAAUGCCAAUAUAGUAGCCAUAUUUUUAUAUGAUAACAUUAUCACUUGGUUUGGAUGUUCCAAGGAAUGGGUUAGUGAUUAAAAAAUCCAUUUUAUUAAUUCUACGAUUAUAGCCUUGACGGAUAAAUAUGAGAUCAAACAUCGAAAAACAAUCCCAUAUCAUCCUCGGGCCAAUAGACAAACUGAAAAGACUAAUGGUAUUUUGUACAAAAUUUUAACUAAGACAAUGUCUAGUGCAAGAACAAAUUAGGAUACUAAAUUGUUUGCUGCUUUGUGGGCUUAUCAUAUUGCGUAUAAAGUGACUAUUAAUUCUAUACCAUUUCAAUUGGUAUACGGGUAAGAUGCAAUAUUACCAAUUGAAUUGGAAGUUCAGAGUUUGAGAAUUGCAUUGGAUGAACAACUUGAUGACAAAGAAUCCCUUCUAUUUUAGUUUGUAGAAUUGGAAAAAUUAGAUGAAGUUAGAGCUACAACUCUUCUGACUAUGGAAGCUAUAUAACGUCAACAUAAGAGUUAUUAUGAUAGUAAAUUAUGCCUCAAAUCAUUUUUGCCUAAUGAUCUAGUUCUUCUUUAUAAUAGCCAAUUUAACAAUUUUUUGGAGAAAUUCCAAGUCCGUUGACAUGGAUCGUAUCAUGUAGAGGAAGAUUUUCUUAAUGAUUCAGUUCAAUUGGAAGAUUUUAUGGAUAUCUAAUUUACCACACGUAAUAACAAAAAUCAAUUAGGACUUUAUUAUAUGUAAACUUGGGAUGGAUUUAAAAAUAAAAAUAAAAUUGAAGGAAGAAUAUUUAUUUAUUAAUGAUAGAUUGUCUAUACUUAUAGAUGUAUGAUGGAUAUUAAAGAUGGCUAAUAUUUGGUUGUGGAUCCUAAUAUCAAUUAGUCAAGAAAAUCAGAAGUGAAAUUCUAGUUAACAAGAUUAGGGAUUCUUGAUCCAUACCCUGAGUAAAAAGUUAGGAGCACGGUACUUAAUGGAAGUUUUCUUCAAUAUUUUGAACAUUGUUGUUUAGGGUGUAACUAUUAAAGUGAAGGAUUUACUUCAGUAAGCAAGAAAGUAGUGUUAGUAUAAGCAAGGAGUAAAAAGUAAGUAUUCCAAUAUAUCAAUGGAAAGAAUAAAGAGAUCUACAGACAAAAAAGAAAGCUCCCAUAAUGUGAGAGCUAAGAGCAGUUUGAGGUCACUGUCUUUAAGGAUUCUUAUCAACAUAGAACCAAUGAAGUUGGAAUUCUGUCGGAAUGUAAAAAGAUAGAGAGAUUUUAGAAAUGUGUAGUUAUAUCAAUUUCUGCAAAGGUUUGAUGACUUGCCACCAAUUGAUAUAGAAUUGUUGUAAGAAUAUAUAACCAAUUAUGACCCAAAGGAUGAUUUGAGUGUUGUCAAAGGAAGCAUUAUUGGGAUUGAUGAGACUAUCUUACAAAAAGUAUUGCAUCUUUGAAUUGGUGAGCUUGCAGUGAAUGUUGAAGUAUCUAACAAUUUUAGAUCGAGAAGCUAUUUCAAAGAUGGCAUGUUGUCAUUCAAAAAGAAUCAAGGUUGGCAAACAGCGGAAGCACUUACACUAAAGCUUAUAGAGUAGAUGUCUUUUAUUUAGAAAGAAUUAAGCUUAAAUUAACACACAAUAUACAUGUCCAAACGGCUAUUGUUUGCUACGAUACAAAUGCUGGAAGGUAUGGUGUUUAAUUGGACAGCUUUUGUAGCCAUUAGUUUCCAUGCAAAGAUGGGAGGUAAGCAAAAGAUAGAAGAUAAGCAAAAGAUGGAAAAAUUUGCAUCUUUGCUUUGCUCCAAUUAUGUGUACUUUAUGAUUGCAUACUUGUUGAGUCAAACAUCGCCAAUAAGGGAGAAAAAUAUACCCUCUUUAGUACCUCAAUGAAGUGUUUAGAGUUUAAUGGCACUGACAGCUAGUCCAAAGGUUGUGGUGUAAGAAAUUAGAGAAUCAAGAAACUUAUUAGAACGGGAGGCUAUACUAGAAAUUACACCAGAGCAGUGUCAUAUUAUAAAAGCUUAUAGUAUGUAAAAAUUAGUUAAAAUAUAUUAUAUAUUAAUAAAUCUAGAUGUAUGUUAGAAUUGUGAAUAGAUUAAUUUAAAGAGAGUGGAUUUAAGAAACUUUAUUUUGAGUUUUAUCUUUUUUGAUUAUAGCAUUUAAAAAAAUUAUAGGACCUAAAUGUUUAGUAUGAAACCUUGAGAGGAGAUUAGAGCCUAAAGAUGAAAAUCUUAACUAGUAGGAGGCUUAUUGGGAGGCAUGAAAGCAAGAUAUAGGUAGAUGAAGGCAAGAAAUUGGAAUCUUCAUUCCUAUUAGUCGAAGGCCAUGUCCAAUGGGCUUCAAGGAGGUCGCCUGAGGCCUUAUUAGGAAUUAGAGAUUGUCUUUCGAAGUCAUUCGAGCUUUAGAGGCUAGAAUCAUUAAGUUUAGGUUUUUGGAUAUAUAUUGGGUGCAAAUUUUGUGUGAUUUGGAGUUUUUAUGAAAGAAUUAUUGGCGCUCAAAGUUAAGGUGUCAAUUUCAUACCUAUUAUCACUCUUUGGAACAUAACAUACAUUUACAAAGAGCAACAAAGGAUCAGCAAUUAGGAUUGGAGAGAGCACUUCUUUAACUAGACUUUUCAUGUAUUAUUUGAUGAAUUUAGAGUUUGAAUGAAGAAGUUAUAGAAAGUUGAAGUCAGCACAUCCAAAUCAAAGGCAAUAAAUAUGUGAUUUUAUUCAUAGUAAUAGUUGGAGCAAUAUCUUGAGUUUCUAUAUGAAUUUUUGGCUCAAAUCUUUUGAAAAAAGUUGAUUAUUAUGAUAAGAAGCUAUAUAAAUAUAAAUAUAAAUAUAUAUAUAUAUAUAAUUUAGUAUUUAAAUGCUUAAUUUAUGAGAUAUGAAGAAAUUUACAAGUAAAUAUAUAAAAACUAGGAUUUGAAGCUAUUAUUAGGAUUUUUAAGAUAUCUCAAGUUCCGCAAUGAAUUUGUACUUCAAAAUUGUUGUUGUAGUUGUUAAAAGUACAUCAAUACUUUAGAUAAAAUUUAAGUAUAUUUGGAUAGUCUGAUUGAAAGAUAUGAGUUUUUAAAGUUCAAGAAUAAUACUCUAUAGGGAUAUAUAAGGAUUUAGAAGAUUUUAUCAUAUUUUGGAUGUUGAUUACUUGAGGCUAAUGUAUUUGGUGUAAUUGCUCCAACAAAAAAAAAAAUUAUAUAUAAACUUAGAGCUUCUCUUAUUUUGAAGCUUGAUUGAGCAAUUAGUGACAACCAAGAGCCUAGUGCUUUCUUGAGACAAACUCUCUCCAUCUUGACAGUAGGUUCCAAUUUUUUUGGCAACAGAGGUAGAGGCUGAAGUUUCCAUUUUGAUGGACAUAAAACAAUUAGUAUUUCCAUAGGGUAGAACAUCAAAAAGAAUGAAUCUCAAGGAUGUCAUAUUGGUUCAGAUUUUUCAAUUACAGCUCACGAUGAGUAAACUAGAUGGGAAGGGAAAUUUAAGGCAGUAGUUGGAGCCAAACAGGAAAGAGAUAUGGGAGCAAAGCUGCCAAAAUAAGGAAUAGGAUUGAGAAAAAUGUGGAAUCCAAGUUAUUAUUAGAGCAUAAAUUUGAGGAGAAACAUAAAGCUUAAGGAAAAAAAUAAAAUAAAAUACAUUCAAUAUAUCAAAGAAGGCCAAAGACAAGAUCUAAUUUAGAUUUCUAAUAUAUCAAUGUUGGAACGAAAAAAGACAAAGUGUCAAUUGAAAAUGAAAUAAGAAAAGACAGCAUUACUUGAACAGAAAAAGCGGAUAUUGGGUGAUCAGUUACAAAUUAAAAUGACAAUGUUAUGAGUAGAAAUUAAAACCUUGAAGGCUAUAGUGACAAAAUUAGAGGAUGAUUUAGCCAAUAUUGGUCAAUCACAGAUGUCUACUCUACUCGUUUCAAUAAUUGAUGAAUUAAAGGAGAUGGUGAGGCAAGAACAAUACUAUUUGGAAGCAAAAGAUGUCAGGAUUUUGUAGUUGGAGGCUCAAAUUCAUGAAUUGAGAGCGUAUAAUAAGGACUUAUCAAUUUAAUUGAGGAGAGAGUUAAUGAAAGUAUUGGAGGAGGAUGACGACUUAUCAUUAGAACCAGGAUCAGUGGAACCACCUACGGAGAACAUUGGAAUUGAUCAAUCUAGCACACCAGAGGGUUAGAAAAUUUGUAAGGAUUCUGUUGAAGAAGUUUAUUUUUACCAAUUCUGUGUUUACAAAGACGUUACAUAGUUAAGAGUGGCACUAUGUAGAAUGGAUAUGAUAUUUUUUUGUUUUACAAUACAUAGUAUGUAGGAUUAAGAAAAACUAGUAAACUGAUAAAUAGAUAGUUUAAAAGGUAAAAUAGAUGAUGUAAGAAAAAAAAAUAAUUAUCAUUGAUUGUGUAGUAGUUGAUAUUUCAAAAAAAACAUUAGUAGUUUGAAAAAGAAGUAGAAAGGACUAGACUAUGAUAGUCAUGAGUCAAGGUAAGCUUGGUGCUACCUCUUUGUUUCUUUAUUUUUUUUGUAGAAGAAGAAUACUAGAUAGAAUUUGAAUAAUGUGAAAUAAAAUUAUGGAAUGAAAGAAAGAUUUCAUUUAGAUGAUGUCAAAUGAGAAAUUGAAUUUAUUGUGUGCUAAAUUAUAAAUAAAGAAUUAGAAAGUUGAUAAUAGAAGAUAUUUUUGAAGUAUGGAUAUAAAUAAAAGAAUUAUAAUGCAUUGAUUUUUGAGAGUUGAGAGUGUGCCAAGAAAAAGAUUGUGGAGUCUAGAAUUGUGUGAAGCAGAUUACUAGGAAUGACAAUUAAUUUUGGAGAAUUUUAGUAAUUGAAUUAUGAAAUAUUUUAUACAGUCUUUUAAGAUAGUGUAGUAUUACCUAUUAUUGUCAUAAGUUUGGAAAGGAGAAGAAGUAGUGAAUACAUAAGAUAGACUUAUCGAUUGUAAUAUUUUUUUUGAUAGAAUGCGGAAGAAAUAUAGCAUUCUUGGGUAUUUUAGUUGAUCAAGAGACAAUUAAUUGUGUGAUCCUAAUGUAAAAUUCAUACAGAUAGUCUUUCUCUGUGUUUGAAUCCUUGUAUACAAGUUUAUUCUGAUUAGAUUAGUUAAGAGUAAGUAAAAUUACAAUCACACAAUCUUAGUAAUAAAUAAGACUGAGGACUAAAAAGGCAUUAAUAAAAAUGAAGAAGGCUUCACUCUUGCCUCUAUAUAUACUCUUAACUAAAAACUACAAGGUAAUGUCCUAUGAAACCUCCAAAAACAUGUUGACUUUGUAAGACACAUAUUUUAACUUGUAAAGUAAGUUUUUUAUAUAUGUACAAGAUAAUUAGCUUGUUUGACAAGCUACCAAUAUGUGGUUAACUUCUUGACCAAAUAUCUAACAUUUCAAUUAAUUAUAAACAUGUGUAAAGUCAAAGCAACAUCUAUAAAGCUUCUAAAAAGCUUCUCUAAAUGAUAUUAUAAAAUUAAUUUAUUUUUAUCUACUUUUACUUACUUCUACCUAAUCAUAUAGAUAUUUACUAGAGUACUUAUGUAUAUCCGUGACAAUAUCUUACCAUCUAUUUGAAGAAGAAUAUAUUCUUGAAGAUCUUCAUCCCUAUUACAUUGUCUCAAAGGCUAUGAUAAUUGCAAUAUUUCAUCUGAUAAGUUAGCAAAUGAUAGCUUUCAAGUUGAAUCUGCUAACUAUUAAUUCUUUAUCUUCUUAAAGUUACAAUUAUAUAGAAACUAAAAACAAGAAUAAAAGAUAGAAUACAAUCUUUUUUAAAUUAUGUUUAUUUUAUAAUAAAGAUUUGCUAUGCUUCAUCUUGAUUUUAAUAGAUGUUGUUUAUGGAAAGCUUUGACCUUCUCUAUUGUAUUUAUAAGAUUUUUUUGCUGGUUCUUAUGUGCUUUUGCUAAUAUUGUAUCCAAGCUAAUGAAUGAGAUAUUUUAAUAUUUGUUGGUGCCACCUUGAGUCUAAGACUUCUACCACUUCAAAUUCUUGAUAAUUAUCUACUUCUAUAAGAAGCAGUGGUAUUUUUCUUCUUCUUGUAAUAUUUAUUUUCUUAUAUGGAUCUAAAAGAGAUAUGUAAAAUAUGAAAUGGAUUUUCAUAAAAUCAUAUAGAUGUAAUCAAUAAGUAAUUGAAUUGACUUGUUCACAAAUAGGAAAUGGUUUAAGUCUACAAUAAUCUAAUUUUUCACAAAGGCAAAUAGUUUUAAUAUUACAACAAAGUAACCAUACCUUAUUACCAACAUAGAAAUGAAGUUUUUUUCUUACAAUAAGAAUCUAUGUUACUCUUUUUUUUUUCUUGAGCCUCUUUUAGUAGUGCUCUAUUAUUGUAUAUAGCUCAAAUAAAUGAUUUUUAAAACCUUUUAUUGUAAGAUUAUCAAAUUUUAAAAAGUCUAAAGCAUUAAGUUAUAGAUAAUAACUAUGAUAAGCAAAAAAAGGUAUUUAUUGCAUAGAAGAAUGUAUCAUAUUAUUAUAAGCAAAUUUUACCAAUGGCAAAAGAAUUAUCCAAUUAUCUUAUUGGUAAUUGAUAGUAUACCUCAAAUAUUGCUCUAAAACAUUACUUAUAUGCUUUAUUUGUCCAUUAGUUUGAAAAUAAAAAAUUAAAGAUAGUUUUAUGUCAACUUUUAAAAUCUUGAAAAAUUUUCUUCAAAAUCUUGAUACAAAGUAAAUUCUCCUAUUUGAUGUAAUAUCUUUAAGUAAUCCAUGAUAGUGAUAGAUGUUAUCAAGGAAAAGCUUGGUUAUUUCUUCACUUAUGAUAGCUUUUGUACAUGAUACAAAAUAUGCCAUCUUGGCAAAAAAAUCUACUAAGAUAAAUAUAGAGUCAUAAGAACUUGAAAUUAGAAGAUUUAUAACAAAAUCUAUAGAAAUAAAAGACCAUGGUUGUUUUGAAAUAGGUAAUGGUUGAAAAAGUCCUUAGGAUUAUUGACAAGGAAUUUUGUUACCUUAAAAAAAUAUCACAUGACUAGACACUGCCUUUCAUUACUUUCUACAUUUGUAGCCAUCAAAAAUCUCUAGAUAUAAGUUCUAAAUUUUUAUAUCUAAAAUUUUUUGCCAUUGAAAAAUCAUGACGUAUUUGAAGAAUACGUUGUUGGGAUAGAAAGAAUUUGCCUUCAGAAAGCAUUGGGCUUCUAGCUAUCACUAAUUACUCAACCAAGUCAUAAGAUAGAAAAGCACCAAGUUUAUAUAUAAAAUUAUCUCUAUAAAUACAAUUAUAUCAAUAUAUAAGCCGUAAGUACCAAAGAUCAUUCAAAUGUGAAAAAAUAUUAUAAAACCUUACAUAUCCUUAAAAUGAUUUUUUUCUAAAAUUCAACAACUCAUAUUUUAUGUUUGGAACUUCCAAAUAAAUCAAAAUUUUAUAUAAAGUACUGAUGUACUUUCAAAAACUACCACAAAAAAUUUCAAUUUUAAAUUCAUUACAGAUCUUGAGAUAUCACCAAAAUCCUAACAAUAGCUUCAAAUCCUUGCUUACAUGCACCUAUGAACAACUUUCUUCAUAUCUCAAAAAUUAAGUAUUUAAAUACUAUAAAAUUUUGAUGUAUAGCUUUUUAACCUGAUAAUAAAUAUUUAAAAAAAAUUGAGCCAAAAAUUUAUUUAAAAACUCAAGAUAUGGCUCCAACCAUUAUUAUCAAUAAAACGACUCACUUAUGAAGUUUGAUAUACAUGUACUAUCUUUAAUGCUCUAUAACUACUUUAUAAAAAUUCCAAAUAUAAAAAUUCUUUUACAAAAGAGAUAGGUCUUAAAAUCAUUCUUACAAUUAUACCUUUUGAUCUCCAAAAGCUAUCAAAAAACUCCUUAUAUCUUCAAAAGAACAAUAAUAUGUCUUAAAAAGAUUUCUUAACUUCAAAUGGCUAUAACAUCAUUAUAGUAAUUCCAAAUCCUCUAAAAUUUUUACACAAAUUAUAGUCUAAAUCAUAAACUUUAAAAUUUUUAUUUUUGAUUCUCAAAUAUUUCUUUUGAAGUUGUCAAAAUUCUUAUUAUGGUUGUAGAUAGCCUCUUGAGAGCCUAGUAUAAAUGGCUUUUGAUUAAUAGGAAUAAAGAUCUUCAUUUCUUACCUUAAUCCAUCUAUACCUUGCUUUCAUCUAAUUCAAUUUAGUUGGAUUAGAUUUUGAAAAAUAAAAUUAUGUUUACAAAAUUGAGGGUCUCUUAAGUUUUGUAGUGUAUAUAUGGAUGAAUUUUGGAUAGUGUGUUGGUAUUUUAGUUGUUAGUGUGUGUGCAAAUUUGAGCUCAAUCAAAUGAUUAGAUUGAAGUAUACAAAGAUUUUUUUAGUUUGAUAUUUUAAAAAUUAGAAUUUGAAGGUCAAUGAGUAUUUUUAAGAUCUUUAACAAUUUGUUAAUUGGAUUGAAGUGAAUUUUUUUGUGUAGAGACUAGACUUGAUUUUGCAUAAUUUAUGUAUAUUUUAGAGGUAAUUAAAUAGUUCAAGAAGGAGAUAUUAGUACUAAAAGUUCAACAUUUAGAUUAGAAUAUGAGGUCGACCAACACUUGAGGAGAAUUUAGGUUUGAUUUUCUAUUUGGUAAGUUCGAUCUUUUUCAAAUUUUAUGUACUUCUUUCAAAUUUAGUUGUUAAAAGGUGUGUAAAAUAUUGAAUAAGAUCAAUAUUAUAAUCAAUAGAUAUUGAGAUUCUAAACUACUCUAGAAUUAAAUUAAUUUGAUUAAAAUUUGGUUUAGGAUUUAUGAAUUGGUUAGGAUUUAAGAUUUAUUUAGGAUUAAGUUAGGAUUUUACUUAAGAUUUAAGUAAGGAAUAUUAGAAUUUUUACUAGGAUUAAAUUAUUAUAUGAUUGAAAUUUAUUUUAAAUAUAUUUUAGAUUUUAUUUUAAUACUUUUUUUUAAUUUUUUUUAAGAUUUCUUGAUGCUUCUUUUAUAAUUUCUUCAAGGUUUCUUUGGAUUUGAUUAAAGCUUGAUUAAUAUUUUUAUGAUUUAAUUGAAAUUAUUUAGGAUUCUAUUAGAAUUAGAAACUUGUUAUUACAAUACCUCUUCUAUCUUCUAUAACUAGGUACUCAGUGCAUUCUCAAGCAAGGAUUCACGUAAUAUAAUAAUAGUCUUUAUUAUAGGUGGACAAACUUAUUCUCCAAAAUACUAUCUUCUUUGAUGGCCAUAUUCUUCAUUUUGUAGUUUUAUAGCUUCUUUAGACAUUAUUAAGUACUAUGCUUAGGUUCUCUAUAAUAUAAGCACAAUCUUUCUUGAUAACAAUAAGACUUUUCUUGCUCAAUAAGAAAUUUGAAAUGCAUUGCAUCAAUUUAUAUAUCUUCUACUUCCAAAUGUAUGUAUUGAAUAGAUAUUGGCAUUGUCAUUGUCAUUGAAUCAUAGUAAUAUUGAAGUGUAUUUGUGCAGCUCUUAAAUUAAAAUUCAAAAAAUUGAUUGUCACACCUCAUAGCAAAGUCAAUUAUUUGACUCAAUGUUUGAGAAUCAAGUAAUUUGAGCAUCAAUUUUUUUACUUUAUAUUAUAAUCUAUAGAAAAAUUGGCUGAUAAGUGUAAUAUCAUUUUACUUGAUAUCAGAUGUAGAUUGUUAAAAUAAUGAAGCAUAUAAUAUUAUUGAUUAAUUUUCUUACUGUAAAAUACGGAUCUUAUUGAUUGCAAUACAAAUUGUAUCAUGUUCUCUAUACAUGGAUCAAAACUCCAUCAAAAAAGCCUCCAGAUUAUUCAAUUUUAGAUUUUGUCAUUCAAGAAAAGAUGAAAAUUAUAAUAAUACUGAAUCUGAAAAGAAUAUACUAAUAAAUUUAACUUAAAAUCUUGGAAUUAGAUAGCUUUCAAAUUGAAGUUUAAUCACAAGUUGUAUUUGAAUGAUAAAUCCUCAAAACUUAGAUCUUAUACCAUCAAACUUCAUAAGUACUGCAAACCUUGAUUCUCUAAUAUUAGAAGGAUAUUCUAUCAUAGAAAAUAAAAUAUGAUUUAAUGCAGAUGUUGAAACAAUUCUAAUCAUUUUUAUAUCUUUCCUCUCUACCAUUAUUGUUACUCUAUGUAGCAAUAAAUUAAAUUGAUGCAUCGUAAGUAUUAAUUUUUUUAAUUGCUAUUGUAUUUGUAUCAUUGCACUCUUAAUUUCAAGAAGAUUUGCCAUAAUAACAUUCAAAAAAGCAAAGAUGUCUAAGAUUACUCAAAACAAAUAAAAGAAAAGACUUAAAAAUAAAGAGAAAAUACUAAAUAUAAUAUCAGUUUAAGAAAUGGGAAUUUACAAUUCCGAAUAUACUUAAGUCUUAUCAAGAGAAAGGAAUAAUCUAUUUUUAAUCAAAUAAAGACAAAGAUCUAAUAUUAUAAGUGCAUUCUUAUCAAUCUAUCUAUGAAAACAAUUCAAUGAAAGUAAAUAAAUAAGUAAGAUUUUCUCAAAAAAAUAAGACAAAAUAGAAAUAAAAAAGUUUAUAUAUUAAAAAAAAUAAAAUAAAAUAAAAUAAAAUAGAAUGGCUAUUGCUAAAAGUUAAGAAAACUAGAGACUCUUGAAACUAAAUUAAAAGUAAGAAAGAAAUUGACAAGAGUGAAAAAGGCUUCAUUCUUGCCUCUAUAUAUACUAUCUACUUAGAAUGUAUGUGGAAACAUUCAAUAGGACCUCCAAAAAUAUGUUCACUUUGCAUAACACAUAACUUAACUUGCAAGGCAAGUUUUCUAUAUAGAUGCCACAUAGUUAGCUUGUUUUCUAAGCUAUGAAUACAUGCAACACUUGGUUAGUUUGUUGACCAAGUUUUUAAUCUAAUAUUUAAUUACAAAUAAUAUAAAAUCAAAAUAACAUCUAGAAAUAUUUUAAGAAGCUUCUCUAUAGAGUAUUAUGAAAUUAAUCUAUUUUAAUUACUUCUAUCUAUUCAUAUUAGCUAGUUAAUAAUUACAAUAGAUAUAUAUAUAUAUAUAUAUAUAUAUAUAUAUAUAUAUAUAUAUAUCCAUGAUAUUGAUUUCAUUAAGUUCUUACUAACUAUCUCAUUAAUACUCUUUUGUUCAAUUUAGUAUUUGAUUUUGUCUAUAAUAUAUAUAUGACAAUUUUUUGAGAUUUUUUUCUUAUGAAUAUUAGAACUUCAUCUUUUUUGAUAAAGAAUAGAUUAUCCUUCUUUUUCAAGACAUCUAAGUGCUUUAAAAUUUUGGAGUAUCUUCUUAUAAAUUAAUAUUAUUUAGAAAUUAAAUGAUGAUGUAAAACAUCUAUUAUUAUUAUUUGAUCUUCAAACACUCAAUGAAGCUAUCAAUUAAAUUGUGAAAUGUAAUAAUCAAUUAUUUCAAUACCAUCAAGAUCAACUCUUAUGAACUUUGAUAAAGCAAUAUACAAGAAAUUUGUACUUUAUUUCUUUAACAAGUAUAUUACUUCCAUAAUUUGGAAUAAAGAAUAUAUAAAUUGAUGCAAUACAAUUCAAACUUCUUAUAGUAGAAGAAAAGAAGCAUCAAUUUGAAUAAGGCUUAUACUUUUAUUGUGGUAAAAAAGGCCAUAAAUCUAAGAAUUUUUAAAAGAAAUAACAUACAAUUAGAAUUAGAAGUACAAUCAUUUAAGAAAAUGAAGAGGUCCAGUUACAAUAGGGACCAUGUGGCUAUACAUUCCAAUACCUCAAAUUCAUCAAGAUUCUUCUUUUUUUGUCCAACUUACUUGUUUUUUUAUUAUACAUUUAUUUCUUUGCUUACAAAAACUUCAAAUAAACACCUUAUUAGAUUCAAGAAUAUAUAUAUAUAUAUAUAUAUAUAUAUAUAUUUUUUAGACGAAAUUUUUUUUAAAGUUGAUAAAAUUCUUCUAAUAAAAAAGUUAAAAUAUAUAUAUUUAUAUACAUAUAUAUAUAUAUAUUUAUAUACAUAUAUAUAUAUAUAUUUAUAUACAUAUAUAUAUAUAUAUAUAUUUAUAUAUAUAUAUAUAUAGUCAACUUUUAUCUUCAAGUAAUAUUAUUCAUGAAACCAUAUUACUAAAAAUAUCAUUUAAGAGCUAUAGUAGCAAAAUAAUAUUUAAUAUUAUUAGAAUUUCAUCCAAUCCUAUCAAUUGAAGACUUUUGUGGUUGAAAAGAUAUAAUCUAUCUAUAGAUUGGAGAUUUUAUAAGAUUAAAUUUCUUGUAGAAUUCUUUUAAAUAAAACCUAUCAAGAAGUCAUUAACAACAAAGCCCUUAUUUCUUUUAAUAAAGUCUUUUAUGAAGAUAACUAAGAAAAAAUACCAUUUGUCAUUUAUGCAACUCCAACUUGUGAAGAAACCAACUUCCUAGUAGCUAUUCUAGAGUACUACAAGGAGUUUUAAGAUAUCUUUGAAAAGAAGAAUGUUGACAUAUUGCCAAAGUAUUGAUCGUAUAAUUGCGCCAAAAAUCUUUAAGAAAUGACUCAACUACCAUUUGGUCUAAUCUAUAAUCUAUCACAAAAUAAACUUUCUCCAUUGAAUAAUUAUAUUAAUAAAAAUUUUACAAAAAACUUUAUUUGGCAUUCAAAAUCUCUAGUAGGUGCACCAAUAUUUUUUCAAAAGAAUAAAGAUGGAUCUUUGCAAAUGUAUGGUAAUUAUUGUGGCCUCAAUAAAAUAAUGAUGAAGAAUUGUUAUCCAUUAUCAUUACUAUUAAAGAUUUUGAAGCAACUUGAUCAAGCUAAGAUCUUCACUAAAAUAGAUUUUUGUGAAGCAUAUAAUUUGGUAUUAGUUAAAGAAAGAAAUAAAUAAAAGACAAUAUUUUGGAUAAGGUACGGAAAUUUUGAAUAUACUGUCAUACCUUUUGAAUUUACAAAUAUUUUAAUUAUAUUACAAAAUUUGAUUAAUAAUAUUUUUUGAAAUUUUUUGGAUAAGUUUAUUAUCUGCUAUCUUCAUAAUAUCUUAAUCUAUUCCAAGACUCUUAAAGAAUAUGAAGAACAUAUGAGAUUAGUCUUGCAAAAUUUAUAUAAUAAAAGAUUAUAUAUCAAAUUAAAAAAAUAUGUAUUCUAUUAGUCAAAAUUAGAUUUUUUUGGAUAUAUUAUAUAUAAUAAAGGCUUCUUAAUGGACUUGAAAAAAUUCAAGCUGUAAUAAAAUAGGCAACUUCGAAGGCAAUUUGAAAUUUAUAAUGAUUCUUUUGAUUUGCUAAUUUCUAUGGAAUAUUUAUCAAGAAUUAUUUCCAAGUUGCUAUUCUUUUCACUUGGUUCACAUCCAAAAUCAUAUUGGAUUGGAGAUCACAAGUACUAAGGGCUUUUGAAGAUAUGUUAUAUAACUUUUAUUACAACUUUAAUUUUAAUGCAUCUAAAUUUUAUAAAUAUUUUCUAUUUUGAGACUCAUGCUUUCAAUUUUAUAUUAAAAGUAGUACUAUUAGAGAUAGAAAAGGAUAAAAAGCUCUAUCAAGUUACAUUCUAUUUUUUAAAAAAAAUUAGCUAUAAAGAUCAAUUAUAAAAUUUACAAUAGAGAAUUUCUUGCAAAUAUAGAUUCUUUUCAAGAAUGGCAUCACUUAAUGGAAGGCACUACUCAUGUUGUGAUUAUAUAUACAAAUCACAAAAAAAUUGAGUAUUUUAUACUAGCUUGAAUUUUAAAUCAUCGCUAAGCUUGUUAAAAUAUGUCAUUAUCUUAUUUUGAUUUUGUGAUUAUAUAGUAAUCCAAAAAGGAAAAAUGAUUGUCAGACGCCUUAUUAAAAAAAAAAAAAAAAAAAAAAAAAAACAUAUCUUGCUCCAAAGGCCAAAAAAUCAGCAUUUAAUUAGCAAUAUACCACUAUUGUAAAGCCAAAAAAAUUUCAUUCUUCUCCUAUUUCUUUUAUUAUACAUAUUGAUUCAAGUUUUUUAAAAAAAAUUAUCUAUAAAUAAUAAAUAAUUUUUUGAUUUGUAAUAUUAAAUAGAAUCCUCAUAGCCACAAGUUUAAAUUUGUGAAAGAUCUUUUGUAUUGUGAAGAUCAUUUACAUAUUCCAAAAAAACCAAUAUGACUUUGUAUUCUUCAAUUUUAUCAUGAUUUUCUAGCUAUAGGAAAUUUUGGAUUUAACAAAAUAUUAAAACUUAUCUCUUGAUAUUUUUGAUGACUUCAAAUGUGAAAGACCAUGAAGGAUUUUUUUUUUUCUUAUGUAAUGUCUAUUCAAGAUCUAAGAAAUUUUGACAUUGUUCCUAUAGACUUCUAUAGUUACUACCAAUUCUAAAGCAACCAUGGUCUUUAGUAUUAAUGGAUUUUAUUAUUGAUCUAUUGCCAUCAAUAAUAUUUGAUGCUAUCUACAUACUUGUAGAUUGAUUUAUAAAGAUGGUAUAUUUUAUCCUGUACAAAAAGAUAAUUUUUGGAAAUGAAAUUAUAAGGUUCUUUCUUGAUAAUAUAUAUAUAUAUAUAUAUAUAUAUAUAUACAUAUAUAUAUAUAUAUAUAUCAUAGCUUAUUUCAUGAUAUUAUUUCUAAUUAAGGAAUUUAAUUUAUAUCAAAGUUUAAAAUAUAUAUAUAUAUAUAUAUAUAUAUAUAUAUAUAUAUAUAUAUAUUAAAGAUAGAUAUUAAACUUUCUUUGCCUUCUAUCUUUAAAUCAAUGAUCAAACAUAAUGAGUCAAUCAAGUUUUAGAGUAGUUCUUGCAAUGUACCAUCAACUAUUAAGAAGGUGAUUGAACCUUAUAUUUAUCUUUAGCAAAAUUUUCUUAUAAUAAUAUUCUUUAUACUUUGAUUCAAAAAAUAUCAUUUUACUCUAAUUGUGAUUACUAUCCAAAGCUUGAUUUUUUAUAUUCAUUAAAGGAUAAAAAUCUAAUGGUUAAAGAUCUUGAAACUAAUUGUUAUAGCUCCAAAUAACUUUGAAGUUAUAUUUACAAGUAGCUCAAGAUUCUUAAAAAAAAUCUUCAAAUAAAUUUAAAAAAGAAUUCAUUUCUUUUUGAAUUAGAAAUAAAGUAUAGAUUCUUCAACAAGAUAUUAAGAACAAUUGACCUUACAAUAAAUUAGACUACUAAAGAUUGGAGCUAUUUUGUAUUCAAAAGCAAAUCAAUCUAAUGGCUUACUAAUUAAAACUACCCACAUCUAUAAAAGUAUAUCUAGUCUUUCAUGUUUCUCUUCUAAUAGCUUAUACAAAAUCAACUAUUUCAAAAAGAAUACAACUAUCAUUGCUAUGCAUUGAAAUAGAUAAUCAUAUGGAAUAUGAGGUAAAAAAGAUCCUUGAUUCUAGGUAAAAAAGAGGCAAGUUGGAGUAUUUUAUUCAUUAGCAUGGUUACAAUGCCAAUGAACAUAUGUGAGAACCAGCAAAAAAUCUAAUUAAUGCGCCAAAAAAGGUACUUAAGUUUUGUUGACACAAAAGGUAUUUUUUUAUGUACCACAAAAGGUACUUAAGUUUUUGAAGUUUUAAAAAAGUUUUCAAAAACUUAAGUCUAUUUUAGGAUGACUUUUCUAUGAAGCUACUACUAGGAUGUUGUAUGUAAUAAAGGAAAUAGGUUUUGCUUAUAUCAACCUUAGAGUUUAGUGUACCUAGUUUAUGAUCCAAUUAGUUGAAUUGGAAAAUGUUUAAAGAAUUUUUAGAUCAUAAAUCUCAAAGUAGAGCUAGAAUUGAAGCUUUUUUUAACACUACUACCAAAUUAAUUGUUCCAACUCUUUCAGCCUUCACAAGAUCAUCCUUAAGAUGGAUUUGGACCUUUUGAAGGAAAGAAUUGUCUAUUCUAUAGUGAGUUUAAAUAAAAAAAAACCUCAAAUAAGAAAACUUCAAAAAAAAAAAUCUUCAAGAUGAUGCUUAAGCUUUAGUUAUUUUAUCAUAGAUAUAAAACCAAUGAUCCUUGUAGAACUUGGAAUUAGAAAGGAAUGUAAUAUUACAAGCAUCUAACAAAAAGAUUUUUAAAAUAUUCUAUUAAAUUUUAAAAGGUUCUAAAAGAUUUUUAAAAUAUUUUAAUAUUACAUUUUAAAAGUUUUGUAAAAUAUUUUUAAAAUAUUGUAAUAAAAUAUACUUAAAAUAUUUUUAAAAUAUUUGAAUAAAUUCUAAAAAGUUCAAAGAAGAUUAAAAAAAAAUAUCCAACAGGCUUUUUAAGGUCGUUUUAUCUUCAAGCAACAUAAAAACUUCUUGAGAAGCUUUUUAAGAUUGCUUCAUCUUCAAAAAACAUAGAAACUUUUCAAGAUUGUUUCAUCUUUAAGUAAUAUAAAAAUGACUUAAAAAGCUUCUUAAUAUUUAGUAUAUAUUAGAGUUGAGUUUGAGGGAAUCCUCAAUCUUAACAACACAUCUCUUAGAGCUUUAGUUCACCUCUCUUCGAAUUGAUCUUAUACUUAUUUGAUUUAUUAUAGUUCUUCCUAGCUAUCUUAUUGAAACUCUUUUCUUCAACUUCUUGAUUGAUCUUCUAUAUAGUGUAUCCAUGAUAGUCCUAUAGAACCUCCAACACACUUCCAAUUUGUAAGACAUAUGUCUUAACUUGCAAGGCAAGUUUCUUAUAUGCGCACCAUAUUAUUAGCUUAUAUCGCAAGCUAACUACAUUGGUGAUACAUGGCUAAUUUGUUGGCUAAUUUUUUAAUCUAUCAAUUAAUUGUUAACAUGUAUAAAAUCAAAUAUGUAUUUAUAAGGCUUCUAAGAAGCUUUGUUAUAAGAUAAUAUGAAAUCUACUUACAGUUAUCUUCUACUUAUCACUUCUUAUUUAAAUAAAUAUAUAUAUCCAUUAUAUUAUUUCUACUUUUAAGGAUGAAUUCUAUGAAGAUCAAUCAUAUUAUAUUGAAGAAGUCUAAGAUGUAGCAAAUUAUAUUUAUUACAAUCUCAUACAAAUACUUCAUAGUAUUCUUGUAAAUUUUAUUUAGAUCUUAUGAUUUAAAUAAGGAGUAUUGCCUACUAUUUGACAAAGUAUGAUAUACAUGCAAUUAAAGAAUAUACAAGAAAUAAUAAAAGCUGCUCUUGAAAAAAGAUACACAUUAGCUUUAAUGCAAAAAUUAAAGAAAAAGAAUCAUAGUAGUACUUUGAUGACUUACAAACAUUGUUAUAAAAUGUACUUAAAAAAAAGCUAGUAGAAUCUAAGUAAUCUUAAUAAUUGCUUAAUACAUACUUGAAGCAAAUCAAUUACAAAAACUAUAGAAAUAGUAAAAAAAUUUGAACAUAAAAUAUUUAAAUUAUAAUGCAAUAACUAAUUAAAUACACAACUAAUAUAGAUAGGUCUAUAUUUUGAAUGUAGAAGAAAUUAUAAAAUUAAUAAUUAUAUUCAUGUAUGACAAUUAGUAAUUAUAUUCAUAUAUGAAAAUUAGUAAUUAUAUUCAUCCAUGGUACAAGUUGAUUGUAAUAUGGUAAGCAUUUGAUAUAAGAAACACUUAAAGAAACUAAACAAGAACUUUAUAUCUCAUAUAUAGAAAAUAUUGAAAAUGGCUUAAAUUUUAUUUUUAAUAAAUAUAAUAAGAGCUAUGUAUGGAUCAAGCUAUAAAACCAACUAAUUUUUUUUGACCAAAAUACAAUUAAAAAAAUACUUAACAAUAUUAUGGUCAUUUUUACAUUGGUUUUAGUACUAAAACUCAAUCACAAGAUAUUGUCUUACAUAAAAUACAAGAUCCAUCCAAAACCACUAAAACAAGAAGUUGCUCAUGAAAAUGUUACAACAAUUGAUUUAGAUGCCAUAAUUAUUAAAAUUUACAUUAAAAAAUACCAACUAUUUAAUAUAUUUAUAGAUAGAAGAUCUUAAGUCAACAUGAUGGCAAAUUUUUCAAACUACCUUAGCUUGAAGUAAUUUUGUUUGUACUUUGCAUGGCUAAAAAUGUCCAAGUUAAGUCUUUGAUCAUAUUACAAAAUAUAAUCAUUGCAACAUAAGAGAUUUGAAGGUGUGUUAUAUUUUUUUGUAAUUGAAAUGCCAACCAAGAAUCACUUCUCAAGCAUCUUGAAAAGACCAUGGUUGUGAAAUAUAAAUGCAUCUCAUGAUUCGUUCAACAAUAAAAUCACUAUUCAUUAUCAAUACCAAAAAAUUCAUAUCAAUUUAGAUAAUUAUAUUAUUCAAAAAAAGGCAUUGGAAAUUCAUCAAUUCACAUAUAAUAAUUAGCCUAUAGGAAUGAAUGUCAACUAAGAAAUGCUAGUAUUUGUAGUAGAAUCAAACUUCAUUUCUAUAGUCAAAAUAAAUUCUUUACAUAUACUUGCUAAAUUCACUCUCAAGCUUUAAGAUAGCCUUAUCAUCAAUAAACAACUAAUACAUAUCAAACUUUAAGAAAAAAUUAUUAUAAGAUAGUCGCAUAAUUUAAGAAAAAAAGUAAAAUUAAUUAAUCUUAAAAUAUUCAUAGAAUUCAAAUAUGUUAAGAUAAAUAUCAAUACAUCUAAAAAAAUAAAUAUUGCAAUAAUAUUUUUCUUCCAUGAAUAUCAAGAUAUUUUUUUAUAGGCACACAAAGAUAUAAAGAGAAUAUUUUCUAAGUUUGUUAAACAUUAGAUUGAUCUUAUCCUAAAUACCAUACAAGUUCAAUUACAAUAAUUUUGAAUGAAUUCCAAUUAUGUACAAAUUAUGAAGAAGGAAUUAGAUAAGUUUUUAGAAGCCAAUUUCAUCUUAUUGUUGGAUUAUGCCUCAUGGUUAGUACUAAGAGUUAUCAUUCUAAAAAAAACUAAGUGCAUUAUAUAUUUGUCUAGAUUCUUAUAAAUUAAAUGCCACUACCAAAAAGAUUAUUAUUCUCUUAUAUAUAUAAAAGAGAUAAUUGAUGAGGUAGCAAGCCAUGAAGUGUAUAAUUUUAUAGAUUGUUCCUUGAGAUACUAUCAAAUAGCUAUGGCAUCCAAAGAUAAGAAUAAGUUUGCCAUCUCUACAAAAUCAAGACUAUUUCAAUUCGAACAAAUAUUAUUUGAAGCAAAAAAUACAUCAUUGAUGUUCUAUCUUUAGAAUAUAUUUAGACAAUGGUAUAAUAUACAAGCCCAAAGAAAUUCAUGUGUAUCAUCUCCAACAAAUAUUUGAACCAUGUCAAUGGUAGAACAUUAGCUUCAAUGAGGAUAAAUGUAUCUUUUUAUUUUUUUCUAAACUUAUAUUUAUUCACAUCAUCUAUUGCUUAGAUAAAUUAUUAGACCUCAAAAAUAUUAAAUAAAUCUAUAAGAUAACAGAGCCUUGUAAUCAAAAAGUAAUUGAAAGUAUACUUAAGAUUGCAUAGUUUAACAAAGUCUUUGUAAAAAAUCUAGUCCAUUUCAUCUCUUUAAUCUUAGAACUUAAAAAACCUAAAUAUAAAUAUAAAAUAUAUUAUAAUCUAGUAGCAACUAAAGUUUUUGAAGAAGUCAAAUGUGCUAAUACAAAUAAUACAAUAAUACUUGUUUCCAACUAAAAACUUCUUUUUUUCAUAUAUAUGGAUGCUUCUAAAAUUACAAUAGGCAUAAUUCUUAUAUAAAAUCAUAUGAAAAAAAUAGAUUAACUUAUAUUAUAUACAAGUCAAAGAUCAAAUCUAAAUAAGCAAAAUUAUUCAACCACAGAAUGUAAGGCAUUUGCAAUAGUCUAUGCCAUAAAGAAAUAAAAAUAUUAUCUACUGAAGAAUAAAUUUUAGUUUGAUGUCAACCACCACAAGCUACUUUACUUAAUCAAUCAAUAUGUAAUCAUAAGAUAAAUAGUGGAACAAAUAAUACUGCUAAUAAUAUAUAAUUUUAAAGUUUUUUUAUUUUAAAAAAUAGAAUAUAUUUAUUGAUUACUUCUUGUAAAUAUUCAAUUUGACAACCAACUUUAAAAUCAAUAAAUCUUCUUUGGAUCCAUGUAUUCAAAAUAUUGUUGUAGAUAAUACAUUAGUCAAAAACAUUUAGAUGUAAGAUUUAAUUAAUUAUCUAACUAUGAUACAAAUUCCUUAUAUAUUCUUUGGCUUUCAUUGAAUCAAUUUUUUUGCAAAGUUCUCACAUAUAUCUGCAUCAAUAGGAAGUUUUAUAAACUUAGAAUAGACUAUAUUAUGUUGUUGUAUUAUAAUACAACUAUAUGAUGAAAAUAUAAUCAAAAAUAAAUUUCUAAUUAAUAUCUAAUUAUCUUCAUUCAAUAAUAAUUCAAGAUAUUUAAAAAUUAUUUUUAUAAAAGCCUUUUAGUUUAUUCUCUUAUCUUAAUAGUUAGUACGUUAAAGGUUUGUUAGUAAUUUUACCUUCUAGGUUAUGGAGAUGCUUUUACUCCUUUAGAAAGACCAUAAAUUGAUAAAAUCAAGUUAGAAGAGAUAAAUAAUUAGCAUGAUUGAUACUAGAAUUAAGUUGAAGAUAGGAUUGGGCUAAAAAAUCCCUACAAUAAAUUAGAUUGAUAUUUGGGGGUCGAAUGUUUAUAAGAUAGGAUUGAAAUCAAACCUCUAGCCACUUAAACGACCGCCUAGGGCAAAAAAAGAGGGCAUUUGAAGAUCAGUAAUUAGAAUUUGAGAGCUAGCUUUAAGUUAAUUCCAAAAGUGUAAGACUUAUUGUCAAAAGAUUUGCAAUGACUUUGAAAUUAUUGUUCAAAUUCAAGGUUUAUAUCGAUGAUUUGUAAUUUAUGCAAUACAAAUAGGGCUAGUGCUCUUGGCUAGUUUAUACAAUUGGUAUUACAUUUAUAGUUCAAAAUUUGAAAAUGCUUGGUUAAUUAGAUGUACUAAGUGUAUGUAAAAUUUUGUGAUAAUCUGAUAAUGCAAUUGAAAGAUAUCUAAGUUUUGGUGUAAGAAGGUAUUAGGAGUUAAAAAUUUGGGGUUGGAUAGAUUUUCUAUUAUAUCUAAAAAUCUACUAGUCGGAUCAAAGUAAAAUUUGGCAUAGUAUUAGAAGACUUAAAGAUCAAGCUACACACCAAUUUUGAGUUGAAGUUAAUUGUUGGAGAAGGAGAAAUCACUAAUAGAAUAUUUAUAUCAAGUUUUAAGUUGGCGGCUAAGUAAUAUUAGUGUGGUUUUUGGUCGUUUUCUCAUGAUCUAUAAGUUAGAUUGGAAUGAAUUCUUUUAAGCACAUAAAAGAUUUAUAGUGGCAUUUGUAUGCAAAAACUUUUUCUAAGUGGAUGGUUACAUUAAGAGCUACAACUUGCUAAAACUUAAUGAUUAGGAUUAGGACUUACAAAGAAAAAUCAAAAUUACCUAAUUAUGAAAUUAAUAAGGUAAUUGGAAUUUAUGUAUGAUUGAAAUUACUAAGAAGAGUAUUUUUGAACACUUUUUAUGGGAUUUAAGUACUUUUGAAUUAAAAUUCAAAUUACAUUCACUUUAUAAUGAUGAAUCAUAUUAGAAUUCUUGGAUACUUGUAAAAUACAACUUCACCUUCCAUAAUGAGAUGCCCAGUGCAUUUUCAAACAUAAUGACAUGUAAUACAUCACAAUUGUACAUCUCUAAAACUCAAUACCAAGAGUUGAUUCAAAUUAUGCAUGACAGUCCUACAUGCUAAUAUUAAGCAAUCAAUACAACUAUUCAAGAAUUUCUUAUUGCCCAAUAUUAGUAGCCUACACUCCAUAAAGUUAUUUAUAAAUAUAUCUCUUUCUACCAUAUUUAUCAAAUUAUCAAAUUUGGAUUUGUACAUGUGAAGCAAGCUCUUUUACGACCUAUAUCUCAACUUGUUUUAUUUAUGCAUUGCAGCCUAAACUUUCUUAGUCAUAUUAAAUCAUUCACUUGAUGGCACAAUAAAUACAUAAUUGUGGCAAAAAAAUAUGUAAUAAAAUAAUAUAAAGCUCGUACAUUAAAAUAAAAUAUAAUAUUUUUCAUCCCUAAAUUCUUCUACAAAAACAUAAUCACAAGAUAAAUAGUACAAAAGUAAAAAUUCAAUGAUUCUAAAUUUUUUAGAAUAAUUUUUUCAAAGUAUAUUACUUAUUACAUAAUAACAAUAUUUUAAAUCUCAAAUUAAUUUUUUAAUAGUUUAAUUGGAAGAUAGCUUCUUUAUGCCAAUUUUAUUUUUAAUAAUUUUCUAUCAAAAAAUAAGGUAUAAGUCACUAAACAAAAUUUCAAGCUCUAAUCUAUUAUUGUAACAAGUUAUAAGAUGGUCAAAAAUCUUUGUAAUAUAUUUCAUUUUCUUGCAUUAAUUUUCACAUUGAUUUUUAUUCAACAAAUAUUUUUUUAGUAAAACCACAAAUGAUUUAAUAUAGACUUUAGAGCCUUCCAAAUUACAUCCACAAAUACCUUCUAUAUAUGAUAUUUUGUUAAAUUUUUCAAUAUGAUUAUUGUAAGCUUUAUAAUACUUGAAGAUCUUAGGAUAAAAAAUCUAUGUAAACAAUUUAAAAUAAUAAAUAUUUAUUAUUUGAUUAAUUUAAAAAUAUAUUUUUUAAUGAACUAAUAAAAAAUAAUCCAAUUUCAAUCUAUUAUAAUUUGUAAUAAGUCACAAAAUAGAUUUAUUUUGUAUUUUAAGAGUAUUCAUCAAAUAAUCUUUUAUUUAUAUUUCUUUACAAAGCAUUCAAUUUUCUACUUUUUACAUUAAAUUUAUAAUUCUAAAAAAAUUAUUUGAUCACAAAUUUAUUUUUAUUUUAUUUAAGAUUAGUAUUUAAUUUAUUCAUAUAUUUUAAUAAAAUAAUUUUAAUUUAAAAUUUUAUAAUAAAUUUUUAAAUUUUUAAAUUAUUAUUUUAAAUCUUUAAUGGUGAUUAUUUAAAAUUUAAAAUUUUAUGACAUAAUUAAAACAUUCUUUUAAAAUCUUAAUCAAAAUAACUUACAACCAUCUUUGUUUCUUACCAUUUUUUUUAAUUCUAUUAAUUCAGACAUAAAAAAUAGGACUGAUUUCUCUAUUAAAGUCAAUUUUCUUUAGUCUCUUAGAAAUUAUCUUAAAUUUUAAUUUAAACAUGAAAAAUUUCAUAUAGCACAGUCAUUUAUUUAGACAUAAAUAUCUAAUUGAUAGACCUAGUAGUAUUAACUAUAUUAAAUCAUCACCAAGUUUUUAUAAUAUCCAACUUAUAAAAAAAAACAAACAAAACAAACAAAACAAACAAAUAAAUAAUCAGAAUAAAUUUUAAAAAAUUAUUAAUCUCUAUUCCAACUCAAAGCUCUUUUUUAAUAAUUUUUUUUGUAAUAACUUCUAUUAGUUCUUUUAUAUAGUACUACUAUUAAGUAAAAUAAACUAAUUAAUAUCUCUUUAAAAAACUUAUACUUUUGAACAAAUAAAUCAAAAAUUUCAAUGCCAUUGAUGUAUAUUUUAUGAAUAAAAUUUUAAAAAUUAAUUAUAAUAUAUAUAUGAUAAAACAUUCUAAUUCUAGAUUCUAAUUACAAGACAAAUAUAAUGCAUUAUUUUUAUUUUUAUUAAAGUAAACAAAUAUAGACCAUAUUAAAUAUACUAAGGAAACUUAGUGCAAGUAGUAUUCCUAGAUUAGAAGUCUAAGGUAAAAAGUUAACCAAUUAAUUGACUAGACAUGAUCUUGAAUUUCAAUCAUUCACAAGUUGGAAGCAAAAGACAACAAUUAUAAAUUGUUUGCAAAUUAAGAGGUUUUAAGCAUUAGGAGGAUGAAUUUUACAAAAUGACAAACUCUAAAAUCAUUUAUGAAUAAUAUUGUGAAUCAAAGUUAUUUGUGAACCAAUUUUAAGUGCAACUUAACUAUGAUUUUUUUUACAUUAUUAAGUAAUCUUUUAAGUCCUAAAUUUUCUAAUUAUUUUUAUUAGUUUGUUAUAUGAUAUCUAUUUUUACUUGUAUAAAGAUCUAAUAGUAGAUUCUGUUUGAGAUUAAAAAUAACUUUAUGGUUUUUUCCUAAUAUAUAUACAUAUAUUUAUUUAUAUUCUUUUAAAUUAAUAAUCAAAUUUAAUUUAAUAUUUUUUGAAUUUAGAGACAUUUCAUGUGGAUUAAUUUGAUAUUAAUGCGUGUUAAGGUAUUAUCUACUAAAAUGAUGUCUCUAUUACAAAUUCACAAUGGCAGUUGUCAAGAGACGAUGCCAAAUUUUACACUCACUAGUUUGUAUCUUUGUUCCUCUUUCUUGAUUUAUUUAGUCAUGUCGUUUCUAAAAUUUUAAAACCAAACUUUCUCUACUUUACAAAUUUUAAAAUAUAUAUAUAUAUAUUGAUUAUAUUUUCAUUUGUUUAGUAUUUUGAUAGUUUUAGACUUACUGGUUCUUAUAAUUAUUUUCUACUACCUUUUAUAAUAAAGAUAAUAAUCUGUGUGUAAUUUGAGUUGAUAUAUAUAUAUAUAUAUAUGAAAAUUGAGUAUAUAUGUGUAAUCAAACUUCAUUUCUUUUAAGAAACCAAAGGUUUCUAAUCCAACAAAAAUAUUAUUUUUAUUAUUUUUAAAAAGAUUUAAUAACCAAAGAAAAAAUAAAAAUUUCUUAUAUCAAUAAUAUGGAGCAUCACCUAGAAUUCUUUGUUGAAGUUUUGGUUAGUCUUUUGGCUUUACAAAACUUGUAAAAAGUUAGAUCAUGUUAUGUCUUAAGUCAAUCCACCUACAUGCUUUCAAAGCAACUUUUGUGGCUAAUCCCACUUCCAGGCAGAACUGCGAAGAAUAUCCUAACAAAGACUAUGUACACUGUCAGAACCGUUGGCCAUCCCGCUGACGACCACACACAAUCCGUUGAAGCUUUCCGACUUGAUUUCCUAGUGCCAGAAUGUCACAAUGUUGGCUAUGGCGAUCACUUGGAUCAGCUUGCAUUUGCUGUCUCCAUCUCAUUGCUUACCCCAUCUGGACUGUAUUGGGGUCUCCUUGCAAUCCAUCAAGGCUUGCGAAGGGAAACAUCACUCUAGCUAGCUAGCUUGCCAUGGAUCUUAAGAAUUCGCAAUCUUGCACCGAGUGGGUCCAGCGACAAAUUGGAGUCCAGUUAACUUGGGCAAUUCUGGUGACCGCGGUUGCAACAAUUGUGGUACUCUAUGUUGCGGUGGUGUAUCAGCGUCGAAAGAAGCUUCCUCCAGGUCCCUGGCCGUGGCCCAUCGUUGGAAACUUGCCAGUCGUGUUCGGGUCCCAAAAGCACAAAUUGGCCCACAAGUAUGGAGGCCUCAUGUAUCUUCAACUAAGUACGUCUGCAUUUGGUUGAGAGGGACGAAUUUUCUCACGCAUUGGCUAGAAUAUGCAUCCAUUUGUCACAUGUGAUUGGUUCAUGACUACUUCGAGGUUCUGUAAGGAUGACGCCUAUAUUGAGAGUGCAACCAGGCCAAAAGCCAUGUCUGGUAGUUUGGACUGCUGCGGCGGCCAAGGAGAUUUUCCGCAAGCACGAUGCUACUUUCGCAUCGCGACCGUCGAUGCUUAUCUUCUACAUUCUCACAGGUGGUAGAUACAGAAACUUGGGCUUCGCACCUUACGGACCUUUCUGGCGCCGUUUUCGACGAAUUGCCAACACGCAGUUGUUCUCCCCAGCUGUGCAUGCUUCACAUGAGCCGAUCAGAGAAAGGGAAAUUCACAGCAUGUUGCGAGUUCUCCUGGAGGACUCUUACAAGGGCAAGCCCAUCAAUAUCAAGAGCUGGCUCACCUCAGUGACAGCCAACAACAUGACCAUGAUGCUCACCAACAAAAGGAUCUUCGAAAUAGGCGCUGACAACGACGAGAAAAAGAGGGAUUUAGAGGACUUGAUGCGCCGCACCUUUGCCUUAAUGUGAAGCUUCAUCAUCAGCGACUAUGUUCCUUGGCAAGAACUUUCAAGUAGACGAGCACAGGAAGCGAGCGAAAGAAAUGGACCCCAACGACACGGAGAUGCCAGAUGACAUCGAUGUGUUGUUGAAUACGUCUCUCGAUGAUGGUGACUGGCUUGCUGACAGAGACAUAGCAUCCCUCGUUGUGGUAAGGGCCUCCCUGUCCCACUUGAUGUCGCAGAAAUCGAUCGAGCUGCUUAAUCAAAACCAAGAAGUCGGUCUGUUGGUUUUUGUCAGCGAUGACAACAAUGAGCAUUGGACAUACUUCAGGGCUUGAUGAAUGCGGGAACAGAUACGAGCGCCAACACUGUGGAAUGGGGGAUGGCGGAGCUAAUGGCGAAUCCCGAAAUCAGGAAGCAAGCACAAGCAGAGCUGGAUGCAGUCGUGCAGGACCGCCUCGUGAAAGAAUCAGACAUCCCCAACCUUCCUUUUCUGCAAGCCAUCGUGAAGGAGACAUACCGAAUGCAUCCUUCGGUCCCUCUCUCUCAACGCCAUGAAUCACACCAGCCGUGCGUGAUCUCGGGGUGGGAGUUCCCAGCCCUCACAGAACUGAUUUUGAACCUCUACGCCAUCCAUCGCGACCCUAGCGUGUACGAGAAUCCAGACAAGUUUGACCCCUCCAGGUUUACAAGGAAUCCAAAGGUGGAUCCUUUGGCGGGGAACGACUUUUACGAGCUCAUUCCGUUCGGCGCUGGGCGACGGAUGUGUGCGGGGCAUCACCUUGGCAACGUGACAGUGACGUCCAUGCUGGCGAAUCUGCUGCAAUGCUUCGAGUGAGAGCGGGGACGCGGUGUACAUGUCGGACUUCUACAGCUUCAUGACCUUCCGCCAGAAACCCUUGAUAUUGCUCGCCAAGCCCCGUCGCCCUGCCUUCCUGCUCCAGGCAAUGCCAUAUCUCGAGAGAGUAUUACGAGUGAUUUGAAUAUUGUUUUGCAAAAGAAGUAAUGCAAUGAAUCUUAUAUUAAGUAAGCAUGACACUCAUCUAAAUUUACAUUGAGCAUUGAACGGGGUGAAAUAGCGUAGCAGAAGAUGGAUCGACGCCUAAAAAAUGAUGGGAAGAACAAGGCCUCGUUUCCCUUCUCCUUUGUUUUCAGUUUUCACAAGUGAUGAAUACAAAUUGACCAUUUUUUAAAGUUUUGUGUAUGAACUAGGUAACAUUAUAUUUAAUUAUUAAAAACUUGGUGUUGAGUUAAAGAUGAAGAAAUUUAAGGUAACAUAAUAUUAAUGUUUAAGAUAGUUGUGAAUGGAGGAUAGCCUAUCAUUUAAUGUGGAAGUUAUGGAAACAUUUUUAAGAUAGAAAAAGAGGUUUGAAUGUUUGAAGUAAGCUUUACAAAGAUUUAAAAAUAGAAGAGAGUUGGAUAAAGAUGAAAUAAAUAGUGACUAUAAGAUUUAGAACAUAUUAAGAAUAAAUUUUAUUAAUUUAGAAGUUAUAAUAAAAUAUUUUUAGAUAUAUGUUGUUAUUUUUGUAUUAAUGUAUGUUUUUAAGGCAUGUUGAAAAAAAUAACACUGCAAUUAUUAGCUAAUAGUGAUAAUAAAAUUAAAAAAAAAAAAAAAAAAAAAAACUAAAACAAGAUGUAGAAUUUAUAUUAUAUACAUUUAUUUUCUAAUUUUUAAUCAAAGAAGAUGAAUUUGAAACUAUAAGAGUAUAUGAUGCAUUACAAAACAUGAGUAGAACGAUUCUUGAAAUCAAAUGAAGUAAAAAAAAUACACAAAUGAAGACUUUGAAUAUAGGAUUAUUUUAUUAAUCAUCAAAUAAGGUAAUUUAUAUAGCUAUUAUCAAAAUGACAUUAUCAUAUAACAUAAAUUGUUGCUUGACAAUGGAUCAAGCACCUAGUAGUGGAAAGUAAAUUGAAAAUGCAACAACAAGUUCCUACCAAGCCUAAUAGAAUCUUAAAUAAAUUCUAAAUAAUCUUUAAAAACCCUAAUCAAAUUUUAACUAAUCCAAAAAAAAUUUAAAAGAAAUUACAAGAGAAAUAUAAAGAAGUCAUAAAUUAAUUUUAAAAAAUAAUAAUAAAGAAAUCUUAAAGAAAUACAAAAUAAAAACCUUAAAAAAAUAAAAAUAAUCUUAAAAAAUACUAAAAUAAAAAUCUUUAAAGAAAUAACAAAGAAUCAUUAAAUAUUAAAAAAAGAAAUUAUAUAUAAAUCCUAAAUAAAUCUUAGAUAAAUCUUAAUCAAAUCUUAAUAUAGCCAUAAUUAAACCUUAAUUAAAUCCUAUUUAACUUAAAUCUUAGACCAAACCUUAAUAAAAUCCUAAUAAAAUAUUAUUGAAAUCCUAAUGAAAUCCUAAUCAAAUCAUAGAUCAAAUCUCAAUCAAAUUCUAAUCAAAUCCUAAAUUUUAAUUAAAUCCUAAUAAAAUCUUAAUGAAAUCUUAACCAAAUCUUAAACCAAAUCCUAAAACAUCUUAAAUAAAUCUUAAUCAAUUGCUAUAAUUAUUUUAAAACCUCAAUAAAUAUUAAUCAAAUUGUUGAUCUCAACUAAAGCUUUAUUCACAUCUCAAUUCAUAAGGAAUUAACAAGCAUAAAAAUUUUGAAAAAUAUUGAUACUUAAAUUCAAAAGAAAAAGUUCUUAAGUCGUUUGAAUGUUGGCAACCAUCCUUCUUCAAUUUAAAUAUUGAUAUUCCAAUAGCUAUUUCUCCUUGCUAAGUCAUUUAAUUUCCUUAGAAAUUGGCUAGUGAAUAGAAUUCUUAAUCCAAAUAGCUAUCACCAAUUUUAGCUUCAAUUAAAUAAUCACAUGUUGUAAGAUUGUCAAAAACAUGAACUAGAAAAAGAUACAUAAAUCUAAGAAAUCUGUGUAAAAAAAAAAAGUGACAAAAUAAAAAUAAAGUAGUAUGUAUAUUAAAAAGAAACUGGAAUGGCUAUCGCCAAAAGAUGAGGAAACUAGAGACUCUUGAAUCUAGAUUAGAAGCAAGAAAAGAAUUGACAAGAGUGAAGAAGGCUUCACUCUUGCCUCUAUAUAUACUAUCUAAGUAAGGGCUAUGUGGCGAUGUUCUACAGAAUCUCUAAUAUGUGUUCACUUUGCAAGAUACAUGCAUUAACUUAUAUGGCAUAUUUUCUAUGAGUGUGCCACAUAGUUAGCUUAUUCUUGAAAUUACCAAUAUGUGUGGCACAUGGCUAACUUAUUGACUAUGUAUCUAACCUAAGAAGUCAAUUAUAGACACUUAUAAAAUCAAAGUAGUAUCUAUAAAGCUUCUAAAAAGCUUCUAUAGAAGAUGUUAUAGAACGUAUAUAAGACAAGGAUUUAAGAUCAAAAAAUGGAAUUAGCUCAAUAUUAGAAUUAAGGAAGAAGAUCCUAAAUAAACCACAAGAAGUGAAUUGUCAAGUUUGAGGAUCCCCUUAGCCUCAACUCCUAUAUAUACUAGGUCCUAGGAAGCUUCUUGAGAAGUUUUUAUGAGGCUUGGAAACAAAGCAAGCCUAAGAUCCUUCUUCAACAACUUCCUAAAUCAUCUAAAGCCUCCUAGAACCUUCUAGGAUCUCUUAUGACCUUCUAGAAUUUUCUUAGAAUCUACUAGAACCUUUCGAAAUCUUCUAGGAUCUAUAAGAAUCUUUUUAGAACCUUUUAGAAUCUCAUAGAAACUUCUCAAAUCUUCUUCAGUUGUAUGUCCAUGAUAUCACUUCUUCUUCUAGCUUCGAGGUCACUGAGAAGCAAUAUUGGUACAAGUCAAUAUAUACGCAAGAAGUUGAAGAUUUGUUGAAUGGUGUCGACUAUAUACUUCAAUUUUUUUUUCCAAGGAAUAUAGUUCAUAGGCCCUUAAAGCCAUCAAUAGUGCCUCAAGCCUUCUGCUUGUAACCAAACAUGAACUUCGGUAUCUUUGUUAUGGAAUUAUCUUACAAAUACUCUUUCUUAGUAUCUUUCAUAGGCAAGUUCUACUUCAAAUAUAAUUACCAGCUACUUAUUACAAGAUAUCCUUCAACGUCUUUAUAUUUUAGGUGUCUUUUUAUCUCAAGGUUAUCUUCGUUAGCUAUUUGAUUGAGAUAGUAUGAUUAGCAAGGUGUCUAUCUGUGGACUAUUCAUAUCACAUAAAAUAAAUAAGACCAAAAGAAUAUAAAUAGGCUAUAGUCAUGAACUCCAACAAUUGAUUUAUACUAUUCUAAACAUUUGAAAAAAAUUUCUCUUCAAAGGUUGCAUCCUUCCCUUUUUCAUGACUCGAAGAACUAAGAAACUUCAUGGUAAAGCCAUCUUAUCAAGCUAUUGUUCCUCAUUUUGCCGCUUUUGGUCUGGAUGAAUGUCGUUGAUGGAACUUUUGAACCUUUAUUUGUCCAUUUAUAAGGUUGCCAACUAGUUCUCACGUAUAAUUGUUGAUAUCAUAUCCAUGCCAAUGGACCAGAUAUUCAAGGCUUUCAUAUCUUAUCCUUGAACCUAAUACCUUUUCUACUUCAAAUUCAACAUGAUCAUUGAUUUCAAUCAUAGGAAGUAGUGGUUGUCUUCGACCUGGUAUGUUCCAUUCUUUAUACUUUUUCAAAAGUAAAAUAUAAAAUGGAGGAUGUUCCUUCUCCAAUUCAUCUACUACUAGCUUAUAACGUUGUUGAGUCCUUUUUAGGUGAGUCUUCAUGGUUGCUUGAAGUUUGGCUAUUUUCAUAGCAAACUCUUCUAUUAUUCAAUUUGUCGACUUUGAAGGCCAUAUCAUAUCGAACUCUAGAUGAUGACCAUAGUUUGAGUAAAAUGAUAUUUGUUGCAUAGAUGCAUGGAUUGUGUUGUUAUAUGUGAACUCCAUCAAUGACAAGUAGGAAGUCCAAUCGUCUUGUUCAUAGUUGAUGGUGCAAUUCAAAUAUUACUUAAAAAUUUCAUUGACCUGCUUUGUUUGGCCAUCAGUUUAAGAAUCAAAGGAAGAAGAAAGGUUGAUGUCAACCUUAAGAAUCUUGAAGAAUGCCUUCCAAAACUAUGAUAUAAAUUGUGGCCCAUGAUUCGAUACAAUAUUGUUUGGUAACCAAUGGUAAUGAUAGACAUUAUUAAUAAAGAGUCUUAUCAUCUCUUCAAUAGUAAUUGACUUCUUGCAAGAUAUAAAAUAUAUCAUCUUGGUCAAUUGAUCAACAACUAUGAAGAUAGUAUUAAAUGAGUUUGAUGGUAGAAGAUCCAUAAUGAAAUCCAUAGACAUAGAUGAUCAUGGUUGUCUUGGAAUAAAAAAUGGUUUAAGAAGUCUAUAUGGCCAGUAUUGAGGAUACUUUGACCUUGAACAAGUAUCACAUGAUAGUACAAAUUCUUUAAUGUCUUUCAACAUUUUAGGCCACCAAAAGUCUUUAGACAGAAGUUCCAAGGUCUUGUUGAAUUUGAAAUGUCCAGCUACAAGGAAAUCAUGGCAUGUUUGAAAAAUGCGCUUGUGAGUUGGCUCUUCAAAAAUGAACAAACAUUCUUCAAAAAAUAAGAGGUUGUCUUCAUACUUAAAUUUAGAAGAUUCUUCAAGAAGGUUGUUGGCAAGAUGCUUGAUAUUAAGAAUAAGAGGGUCCAUCUUUGAGGCUUUACGAACUUGAUCAAGAACUAAUAAAUCCACAUGCAUUGAUAUAUUGGUUGCUUGAAGAUGAAAUUGCUCAGGCUUUAAUAACAUUGCCCAUUGUUGAUGAUAUGCUGCCUUGCCUUCUUUUGGUUCAAGGUAGAAACAUCUUAAUAAUGAAUCUAACAAACUUUCUUAAGUCCCAGGUCGGUAUGUGAUACAAAAGCCAAAUCAUAAUAAAGAUAUAUUUCAAUGUAUUUAAUGACAGUUCAAGACUCGGGUUGAUAUGAAGUAUUCAAGAUUCUUAUGAUUUAUAUAUAUAGUCACUUGAUGAGAGGUGCCUUCAAAAAAGCAGCACUAUUCUUAGAAAGAAUCUAUGAUAAUAAGUAAUUCUUUCUUGUGGAUUUUGUAGUUAAUUUUUGCCACUGAGAAUUUUUUAGAAUGGAAUGCAAUUAGAUGAAGUUUGUCAUCUUUUCCAUAUUAUGACAAGCCUGCUUCCAAUGCAAAGUUUGAAGCAUUGGUCUCUAUAAAGUAGGAUUUAUUAAAAUUUAGAUGUAUCAAAAUUAGAUCUAUUGUGAAAGUAUCUUUUAAGCUUUGAAAAUCUUUCUCUGCUUUGGGAAUCCAAUCCAACUUAUUCUUGCAUGUCAACCGCAAAAGUAGAGCAGUGAUCUUGGAGUAAUUCUUAACAAAAACCUUAUAAAAGUUUACAAAUCUAAGAAAGCAUUGGACAUCACCUAUAAUUUUUGGUUUUAUCCAAUUGAUGAUUACUUGUACCUUCUUUGGAUCCAUAAAAAGGCCUUUGUUGGAAAUAAUAUAUCCAAAAAAUUUGCCUUGAGGUGCAAGAAAUACAUACUUCUUUAGUUUUGCAUAUAGCCUAGCACUUCGUAGCUUUUUCAUUACAAGGCGGACAUAUUUUUUGUGGUCCUCCGGAUUCUUAGAAAAGAUUAGAAUAUCAUCCAAAUAGAUUAUAACAAAGUCAUUGAGAUGCUCACAAAUUAUGUCAUUCAUUAAAUGUUGGAAUAUGGCUGGUGCAUUGAUAAGUCCAAAAAGCAUGACAUUGUAUUCAAAAAUGUCCAUACAUGGUGCAAAAUGUUGUCUUCCAUUCAUCUCCCUCUUUUAUUUGUACCAAGUUAUACACACCUUGUAAAUCAAUCUUUGUAAAGAUCUUUGCUUAGCUAAAUUGAUCAAGAAGUCUAGAUAUCAAAAGCAAUGGUUAUCAAUUCUUUAUUGUGAUUUUAUUAAGACAGUGAUAAUUAACAUACAUCCGUAAAGACCUAUCUUUUUUCUUCACAAAUAAUAUCGGAGCAUCAGUUGGUGACUUGAAAUGUCAAAUAAAAUUCUUAGCCAAAUUUUCAUCAAUGUACUCCUUUAAAGUCGGAAAUUCAUUCUGGGAUAAAUUGUUGAUGGGUCUGAAUGGUGGUUGAGCACCUUCUUGAAGGUCAAUUAUACAAUCGUAAGGGCGAUGUUUUGGCACGAUGUCUACAUUCUUUUUUUCAAAUAUAUCUAUAAAAUCUUUAUAUGCUUUUAAAAUUAUUGUUGUAGCAACUACAUAUUUCAAUUAUAGAUUUGCAUAGACAGCAAAUAUAAUGCCCUAUUUGGUCGCCUUCACAAAUGCUCUAGCUCCAAUAAAUAAAUAUUGUUUAAGUUUUGGCUUGUUGGAUGUUAGAAGUUUCUUUUAUAGAUUUGAGGGUUCUAUGAUCUAUUAGAGAAAAUUCUAACUUUUGAGAUACCCAAUCUAUCUACAAAUUAUAUUUUUUAAACCAUAAGAGUCUUAAAAUGACUGAACUUGAUAAUGUUCUAAUGACGUUGAAUACUACUUGGUUGUUAUGGUUAUCAAAGGUUAUUUCUAAUAGAAUCAUUUUAUGAGUGAUGUUUGUAGAGGAUAAAGGUUGAUUAUUUAUUACUUCUAUAUAUACGACUUUGGAUUUUUUAACUAUACAAAUUUUAUAUGAUCUAAAAAAUUCUUUGUCAAUAAAACAUAUAGAGACUCUGGAGUCAAGUAAUGCAUGACACUCUAAUUUUAUGACUCCUAACUAUACAGAUAUAGUAAAAAAAUGUGAAUGGCUGGCAGAAAGUACAAGACUUUUUUUGAUUUGUGGUAGUAAAGAAUCCAACUACAUGGUCCCUACUGUGGCUGCAUGCCUAUGUUUUUCUACAUAGCUUUUGAUGAAGUGGCGGCACUCCUCAUUCAAUAUGUAUGCUGACAUUUCUCUGAACAAUUAUCAACCUUGUGGCCAAGUUUUUUAAAAUAUAAGUAUAGACCAAGUUCUCUUUGAUAUUUUUUUUCUUCCUCAGAAAGAUGUUUGAAGCAAACUACAUCAAUCUAUACAUCUUCUGCUUCCAAAUGCUCAUCAAAAUUGAAUGGUGAAGAAGUUGUAGAAUAAUUGAUAUAUACAUGUGGCAUAAUUGAAGAAUUUUUAUCUUGUCAUUAUUGAAAUAAAUGAUUAUCGUACUUCAUAGUUUGACUAAUAGCUUCAUUGAGUAUUUGAGGAUCUGGCAUAGACAAUAUAAGUACUUAAUAUUUUCUCUUAAUCCCCAAUUAAAUUAGCUCAUCAAUGCAUCUUCUCCAAAUGAAAUUUUGAGGGGGUGCUAUCAAACUUUUUCUAAAGACUAAUCCUUGGUUCUUUUGUUGUUAUUGUUGUCAGAUCAUUGCCUUAAAUGGAUGCAUCUUUCAUAUUUGUUGAAGCAGAUAUAGUCGUUUGAGAAUUUAAAACCUCUAUUAUCAUUUAAUGUGGUGGUUGAGGCACUUCGGCUCCUUGACCAUUAUGUAUGAAUAUAUAGUUCUUCAUUCUCUUUUAAUAAAAUCUCUAUUCUGAUCUUCAAUGCUUUAAGAAUAUUAAUAAUAGAAUCUAAUUUGAUCUCUUUGGAAUCUAUCAUAUUGACUUUUCUACCUUUUUCCAUAGAAAAUGAAAGAAAUACAUGCAUUCAAAAAAAAAAAAAAAAAAAAAAAAAAAAACUUGAUCAUUAUAUAAAGAAAAAAAAAUCAAAAGAAUAUUAAAAAAAAACAAUAUUAGUAUAGGGAGGGUAAUUUGCAACCUCUAGAAUGUUAUAGUACUUCCAAGAAGAAGGAUAAUGUAUUCUUUGUUAAGAAAGACCAAAAUUUUAAUAUUAUUUUAUGGCAACCUCGACAAACUAUUAGGAAUCGUAUAUAAGACAAGGAUUCAAGAUAGAAAAAUGAAAUUAGCUUGAUAUUAGAACAAUAAUUGGAUACAAAGCAAGAAGGUCUUGGCUAAACCAUAAUAAAUGAGUUUUUGAAAUUGAGGAUCCCCUCAACCUCGACUCCUAUAUAUACUAGGUCCUAGGAAGUUUCUUGAGAAGUUUUCAUGAGGCUUGGAAAUAAAGCCAACCUAAGUUCUUUCUUCAACAACUUCCUAAAUCAUGUAAAGCCUCCUAGAACCUUCCAAGAUUUCCUUUGACCUUCUUGAACUUUCUUAGAAUCUACUAGAACCUUCUAGAAUCUACAAGAACCUUCUUAGAAUCUUCUCGAACCUUCUUUAGUUGUAUGUUUAUAACAAAAGAUAUUAUGGAAUUAACCUAAUAUUACCUACUUUUGUAUUAACUUAUACUUAUAUAAAAUUACUUAUAUCAUAUAAGUAAUUAUUGGUUUACAUGUAUAUAUCAAUGACAAAGAUUAUAAAAAUCCUCACUAACCUUAAAUUUUAAUUAUGUGAGACCAUAGUCCACAAAAAUUCUCAUAACCAUCAAUUGAAUCAUUUGAUUAAUAUCAAAUUUUUCAAAUACAUUUAAAAAUAAAAAAUAACAAAUUGAAAACAUUUCAUUCAAAAGUAUGCUACGACAUUCACAAAAUCUUCAAAAAAAAAAAAAAAAAUCUUUUUUUUCUUUUUUUUAAAUUCAAAUCUACUAAAUACAUCUCUCACUUUAAAAAAAACCUUUCAAACCUCAAUAUGCCUUCAAAUCACAUAAAAUCAACUCUCUAAAAUCCUCUCAUAAGUUCCUUCUAAAAUCUCACUCUCUAAUCAAUCAAAGAACCUUGGAUCUUAUUUCAAUCUUGGUUCACAACUAAUCCACUCUAAGUGUUAAUUCUUAGUAUUUUGAGGUAAUUUUUGCUAAAUCCUAUUCUUAACUUCCUCCUAAAAAUAAAAAUAUUAAUUAUUUAUCUCAUUUAAAAAUAAUAACAUUCAAAUGAAAAUAGUAAUCAUACACUAGUGAUAUAUUUUUUCAAAUAAUAAAAAAAAUUCAAAAAAAUAUAUCAAAUAUAAAGACAACAAUGAAAAUAUUCUAAAAUUUGAUAAUUCUUCAUAGUUACUAAAUGAUUUAUGGCCAUAGCAAAAUAAAUAUCAAAUUGGUACUUGAUACUUUUUGAACAUGAGAGCCUAAUGGCUCCUUUCAUAAGAAAAUUUUAAUAAAAUUGUGAGCUAAAAUUGACCUCUACUAAUUGGAAGUUAUUAUAGUUCACAAGUAAAUUAACUUGUGAAUUUUAGUAGUUAAAGCUGUUAAUUAGAUUCUAAUCAAAUUAUUCUUUAUUCUUUUUAAAUAAUCCAAGUACAUGAUCAGUGAAUAAUAAUUCCCUGUGUGCAACAAUCUGCAAGUAAUUGACUCCUAAAUUCAACUUCCUAUCCAACCCUGUAAACUCAAUGCACAUAUUGUAAUCCACGAUUUACAUUAACUCCAUCGAUGAAUCUCAGCAAUGAGUCACCAAUUGCACAUCCAAAUUGCCUGAGCAUCACAGACAAUAAUAGAAUCUCUACAAAUCAUUGCAAUAUGAUCUACGGAUCUCCCAAAAGACGAACAACUCGAGUGGAUUGGAAGCAUCUACAGUUGCUUGCUGCUCAAAGCGACACAGCUGUCGAUCACACUUCUUGACUUCACGAUCUUUCUAUCUAAUAUUGUGUCGCUACUCAAGCUAGCACCGUCAACAUUUCUGCUUGCAUUGAUUUAAUCUACCAAUUGAAAUCAACAGGCAUUGAAGAAUGUCUUUCAGAUCUCGCCUCAAUUGCCGACUCAGCCUAUGUUCUAUCACCAGGGAACUACAACCAUCCUCAUUGGCUCGAGUUGGCACAGAACGCCACAAAAGCUACACCAGUUUUUUUUUGUAGAGCCAUCUUGAACAAUAAUCGUGAAUCUUGAACAUCAUCGCUGAAAGAUUCCAAUCGUAUUGUAUCAUGAACAAUGGCGAUACCCCUUGUUUUUUCUAGAUCACAAUCAAAGGAGAGAAACUACAAGACUGGAAGGGGGUGAGGGUUCUCAAUCUUCCCACUGCAACGCAUGAAAGCAUCAAGUUGUAAAGACCACUGCCAAUAACUAGCAGCCCUUGUCUAACCCUGUGGCGCUAAUCAGCAAGUAAAAAUGCGGAGCCAAGUCGUCCCAGCCAUACUCAAAAAAAAAAAAAAAAAAAAAAAAACAAGUGCAAGCAAACCUAGGUGCAGCCACAAAAUCAAGAACUAUAUGCAAGGAAGGAAAGUAAAAAAAAGGAUAACAACGCUAGAACAAACCCGGUCCGAUGCAUGAAGCACACACCGCAACAACAUGUGGCGCUCCUAACUCAGUACCAGAACCAAAAACAAGAGCAGAACUCCGUAGGAAUGGAGUCCAGAAUUCUCCUCGAAAAAAUCAAAAACAAAAAAAACAAAAAAAGGAAGAGAUCAGGACAUUCUAGAAUAGAACUGCGAGAGAGACAUGAGCACUGAAUCACAAAAGAAGAAAAAACAAAGCUACCCAGAUCCGACGCUCCCACUACAGAGCCGCCAAUGAGAGAAAACACCAUCGGCGGCCUACCGCUAGCAUCCCGUCGCAUGCAACAGCUACACCACCUUCGGAGCUUCUUCCAAACAUACAAACCAGAAAAAAUAGAAGUGCUGCACCACAUCACUCUAAAAAAAUAAAAUAAAAACACAGCAGAAUCCAACCUUUGAGGGUCAACCAAUGCCAAAAAGUAAGGUUUUUCUAGUCAUGCAGAACUUGCUACUUCUCCCACCAAUCGCAACUUCCACAAGAAAUCUCGAGUACUUCCUAUGCAAGCGCAGCCACUGCCACUUGAACACGAAACAAAAAGGAAGCAAGAUCCAUUUCUCGCUGCCCUCGUCGGAGACCAGUCCAGUCGCACACACCAAAAAGAUCACACACCUGGAGAUGCUUCUCCCCGUCAGAGCAUCCACAACGUUGCUAAAAUAAAAUAAAAAAUAAAAAAAAAAAUAAAAAAAAAAAAAACAAAACAAAACAAACAAGAGUAAGAGAGAGUGAGGGAUCAGGGCGGUCGGACCCCUAUCGACCCCUAUCAAGGCUGCUGCCGUUGAAGAAUAGCCUCUUGUCCCACCUUGAUCGCCUUUCUUUAAUUAUUUAUAUAUAUAUAUAUAUAUAUAUAUAUAUAUAAAUAAAUAUAUAUAUAUAAAUAAAUAUAUAUAUAUAUAUAUGUCUUCUCUUUUCUUCGUCUCUUCUUUUUGAUUCUCCUUCUCUUCUAUUAUUAUUAUUAUUUUUUCUAUUAUAAUAAUAAUAAUAAUAAUAAUAAUCAUAUAUGAAGAAUACAUUUGCUAUUAUAUAAAACAUAAAGAUAUUUUUGAUAUUUCAAGAUACUCAAGAGGUAUAUUUGAUAUUUUUCCUUCUUACAACAUCAAAAUAUUGGAAGUCAUCAAUAAAGAUGUCAAGUUUCUCAAAACUUUUGAACAAUGUCUAUUUACAUUAUUUAAAAUUAUACAAGAAGUUGCUUCUAUAUAAGAGCUAUGAAUGUGUUUGAGUGUAGAAUUUGAUUAUUUUAGAAAGAACCACAAGCUUGAUUGCCAAGCAAUGUUGAUGUGCAAGUGUUGAGCGACAAAUACAUACACUUAUUAUAAAAACCACCAUUCAAUUAAUUAUUUAUAAAAAUUGAUCACUAAACAAGGAUCACUUUGCGGUAGCUGACAUCAAUUCUUGAUAAAGUAGUUAAGUAUUUCAACAUCAUACUUUAGGCAAUCUAAAUGGCAAUACUUUUUUUUUUAUAUAGAUUUGUAAGCCAAAAGGUGCUCUAAAAACAAUGAUCAUAUUGCAUAUCUUGUUUAACUACUUCUUUAUCACUAAAAACAAUGGCAUGUAAAUUUGUGCCUAUAUAUAAAUCCAAAGAAGCAUCCUACUUAAAUCAAUCACCAAUAUAUGAUAUUUUUAGGUAUUAUGUUGUAAUAAAUUCUAUGAUUGCAUUCUUAAUGGAAUAAAAUCCAUUGACACUGCUUAUAUUAAUCUUUGUAAUAAAAUACAAAGUAUAAAUUUUAUAAAAAAAAAAAAAAAAAAGAUAUUCAAUAAGAGGAUUUUGAAAUUAUUUUAAAAAUAUUUUCUCAGAUUCUAAAAUAUUUUAUAAGAUUUUAAGAAUAUUCUAAUAAAAGAUUAAAAAAUAUUUAAAAAAUAUUUUAAUAGAAGAUUCUAUAAAGAUUUAUAGAAUAUUUUAAUAGAAAAUUAAAUAAAGAUUCUUAUAAUAUUCUAAAAGGUUCUAAAAGAUUCUUAUAAUAUUCUAGGAGAUUUUAGAAAGUUCUUAGAGGAUCAAGAAAGAUGUCUAAAAAGCUUCUUAGAGUUGCUUCAUUUUCAAGCAAUAUGAAAACUUCUUAAGAAGUUUUCUAAGAUUUCUUCAUCUUCAAGUAACAUAAAACUUCUCAAAAAGCUUUCUAAGGUUGCUUCAUCUUCAAGUAAUAUAAAAACUUCUUCAAAAGCUUCUUAAUACCUAGUAUAUAUUGGAGCCAAGAUAGAGGAGAUCUUCAAUUUUAACAACACAUUUAUUAGAGCUUUAGUUCACUUUUUUUAGAGUUGAUGUUAUAUUCAUUAGAUUUAAUUAAGUUCUUGUUAGUUUUUUUUGUUGACACUCUUUUUUCCAACUUCUUAUUUGGUCCCAUAUAUAAUGUAUCCAUGAUAGUUUGUCAAGACUUCCUUCUUAUAAUUAUUGGAGCUUGAUUUUUUUUAUAAAGAGUAGAUUAUUUCUCUUUUUGAAGACAUCUAAGUACUUUAGAGGCUGCAAAAUAUCCUCCUUUAAGCAAGUAUUAUUUAAUUUUUUGAAAUGGCUGGAGGUGAAGAUAUUAAUAUGAUUGAAUCUCUUGAAUCCAAGUUAGAUUUUAUUAUAAACAUGUUGAACGCUUCAUCUUAAAGAACUAUUGAAAUUGAGGAUUUUUUUAUAAGAUUUCAUGGUGAUGUAAGCCUUGAGCAAUUUAGCUUGUGGUGCAACUACUUUCUUAAGCUUCUACAUCCAAAGAAGUAGUUGCAUAUGUACCUUGAUAAGAAAAUUUACCUAUUCAACAACAUAAAGAGCCUUGUAUUAGUCUUUUAAAAAUAUUUAAUAGAAUAUUCUUCAAUUUCAAGGGUUUGUUAACCAAAUUUGAUUGGUAACUUUUCUACAACCUAAGUGUUAUUUAACAAAAGAGUUGCAAGUUGAUUUAUUUGAAACCUUGUUGACAAGUCAAGCCUUAUGUAGGUUUGUUUUUUUAUUUGAAAAGAGAUCUCCAAUCUUGAUCAACUUUGAAGCUUUUUUAGAAGCAUUUAUGGAAGCAUAUAGAAAACAUGAUAAGAUCCAAUGGACGACAACAAAGAUUUGCUCAUUAUGUCAAAAAUCAUAUUCUAAAUCAGUUUAUGUAUCUAAUUAUAGUCAAUUGGCUUAAAACAUCAAUUAGGAUGAAUAAGCUCUUAUGAGCCAAUUUUAUUGAAAAGUAAGAGAUGAUGUGAAAGAUCUAUUAUUAUCAUUAAUUGAUUUUCAAACACUCAACAAAGCUAUCAACCAGGUUGUGCAGUGUAAUAAUUAAUUAUUCUAAUACUAUCAAUAUCAAUACUUGUGAACUUUGAUAAAUCAAUAUCGUAGAAAUUUUUAUUCUAUUGUUUCAAUAAAUAUAUUAUUUUUAUAGUGCAAAAUUGAUGAUAUGUAAAUUGAUGCAAUAUAGUUCAAACUUCUUACAACAAAGAAUUAGAAGUAUUGAUUUGAACAAAGCUUAUAUUUUUUUUGUGAUGAAAAAGACCACAAAAUUAGAAAUUUUCUGAAGUAAUAAUAUACAACAAGGAAUAAGAGUGCAACCAUUUAAAAAAUAAACAAGCCGAGCCAAAAGAAGGACCAUGUGCCUAAACAUUCUAAUACCUCAAAUUCAUCAAGGUCCUUCUUUCUGUCAAGGACAAAAACAUGAUAAAGACAAAAAUUAAGUGAGACUUCUCUCAUAGAAAGAUGACAAAAUAAAAAUAACUUCAUAUAUAUAUAUAUAUAUAUAUAUAUAUAUAUAUAUAUAUAUAUAUAUAUUAAGAAAGAAACUGGAAUGGCUAUUGCCAAAAGCCAAGAAAACUAGAGACCCUUGAAACUAGAUUGGAAGCAAGAAAGGAAUUGACAAGAGUGAAAUAGGCUUCACUCAUGUCUCUAUAUAUACUAUCAAACUAGGGGCUAUGUGGUGACAUUCUAUAGGACCUCCAAUAUGUAUUGAGUUUGUAGUACACAUGUCUUGAUUUACAAGGCAAGUUUCUCUACGUAUAGGCCACAUAGUUAGCUUGGUCUUCAAACUAACAACAUGUGUGGCACAUGGCCAACUUGUUGACCAUGUUUCUAAUCCCAAAAAGUCAAUCAAAGACACCUAUAAAGUCAAAAGAGCGUCUAUGAAGCUUUUAGAAAGCUUUCAUACCAAAUACUAUAGAAUUAACUUACUUUUACGUACUUUUAAUUACUUCUACCUAUUUAUACAUGUAAUUAUUGGCUUACAUACAUAUGUUCGUGAUAUUACUCCCCCUUCUAGGAACGAGUUCUAUGAGGAGCGAUAAUCAUAUGUUGAAGAAAUCUAUAAUACGACGAAUUGUAUUCGCUACAUACUUUGAUCUUUGUUCUUCGAAGAUGAUUGAUAGGGCCUCUCAACCAUCGGUAGUGUCCCAUACCAGGGUGGGAAGACCACCCAGUUAUUUGAUCAUUGUUAAGGCCUUCAUAACUUCCUUCAAAUAAAACAUUUGGAACACCAUCAAGAGUUGUUCCUACCUCAAGUAAAAUCACCAAAUAUUAGGAGUCCCUUCCAAAAUCGUGAUACCAAACGCUUUGUAUCUUGCCAUCUAUUCAAGGAAGAACAUGUCGUUCUUGAAGAUCUUCAUCUUGAUUGUAUCGUCUUGAAGGUUGUGACAAUCGUAAUAUCUCGUCCGAUAGAUCAGCAAACGAAGGUUCUUAAGUUGAAUCCGCUGAUUGUUAGUUCUCCAUUUUUUGAGUGUCACAACUACAAAGAAGCUACAAACAAGGAUUAAAAGUAGAAUGUUAUCUUGCCUAAUUCUUGUUUUUUUUAUAAGGAAGGUAUUCAUCUUGAUUUUGAUGGAUGUCGUCAAUGAAAAGCCUCCACUAGUUUUGCUACAUUUGCAAGAUUCUUCACUGGCUCCCAUGUGCAUUCACUACUAUCAUAUCCAUGCCAAUGGACAAGAUAUUCUAAUUUAUUUUGGCAUCCCCUUGAAUCUAAGACUUCUUCCACUUCAAACUCUUCAUUAUUGUCCACUUCUAUAGGAGGAGGUGGAGCUUGUCUUCUUCUUAGUAUAUCCACUAUCUUGUAUGCUUCAAGAAGAGACAUGUGGAAUACUGGAUGGAUUUUCAUUGACUCCGAUAGAUAUAAACGAUAUGCAACUAGAUUGAUUUGUGCAGAAAUAGAAAAUGGUCCAAGCCUUCGAUAGUCCAAUUUGUCACAAAGAUGAGUGGUCUUGAUAUUGUGACGAAGUAACCAUACCUUAUCACCUAUGUGGAAUGGUAGUUGUUCAUUUCGAUAGACAUCCGUAUUGACCUUUUGUUGUUCUUGAGCUUCUUUUAAUUGAGCCUUCAUUAUUGCAUGUAGCUCUGACGAAUGAAUUAUUAAAACUUUUGCAACAGGAUUAUCAACUUUUAAAAAGUCAAAAGUAUCAAGUCGUGGAUAAUAACCAUAAUUAGUAAAGAAAGAUGUUUGUUUUGUAGAAGAAUGUACCAUGUUAUUCUAAGCAAACUCUGCCAAUAGCAAAAGAGUUGUCCAAUCAUCUUGUUGGUAGUUAAUGGUACAUCUUAAAUACUGCUCCAAAACUUGAUUAACAUGCUUCGUUUGUCCAUCAGUUUGAGGAUGGAAUAUCGAAGAUAGUUUUAUAUCCACUUUUAGAAUCUUGAAAAGAGUUUGCCAAAAUCUUGAUACAAAUUGAGUUCCCCUAUCUAAUAUAAUAUCCUUCCAUAAUCCAUGAUAGCGAUAAAUAUGGUCAAGAAAGAGCUUAGAUGUUUCUUCACAUGUGAUAGAUUUUGUACAUGGUACAAAAUGUGCCAUCUUCGUAAAACGAUCUACUAUCACAAAUAUAGAGUCAUAAGAACUUGAGAUUCGAAGAUCCGUGAUGAAAUCCAUAGAAAUAGAAGACCAUGGUUGUUCUGGAAUGGAUAAUGGCUGAAGAAGUCCAUAAGGUCGAUGACGAGGAGUUUUUGAUCUUGAGCAAAUAUCACAAGAUUGUACAAAAUCUUUGACCGCUUUCCACAUUUGUGGCCAUCAAAAGUCCCUGGAUAUUAGUUCCAAAGUUUUAUUGUAUCCAAAAUAUCAUGCUGCUGAAAAGUCAUGAUGAGCUUAAAGAACACGUAAUCAAGCUUCACAUUCUGGAACAUAUGGGCGUCCCUCAAAAUAUAGUAGAUUCUUCUUGAAUUCAAACUUGGAAGUAUCAUGAGACUUUGAAGGAUUUUUCUUCAUAUCACGAAUAAGAAGAUCAGAAGACAUACUUGACUGAACUUACUUAAUGAAAGUUGAAUCAACAGUUAGUAUUGAUUUCAUUACUCAAUUGCAAGAAGUUCUUUGUUGUAGAUUUCGUAGCUGAUCUCGGCUACUAAAAAUUUUUUGGAAUGAAAAGCUAUUGGAUGAAGUUUAUAAUUUUUUCCCAUUUGUGACAAUACAACAUGUAAAGCAAAGUCUGAUGCGUCUGUUUUCAUAAAAAUGGCUUAGAAAAAUCGACGCAAUACAAGAUUGGUGUAGAAACAAAGGCUAUCUUCAAAACUUCAAAUGCUACUUCUACUUCUUGAUUCCAUUGAAGUUUGUCUUUGCAAGUCAAACAUAUAAGUGGAGCUGCAACUUGAGAGAAGUCUUUGAUGAAGAUCCGAUAGUAGUUGGUAAAUCCCAAAAAGCAUUGGACAUCUCUUACUGUUUUUGGAAUCUUCCAAUCCAUAAUAGUUUGAACUUUCUUAGGAUCCAUCAUAAGUCCAUCAUUUGAAAUGAUGUAUCCUAAGAAAUCGACUUGAGUAGUGUGAAAUACACACUUUUCUAUCUUGGCAUAGAGUCCUGCAUCUCUUAGUUUUUGUAAUAUUUGGCGAACAUGAAGUUCAUGUUCUUUCGAGUUCUUAGAAUAGAUUAAGAUGUCGUCUAUAUAAUAGACAACAAAAUCAUCUAAAAACUCCCAAAAGACAUCGUUCAUUAGAUGUUGGAAUGCUGCUGGUGCAUUUGUAAGUCCAAAAGGCAUGAUAUUGUAUUCAAAAUGUCCAUAUCUUAUUUGAAACGCAGUCUUCCAUUCAUCUCCUUCUUUGAUGCAUACCAAAUUAUAUGCUCUCCAUAGAUCUAUUUUUAUAUAGAUCUUAGCUUGAUUCAACUGAUGAUGAAGUUCAGAUAUCAAAAUUAGCAAGUACCUGUUUUUUAUAGUGAUUUUAUUGAGUCCUCAAUAAUCAACACACAUCCGCAAUGAUCCAUCCUUUUUCUUCACAAAUAAAAUUGGAGCUCUUGCUGGAGAUUUGGACUAGCAUAUGAAGUUUUUGGCCAAAUUCUCUUCAAUAUACUCCUUGAGUUCAGCUAACUCAUUUUGAGAUAAAUUAUAGAUUGAUCCAAAUGGCGGUUGUGCUCCUUCUUGAAGGUCAAUUGAGUAGUCAUAGGAAUGAUGUUUUGGAAGAGUAUCUACACUCUUUUUUUCAAAUACAUCUUGAAAAUCUUGAUAUUGGCUUGGAAUGUCACUUGAAGUCUUUCCACCAAUAGAAACAAGUGUGGCAUAAAUCAUACAAGGUGAUCUUUCUUUUGCAGCAUGUAAGAAAGCACUUGCAUCUACAAAUAUAGAUUUAAUUAUACUAGAAUUAUGACUUUUUACUUGAUUAACUACACUCUUAGUUAUACUUUCAGAAAAGUCAAGACUACGAGAAGUCUAAUCUAUUUUAGGGUUAUAUUUUUCUAGUCAUGAUAAAUCUAAAAUGUCUAGAUUAGAAAGAGAUCUAAUGAUAUUAAAUAUUAUAAAGCUACUAUGACCAUUAGUUGCUAUUUCUAUAGGAAGGAUUUCAUGAGUAACAUCUCCUAAAGACAACGGACGACCAUUUAUGAAUUCUAUAUGAAUAGGUUUAGUUUUCUUUAUUAAAAAUAUGCUAUGUCUUUUAGCAAAUUUUUCAUCUAAGAAAUAUGUUAAGGCUCUUGAAUCUAGCAAGGUAGAUGCUUUGAGAUGUUUAGGUCCUAGAAUAACAUUUAUCGCAAUACAUGGAGAGGGUUCUAAAGAGAGGAUAGGACCUUCACUAGACGUUGUACAAGAUUCCAGCCAGACGGUCCUUAUUGUAGGUGGACAAAUUUUUUUUCUAACAUGCUAUCUUCUUUGAUCACCGUACUCUUCAUUUUAUGGUUGCGUCGCUUUUUUGGACAAUGUUGAGCAUUGUGCUUAGGUUCUUCAUAAUAUAAGCACAAUCCUUCUUGACGACAACGAGUCUUUUCUUGCUCAGUAAGAGGUUUGAAACAUACUACAUCAAUUUGCAUAUCCUCUACUUCCAAAUGUAUGUAUUGAAGAGGUGUUGGUGUUGCCAUUGAAUUAUAAUAACGUUGAGAUCCACUUGUACGGUUCUCAGAUCAAAAUUUAAAAAGAUGAUUGUCGCACUUCACAGCAAAGUCAAUUACUUAACUCAAUGUUUGAGGAUCAAGUAAGUUGACCAUUAAUUUUUUUACCUCACAUUGUAAUCCAUAGAAAAAUUGGAUAAUAAGUGCAGCAUCAUCUCACUUGAUAUUAGUUACAAGUUGUCAAAAUUGUGAAGCAUAUAACAUUACUAAUCAAUUAUCUUGUCAUAAAAUAUGGAUCUUAUUGGUUGCAAUACGAAUUACAUCAUAUUUUCCUUACAUGGAUUGAAACUCCACCAAAAAAGUCUCUAGAUUAUCCAAUAUUAGAUCUCGUCAUUCAAGAAAAGAUGAAAACCAUGAUAGUGCUGAACUUGAAAGAAGUGUACCAAUGAAUCUAACUUGCGAUUCUGGAGUUGGAUAGCUUUGGGGUUGAAGUUCAAUUAUAAGUUGCACUUGAUUGAUAAAUCCUCGAAACUUAGAUCUGGUGCCAUCAAACUUCUCGGGUAGGGCAAUUCUUGGUUCUCUAACAUUGGAAGGCGUUCCACCAUAAGAGAAGGGACAUGAUUUGGUGCAGAUGUUGAAGCAGCUCUAAUCAUUUCUAUAUCUUCACUUCCUGCCAAUCUUGUUACUUCUUGUGGUGGUAAAUUGAGUUGAUGCAUGAUAAGCAUUAACUCCCUCAAUUGUUCUUGUAUUUGUGCCAUUGCACUCUUCAUUUCAGCAAGUUCUGCCAUAAUAACACUUAGAAAAGAGAAGAUGUCUAAUAUUGCUCAAGACAAAUAGAAGAGAGGACUUGAGAACAAAGAAAAUAUUAAGGACAAUAUCAGUGUAGAAGAAGGUAAUCCGCAACUUCUAAUAUGCUUGUGUCUUAUCAAAAAAAAGGGAUAAUCCAUUCUUAAUCAAGAUUAGACAAAAAUUUGAUAUUAUAGGUAUACUCUUGUCAAUCUAUCAAGGACAAGAACAUGAUAAACAUAAAUAAACAAGUGAGACUUCUCUCAUAGAAAGAUGAAAAAAUAGAAAUAACUUGAUAUAUAUAUAUAUAUAUAUAUAUAUAUAUAUAUAUAUUAAGAAAGAAACUGGAAUGGCUAUUGCCAAAAGCCAAGAAAACUAGAGACCCUUGAAACUAGAUAAGAAGCAAGAAAGGAAUUGUUAAGAAUGAAGAAGGCUUCAUUCUUGUCUCUACAUAUACUAUCUAACUAGAGACUACAUGGCGACGUUCUAUAAGACCUCAAAUAUGUGUUGACUUUGUAGGAUACAUGCUUUGACUUACAAGGUAAGUUUUUUUAUGUAUGGGCCACAUAGUUAGCUUGGUCUUCAAGCUAACAACAUGUGUGGCACAUGCCCAACUUAUUGACCACGUUUCUAAUCCCAAAAAGUCAAUUAAAGACACCUAUAAAGUCAAAGUAGCAUCUAUGAAGCUUCUAGGAAGCUUUCAUAUCAAAUACUAUAGAAUUAAUUUACUUUUACAUACUUUUACUUACUUCUACCUAUUUAUAUAUGUAAUUAUUAGCUUACAUGCAUAUGUCCGUAAUACUUUCUCUAUUCAACUUGCUUAUUAUUUUACUAUACCUUCAUUUCUUUGCCUAUAAAAACUUCAAACAAUUACUUUAUUAGAUUCAAAAACAUUUGCUUGUUCUUUAAAUAAAGAAUUUUUUAAAUUUUAUAAAAUUCCUUUAAUACAAAAGUCCAAACUUGUACAUAUAUAAAUAAUUUAUGAUCGACAUUUAUCUUCAAGCAAUAUUAUUUAUGAAACCAUACCUCCAUAAAUAUCAUUUGAAGCCCAUAGUAGUGAAAUAAUAUUCAAUAUUAUUACAACUUCAUUUAAUCCUAUCAUUCUACGACUUUCAUAGUUAAAAAGUUAUAAUUCAUCCAAAAAAAAGAGGUUUGAUAAGAUUUAAUGUUCUAUAGAAUCUCUUUAGGCAAAACCUAUUAAAAAGUCAUCAAUAACAAGGCCUUUAUUUUUUGAAGUAAAGACUUUUAUAAAGAUGGCUAAAAAUAUAUUUAUUAUUUAUUAUUUAUGCAAAUUCAACUUAUAAAGAAGUAAGCUUGAUAGUAGCUAUCCUAGAGCAAUAUAAGGAAUUUUAAGAUAUCUUUGAAAAGGAGAAUGUUGACAUAUUGCUAGAGCAUUGAUUAUAUAAUUGUGCCAUUCAUCUUUAAGAAAAGAUUCAACUACCAUUUGGCCCAAUUUAUAACAUAUUAUAGAACGAGUCUUUGACAUUAAAGAAUUACAUUGACUAAAAUCUUGCAAAGAACUUUAUUCAACAUUCCAAAUUCUCAGUAAGUGCACAAUUAUUUUUUGCAAAAAAAGAUAGAUCUUUAUAAAUGUGUAUUGAUUAUUGUAUCUUCAACAAAAUAAUAGUGAAGAAUUAUUAUCCAUUACGAUUGAUAUUAGAGCUAUUGAAGCAACUUGAUUAGACUAAGAUCUAUACCAAAAUAGAUCUCUAUAUAGCAUAUAAUUUAGUACAAAUUAAAGAAUGAGAUGAAUCAAAGACAACAUUUUCGAUAAUAUAUGUACAUUUUGGAUAUAAUGUCAUGCCUUUCUGAUUGAUAAAUGUUCGAGCUAUAUUCUAGCAUUUGAUUUAUGAUAUUUUUUUAGAAUUUUUGGACAAGUUUGUUAUCUGUUAUCUUGAUCAUAUCUUAAUCUACUCUAAGACUCUUAAAGAAUAUAAAGAAUAUAUGAAGUUAAUCUUAUAAAAACUAUGCAAUAUAAGAUUAUAUGCCAAAUUAAAAAAUAUAUAUAUAUUCCAUGAGCCAAAAGUAGAAUUUUUUGGAUAUAUUAUAUCCAAUAAAGACUUAUUGAUGGACUUGAAGAAAAUUCAAGCUGUAACAAAGUGAACAAUUCCAAAGACAAUAUGGAAUAUACAAUGUCUCUUUUUAUUUGCUAAUUUCUAUAGAAUAUUUAUCAAAAAUUAUUCCUAAGUUAUUGCUUCUUUUACUCAACUAACAUCAAAAGACAAAUUAGAAUAGAGAUCUCAAGUACAAAGGACUUUUCAAGAUUUGAAGGUAGUUUUUACUACAACUCUAAUUUUAAUGCAUCUAAAUUUUACAAAGGUCUUUUAUUUUGAGACUAAUGCUUCUAACUUUGUAUUAAGAGCUAUACAAUCAUAAAUGAGAAAAGAUUGAAAGUUCUAUCCAAUUUCAUUCUAUUUUAGAAUUUUUUUAGCUAUAAAGAUCAAUUAUGGGAUUUUUAACAAAAGGGCUUCAAUAGUUCCAUAAUUAUACAAUUAUGCAAUAAUACAAUUGUAAAGUAUUUCUAAGAAUGGCAUCAUUUGUUGAAAGGUACUAUACAUCCUAUGAUUGUAUGUAUAGAUUACAAAAUUUUAGAGUGUUUUAUGUCAGUUCGAAUUUUGAAUUACCGCCAAACUUAUUAGUAUAUGUGAUUAUAUUGUUUUAAUUUUUGCGAUUAUAUACUAGCCAAAAAAACAGCAAUGACUAUCAAACACUUUAUCAAAGCGAUCAUUUCUAGCUCAAAAUAUUGGAAAAGUAGUAUUUGAUUAGCAAUAUAUCACUUUUUUGAAGCUACAAUUAUUUAAUCUUUGUAUUACUUUUAUAGUUACAUUUGUUAAUUCAAGUUUUCUUGAACAAAUUUGAACAACAAUAGCUAAGAAUUCAUUAGUUUAUAAUAUCAAGCAAGGCCCUAAUAACAAUAAGUUCAAAUUCAUCAAAGAUCAUUUAUAUUUUGAAGAUUUCUUGUAUAUUUUAGAUGGACCGAUGUGACUUUGUGUUCUUCAAUCUUGUCAUGAUUUUCCAACUGUAGGGGAUUUUGGAUUUAAUAAAACAUUGGAGCUCAUUUCUUAAGAUUUUUAAUAGUCUCAAAUAUAGAAGACCAUGAAGGACUUUAUUCAAAAUUCAGGUUUGUCAAAUGACAUUUGUUCAAAAUUCAAGAAUUCUUAACAUUGUCCUUAUGUAUUUUUACAACCACUAUCAAUUCCAAAGUGACUGUGGUCUUCAAUAUCAAUGGAUUUUAUCACUGAUCUAUUACCAUAAGCUACAUUUGAUGCUAUCUACAUACUUAUAGAUUAACUUAAAAAAAUAGCACACAUUAUCUCAUACAGAAAGGUAAUUUUUGGAUAAAAAAUGGCAAGGCUUUUUCUUGAUAAUAUAUAUCAAUAUCAUAGCCUACUUGAUGACAUCAUUUUUUUUAAUUAAAGACCUCAAUUUAUAUCAAAGUUUUGGAUAUCUUUUUUCAGCAUAUUGAAGGUGGAUAUCAAACUUUUUUCUACCUUCCACCUUCAAACAAAUGGUCAAAUUGAACAAAUCAAUUAAGUUUUAGAACAGUAUUUGUGAUGUAUUAUUAACUAUUAAUAAGAUGAUUGGACCUUGUAUUUAGAAUAAAUAGAGUUUGCUUGUGAUAAUAUUCUUCAUGCUUUGAUUGAACAAAUACCAUUUUAUGCCAAUUAUGAUUAUCAUCCAAAGCUUGAUUUAUUAGGUACAUUAAAAGAAAAAAACUCAGCAAAAAAUCUUACAAAAUAAUUGUAACAACUCUAGACAAUUUUGAAGCUCCAUUUAUAAGCACCUCAAGAUUCUUACAGAGCAUAUUCAAACAAAUUUAGAAAAAAAAUCUAGUCAUUCAUAUCUCUCUCUUAGAAGCUUAUACAAAAUCAACUAUUUUGAAAAGAAUACAACUAUCGUCGCCAUGCAUUGAAAUAAAUCAUUAUUGGCAUGGCUACAACAUCAAUGAGUGUACGAAGGAACUAACAAAAAAUCCAAUUAAUUCGCCACAAAAGAUACUUGAGUUUCAUUGAUACUAUCUUCAAAAACCUAAGUCUAUUUUAAAAUGAUUUUUUUAUAAAGCUAUUAUUAGGAUAUUAUUUAUAACAAAAAAAGAAAAUGUGAAACUGAUGGUUUUUGUGGAAUUCAAAGUUAGAAGGAGAGGUGAUAUUACAAACAUCUAAUAAUAAUAUUUUAAGAAUAUUCUUAAAAUAUUUUAUCAAAUUCUAAAAGAUUCCUAAAUAUUUUAAAAAAAAUUUAAUAAAAGAUCAUAAAAAAUAUUCUUAAAAUAUUCUAAAAUGUUAUAAAAGAUUUAUAAAAUAUUAUGGUAGAUUCUAAAAAGUUUUAAAAUGUUUAAAAAAAUUAUCUGAGAGGCUUCUUAUGAUUGCUUCAUUUUCAAGCAAUAUAGGAACUUUUCAAAAAUCUUCUUAAGAUUGCUUUAUUUUCAAGGAAUAUGAAAACUUCUUGAGAAGCUUCUUAAUAUCUAAUAUAUAUUGGAAUUGAAGUUGAAGGAUCUUUAGUCUCAACUACACAUCUUUUAAAGCUCUAGUUCAAGACUCUUAGUGUUGAUCUUGUACUCAUCUUGUUUAAUGAGGUUCUUAUUGGCUUUCUUGUUAAAACUCUUAUAUUCAAAUUCUUAGUUGAUGUCUUGUGUAGUGUAUCCAAGAUAAAACUCUUCAAUGGUGAAUAUAAAGUUGAAUUUGUAUAUUUAAAUGAUGAAGUCUUUGUCAAGCCUAAAUUUUUGACUAGUGCUUAUGAUUAUCAAGCAAAUAUGUACAUCUUUCAAUUCAAACCUAGGAUGCCAUUUUGCAUAGUAUAUGGUAGAAACUAUUAAAAACAAUGUCUAGAAACCAAAAAACAAACAAACAACAGUAAAGGACGCAUGCACAAUUUGUGCUCAUUUCAUUAUAUUCUCUUUGUAUCUAUCAAUUCUUUACUAGAUUCAAUCAAAGAAAAACAUCAAAUAAAUCAUUUGGGUACACUGAUACAUUUGUAUUAUCAAAAAUAAUAGGGAUAUUAUUGAUAUUUUAGGACAUUUGAGGGAUAUAUUUGAUAUUUUUCCAAAACCAAAAACCAAUGGGAAAGCGCUCUCUCCCAUAGGAGGAUUGGCCGAUACAGUUGGCAGAAGUUGGAUCCAUCGAGGCAGCGCCACGUGGGCGCGGCGGAUGGAUGCUAAGACGACAAGGCAUUUUCUGACCACAGAUUAGGGCAAGUGAUGACUCAUCUGUCUAUGCAACACUGACACGAACAAGCACUGGCCUGAGCUGGCGCAAUCGCCGCAAACAACAAAGCCCGCCGUUGAGAAAACUCCGCCGUCGGAUUCAGCCUCGGACCAGCGCGGCUUCCACACCCUAAGGGACAGGAGCCCUUCAAGAGGCCGCGCCGCACAGCAUCCCACUUCACAGUGAUCGCGAGAGGUCUCGGAGCAGAGAUUUUUGUACCUAUUCGCAACCUGCUUAAAUUUUGAGGUAUGCCUUCUUUCCUGCUUCUUUUUGAUAUUAUGUCUACAAACCUCAGUCCCCUCAAAGCUGUUCAUUACCUCUUCGUUGAAUGUGACUUAAACAUUCUGGCUAAGAGCGACCUUAUCAAGUCUGCUGUCGUGGACUUCGUCGCAAGAGGUCCCCCAGGUCUUUUCCGAUCACUGGCAAUGGAGUCGUCUUUGUAAGAUAGUAGAAGAAGCAGUGAUUCCGUCUCCGUCAGUCCUGGUUUUUUAACCUACGUGGUCUAGUCACAGUUUUUGUUAGGUCAUCCAGCUUCCCUCUUUCCCAUAUUUGAGAUUCUACUCAACAGACACUCUUGUGUGCUGAAACGCUUUCACUUUCGUUGAGAGAAGGAGUCAUAGAGGAUAUCCUUUCUCCCAUAGCGAUGAUCAGGACUGAAUUAACGGCUUUAUCAUUGAAUGCGUUUAUGUUAUAUGCAGUUAGUUCAAGAUGGGUAAGGAGAAGGUCCACAUCAACAUCGUGGUCAUCGGCCACGUCGACUCCGGCAAGUCGACGACCACUGGGCACCUUAUCUACAAGUUGGGAGGUAUCGACAAGCGUGUGAUCGAGCGUUUCGAGAAGGAGGCGGCGGAGAUGAACAAGCGUUCGUUCAAGUACGCGUGGGUGCUGGACAAGCUGAAGGCAGAGCGCGAGCGUGGUAUCACGAUCGAUAUCGCGUUGUGGAAGUUCGAGACCGUGAAGUACUACUGCACUGUUAUCGACGCGCCCGGACAUCGCGAUUUCAUCAAGAACAUGAUCACGGGAACGUCGCAGGCGGACUGUGCCGUGCUGAUCAUCGACUCGACGACGGGAGGGUUCGAGGCCGGUAUCUCGAAGGAUGGGCAGACGCGUGAACACGCACUGCUGGCGUUCACUUUGGGAGUGAAGCAGAUGAUUUGCUGCUGCAACAAGGUGGGUUCGGGGGCAUUUUGGUUGAGGUUGGGGGGUAGGGACAUGGUAUGGGAGCGGGGCGCGGUGGUGGCAUUGGGUUGCGUUAUGGACAUGGCGUGGGUAAUGUCGGGGGCAGACGAGUGGGGUAAGGGGUAGGGUUUUUUGCGUGCAUUUUUGGGGGGCAGUGAGGUGGGCUGAUGUUGGUGAUGUGGAGGGUGGCAGAUGGACGCGACGACCCCGAAGUACAGCAAGGCCCGAUUUGAGGAGAUCAGCAAGGAGGUGUCGGCGUACCUGAAGAAGGUGGGGUACAACCCGGACAAGAUUCCGUUCGUGCCGAUCUCAGGGUUCGAGGGUGACAACAUGAUCGAGAGGUCGACGAACCUGGACUGGUACAAGGGUCCGACUCUGUUGGAGGCGUUGGACAACGUGUCGGAGCCGAAGAGGCCAUCUGACAAGCCUCUGAGGCUGCCGCUUCAGGACGUGUACAAGAUUGGAGGCAUUGGAACUGUGCCAGUGGGACGGGUGGAGACGGGAAUCAUCAGGCCGGGCAUGUUGGUGUGCUUCGCACCGACGGGACUGACGACUGAGGUGAAGUCUGUGGAGAUGCACCACGAGUCGAUGCCCGAGGCACACCCGGGUGACAACGUUGGGUUCAACGUGAAGAAUGUGGCGGUGAAGGACCUGAAGAGAGGGUACGUGGCCUCAGACUCGAAGAAUGACCCUGCAAAGGAGGCAGCAAACUUUACGGCGCAGGUUAUCAUCAUGAACCACCCGGGACAGAUCGGUAACGGUUAUGCGCCAGUGCUGGAUUGCCACACGUCGCACAUUGCGGUGAAGUUUGCGGAGAUCUUGACGAAGGUGGACAGGCGAUCGGGUAAGGAGCUGGAGAAGGAGCCGAAGUUUUUGAAGAACGGAGACGCAGGGUUCGUGAAGAUGAUUCCGACGAAGCCGAUGACGGUGGAGACGUUCGCGGAGUACCCACCAUUGGGACGGUUCGCGGUGCGGGACAUGAGGCAGACGGUGGCUGUGGGUGUCAUCAAGGCUGUGGAGAAGAAGGAGCCAACUGGUGCCAAGGUGACCAAGGCCGCCGCCAAGAAGAAGUAAAUCUCCUGGGAUUGAAGAGACUUUUUAUUCCUGAGUACUCGGACUUGAUAAUUUUUCGGAGUAUAUGCAGCGCAUUUCGCUGAUGCUUGUGGAGACUUAAUUUUCAUUCUUACCCGCCUGAAGAUAGUCAUGUAGUUCAUCUUGGUGUCAGGAUUAUUUUAGCGAGUUCAUGUCACGGAUACCUUUACUAUUUCCUGAGUUCUCCUUUAAUGCCCUCUGUCAUAUCCCGAAUACUUGACAUGUUUCCGUUCAAGUUCAUUCGUUGACCGUCUUGAUUCCAUGGUUGUUUUGAUAUGCUCGACAGAAUAUGUCAAUUCUGUUGUCGACGUUACAGUUUGUCUGUUGAUUGAGCCCCUCUAUGUUAUCAUUUUACAAUUACUGUGAAGUUUGACUGAAGAAAAUCCUUUUUUUUUUUGCCUCGUUCUGUAACAUAUUCUCGGCGCUAAUCCCCGUGAUAUUGCAUCUUUUAUCCUGUUCCAAAGAAACAUGUUUUUUAUCUCUAUCUUUGUACAGUUCCCGGCAAAUUUUUUAUUACCCCCAUCUACACCUAAACUACCUCUCCUAAUCAAUAAAUUACCUGAGAUGAAUGAUAUUCUUCCUCGAGAAUUAUUCAAUGAAACAUUUGUAAUUUACGAGUUGCAAUGUAGAAAUUUAGGAGGAAGAGUUGAAAUAGAGUCGGCUAUUUAAAUUCAAAGGAAUUCUUUGUGUGCUGUCGUUAUGAAGUAAACGGCAACGGCCAAAUAGAUCUUUAAUCAACUGAUAAGAUGCUGUCACUUUAAUUAUCAUCUUUGUCCAUUUGAAUUUCUAAAUAUUCAGCAAACUCAAAUCUGCAACACCUAUUUAACUGUCUUCUUUACUUUCGGCACUUUUUGAAUGGAAUCAUAUGGUUUUUUGUAGAAGGUUUUGUCCAAAGAAAAUUAAAUUGCACUUUGAAACUGUAAAUCAAUCCGCAUGUUCUACCCUUGUAUUGCCUUGUGAUAUAUAAUCCUUUCUUGUUCUUUAUAAUUCUCAAAUGGUGAAGAUUUGAUUUUUGAAGGUAGUGAUCUAUUGAAAAAAAAAAAAAAAAAAAAAAAAAGGAAUUUUGAAGUCACAAUAUAUAGCAUUAAUAAGGUUUGUACACAAGGAAAUUAUGGAAUAAAAUAACUCAUACUUCUAUAAUGCAUUUCUUAUAGGUGGUAGCUAUUGCUUUGUUGGACAAUUUUUAUCUUUGAUGAAUACAUCUAUCUAACAUUUUAUCGAUACUUUCUAUUAAAUAUCUUAUCUUCUAUAAGAAUAUGCCUUUAAUAUAUCUUCUAUACCUUUAAGAUCCUUUGUUUGUUCAUCUACCUUGUGUCUUGGCGUUUUUACAUACCAAAAGCCUAUUCUUUGAUCAAUAGCAACUUACUUAAGAUAAUAGCUUCUAAAAGGUAAUUUAUUCUACUUUCACUUUUAUUUACUUACUUUAACACUUCUACUUUGCUAUGGAUCAAAGGCUUUCAAUCUUAAUAUGUGAUGUCUAUCAUUUAUUAAUCCCUUUGCCAACAAAUCAGCAAGCAUGUCUUCCAUUAUACAAUACUUCAUAUCAAUUACUUCCAUUUCAAUCUUUUUUCUUGUGAAGUGAUGUUGAAUGUCAUUGUAUUUGGUCUUUAAAUGAUGCUUUGGAUUCUUUGUAAAUCUAAAACAUUCUUGAUUGUUAUAUUCCAUUGGAAUUGCUUAUGUUUGCACUACUUCAAUGUCUUCCAAAAGUUGUCUUAGCCAUAUUGUCUCCAUUCUAUUAUAGCUUGCUGCCAUGUACUUGGGUUCUAUUGUUGAUCUUACAAUUGUUGGUUAUAUCUUGCAAUUCCAUGAAAUAGCCCUGAUUCCAAUAGAAAAUACAUACUCUAUUGUUGACCUUUUAUUAUUUGCAUCUCCACUCCUAUCUACAUCAGAAUAAUCAUGCAAAGUAAUGUUAUUAUCUCUAAGACUUAAUUUGAAAUGCAAAAUACCUUUUAAGUACUUCAUGAUUGUUUUGAUGGUUGCUCAAUGGAUUGAUUCAACCUUUGACAUGUGUUGGCUCACAAUACUUAUGACAUAUGCAAGAUUCACUCUUGUGCCAACCAUUGUAUAUAUAAAUGAGUCCACUACUGCUUUAUGUGGAACACCUUGCAUUUGACCUUUAAUUCAAGCAAAUUCUUCAUCCGUAAACUUUAUUAACUUCAAAUUGGCCUCUAAAGGUAUUUUAAUAGGCCUACCCUCUUCCAUAUUGAAUUGUUUCAAUACCUCUUCAAUAUACUUAUUUUUGCUCAUUGUAAUGGUCUUCUUAGUAUAACCUCUCACAAAUUCUACUUCUAAAUAAUAGUGAAGAUUUUCCAAAUCACUCAUCUCAUACUCAUUUUCUAAUUUUGCCUUCAAUCAAUCCAAUAUCUUCAAGGUAUUGGUUAAGAUGAUCAAAUUAUCAACAGAGAGAAUGACAAUUAAUAUAAAUUUAUUUGAUUGCAUGACAUUCAUAUAAUGAUUAGCCUUACUUCUUUUAAAUCUUUCAUUUACAACAAAUGUGUCAAUACAUUUAUACUAUACUUUUGGUGAUUGCUUGAGCCUACAAAAAGAUUUCUUCAACUAUAAACAAGAUAUUGUUUGUCUUUUUCAACAAAUCCUUGUAGUUUAACCAUGUAGAUGUCAUUUUCCAAGCUUCUAUUUAAGAAAGCCAUUUUCACAUCUAUUUAAUGCAUCUUUGAGUCCAAUAUUGUCUUAAUUGCCACCAUAAUUCUAAUGGUGUUGAAUUUGGAUGUGAGAGCAAAUGUCUCAUUGAAAACAAUAUCAGCAACUUGUGAGUAGCUUUUACCAACCAAUCUAACAUUGUAUCUCAUAAUAUUGCCUAUAAUAUCUUUCUUGGAUCUAAGUACUCACUUAUAACCAAUUGAAGAUUGAUUUUGUGGAAGUUGAGUCAUUUUCCAUGUUUCAUUGUUCAUGAAUGAUUUAUACUCUUCUUCCAUGGUAUUUUUCUACUUCAUUGCAUCCAUGGACUUUAUUACAUCAUCAAACUCAAUGGAUCAAUAAAAAGUGUAAUAUUGAUAUGUUGUUCACUUACUUGAAGAAAGAUGUGAUUUAUCCACUAUUUACCAAAAUUUUUUCUAUCUCUCAAAAGAUAUAUCCCUUCAUUUGAUGAAGAUUCAUCUUCUUGCAUUCUAAAAAUUCUUGCAACCUUCUUCUUUCUUAAAGCUCGUCUCUUUACAUUUAGUACUUGAUACUCUCCAUCAUUAUCAUCUUCAACAUCUUAAUUGUCUUCAUUGUUGGUCUAGUAAUUAUAGACAUACUUUGAUCUAUCUUCAUUGACUCUCUAUCUUGAUUUGUAUAUCUACUAUCUUCAUUGUCAUCAUCUUUUUCUUCAUUCUUUGCUAAAAUUAAAAAUAAAUGAAACAAAAAUACCAUUACUUCUACUUAGACACAUUUCAAAGUAUUCAUAAGUAUUCUUAUGCUCUAAAAACUCUACAUUACAACUCUUAAUGAUCUUCUUGGUUUCUAAACGUAUUAGCCUAUAUACCUUUGUAUCUUCAUAAUAUCCAAAAUAUACAUAUUUUGUAUCUUUUGUAUCAAAUUUGGACCUCAUAUAAUCUCGUACUUUUGCAUAAGCAAUACAUCCAAAAAUCCUCAUGUGUGAAACAAAAGGUUUCUUGUCACUCUAAAUUCCUUGUAGAGUUAUUGAUUUCAAUGCUCUUCCGUGGCCUUUUUUCUUCUAUAUACUAUAAUAACCAUGGCUUCCGCCCAAUAUUCAUAUCCAAGGUUUUGUGCAUAAAGCAUACUUCUUGCCAUCUCCAAAAAAGUGUAAUUUAUUCUUUUAGUAAUUCCAUUUUAUUGUGGAGUGUAUAGAAUAGAAGAUUGUCUUGCAAUGCCUUGUAUCUUCAAAAAGUCAUCAAAAUGCAUUGACAUAUAUUUAGCCCUAUUUUCCAUGUACAACACUUUAAUCUUGCAUUCACAUUAUUUUUUCACAAGUAUCUUAAAUUCCUCAAAUCUUAAGAAAUAUUCAUUCUUAGCUUUAAUGAUGUAUAUCAACACCUAUUUUGAAAAAUCAUCAAUAAAUAUGACAAAGUACCUUGCUCUUCCAAUUAAUGGCAUCUUUAUCAGUCUACAAAUAUUAGAAUGUAUAAUUUGCAACAAUUUGCUAGCAUAUAUUAUAACUCUAUUUGAAAUUGAAGCCAUUUAUUGUUGACCUUGACAUAUUUUUUUAUUCUAAUAUUUACUUAUAUAAUUAAGCAAAAAAAAGUGAAAGUAGAUUUAUUUCACAAUAUUUUCUAAAAAAGCUUUCUAAAAGCUUUAUGGAUACUACUUUGACUUUACAUGUAUUUAUAGUUGAUUAAUAGGUUAAAUACUUGGUCAACAAGUUAAUUAUGUAUGAAUAGCUUGCAAAACAAGCUAACUAUGUAGUGCACAUAUAAAAAACUUCUCUUCUAAGUUAAAAUAUAUGUCUUAUAAAAUCAACAUAUUUUGGAGGUCGUUUAGAAUAUUGCAACAUAGUUCUUAGUUAGAUAGUAUAUAUGGAGGCAAGAGUGAAGCCUUUUUCAAUCUUGACAAUGCCUUUUUAGCCCUCAGUCUUAUUUUAAGUCUUUUUAGUCUUUUUGUCUUUGGCAAUAAUCAUUCUUGUUCAAAAUAUUAUCAACUUUGAGUCUUUUUUUAGUUUUUUCAAGUGACACAAGAGUGUAUCGAGGAUUUUUGUUUCGAAGAUUCAUAUUCUUGAUAGUUUGAGAAGAAUUUUAACUUAUUAUUUUUGUCAUGUUUUAAAAAGUGAGUGGAUUAAUCUACUUCUAUUGUUGUAUUUUGAAAGUUAUAGAUUAUCCACUUUUAAACAAAUUGUUUAGUUUUCUAACAUUGAUUAUUUUUUUAAAGAAAGCAGAUAUCUUUCUUUAUAGGAAUUUUUAUUUUAUAUUAGAGGUUACAGAUUAUCUUCUUUUUAUUUGACUUGUGAAUUUAUUAAGUUAUUUGAAAUAGAAGAAAAAAUCAUAGAUGCUAUACUUGGUAGAAGUGAAAACAGAUUUGCAUCUAUUAUAGAUUUGACAAACUUGUCAAUACUUUUAAGGUCGAAAUUUCACACAUCACCAAUGCCACCCAUAGAAACACUAAUCCUAUAGUUAGAGAAGAAGUUCAAAGUAUACAUCAAGAAGUUUUGUAGUUGAAGGAAGCAAAUAUAUCAACAUCAUAACCAAAUCCAAAAAAAUUAUACUUCUAAAAAUACAAUGGGAACAAGAAUUAGUAAGCUUGAGAAGUUUGUUGGAAUAAGAUCAAAAUUUUGAAGAUUUUUGCAACAAGUCAAGCUCUAACUAAGGUUGUAUUUCUUCUAAUAUCUUGAUGUAUUUACUCAAGUUGGAUUCAUAGGCGCACUUCUAUUUGGAAGUGCUCUCUCUUUGUUUAUAUCUUUGAUAGAAAAGAUUCACGACUCCUUUAUGAUUUGAAUUCAUUUAUAAAAGUAUUUAUGGUGUCAUAUUGUGACACGAUUAUAUGGUAAAAAUAUGACUAAAAAUGAUUUUUUAAUUAAUAUUCUAUUAUAUUAGCUCAAUAAGAAUUCAAAAUAUUUUAAUAAGGCUUUUAUGAAAGUCUCUUAGCCUAUUUUUUUUUAAAUAAAAAAUAGAUAAAAGUUAAUUAUUAAUUUACCUUCUAAGAUAUAGAAACUCUUUUACUACCUAAGAAAGGCCAUAAAUUAUUAAAAUCAGAAUAGAAGAUGUAAAUGGUUGGUAUGUUUGAUACUAUGAUCAAGUUGAGAGUAGGAUUGGACUAAAAAAUCCUUAGGAUAGAUUAGAUUGAUACCCGGAGGUCGAUCAUUUGUGAGACAUGGUCAAAAUCAGACCUUUGGUCACUAAAACGACUGCUUAGGAUAAAUUAAGAUGGCAUUAGAAGAUCACGGAUCAGAAUUUGAGAGCUAACUUAAAGCUCUUUUCAAUGGCAUAAGGAUUUUUUUGGUAGGAUUUUUGAAGAUUUGACAAUUUUUGUUCAAGAUCAAGGUUUGUAUUGGUGAUUUGGAAUUUAUAUAAUAUAAUUAGGGCUAGCAAUUUUGGCUAGUUCAUGCAAUUGAUAUAACAUCUAAGUUUCAAAAGUUGAUAUUAUUUGGAUUAUUAGAUGCACUAAGUAUAUAAAAAAUUUUGUGAUAACCUAAUGAUGUGGUUUAGAGAUAUUUGGUUUUUAGCACAAGAAGAUUUUGGAAGUUGGUAGGUUGGAGUUGAGUAGGAUUUUUGUGAUAUUUGGAGAUCUACUAGUUAGAUGAAGAUGAAAUUUGGCAUGGUGUUGAAGGACUUGAAGAUCAAGAUGCAUACCAAUUUUGAAUCAAAGGUAUUAGUUGGAGAAGGAGAAAUCAUUGCUAGGGUUUUUGCUUCACUUUUCAAGUUGGCAUCCGAAUGACAUCAGUGCAAUAUUUGGAGGUUUUCUCACGAUUUAUAAGUUGGAUUGAGCUAAAAAUUCUUGAGCAUAUAGAAGACUUACAUUGACAAUUAUAUGCAAAAUUUUACAUCAAAUCGACACUCAAAUUAGAAGUUACAGCUUACUAAAGCUCAUUGAUUAGGAUUGGGACUUAUAAAAAAAAUCUGAAUUGCUUAAAUAUGAAAGUAACAAGAUAGUUGAGGUUUAUGUAUGAUUAAGGUUACUAAGAAGAGUGUUUUUUAGCACUUUUGAAUUAAAAUUUGGAUUAUAUUCUUCUCAUAUGGAUGAAACCUAUUAGGAUUUUUUGGAUGUUUGUUAAAAAUAACCUCAUAUUUGACAACUAGGUGCUUGGUAAAUUCCUAAGCAAGAAAACAUGUAAUACGACAAUGGCCACAUUCAAAGAAAAUGAUUAAACAAAGAUUAAGCUCUUAUCUUUAGGAUAAGAAUCAUAGUUAGCCAUUAUAUAUGCUAUUGAAUUCUAAAACCUUCCUUGCGAUGUGGGCUUGAAUGACAAAGCCUUUAUCAAUCAAUUUUAAUAGGGAUUGAAGUAUAAUGUCAAACAUUUGUUAUUGACAAUGCCAAAAGAAAAAUCUUUGAAAAAAUUUAUUGCUUAAGCCUUUGCAUAUGAUAAUUGAUUAUUUGAAAGACAUCAAGAGUAAAGACUUGGCUGAAGAAGAACAAAUCAAGUAAUAAUGGCAAUUGUUAAGUUUUCAAGAAUUUAUUUAUCAAGGUUUGAAACAAUACAAAUUGAUAUGGUAUAUUUUAAAUCCCUCAAAAAGUAGGAGAAGACUUAAUAUUAUUAAGAAAAUUUGUGCUUACAUUAAAGAGAAGCUCAAUACACUCUUCAAUAUUGUCAAAAAAAGCAAUACAAUCACAAAAUAAGGAAGAUGAUUAUCAAAGAAGAUAAUGUAUUAGAAAAUAAGUUUUUCUAGCUAUAAUAGGGACUAUGUAAUUAAAAUCAUAUGCAAUACCUACUAAAGAUCUUAUUCUCAAUUCAGAUCUAUCACCUUAUUUUAUAAUAGAUGGAUAUUUAGGAUCUAUAAAUUACAAAGUCUUUGCCUUAUUACAUUUAGGAGCCUUAACUUAUAUUAUAGAUAAUUUUUUUUAAAAAAAAUAAGAAAUAUCUUUAGUCAAGAAAAUUAAAUCCAUAUAUGUAGAAGUCAUAUAUAGUCAUUUGCUAUCUUCUAAAGAUGUUAUUCAUGAAAUUAUUCCUUUAAAUAUAGCAAUUAAAGAUCAUAAUAGUAUAAUAAUAUUUAAUGUAAUAAAAUCUUCCUUUAAUCCAAUUAUUUUAGGAUUAUUAUAGUUAAAAAAAUAUAAAAUUCAAAUAGAUUGGAUUUUUUAUAACCUAAUUUUUUUUUAUAGUUAAAUCUAAAAUUCUAUCAGUCAGGUAGAAAUACAUAAGUCUAAUAUAUUCAAACUCUUAUUAGUACAUAUAAAAGAUUUCAUGUAUGCUACAAAGAAAGAUCAUCUUUUGUUAUAUAUGGCAUACCUAUUUUUGAUAGUGUAAAGAUACUAAGUAGUAUUUGUAGCCAAUAUCAAGAUUUUUAGGACGUUUUUUUAAAAAAAAAUACAGAUAUUUUUUUAGAACAUUGAUUUUAUGAUUAUUCAAUUGAUUUGCAAAAAAGAGCUCAAGUGCCAUUUCGAUCAAUCUUCAACUUAUUGUAAAAUGAAUUGAUUGUAUCAAAUAAAUAUAUUAAUGAGAACUUGGCUAAAAACUUCAUAUACUAUUGAAAACUUCCAACAAUAGCUCAUAUCUUAUUUUUAAAGAAAAAUAAUGGAUCUUUGUUGAUGUGUAUAGAUUAUCAAAGAUUUAACAAGAUCACCAUCAAUAAUAAGUAUUUCCUAUCUUUAUUUUUAAUACUUCUUGGCCAAUUCAAUCAAACAAAAAUCUAUAUAAAAAUAGAUCUAUGAAGAAUAUAUAACUUGAUUCUCAUUUAAAAAAGAAAUGAAUUAAAGAUUGUUUUUUAAAUUAAGUAUGGAUAUUUUGAAUAUAAUCUUAUGCCUUUUGGAUUCACAAACAUAUCAACAGCUUGUCAAUAUUUUAUGAAUAAUGUUUUUUUGUGAAUUCUUUAAUGAUUUUGUGGUCUACUAUAUAGAUGACUUUCUAAUCUAUUCUAAGAAUUUAGAAAAAUAUGAACUUCAUAUUUGUCAUAUAUUACAAAAAAUUAAAGAUAUAGGAUUAUAUGCCAAGAUGGAAAAGUAUAUAUUCUAUACUACUUAAGUUGAUUUUUUAGGAUACAUCAUUUUUAACAAAGGUUUAAUAAUAGAUCUAAAGAAGAUCCAAAGUAUCAUAGAUUGAAAGAUUCUAAAAAUAUUAAAGAAUGUAAAAUGCUUUUUGAACUUAAUCAAUUAUUAUUAAAUCUUCAUCAAGAACCUUUUUCAAGUUGCAGCCUCACUUAUAUAUUUGACUUCUAAAGACAAAUUUGAAUAGAGCACAAAAGCUAAAGCAACUUUUGAAGUCUUAAAAAAAUAUUUAUUUCUGCAUCAAUCUUAUAUCACAUCAAUUUUUUCAAGGCAUUUUUCAUAGAAAUAGAGACAUCAAACUUUGUUAUCAAUGCAAUUUUGUCACAAAUGGAAGCACAUGAUAAGUUUCACUUGAUAGCUUUUUAUUCUUGGAAAUUUUCAAUAACUAAGUUUAACUAUAAGAUCCAUGACAAAGAGCUUCUUACAAUUGUGGAUUCAUUUCAAAAAUGGUGUCAUGAUUUAAAAGGCGCCUUGAAUCUAAUCAUCAUAUAUAUAAUUCAUAAGAAUCUUACGUAUUUCAUAUUAAUAGCCAAGCUUGCUCGAGCAUGUUUUUAUAAAGAUUUGAUUUCAAAAUUAUUUGUCAAUUCAAAAAAAAAUAAGGUUUAUCAAAUGCCAUUUUUACAUGUUUUUAUCUUACAUCAAAAGAAAAAGAUGCAUCUUUUGAUCAACAAAGAACAAUUUUCUUGAAGUUGGAGCAAUUCACCUUUAAUCAAUAAAAUUAACAUUGAUUUUUGAUUCAAUUUUUGUUAAAUAAAUCUAAUUAAGUAUGUCUUCUAAUUAUCUUAUUGGUGAUAUCAAAAAUAAUCCUUUUAAGUUCAAAUAAAAUUAUACAUUUUAAAAGAUGAAGCAUGGUUAUAUAUUCUUCAAGCUCAUCAAACAAUUCUUUUGUCAUUGGUGGAGUUUGCAUAUAAUAAUUUUUUACAUUUUUUUAAUUAAUAAACAUCUUCUUUUGCCAAUUAUGAUUAUCAUCUAUAAUUUAAUACUUUUGAAUUUUUAAAAGUUGAUAAUCUUGUGGCAAAAGUUUUAACAAAUUGUUUGUCAAAGUUACAUACAACAAUAAAGGUGCAGUUAAAGGAAGCUCAGGAAUGACAAAAAAUCAAUAUAGAUGUUUAUUAUAAGGAAUAACUAUAAUUCAACAUAGGUGAGAAGAUAUGACAAUUUUGUUGCAAUAUCAAGAUUACUUAUUUUUAUGAUAAGUUGGACUAUUGCAGGCUUAAAUCUUUUCUUAUUUGUGAAUAAAUCAAUCCUAUUGCUUAUUGAUUACAUCCACUUCAGUCUAUGAAGAUCCAUCUUAUAUUUUGCAUGUUUCUUCUUGAGCCAUAUAAUAUAGUAAAUAUCUUGAGAAGAAGAUCAAUGCUAUCUUCUUCUAUAGGAAAUGAAUAAUGAUGAAGAGUUCCAGGUAGAAGAAGUUUUAGAUUCAAGAUGGUGCCAAAAUAGAUUGAAAUAUCUUAUUCAUUAGCAUAGUAUUAUGAUGUAAUAUGUCAAGUAAAUGAAAGAGAGAAGAAAAUAUUAUAUUAUAGAAGGUCUUAUUUUAAAAUAUUAUAGAAAAUUAUUUUAGAAAUAUAGAUAGUAAUAAAAAAGAUAGUAAAAAUUAAAAAGUUCUAAUGCUAUUUUUUUAUAAAAUAGGCUUCUACUUACUUUGUACGACCAUAAAUAAGAAAAAACUAAGUAGAUUAUAAAAAUAAAUAAUAUAAGCAUGCAUAAGAAAGAAUUUAAGAUUAGAUUUUAAUAAAUUUUAUCUUAAGAAGCCAAAAAUUGAUAUCUAAAUAAGAUUGGUUAUCAACCUAGGCCAAAAUCAGACCUCAAGGCAUAAAACCAUACAUCUAUGGUGAAUUUGGAAUUCUUUUAUAGAUCAAAGAGUAGGAUUUGAAGAUAGAUUUGAAUAAAGAUUUUUAAGCAUUAGUUUCAUGUCAUUUGGAUCAAUAUUAAGUUUUUGAGGUAUUUUCAAAGUUAGUAAUGUUCUUAGUAGAAUUAAGGUUAGGGAAAUAAAAAUAUGUUUAUAAAAUUGAGGAUUUUUUGAGUUUUGUGGUGUGUGUAUAGAUGAAAUUUAAAAAAUAUGUUGGUAUAAUAGUUAUAAUUGUGUUGGAAAAUUUUGAUAUAAAUCAAAUAAUUAGAUUGAAGUAUAUGAGGGUUUUUGUGAGUUGAAGUCUCAGAAAGUGGAGUUUGAGGGUUAAUUAGUAUUUCUAAGAUCUUUAGAAAUCUAUCAAUUAGAUUGAAGUGAAUUUUUUUUGUAUAGAUAUGACACUCAAAUUCCAAUGUUUAGAUGAAAUUUCAAAGAAAUUUAAUAAUUCAAGAAGGAGAUAUUGGCAUUAGAAGUUUUGUAUUGAAGUUGGAGUAGGAGGCUGUCCAACACUUGAUUGGAUUAUCUUACAUUUAUUUAAAUUAGUAAGUACAAUCAAUUUCAUCUUUCUUGUGCUUCUUUUUAACUAAGAUAUUAAAAAGUGUAAAAAUUUUGAAUUGAUACCAAUGAUUUGAUCAUUAUUUGUUGAAGUUCCAUUUUACUAUAGGAUUUAUUAAGAGGUUAUUUAAGAUUUAGGAUUUAAUUAAGAUUUGAUUUAGGAUUUAUUUAUGAUUUAAUUAAGGCUUAGAAUUUUUUUAGGAUUUGAUUAGGAUUAAGAUUUGAUUUAGAACUUAACUAAUAUUUGAUUUAGAUUUAUGUACGGUUUUAUUAAAAUUUGAUCUAGGAUUUGAUUAAGGUUUAUUUAGGAUUUUGAUUAAGAUUUGACCUAAGAUUUGAUUAAGAUUCAAUUAAGGUUUCAAUUAGGAUUACAUUAAGAUUUCUAUUUUUAAUAUUCUUUUAAAGUCCUUUGUUAUUUCUUUAAAGGUUUAUUUUUAUAUUUCUUUAAGAUUUAUUAUUAUUUUUCUUUGGGAUUAAAUCAUGAAUUUUUUAUAUUUCUUUUGUCACUUUUUUUGAAUUUAUUUUGAUAGGUUAAAAUUUAAUUGGAUUUAUUAGGAAUUACUUGAAGUUUUUUUAAGGCUUUAUUAGAUUUGAUAGAAUCAUUGUUGUAUUUUUAUUUACCUUCCACAACUAGGUGCCCAGUGCAUUCUUAAGCAAGAGCACAUUUAAUAUGACAACAAAUAUGAUAUUAGUGAAUGCACAUGGAAGUGAGAAAAAAAUCUUUAAAAUGAAGCAAGGAGGAUUAAGUCUUUUCAUUGAAAACAUGAUAUUUAAAUAUGUCUUUUAUAAAACCCUCUUAGUUUAUUUUUUUAUCUUAAUAGCUAACAAAUUAAAGAUUGAUUAGUAAUUUUACCUUUUGAGGUAUAAAAAUUCCUUUAUUGCCUUAAAAAAGCUAUAAAUUUAUAAAAACAAGAUAGAUAAGAUAAAUAAUUAAUACGGUUAAUAUUAGGAUUAAGUUAAAGAUAGAGUCAGGCUAAAAAAUUCCUAUGAUAGGUUGGAUUGAUAUCUAGAGGUCAUUUGUUUAUAAGAGAGGAUUAAAAUCAAAUCUCUAGCUAUUAAAAUAAUCGCCUAAGGCAAAAUAUAGGAACAUUUAGAAAUUAACAACUAAAAUUGAAGAGCUAGCUUUAAGAUUGUUCUAAAGGCAUAAAGUUGUUUUUAUAGGGCUUAAGAUGAUUUUACAAUUGAUAUUUAAAAUUAAGAUUUAUAUUAGUGACUUUGAAUUUAUGCAAUACAAUUAGAGCUAGCAUUCUUAGCUAGUUCAUGCAAUUGAUGUUACAUCUAUAAUUCAAAAUUUAAUUGUGUUUAAUUGAUUGCAUGUGCUAAGUGUCCAUAAAAUUUAUAUCAAUUUAAUGGUUCAAUUGGAAGAUAUUUGAUUUUUGAUACAAGAGGAUUUCAGAAGUUGGUAGUUUGAAGUCGAAUAGGAUUUCUAUGAUAUCUUAAGAUCUACUUAUUGAAACAUGGUAAAAUUUGGUAUGGUAUUGAAAGACUUGAAGAUGAAGCUAUAUACCAAUUUUGAGUUGAAGUUAAUAGGUAGGAAAGAAAAAAUUGCUAUUGGAACAUUUGCAUCAACUUUCAAGUUGGUAGCCAAGUAACAUUAGUGCAGUUUUGUCAGUAAAAUCAAUCCAUCUUAAUUGUGUUUGAUAGUCUAGUGGAGUAACUUCACUCACAUAAAGUUAGAUGUCUUUUCUUUCUUAACCAUUGUUACUUUAUAAUUUUAUUUUAUCAAAUUUUUAUUUUUAUUUUUAUUUAUUUAUUUAUUUAUAUAAUAUUUUUAAUUAUAAUUUCUUUUUUAAAUUUAUUAUUAUUAUUAUUAUUUUUUUUUAUAAAAAUUCAAUUAAUUUAUUUAUAUUUAUAUUUUAUUUAAUUAAUUAUUUAUUAUAUAUAUUAUUUUAAUUAUUUAUUUAUUUCUUUAAACUAUCUAGCAAUCAAUAUGUCAAAGUUUUUAUAUACAUCACAUUCUUCAGUAAAGAAACGACCAUAUUAAAAAAAUUGAUCACAACACCAUAAUCACUUGUUAUCAUAUCAAAAAAUAUGCACAAAAACUCUUCCACAAUUUUUGUCUAACAACUACUAGAAAUCAACUAUCACCUCAUAAUAAGAUGGUAAAUCAUAACUAAUCUACCAUAGUCAUCAACUUCCAAGCUAUGUCUUGUCUUCAUUGCUAUCAAACCAUUCUACAUCCUUGCAAUACCAUCGCUCUGAUCUCCUUCAAUAAGAAUGCCUUGACUUUACUGCUUCUUCUAAAAUGGCUAUGUAGCUUAGAUCCAUCAACAUCAAUUGGGCACAGUACUACUAUCGCUUCACUUUCACUGAGCUUGAAUUCUUCUAAAAUCUAUCACCCCGUUGUGUUGCCUCACAUUAUUGCUCUCAUUAAUUUUGUUAUAUUUAAAUUUCAAUCUUCUCAACCUCAUCCAUCCAACAUAAUUGAUAUAACUUGCUUAGUCCAGAACUAUUUAGACUGGAACCUGUGCAAUCAAAAAUUGGUCCAACAAAAUAAAUCGCCAAUUUGUGAUUUGUGGUUUUUUUUUUUAAAAAAAAAAAAACAUUCACAAUACAUCGUUCUAAGAGAUUGUUAGUAAUAUUUUUAGAAGUCUCUAUUAUUCUAUUCUUGCUUAAAAUUGGUACAUCUAAUUUUUUUAUUUUUAAUAUAUUUAUUUAAUUCUAAAGAUUUACAUAACAUAUUUUUAUCAUUAAUUCCUUUCUUCACCACUUUAUCAACAUGACACCACUGUUUUUAUUUAAUCUAAUUUUAAACAAAAAUCAUUUUAUCUACUAUUAUAAUUAUAUUUUAUUCUUAAUACUUAAAUGAGCCUUUUCUUUAGUAAUUUAUUCUACUCAACUUUCUCUUCUUAAUUCUAUUAAUUUAUUCUAAUAUUUUUUUCUAACUACAUUAUAAGUCAAAAAAAUUGGCUCACAAGUUUUUUGGACAUUUUUUCACAAUCUGCAAGUUCGAUUAGUCUAAAUUUUUUUAAACAUAUAAAAGACUUAUAGUAGCAUUUGUGUGCAAAAUUUUGCAUCAAAUGGAUGGUCAGAUUAGAAGUUAUAACUUUCUAAAAUUCAAUGAUUAAGAUUAUUGCUUGCGAAGAGAAAUUGAAAUUGCCUAAUUUAAAAGUAAUAAGGUAAUUGGAAUUUGUAUAUAAUUGAGAUUAAUAAAAAGAAUAUUUUUGAAUACUUUAUAUUGGCUAUAAAUACUUUUGAAUUAAAAUUAAAAUUAUAUUCUUUUUAUAUGAAAAAAACCUAUUAGAUUUUUUUGAAUAUUUAUAAAAUAGAAUUUCACCUUCCACAGUCAAGUACUUGAUGCAUUCUCAAACAAGACUAUAAGUAAUAGGACAUCAAAUAAGACAUUUUGAUUGUCAUAACCUUCAAGACAAUGUAAUUGAGAUAAAGAUCCUCAAAAAUGAUAUAUCUUUCUUCAAAUAGAUGGCAAGAUAUAACAUAUUUGAUAUCACAACCAUAGAAGAAAUUUUCAAUAUUUGAUGAUUUAAUUAGAAGUAGGAACAACUCUUGAUGAUGUUUCAAAUAUUUUAUUUAAAGGAAGUUAUGAAGUCUUUAACAACAAUCAAAUAAUAUAGUGAUCUUUUAGCCUUAAUAUUGGAUACCAUCAAUUGUUGAGAAGACUUAUCAACCAUCUUCACAGGAAACAAAGUCAAAGUAUGUAGCAAAUACAAUUUGCUGCAUCUUUGAUUUUUCUACACAUAAUGACUACUUUUCAAGAAACACAUCUCUAGAACGGAGAAUAAUAUCACAUACAUAUUUAUUUUAAUAUUUAUUCAUAUAAUUAAGUAGAAGUAAGUAAAAAUAAAUUUAUUUCAUAAUAUUUUUUAGAGAAGAUUUUUAAAAGUUUCAUGGAUACUACUUUAACUUUACAUGUAUUUAUAGUAGAUUAGUAGGUUAAAUAUUUGGUCAAGAAAUAAAUCACAUAUCAGUAGCUUAAGAAACAAGCUACUUAAGUAGCACACAUAUAAAAAACUUGCCUUGCAAGUUAAAAUACAUGUCUUAUAAAGUCAACAUGUUUUGAAGAUCUUAUAGAAUACUGCCACAUAAUUCUUAGUUAAAUAGUAUAUAUUGUUAUAGGGUAUAGAUAAGACAUUUGUAUUAUUGACACAUAAGGAAAGAUAGUUAGAACCAUGGAAGUUUCUAGAAUUGGUAUUAGAUUAGUGGAUCAAGUAAAAUCCAUCAUAAAAUAUUUUAGAAAGAGUCUAAGGUGGAUAUUUAGGUGAAGCCUACCAUAUAACCUUCUAAAAAAAGGCUUAAAAUGGUCACAUAUGGCUUCAAAUCUUUUUUUUUAAAACAAAUGGGAUUUUUUAUUUUCUUGUUUUUUUUAUUCUAUUCUAAUUUUGAUUGCUUAGUUUUGUCUUUCAUGUCUCAUUUUAUUUAGUUCUAUUCAGUUUUAUUCUAGUUUAGUUUGUUCAAUCUUAUGAUAAGAUUUUAAGUUUUUGUGGAUUAAAAGAGUCUUGGAUACUUGAGAUAGACUAAUCCUAUUUUAUUGGUAUCAAAGCAAGUAUUAAACUAUUUUAUUUUAAUAGUAUAUCAAUAGUCAUCACCUAGUCCAAGAUCAAUUCUUAUGGUCACAUUGGAUAUUGUUUUGAGGCUACCACAAGCUAUUCUUAAAAAAUCAAUUAUAAGGUGAGAAGAUAUUAUAAUUAUGGAGUCCAACUCAGAAAUUACAACAUAGGAGAUAUGGCACAGAAAUCUUAGAUGGAAGCUCAAAUACAAUACCUCUUAAACGAGAUAGUUAUUUUGCAAGGACAAAUAGAAGCUUCAAGGACAAGAAGGUCAAUACCUACUAGGCUAAAAUUGAAUAAGCCUACUACAUACUUUAGAACUUCAAGACAAGAAGAUGUAUAUCAAUGGCUCUUUUAUAUGCAACAAUACUUCUAACUAUCUAAGGCAAAUACCACUAAAUGAAUUAUAUAUGUAGCGAGCUAUUUAAGAGAUAUGGCAACUAUUUGAUAAUGACAUUGAAUUCAAAGCUAUGGAGCUUAAGGUGGAUUUUGUCAUUGGAAGGAAUUUGAGACCGAGUUUAAGAAUGAAUUUUGGUCCAUCAAUGUGGAGAAGAUAGCACAUGAUGAGCUGACAAAUCUUACACAAUUUAGGUUGGUGCAAGUUUAUGUCUCCCAAUUCAAGUUCCUAUGUUUCUAAAUUGAUAAUUUUUUAGAGGAGGAAAUGAUGGAUUGAUUCUUAUGAAGUUUGAAACCUAGGGUUUAGCAAGAAGUAGAGCUAAAAGAUUUACAAACAUUUGAAGAGAUAAUUUGGAUUGUAAAAAGUGUUGAUGCUAUAGAUUUUAGAAAUCAUGGAGUGUGAUCUAUACUACAAAGUCCUAUGUUGCUAUUUAAUAUCAUGGCAUAACAACCAAUACCAAUAGAGAUUGAUAUCCUAUAAAGAUCAUUGAUACAAUAAAGACAAUAAAUAUUGGUACAAAAAGAAUUUUAUUUCUAUUGUUAAGAGCUACGACAUCGGAUUGGAGAUUGUCUAAAAUAUCAAAAUUUAAGCACUAGCAAAAAAAGAUGGAUUCACAGUCUCAAAAUUCACCAAGUUGAUAGUGAAACAAAGCAAGAAAAUGGAGCUCCUUUGUAAAGAUGCCAAGGGCUAGUACUAGGGAUAGCUACUAUCUCUAAAAGUCAAAUGGCAUGACCUUGAAAAACUAUAAAAAAAAGUAGACUGAUGCAUCUAAUGGGACUACUAAGAGGACAACCAUAUUGAGUACUUCUAGAUUAUAGCUCUAGAAAAAAUUGUAUCUCAACUAAAAUUACUACAUGACUUGGAAUUAAAAUUAAGGCAAUUAAAGGAGGAAGUAUAUACCUUAUAGAUGAUCAAGAAAACAUAAUGAGUGAGACAUGUGAAGAAGAAAUCUUGAGGUUGACUAACAUAUACAUCUUAAGAAAAAGAUUGAAGGUGAUAUAGUUAAGAUAUAAUACUAUCUUUGAUAUGCCAUUACUAGAGAUGAAAAAUAAGCAAGUUGAUUGGCUAGCAAGGACAAUCUUCUAUAAAGAUGGUAGACAUAAGGUGAUUCUUUGUACCUCUACAUGAAGUAAAAAAAAAAAGACAAUCUGUAACCAAAGACUUACUUAUAGGGAUGACUUUUAAGAAGAGGCAAAUAUUGCAUAAGCAAUCAGUUUAUAUAGUGGUUCCAAAUCUUACAUCAAUAGUAGGAAAGAUAAUCAAAGGAAUAGAAUAUAUACAUCAAUUCAUAUAAGAAUAUUGAGAUGUCUCUCUAAUUCACGUACUUAGUGAGGUGCCUCCUUUCAAAUAGAACUAUUUUCUUAAGCCAAACUAACAAGUUGGUCAAUUUACCACGUAGCUUCAAAAGAAUUUGAAGAACUAUAGAAGAUAUUGGAUGAAUUCUUAGAGAAAUGCCUCAUUUGAGAAAGUACAUCACCAUAGAAAGCAUUUUUAUUCUUUGCGUCUAAAAAGGAUAGUGAACUUUGUAUUUGCAUUGACUAUUGAUGCCUCAAUAAGCAAAUUGUUAAAAUGCAUAUCCACUUUUACACGUGGAUGAUCUUCUUGACCAACUUCAAGAUAUAACUAUCUUUAAUAAAUUAGACAUUUGAAAGAGAUAUUGGCAAACACCUAUUGUAAGAGGAUGUAAGAAAAAUAAUAUUUUAUAUGUGCUAUGAAUAUUUUGAAUGGCUGAUUUUACCUUUUGGUCUCACCAAUAUUCUAGCCUCUUUCAUAGAUAACAUAAAUAUAUUCUUUUGGGACCUUUUAGACAAGUAUGUAAUUGUCUUUAUUGAUUAUAUCUUUGUAUCUAAUAAAACCCUUGAAGAGCAUGAAUAACACCUACAAGAAGUCUUAUGUCGGCUACAAGAUAGUCGCUUAUAUUGCAAGCAAUCAAGAUGUGAACUUUGGAAGUUGGAAGUCACCUUUUUGAGGCAUGUGAUGUCUUCCAAAGGCAUGCAUAUGAAACAAAAUAAGGCAAAAGUAGUGGCAAAAUAGCCAACCUCCAAAGGUGCUUCUAAAGUGCACUCAUUUUUAGGCCUUGUUGGAUAUUAUUGUCAUUUUAUUUGGCAAUUUGCUCAUGUGGUUGUUUCAUUGAUGAGCCUAUUGAAAAAAGAUGCUCUAUUUGAAUAGAAAUUGGAGCAAUAAAGAGCUUUUUAUAGGUUAAAGGAGGAACUUAUUAGUGCUCCAAUAUUACAACCAUAUGAUCCUAUUCUUCUUUAUAUGCUUGACAUUGAUUCUUCCAACUUUGCUAUUGGAGCCGUCUAUCAACAAGACUUAAGUAGGAGCAUUCAACUUGUGGCAUUGUCACGGCCAUAAUCAUGUAAGCUAAUAAUUACAUAUAGAAAUAGGUAGAAGUAAGUAAAAGUAGAUAAAAGUAAGUUAAUUCUAUAAUAUUUAAUAUAGAAGCUUCCUAGAAAUUUCCUAGACGCUGCUUUGACUUCAUAGGUGUCUUUAAUUGACUUUUUGGAUUAGAAACGUGGUCAACAAGUUGGCCAUGUGCCACACAUGUUGUUAGCUUGAAGAUCAAGCUAACUAUGUGGCUCACACAUAGAAAAACUUGCCUUGUAAGUCAAGGCAUGUGCCCUAUAAAGUCAACACAUAUUGGAGGUCCUAUAGAACGUCGCCACGUAGCCCCUAGUUAGAGAGUAUAUAUAGAGACAAGAGUGAAGGCUUCUUCACUCUUGUCAACUCCUUUCUUGCUUCUAGUUUGUUUCAAGGGUCUCUAGUUUUCUUUUGGCAAUAGCCAUUCCAGUUUCUCUUUCAAUAUAUAUACUUGUUUGUAUAUAUUUUGUUACCUCUCUUUGAGUGAAUGCUCACUUGUUUGAAUUGUUUUUUCAUUGAGUUCUUAUCCUUGACAGAUUGACAAGAGUACACUUACAAUAUCAGAGCUUUGUUUUUCUUGAGUAAGAGUGGAUUACCCCUUUCUCUUGACAAGACAUAAGCGUAUUAGAAGUUUGCGGAUUACCCACUUCUAAACUGAUAUUGUUCUUAGUAUCUUCUUUGUUAUCAAGUCUUUUUUUUUUCUUUUGUCUUGAGCAAUAUCAGACAAAUUUUUCUUCUUAGUAUCAUUAUGGCAGAGCUUGUUGAAAUAAAGAGUGCAAUGGCACAAAUGCAAGAAUAAUUGAGAGAGUUAAUGCUUGCGAUGCAUCAACUCAAUUUACCAACACAAGAAAAAACAAGAAUAGCAGAAAGUGGAGAUAUAGAGAUGAUCCGAGCUGCUUCAACAUCUGCACCAAAUCACAUUCCUUCUCCAAUUGUACAACAUCCUGUAAGUACUAGAGAACCAAGAAUUGCUUUACUCGAGAAAUUUGAUGGUAUAAGAUCAAAGUUUCGAGGAUUCAUCAAUCAAGUACAAUUGGCAAUUAAACUUCAACCGCAAAGCUAUUCAACUCCAUGAUCACAAGUCAGGUUUAUUGGCACUCUACUUUCUGGUUCUGCAUUAUCGUGAUUUUCGUCUUUUCUUGAACAAUGAAAUCCAAUAUUGGACAAUUUGGAAGCUUUUUUCGCGGAGUUUUGAUCUAUGUAUGGUGAAUACGAUGCAACUCAUGUCGCAACAAACAAGAUCCGAAUUCUACGACAAGGAAACUGCUCAGUAACAAUGUAUGCUUCACAAUUUCGACAACUUGUAAUUGACAUCAAGUGGGAUGAUGCUGCACUCAUCAGUCAAUUUCUUUAUGGAUUGCAAUACGAAGUAAAGAAAUUGAUGCUCAACUUACCUGAUCCUCAAACUUUGAGUCAAGCAAUCGAUUUUGCGGUAAAAUGUGACAAUCGACUUUUUGAAUUUCGAUUCGAGAGUCGUACACGGGAACCUCAACGUUAUUACUCAAUGGCAACAUCAGCAUCUUCGCCAAAUGUACAUUCAGAAGUAGAAGACAUGCAAAUUGACGCGGUACGUUUUAAACCCCUAACUGAGCAAGAAAAGAUUCGUCGUCGUCAAGAAGGAUUAUGUUUAUACUACGGAGAACCUAAGCACACUGCUCAACAUUGUCCAAAGAAACAACGUAACUAUAAAAUGAGGGGUACGGCGGUCAAAGAAGACAACAUGUUGGAAAACGGGUUCGUCGAGCUACAAUAGGGACCGUGCAGCUCGAACCUUGUACAAUUCCUAAUGAAGGUCAUAUCCUCUCCUCAGAACCCUCUUCUUGUUUUAUAAUAGAAUUAUAUUUAGGACCUAAGAAUUACAAAGCCUUUGCUUUAUUAGAUUCGGGAGCCUCAGCAUGUUUUUUAGAUGAACAAUUUGUUAAAAGUCAUAAAAUACCUUUUGUACAGAAAACUAAACCCGUACAUGUAGAAGUCAUUGAUGGCCGUCCUUUGUCUUUUGGAGAUGUCACUCAUGAAACUCGCCCUAUAAAAGUAACAAUAAAUGGUCAUGUUAGCUACAUAGCUUUUAACAUAAUUAAAUCUCCAUCCAAUCCAAUUAUUUUAGGUUUAUCCUGGCUAGAAAAAUAUAACCCUCGAAUAGAUUGGAAUUCUCGUAAACUUGAAUUUUUCCAAAGCAUUAUUAAUAGUUCUACCAACUAAGUAAAAAGUUAUAAAUCUAGUAUAGUAAAAUCCGUACUUAUAUAUGCAAAAGCAUUUAUAUACGCAGCAAAAAAAGGAUCAACUUUUGCUAUUUAUGCUGCACCUAUUUCUGAAAGCGUAAAGACUUCAAGUGGCAUUCCAAGUCAAUAUCAGGAUUAUCAAGACGUUUUUGAGAAAAAUAAUGCAGAUAUUCUUCCUGAGCAUCACCAAUAUGAUUGUUCAAUCGACCUCAAGGAAGGAACUCAGCCACCAUUUGGACCAAUUUACAGCUUAUCGCGAGAUGAGUUGGCUGAACUCAAGACAUAUAUUGACGAGAAUUUAGCGAAGAAUUUCAUAUGCCAUUCAAAAUCUCCAGCAGGAGCUCCAAUUCUAUUCGUAAAGAAAAAAGAUGGAUCUUUGCGAAUGUGUGUUGACUAUCGAGGACUCAACAAGAUCACAAUCAAGAACAGGUAUCCAUUAUCUUUGAUAUCAGGACUCCUUGACCAGUUGAAUCAGGCUAAGAUUUAUACAAAAAUAGAUCUAAGAGGAGUAUAUAAUCUAGUACGAAUCAAGGAAGGAGAUGAAUGGAAGACUGCAUUUCGAGCCAGGUACGGACAUUUUGAAUAUAAUGUCAUGCCUUUUGGACUCACGAAUGCACCUGCUACUUUUCAACAUCUCAUGAAUGAUAUAUUUCAUGAAUUCUUAGACAAUUUUGUCGUCUGCUACCUAUACGAUAUCCUGAUCUAUUCUAACAACGUCGAAGAACAUGAAAUACAUGUUCGUCAAGUAUUACAAAAACUUAGAGAUGCAGGAUUGUACGCCAAGAUGGAAAAGUGUAUAUUUCAUACUACUCAAGUUGACUUUUUAGGAUACAUUAUUUCAAAUAAUGGUCUCAUGAUGGAUUCUAAGAAAGUCCAGACAAUCAUGGAUUCAAAGAUUCCAAGGACAAUAAGAGAUGUCAAAUGUUUCUUGGGAUUUACCAAUUACUAUCGGAUCUUCACCAAAGACUUUUCACGAGUUGCAGCUCUACUUACACGCUUGACCAAUAAAGACAAAUUCCAAUGGAAUCAAGAAGCGGAAGCAGCAUUUGAAGCCUUGAAGACAUCGUUUGUAUCUGCACCAGUCUUAUAUCGUGUUGACUUUUUCAAGGCAUUUUUUAUGGAAACAGACGCAUCAAAUUUUGCCUUGGGUGCAGUUUUGUCACAAAUGGGAACAGAUGACAAACUUCAUCCGAUAGCUUUUCAUUCAAGAAAAUUCUCAAUAGCCGAGAUCAAUUAUGAGAUCCACGAUAAAGAACUACUUGCAAUCGUGGAUUCCUUUCAAGAAUGGCGUCAUUAUCUAAAAGGCGCUUCUAGUCCAGUCACUGUGUAUACAGAUCACAAGAACCUCGAGUAUUUCAUGUCAGCAUGCGUGUUGAAUCGUCGUCAAGCUCGUUAGAGUAUGUCUUUGUCAAGAUUCGAGUUCAUUAUCACUUAUCAGCCAGGAAAACAACAAGGUUUGUCCGAUGCAUUGUCUAGACGUUCUUAUUUUGCACCAAAAGAAGGAGAUGCAACUUUUGAGCAACAAAGAACAGUCCUCUUGAAACCAGAGCAAUUUCAUCUCCGAGCAAUGAAAUCAACAUUGACUGUUGAUUCAACUUUUCUCAAGCAAAUCCAGUCCAGUAUGUGUCACGGACAUACAUAUAAUUACCUAUAUGAAUAGAUAAAAGUAUGUAAAAGUAGGUUAAUUGUGUAAUAUCUUCUAGAGAAGCUUCUUAGAAGCUUCAUAGAUGCUGCUUUGACUUUAUAGGAGUCUAUAGUUGACUUUUAGGUUAGAAACUUGGUCAACAAGUUAGCCAUGUGCCACGCAUGUUGGAAGCUUAAAGAACAAGCUAACUACGUGGUCCAUCCAUAGAAAACUUGCCUUGCAAGCAAAGGCAUGUGGCCUAGAAAGUCAACAUAUAUUGGAGGUCUUAUAGAACAUCGCCACGUGGCUUCUAGUUAGAUAAUAUAUAUAAAGGCAAGAGUGAAGCCCUCUUCACUCUUGUCAACUCCUUUCUUGCUUCUAGUCUAGUUUCAAGGGUCUCUAGUUUUCUUGUAUUUUGGCAAUAGCCAUUCCAGUUUCUUUCUUAAUAUACAUAUUUCUAUUUUGUCCUAUUUCUUUUUGAGAAAAGUCUCACUUACUCUUUAGCUUUUAUCGAGUUCUUGUCCCUGACAGAUUGACAAGAGUACACUUACAAUAUCAGAGCUUUGUCUUUUCUUGAUUAAGAGUGGAUUACCCCUUUUUCUUGAUAAGACAUAAGCGCAUUAGAAGUUACGGAUUACCCUCUUUUAAACUGAUAUUGUUCUUAGUAUUUUCUUUGUUAUCAAUUCCUCUCUUCUAUUUGUUUUGAGCGUUGUUAGACAUCUUCUCUUUUCUAAGUGCUACUAUGGCAGAGCUUGUUGAAAUGAAGAGUGCAAUGGCACAGAUGCAAGAACAAUUGAGGGAGUUAAUGCUUGCGAUGCAUCAACUCAAUUUACCACCACAAGGAGCAACAAGAAUGGUAGGAAGUGAAGAUAUAGAGAUGAUUGGGGCUGCUUCAACAUCUGCACCAAACCAUGUCCCUUCUCCCAGAAUGGAACACCCUUCGAGUGUUAGAGAACCGAGAGUUGCCUUGCCCGAGAAGUUUGAUGGUACCAGAUCCAAGUUUCGAGGAUUCAUCAAUCAGGUCCAACUAGUGAUUGAACUUCAACCCCAGAGCUAUCCAACUCCAGGGUCACAAGUAAGAUUCAUUGGUACACUUCUUUCAGGUUCAGCAUUGUCAUGGUUUUCAUCUUUUCUUGAACGACGAGAUCCAAUAUUGGAUAAUCUGGAGGCUUUUUUGGCGGAGUUUCGAUCCAUGUUUGGAGAACAUGAUGCAAUUCGUGUUGCAACCAACAAGAUCCGUAUUUUGCGACAAGACAAUCGAUCAGUAACAUUAUAUGCUUCGCAAUUUCGACAACUUGCAACUGAUAUCAAGUGGGAUGAUGCCGCACUUGUGAGUCAAUUUCUCUACGGAUUACAAUAUGAGGUAAAGAAAUUGAUGCUUAAUUUACCUGAUCCUCAAACAUUGAGUCAAGCAAUUGACUUUGCUGUGAAGUGCGACAAUCGACUUUUUGAAUUUCGAUCCGAGAGUCGCACAAGUGGGCCUCAACGUUACUACAAUUCAAUGGCAACACCGACGUCUCCUCAACACAUACCUUCGGAAGUAGAGGAUAUGCAAAUUGAUGCGGUACGUUUCAAACCUCUUACUGAGCAAGAAAAGUCUCGUCGUCGACAAGAAGGAUUGUGCUUAUAUUGUGGAGAACCUAAGCACACUGCUCAACAUUGUCCAAAGAAGCGACGUAACUACAAAAUGAGGAAUACGGCUGUCAAAGAAGACAGUAUGUCGGAAAACGAGUACGUCCAGCUACAAUAGGGACCGUGCGGCUGGAAUCUUGUACAACUUCUUAUAAAGGUCCUAUCCUCUCCUCAAAACCAUCUCCUUGUUUUAUAAUAGAUGUGCGUUUAGGACCUAAUAAUUACAAAGCCUCUGCCUUGGUAGAUUCAGGAGCCUCAUCUUGUUUUUUAGAUGAAGAAUUUGCUAGAUGUCAUAGAAUAUCAUUAAUACAAAAAACUAAACCUGUACACGUAGAAGUCAUAGAUGGUCGUCCGUUGUCUUCUGGAGAUGUAACUCACGAAACACUUCCUGUAGAUGUAGUAAUAAAUGGUCAUAGUAGUUGCGUAAUUUUUAAUAUAAUUAGAUCUCCCUCUAAUCCAGUAAUUUUAGGCUUAUCAUGGUUAGAAAAGUAUAAUCCUCGAAUAGAUUGGAUUUCUCGUAAACUUGAUUUUCCUCAGAGCAUUAGUAACAGUUCUAUUAACCAAGUAAAAAACCAUGAGUCUAGUAUAGUAAAACUCACACCUAUAGGUGCAAAAGCAUUUAUAAACGCAGCAAAAGAAGGAUCAACUUUUGCUAUUUAUGCUGCACCUAUUUCUGAAAGCGUAAAGACUUCAAGUGGCAUUCCAAGUCAAUAUCAGGAUUAUCAAGACGUUUUUGAGAAAAAUAAUGCAGAUAUUCUUCCUGAGCAUCGCCCAUACGAUUGUUCAAUCGAUCUCAAGGAAGGAACUCAGCCACCAUUUGGACCAAUUUACAGUUUAUCGCAAGAUGAGUUGGCUGAACUCAAGACAUAUAUUGACGAGAAUUUAGCGAAGAAUUUCAUACGCCAUUCAAAAUCUCCAGCAGGAGCUCCAAUUUUAUUCGUAAAGAAAAAAGAUGGAUCUUUACGAAUGUGUGUUGACUAUCGAGGACUCAACAAGAUCACAAUCAAGAACAGGUAUCCAUUACCUUUGAUAUCAGGACUCCUUGACCAGUUAAAUCAAGCUAAGAUCUAUACAAAAAUAGAUCUAAGAGGAGCAUAUAAUCUAGUACGGAUCAAAGAAGGAGAUGAAUGGAAGACUGCGUUUCGAACCAGGUACGGGCAUUUUGAAUAUAAUGUCAUGCCUUUUGGACUCACGAAUGCACCAGCUGCUUUUCAACAUCUCAUGAAUGAUGUAUUUCGUGAAUUCUUAGACAAUUUUGUCGUCUGCUACCUAGACGAUAUCCUGAUUUAUUCUAAGAAUGUUGAAGAACAUGAAAUACAUGUUCGUCAAGUAUUACAAAAACUCAGAGAUGCAGGAUUGUACGCCAAGAUGGAAAAGUGUGUAUUUCACACUACUCAAGUUGACUUUUUAGGAUACAUCAUUUCAAAUGAUGGUCUUAUGAUGGAUUCUAAGAAAGUCCAAACAAUCAUGGAUUGAAAGAUUCCAAAGACUAUGAGAGAUGUCCAAUGUUUCUUGGGAUUUGCCAAUUACUAUCGGAUCUUCAUCAAAGACUUCUCACGAGUUGCAGCUCCACUUACACGCUUGACUAGUAAAGAUAAAUUUCAAUGGAAUCAAGAAGCGGAAGCAGCAUUUGAAGCCUUGAAGACAUCGUUUGUCUCUGCACCAGUCUUAUAUCGUGUUGAUUUUUCCAAGGCAUUUUUUAUGGAAACAGACGCAUCGGAUUUUGCCUUGGGUGCAGUUUUAUCACAAAUGGGAACAGAUGACAAACUUCAUCCGAUAGCUUUUCAUUCAAGAAAAUUCUCAGCAGCCGAGAUCAAUUAUGAAAUCCACGAUAAAGAACUUCUUGCAAUCGUGGAUUCCUUUCAAGAAUGGCGUCAUUAUCUAGAAGGUGCUUCUAGUCCAGUCACUGUGUAUACAGAUCACAAGAACCUCGAGUAUUUCAUGUCAGCACGCGUGUUGAAUCGUCGUCAAGCUCGUUGGAGUAUGUCUUUGUCAAGAUUCGACUUCAUUAUCACUUAUCGGCCAGGAAAACAACAAGGUUUAUUCGAUGCCCUGUCUAGACGUUCUUAUUUUGCACCAAAAGAAGGAGAUGUAGCUUUUGAGCAACAAAGAACGGUCCUCUUGAAACCGGAGCAAUUUCAUCUCCGAGCAGUGAAAUCAACAUUGACUGUUGAUUCAACUUUUCUCAAGCAAAUCCAGUCCAGUAUGUCCUCAGACCCUCUUGUUCAUGAUAUCGAGAAUAAUUCUUUCAAGUCUCAUGAUUCUUCUAAGUUCGAGUUCAAGAAUAAUCUAUUAUAUUUUGAAGGACGCCUAUAUGUUCCAGAAGGAAAAGCACGUUUGCGUGUUCUUCAAGCACGUCAUGACUUUCCAGCAGCAGGGCACUUUGGAUAUAAUAAGACUCUGGAACUCAUAUCAAGAGAUUUUUGGUGGCCACAAAUGUGGAAGUCAGUCAAAGACUUUGUACAAUCAUGUGAUAUUUGUUCAAGAUCAAAAAUUCCUCGACAUCGACCUUACGGACUUCUUCAGCCAUUACCUAUACCAGAACAACCAUGGUCUUCUGUUUCUAUGGAUUUCAUCACAGAUCUUCCAAACUCAAGAUCUUAUGAUUCUAUAUUUGUGAUAGUAGAUCGUUUCACCAAGAUGGCACAUUUUAUGCCAUGUACAAAAUCUAUCACAGGUGAAGAAAUAGCUAAGCUUUUCAUUGAUAAUAUCUAUCGCUAUCAUGGAUUACCUAAAGAUAUCAUAUCAGAUAGGGGAACUCAAUUUGUGUCGAGAUUCUGGAGGACUCUUUUCAAGAUUUUAAAAGUGGAUAUAAAGCUAUCUUCAGCUUUCCAUCCUCAAACUGAUGGACAAACAGAGCGCGUAAACCAAGUCUUGGAACAGUAUUUAAGGUGUACCAUCAACUACCAACAAGAUGAUUGGACAAACCUUCUGCCAUUGGCAGAGUUUGCUUAUAAUAAUACGGUACAUUCCUCCAUGCAACAAACACCUUUCUUUGCCAAUUAUGGCUAUCAUCCACGACUUGAUACUUUUGAUUUUUCAAAAGUUGAUAAUCCUGCAGCAGAAGAUAUGGCAAAUCGGUUGUCAGAGUUAUAUACAAUAAUGAAGGCGCAGUUGAAGAAAGCUCAAGAACGACAAAAGAUAAAUGUAGAUGUAUAUCGUAAAGAGCAACCACAACUCAACGUGGGUGAUAAGGUAUGGCUACUUCGUCGCAAUAUCAAGACCACUCGACCUUGUGACAAAUUGGACUAUCGUAGGCUUGGCCCCUUUUCUGUUUCUGAACAGAUCAACCCAGUUGCAUAUCGGUUACAUCUACCGGAGUCAAUGAAGAUCCAUCCUGUAUUCCACGUGUCUCUUCUUGAACCAUAUAAGACAGUGGAUAUACAAGGAAGAAGACAAAUGCCACCGCCUCCUAUAGAAGUAGAUAAUAAUGAAGAAUUUGAGGUGGAAGAGAUAUUAGACUCAAGGCGGCGCCGAAAUAAGCUGGAAUAUCUUGUUCAUUGGUGCGGAUAUGAUAUUAGUAAGCGCACAUGGGAGCCAUCCAGGAAUCUAGCAAAUGCAUCAGCUAAAGUCAAAGUUUUUCAUCAACGACAUCCAUCAAAACCAAGAUGAAAACCUCUCUUAUAAAAGAGACAAGAUUGAGGAAGUUAUGAAGGCCUCAACAGUGAUCAAAUAACAGGGUGGUCUUCUCGCCCUGGAAUGGGACACUAUCGAUGGCUAAGAGGAUCCAUCAACUAUCUUCGAAGAGAACAAAGAUCAGAGUAUGUAGCAAAUACAGUUCGCCGCAUAUUAGAUUUUCUCAAUAUAUAAUCACCGCUCCUCGUGGAACUCGUCCCUAGAAGGGGGGGUAAUGUCACGGACAUACAUAUAAUUACCUAUAUGAAUAGAUAAAAGUAUGUAAAAGUAGGUUAAUUGUGUAAUAUCAUCUAGAGAAGCUUCUUAGAAGCUUCAUAGACGCUGCUUUGACUUUAUAGGAGUCUAUAGUUGACUUUUAGGUUAGAAACUUGGUCAACAAGUUAGCCAUGUGCCACGCAUGUUGGAAGCUUAAAGAACAAGCUAACUACGUGGUCCAUCCAUAGAAAACUUGCCUUGCAAGCAAAGGCAUGUGGCCUAGAAAGUCAACAUAUAUUGGAGGUCUUAUAGAACAUCGCCAUGUGGCUUCUAGUUAGAUAAUAUAUAUAGAGGCAAGAGUGAAGCCCUCUUCACUCUUGUCAACUCCUUUCUUGCUUCUAGUCUAGUUUCAAGGGUCUCUAGUUUUCUUGUAUUUUGGCAAUAGCCAUUCCAGUUUCUUUCUUAAUAUACAUAUUUCUAUUUUGUCCUAUUUCUUUUUGAGAAAAGUCUCACUUACUCUUUAGCUUUUAUCGAGUUCUUGUCCCUGACAGUAUGUCCUCAGACCCUCUUGUUCAUGAUAUUGAGAAUAAUUCUCCCAAGUCUGAUGAUUCUUCUAAGUUCGAGUUCAAAAAUAAUCUAUUAUAGUUCGAAGGACGCCUAUAUGUUCCAGAAAGAGAAGCACGUUUACGUGUUCUUCAAGCACGUCAUGAUUUUCCAACAGCAGGACACUUUGGAUAUAAUAAGACUUUGGAACUCAUAUCAAGAGAUUUUUGGUGGCCACAAAUGUGGAAGUCAGUCAAAGACUUUGUACAAUCAUGUAAUAUUUGUUCAAGAUCAAAAACUCCUCGUCAUCGACCUUACGGACUUCUUCAGCCAUUACCUAUACCAGAACAACUAUGGUCUUCUUUUUCUAUGGAUUUCAUCACAUAUCUUCCAAGCUCAAGAUCUUAUGAUUCUAUAUUUGUGAUAGUAGAUCGUUUCACCAAGAUUGCACAUUUUGUGCCAUGUACAAAAUCUAUCAUAGGUGAAGAAACAGCUAAGCUUUUCAUUGAUAAUAUCUAUCCCUAUCAUGGAUUACCUAAAGAUAUCAUAUCGGAUAGAGGAACUCAAUUUGUGUCGAGAUUUUGGAGGACCCUUUUCAAGAUUUUAAAAGUAGACAUAAAGCUAUCUUCGGCUUUCUAUCCUCAAACUGAUGGACAAACAGAGCGCGUAAACCAAGUCUUGGAGCAGUAUUUAAGGUGUACCAUCAACUACCAAUAAGAUGAUUGGACAACCCUUCUGCCAUUGGCAGAGUUUGCUUAUAACAAUACGGUACAUUCUUCCACGCAACAAACACCUUUCUUUGCCAAUUAUGGCUAUCAUCCACGACUUGAUGCUUUUGAUUUUUCAAAAGUUGAUAAUCCUGUAGCAGAAGAUAUGGCAAAUCUGUUGUCAGAGUUACAUGCAAUAUUGAAGGCACAAUUGAAGGAAGCUCAAGAACGACAAAAGAUAAACGCAGAUGUAUAUCGUAAGGAGCAACCACAACUCAACGUGGGUGAUAAGGUAUGGCUACUUCGUCGUAAUAUCAAGACCACUCGUCCUUGCGACAAGUUGGACUAUCGAAGGCUGGGACCAUUUUCUAUUUCUGCACAAAUCAAUCCAGUUGCAUAUCGUUUACAUCUACCGAAGACAAUAAAAAUCCAUCCAGUAUUCCACGUGUCUCUUCUUGAAUCAUACAAGACAGUGGACAUACCAAGAAGACGACAAGCUCCACCUCCUCCUAUAGAAGUGGACAAUAAUGAAGAAUUUGAAGUAGAAGAAGUCUUAGAUUCAAGGCGGCGUCAAAAUAAAAUAGAAUAUCUUGUCCAUUGACGUGGAUAUGAUAUUAGUGAACGCACAUGGGAGCCAAUGAAGAAUCUUGCAAAUGCAACAAAGGCGGUGGAGGCUUUUCAUCGACGACAUCCAUCAAAAUCAAGAUGAAAACCUUCUUUAUAAAAGAAACAAUAUCUAGGCAAGAUAACAUUCUACUUUUAAUUCUUGUUCGUAGCUUCGUUGUAGUAGUGGCGCUCAGGAGAUGGAGAACCAACAACCAGCGGAUUCAACUCAAGAGCCUUCAUUUGCUGACCUGCCGGACGAGACAUUACGAUUGUCACAACCUUCAAGACGACGCAAUCGAGAUGAAGAUCUUCAAGAACGACAUGUUCUUCCUCGAAUAGAUGGUGAGAUACAACACGUUUGGUAUCACGAUUUGGGAAGAGACUCCCGAUGUUUGGUGAUUUUGCUAGAGGUAGGAACAACUCCUAAUGGUGUUCCAAAUAUUCUAUUCGAAGGAAGUUACAAAGGCCUCAACAAUGAUCAAAUAACUGGGUGGUCUUCUCGCCCUGGUAUGGGACACUACCGAUGGUUGAGAGGCCCUAUCAAUCAUCUUCGAAGAGAACAGAGAUCAGAGUAUGUGGCGAAUACAAUUCGUCGCAUCAUAGAUUUCCUCAACAUAUGAUGACCGCUCCUCAUGGAAUUCGUCCCUAGAAGGGGGGGUAAUGUCACGGCCAUAAUCAUGUAAGCUAAUAAUUACAUAUAGAAAUAGGUAGAAGUAAGUAAAAGUAGAUAAAAGUAAGUUAAUUCUAUAAUAUUUAAUAUAGAAGCUUCCUAGAAAUUUCCUAGACGCUGCUUUGACUUCAUAGAUGUCUUUAAUUGACUUUUUGGAUUAGAAACGUGGUCAACAAGUUGGCCAUGUGCCACAUAUGUUGUUAGCUUGAAGAUCAAGCUAACUAUGUGGCCCACACAUAGAAAAAAUUGCCUUGUAAGUCAAGGCAUGUGCCCUAUAAAGUCAACACAUAUUGGAGGUCCUAUAGAACGUCGCCACGUAGCCCCUAGUUAGAGAGUAUAUAUAGAGACAAGAAUGAAGGCUUCUUCACUCUUGUCAACUCCUUUCUUGCUUCUAGUUUGUUUCAAGGGUCUCUAGUUUUCUUUUGGCAAUAGCCAUUCCAGUUUCUCUUUCAAUAUAUAUACUUGUUUAUAUAUAUUUUGUUACCUCUCUUUGAGUGAAUGCUCACUUGUUUGAAUUAUUUUUUCAUCGAGUUCUUAUCCUUGACAGGCAUAUGAAUCACGUUGUCAUGAUGUAAUAUGAUUAAUAGGUGAAAGAGUGUGGAGAUUAUUAUAAUUUAGGAGAUCUUAGUUCAAAAUAUUAGAACAAAUUAUCUUAGAAAUAUAGUUAAUAGUCAAAGGGAUAGAAAAAUUAAAGGGUACCAAUGCUGCCUUUUAGAAAGGUACCUUUUAGAAAGGUCUUUACUUUGUAGUACCAUAAGUAAAGCAAAUCAAAGUAGAUUGGAAAAAUAAAUAAUAUAGGCAUCUUUAGAAGAAAGUUAAGAGUAAAUUCUAGAAAAAAUUUACUUAGAAAAACUAGAUAUUGAUACCCGGAGAGGCCCAGUUAUGAACCAGGGUCGAAAUCAGACCCUAGGGCACAAAACCGAGUCUCGACGACGAUUUUGGGGUUCUUUUGGAGAUCAGAGAGUGAGGUUUGAAAGCAGACUGAAUAGGUUUUCUAUGAACAUUGAUUUUGGAUGAUUUGGAAGUGAUAUGACUUUGUAAGAGCUUUGCAAAGUUGAAGUUUGUUUCAAAUGACUUGGAUUUUAUGAAAUAAAAUAGGGUUUACGUUUUGGAUAAUUUCAAGAGUUUUGUAAUAGAUCUGUAGGUGAAAUUUUGUGAGUUUAUGGUUAUAGUUGUGUUUAAUAUGUGUCGUAAAUUUGAGCUUGAUUUAACGGUUGAAUUGAGGAAUAGUGAGGUUUAAGUGGGUCAAGGUCUCAGAAAAAAGAAUUUUAGGUCUAGUGGGGGUUUUGAGAUUUCUUGCAAUCUAUUAGUUGGAUUGGAAUGAAACUUAUAUGAGAGGAUAUUAGACUUGUUUUUCUAUGCGUAUGAGAAUUUUGAGAUCAAUCGAAAGGUGCAAAAGAGAGAUAUUGGCUCUAGAAGAUUGGCAUUAAGAUUGGAGAAGGAGGCCGGCUAAUACCCGAGCACAUUUUUGAAGAUAUUGUCAAUUUGGUAACUCCGAUCUUUAUCAAUUUUUUUGUGUUUGUUCUUAACUUAUUUUUUUAGAAGUAUGAAAUUUUUUAGUUAAGAUCAACGGUUUAUUCAUUAGUUAUUGAGGUUUAAAUCUGUUGUAGGAAUAAUUAGGAUUUGAUUUAGGGUUUAGGGUUUGGGUUAGGGUUUGGUUUAGGAUUUAGGAUUUGGAUAGGGUUUAAUUUAGGAUUUAAGGUUUGGAUUAGGAUUUGGUUUAGGAUUUAGAAUUUCAUUAGGGAUUAAUAUUUGAUUAGGAUUUGAUUUAGGAUUUAGGAUUUGGUUUAGGGUUUAGAGUUCGGAUUAGGGUUUGAUUUAGGGUUUAGGAUUUGGAUAGGAUUUGGUUUCGGAUUUAGGGUUCGGAAUAGGGUUUGAUUUAGGAUUUAGGAUUUGAAUUAGGAUUUGAUUAGGGAUUAUGGUUUGAUUAGGGUUUGAUUUAGGAUUUAGGAUUUAUUUAGGAUUUGAUUAAGGUUGGAUUAGGAUUAGGAUUUGGUUAGAAUUUAAGGUUUUAUUAGAUUUUUGUUAAGAUUUGACUAAGUUUUCUUUAAUAUUCUUUUAUAUUUCUUUAGGAUUUCCUUGUGUUUCUUUUAUAACUUCAAUAAAAUUUAAUUGAGCUUGCUUAAUGUUUGAUUAUGAUUGUUAACAUUUAAUUGUAAAUUCUCUAUAAUCCUAUUGGAUUGUUAAAAUCCUUUGUUGCAAUUUUCUUUUACCUUCCACAUUCAGGUGCUCAACGCAUUUUUAAGCAAGACUUCACAUAAUACGACAACGUAAGCUCAGAAGGACAAGUGUAAUCACUCUAUAUGUGAUCGAGAGUAAUUACUAAUUGUACAUGCUACAAAGGUGUGGCGAAACUAUCUAUUGGGAGGACUAGUCAUUAUUUGGAUUGACCAUUGAUCCUUGCUACAUAAUUUGCAUGUGAAAAAUAUAAAAUCAUGACAUCAUCGUUAAAAAAAAUAAUUGUAAUUUUUUGAUAUUUAACUUGAGUACAAGUAAGGACGACAACAUACUAUGCAAGAAAACUUAUUAAAAAGACAAAACUUGAAGGAAAAAUCAAAAGACAAGGCAAAAGUUGCAACCAUUAAUAGUGUCAUUUCAAACCUAAUCAAAGAAGCAGAAUAGAAGGAAGCUAUGCAUUGGAAUGCUUAUUUCAAGAUGGUUAGCAAUUGGUUGAAGGUAAGUAAUAUAUAAUAUCAAAAUUACAGUCUUAAUGAUGGCUUGCUUUGUUUUAAGAAGCAGAUUUAUGUACCUGAUAAUAUUAUACUUCAAAUGUCUAUACUUCAAGAAGGACAUGAUAUCCCAAUAUUUAGACAUCUGGAACUAGAAAAGACUCUAGAAUGGAUCUCAAGGACAUGGUUUUGGGCAAGUUUGGAUCAUAAUGUUCGAGCCUUUGUAUGCUCUUGCGAAUCAUGUCAACAUAAUAAAUCACACAAUGUAGCAUCUUCUAAACUAUUGCAGCCAAUUUUGCUAUCUACGACACAUUAGAAGUAAGUGACUAUGGAUCUUAUUACAUGUUUGCCAUAGAUACCUCAUAAUCAUUUUAUAAUUGCUAUUUUUGUAAAUUAACUCUCAAAGCAACUUCACUUGAUCAUGAUCCACUUGGAUAUUGAUGUCUUUGUGCUUAUAUAAGUCUGCUUUGAUACCAUCUUUUAUCACCAUAGAUUAUCUUCUGUCAUCUUUUCAAAUUGGAAUCUAUACUUCACGAGAAGUUUUUGGCAAGCCUUGUUCAAGCUAUUAGGCAUAUAACUUUCUAUGUCUACAAUCUUAUAUUUCCAAACAAAUGGGCAAAUAGAGCAUGCAAAUCAGACCUUGGAAAAUUUAUUGUGGACAUUUGUGGUGGUUCAUCAUAAUGAUUGAGAUGAAUACUUGACACCCUUGGAGUUUACUUACAAUAAUAGUAUUCAAACAAAUAUUGAUCAUUCACCAUUUUUUUUAAUAUCAAUAAGUAUUUCAUUAUACUUGUAACUCUAUACCCUCCCAUUGAUACCAACAACCUGAUAACAAGGGAAUUUAUACAACGAAUUACAAUAACCUUAGAGGAGGCACUUUACUACCUCAUUAUCAUAGAAAAUUAAUAUAACUAAUAUGUGGAUAACCACCGACAAUAUAAGACCUUCCAAAAAGAUGAUCAAGUAUGACUAUCCAAUGCUAAGUUGCCACUUACUACAUCAAUUCAAAUCCAUAAUCUAGUACCUUGAUAGCUUGAAACUUUUCACGUUUCUAUAGUUCUUUUUGAUGUCGCAUAUUGCUUCAAACUUUUGUCACAUAUUUGAUCUAUUCAGUCUUUCAUGUUUUACAAUUAAAAGAAUUUCAUGCCGAGCCAAAGUACUUUUUGGAUCAAAACCAACCACCACCACUACUAGUUGUAGUUGAUGACCAACAAGAAUAUGAAAUGGACAGCAUUUUGGAACAUCGCUACCUCCAUCAUGGCAGUGGACAUCUACAACUUGAAUACAAAGUUCUUCGAAAAGGUUAUCUCAUUCACGAUGCAACAUGGAAACUUGCACAAAACUUCAUCCAUUACUAAGAGACAAUUUGGAGAUACCAUUGAAAGCAAAACAAUGACAUUUUUUAUUAGUAGAAGAGAUUUAAUUGUAGCAAGGUAUAGAUAAGAUAUAUAUAUUAUUGAUACAUAAGGAUAGAUAAUUAGAACCAUAGAAGUUUUUAGAAUUGGGAUUAGAUUAGUGGAAUAAGUAGGACCUACCAUGAAAUAUUCUAAAAAGAAUCUUGGGUGGUUUUCUAGGCAGGAUCCACUAUAUAACCUUCUAAAAAAGAUUUAGGGUAGAUAUUUAGAUAGGAUCUAUGAUAGGAUCUUUAAGAAGGAAUUUAAAAUGAUUAUCUCAAUAAGAUCUAUUACUUAAGAACAUUCUAAAAACUCUAGGAUAGUAGAACAAAGUAUAAAUAGGAUUACAUAAAACCUCAUCUAUUACAAGUAAUUACAUGUGAAAAAUUAGCAUCAUUAAGAUUUGUUGCAAUCAUUUCAAAAGUUAUUUUUUAAUAAUUUUUGUAUUCUUUCUUUUUAUUGACAUCAAUAUCAUGCUUGGAGGCUCUUCACUUUCAUCAAGAAUGUUUCAAAGAUCCAAUGAAGCUAACAAAAAUUCUAUUUUUUCUUUUAAUAAUAAAAGUUAUCAAUUUUAAAUUUUCAAUAAUCUUCAAGUCUUCACCUUGACUUGAAGCCAUAUCUAAAAAAGAGAUAUAUUAAAAAGAAUCAAAAAAAGAUGAGAUAGAAUUUUCAAGAUCAAAAUAAAGAAAUUAUUUCUUAAAAACUCAUUAGCCCUCUUUGUUAGUAAAUUAAUGAUUUCAUUCUUUAAUCAUUCUCAACUUUGACAAAAAUAUUUUUAUUCUCAUAAAUACCUUCUUAUCAUUAUAAAAAGACUUCUUAAGAAAUUUAGGACAUAAAAGCACAAUAUUAAUGCACCAAUGAUGUAACUUAGCAAAAAAAUACAACACUAGUAUUCUAAAACUUCAUUCUAAAGUAUCUUACAACUUCUAAGAUCAUGAAUGCAGUUAACAAUAAGUAAGAAAAAAACUACAUCAACAACUAGAUAUAAAAGAAAAUUUAGAAGAUAUCAAUCUCUAAUAUCAGCAAUAAUCAUAAAAUCUAUCUUUUACUACAAGAAAAACUUCAAAAAACUUCAAAACUCACAACUAAAGGUGAAUGGGCCCAUAACCUAUUGAAGAAAAAAGAACUUUGAAGUCACAAUACAUUGCAUUAGCAAGGUUUGUGAACAAAAAUAGUUGAUGAUUUUGACUUUGAUAAGAUCUUCAAUAUACAAGGAUAUUUACUUCUUUAUCUUAAUUUUUCUAUUAUUAUUGUACCUUGCAAUGUUUCUAUUAUUGAUCUUGUAAGUAAUAUUAGUUUACUACAUAACCAAUAUCUUUUGCUAUAAUUAGAAAGAUAUUAAAGAAUAUUUUUUAUUGAAUAAUAGAAAUAGCUAGUACAUUCAACUCAAGAGCCAUCAUUUGCUAAUUAAUUGGACAAGAUAUUGCGAUUAUCACAGCCUUCAAAUCAAUAUAAUUGAAUUAAAUAUCUUCAAAAAUAAUAUAUUCUUUCUUAAAUAGAUGGCAAGAUACAAUGCAUUUGAUAUCACAACCUAGGAAAAAAAUUCCAAUGUUUGGUGACUUUAUAUGAAUUGAAUGACUCCUAAUAGUAUUACAAAUGUUUUAUUUGAAAGAAGUUAUUAAGGCCUCAAUAAUGAUUAUAUAAUAGAGUAGUCUUCUUGCCUUAGAAUGAGAUAUUAUCAGUGGCUAAAAAGUCCUAUGAAUUAUCUUCAUAGCAAAAAAAGAUCAAAAUAUGUGACAAAUAUUUCAUAUUUUGGACUUCUUCAAUAUGUAAUUACUAUUUCUUAUGGAAUUCGUCUCUAGAAGGGAAGAUAAUAUCAUGGAUGUAUAUAUACUUCAAUAAUUAUCUAGAUAUUAUAAAUAAAUAAAAAUAUAUAAUUUUAAUAAUAUCUUAUAUAAAAGCUUUAUAAAAGCUUUAUAGACAUGGCUUCACCUUUAUACAUAUUUUUAGGUGAUGGAUAGAUUAAAAACUUGGCCAUUAAAUUAGCCACAUGUUGCAUAUUGUUGUGAGGCGUGAUUUACAAUCCAGAAAUAUAUGAGGUAUCUAAUUGUAGAGAAUUUAGUUUUAACUUAUUGGCUAAGUUCUAAUAAGUGUUUUAUUCCAUCUUUAACUUAUAUUCAAAGUCUUGGCUUCCAAAACCUCUUCACUUUAUAUAAAAUAUCCAAAUUGUAGCAAAUUCCUUCAAAACAUAUUUUUCUUUUAGGGAAUUUUUUCUUCUUGAACUUUAGAAAUUCAUAUCUUUUGAUCCAACUAUUCAAUUUCAAAUUUUUAUAUAGUAUAGUUAUUAUUCUUAAGUUUUACUAAAAAAAAUGAACCGUAAAAUCACCACGAAUCUUUUGGCAUCUUAGAAACCCUAGCAAGUGCUCUAAAUUCUAACUUACAAGCAUAUGAGUACUAUUUUCUUCAUAUCUCAAAAAUCCAAAAUUAAAAUGCUACAAAAUUUAUGCAAAAAUUUUAUUAAUAUGAUUAUACAUAUUCUUAGAAAUUUUGAGCCAAAAUCUUGUCAAAUUACUUAAGAUAUAGCUCAAAACACAACCACUAGUGAAUCGGAUCACUUACUACCUUUAGAUUUGCAAGUGCUGAUUUCAACCUCUAAUAUCUCUUUCAGUCCAACUUGGAAUCUAUCAAAUAGUAUGCCAAAAGUGUAGUUGAAAAAUUGUUCUCUUCAAUCCUAAUUGCCAAUCCUUUAUUGCUUUCUGUACGCAUGCAUUAUGUCCAAAAGUGUGACAAUAGAUACAAAAUUAAUACCUUAACUUUGAGCACCCAUAUCUCCUUCAUAUAAACUCCAAAUCACACAAAAUUUUCACCAAAACUAUAGCCAAGAACCUAAAAUUGUUAAAUCUAGCCUCCAAAGCUCAAAUGGCUUCGAAAAAAUAACCCUAAUUCCUACUAAGGCCUCGGGCAGCCUUCUUGAAGCCCAUUGGAUACGAUUUUUGGCCAAUAUGAAUGGAAAUUCUCAUCAUUCAUCUCCAUUCAUCCAUAUCAAUGCCCUUACUUUCUUUUUUGCUUCCAAGACUCCUCUCCAAUCCUUUCUCUAAUAAGAUUUAGAUAAUAUACGUCCUAAACACCAAAUAAAAGAACCAAAAUAUAACUUCAAGGUUCACCAAUGUCUAAUAAGGUGACUCUAAAUAUUUAAAAGCUACUACUAAUAAGAUCAACUUCAAAAGUCACUAUCAAAAGAAAAUAAAGUUAUAUAAAUUCUAAUAAUAGUUCUUUUAAAUGAAUUCCUUUUAAGAUAGUAAUCUAACUCUAUUCUACAACUAACUAAAAUUUAUUAACAUGGUUCUUACCAUGUUACUUAUUAAAUCAUAUAUCAAACAUACAAACACAAUAUUUUCACAUGGUAGGCUAAACCACAACACAACAAUGUAUUGAUAGCUUGUCAUAUAAGCUAAUGAUGUAACUUAUAUAUAUAAGAAACUUGCCUUAUAAGAUAAGAUGUAUAUCUUGUAAAUUAAAUACAUGUCAGAGGUCUUACAAAACAUUAUCACAUAGCUUUUGAGUAGAUAGUAUAUAUUGAAGCAAAAGUGAAGCCUUCUACACUCUUGUUAAUAUUUUUUUAGUCUUUAAUCUUAUUUCAAGAAUUUUUAAUCUUCUUGACUUCAACAAUAGCUAUUCCAAUUUUAAUCUAUAUUAGUUUUGAGUGAAUAUAUAUUUUGUUUAAAUUACACAAAAGUAUAUUGAGUUUUUGAUACUUUGAGAUUCAUGUCUUUGUCACCAUAAAAUAUUUUAUUCACUAAUAAAACUACUUGCACUUAGAGUACUUAUUAAUAUGUUAUUAUUAAAUAAAAUUUAAGAAUUCAUAUUUAAAAUAUUAAAUAAAUUAACAAAGUUAAUUUUUCUAUGAAUAGUUUUUAUUUUAAAGAAUUAUUAGUUGUAGAAGAAGUGGAACCUAAAGUUGGCAUGUGAUAGGAUUAUUUUGUAAAACUUAAAAUAAAACCUAAUAAAUUAAAAAUAAAUCAAAUCUAAUUUUAAUUAUAUGGAAUUAGUCUUAAUAAAUUAAACUUUUGAUUUACGUUUAGUUUAUAAAUAAUAAAAAAUAUGAUUAAAAUUAUCUUUUGUCAAUAAUUAAUUUAAAAAAUUAGUAGUAGUGAAAAAUGAUUUGUUUCAAUAGUUAGGAUUAAAAUUGGAAUAGUGUAAUAUGUUGAAAAUAUCAUUAUUAAAUUUUGAUUCUUAUAUUUAAAAGCUUUGUUUUAUUUUGGAAUAUAAGAAAUUAUAAAUUAUCUUUGUAUUUUACUAUCAAUAUAAAUAUUAUUAAAUUGAUUAAAUACAUAUUUACCACCACUAUGACUUUAUAAAAUCUAUAAUCAAUGUCAUAUGUAUUUUUCAACAUAAGCUUUUUAAUCCGUGAGUUUAGAAAAUAUUUGAAAUAUUAAUUUUAACUAAAUUAAUCAUUGUAAAAAUGGCUAAAAUUAUUAAUAAAAGUAAUAAAAUAUUAGUAGCUAGUAAGUACAAAAAUAAUGGUUUAUUUAAGAUUAGUAUGAAUUAAAUUAUAUAAAUAAAUAGCUUCGUUUUUUUUCUUUAUUUAUAAUAGGACUUGGUAGUGUUUUUUCUUUGUAGCACUUCUUCAAUAAUUUUUUACUCUUUAAGAUUAAAUUCUAAUAAUAGAUUUUAGUAAAGGCUCACUUGCACAAUUAUAACUUAGGAUUAUUAAUAAGAUUCUAAUUCCUUAAAAUUCCACAAUCAAUGCGUGAUUAAAUCUAAAAAAUAAUUUUACUUGUUUUCAAUUCUAUUAUAUUUUAUUGAAAAAAUUGAAUUAAAGUCAAUUACUAAGCUUUUAAUUCCAAUUAAAUAGAGAAUGAUAAAUAUAUCUAUUGUAUUUUUUUUAUUUAUAUUUAAAUAAUUUAUCUUUAAAUUUAUCUAUCAAAUACAACUAAAUUACAUAAAUUGUAAUCUUAUGACUAAUAUUUUUAUCUCUUUUAAUAUAUAUAUAUAUAUAUAUAUAUAUAUAUUAAUAUUCAUUGGAAUUUUUUUAUUACAAUAUUUUAUUUUAAUAUUUUAAUUAGAACUUUCUUGCACUAUCUCUAAUUUUAAUAAUAUCAUUGAGUUAUUUGUAUUUUUUCCUUUAAAUUAAUUAUAUUUUGUAGCUAUUUUGUAUACGUUUUUAUUUUUUAUGUGGUCCAAUGUAUAUUAUAUAAACUUCUAUAUUAGUAGUAAUAUUGUAAUAGAUAAGUACUAAAAAUCUCCUUCUACUAAAUAUUUCAUAAUCUUUUUGUUUUCUAAAUUAAUAAAAAUAUACUUUAAAUAUCCAUUUAUUUUUUGUGUUUUGAAGUAAUUAUGAUUUCUUUUGAAAUAUUUAUAAGAUUUUAGGUUAUACAAUUUUAAAAGAUUAGUAGUAGUACUAUCUUAAUUCAAGUGCAAAAAAUAUUUAAAAAAUCAUAAUAUACAAUUACGUUUGGUUUGGAUUUAAACAUGACUAUGGUUGCCAAUAUCAAUGUACAAGUUUUACUAUGCACUAAUACUAUUAAUCAUUAAAGUUGUAGGUGAUAAAAAGUUUAUUUAUUUCUAUUCUAUGGAUAAAAAUAUAUAUAUUUUUAUUAUAUAUAGGACUAGGACUAAACACUAAAGAAGUAAUCUUUUAGAUUUUUAAUUUCUUAAGUAGUCAUCAAUUGAUCUUUAAAAAAGAUCAAUCUAAUUCUUCUUGACUAACUCAUUCUUAAAGUUUUGCCUCAAGAUUCAAAUACAACUCCUUAUCAAGUGCGUUCAUUCAAUAAAGUAAUAAUCUUCUCUUGUAUUAAGUUCUUACUUUUUUCUUUUGUGGAUUAUAUUGUUUUUGAAACCAAAUACAUCAGCUAAAAUAACUCACCUUACAAUCUUUAACAUAUUACUAAAAACUUUAGUAUAAAUAGACAAACCAUAUUAUUCUAUAUUUCAAAAUAUUCCAAAAUAAUUUUAAAAUAAAAUAUUAAAUAUCAUGUAUAUAUCACAUUUUUCUUAGUGUUGUAAUUUUUUCAAAAGAGUUCCAAAAAAAUACUUGAGUUUCUUACAAAUAUAAUGUAAAAUCUACAAAAAAAAGUUUAUAAAUAAUAAAAUUAUGUCAUUAAAAGAUAUGUAUUCAUCAACAAGGAUUAAAUUUUUAGUUCUAUAUUAGAUGUUAUAAUUUUUUUAAUAAUUUAAGUCAAUAUUUACAAAGGUUUUAUAAAUUAGACAGUGUUUUUGGAUGGAAAUCCAGAUACCUCUAUAACAUUUGGUUGUCUUUGUACUCAUAUUGGACUAUAAUUUUGAACAAGAUAUUAUUAUUUUUAAAUAUUCAAGGUUUUUUUUACUCUUGAUGAUCCUUCACAAUACUUCGGGCCUCACAAUUUAGGUACUCCCCAAAUACUCUAGUUUCAUUUUAAUGAUCUGACUGCUCUCAUUGCCUGCCGAAGGUGCAUAGUGACGCCCAUAGGGUCUGUAACCGCGGGAUCCGGUUCAAGACAGCAGAGUUCCCGCGGUCACCGAUCAGCACAACGCCCCAUGGGAAGGAUCCAAAUGGACACCAGCCUGGACACCCGAAGCCGCCACGAAUCGGGGGGGGGGGGGUAUGACCACAUUAGGUCACUAUUUUUUCCGCUUUUGAAGUCACCUUCAAAAUCCUUUCCAACCGCGCUCGAAACCGCGUUUCUGAAAUAGCACACCACGGUCCAUGUCCGUUAGAUAAGAAAUCUGACGGUGGGCCUGUAAGAACCAUUCCUUCAAGUAGCAGAAUCGCACCUGAGCUUGCCCCUUUCGACCUGAGAGCUCUCGUGCGAGAGCCUGCACCGCCGCUGACGCUGUGUGCAUUUCCGACUUCGAUUAAUCGUUUCAUUUUGAGGUAUGCUUCUGGACUUAUGUUAUGCGUUUCAUUCUUGCCUUUUUAGGGUUUACAGUCAAGGCUUUCCGUCACACGGCCUGGUGUGACAUUCCUUAUACGCCUAAAAGUGGGGUUUGGGUUCAUCUUUUAAUCCAGUUGUUUAGUGACAAGCCUUGGUAUAGUUUCACUUCACUGACUUUAUUCAGCACUCAACAAUGAUUAGGGGUGUGGAGUGAGUUAACAAGUCAACUCUUUAUCGAUUCUACCCAUGGUCUGGGUCUACAAAAUGCUCAAUGUGGAGCACGGAACAGAAAGACAUUUAAAUACUUAUUACAGAAUGCGUUUGUGUCAUCUGCAGUUAGUUCAAGAUGGGUAAGGAGAAGGUCCACAUCAACAUCGUGGUCAUCGGCCAUGUCGACUCCGGCAAGUCGACGACCACUGGGCACCUUAUCUACAAGUUGGGAGGUAUCGACAAGCGUGUGAUCGAGCGUUUCGAGAAGGAGGCGGCGGAGAUGAACAAGCGUUCGUUCAAGUACGCGUGGGUGCUGGACAAGCUGAAGGCAGAGCGCGAGCGUGGUAUCACG